ACUUAUACAAUUCGAAAGCAAAGUUCGAAGUCCUGGCUGCCUGGCUCUUCCUUGGAGAUGGAAGUUUUUGCACUUCCAGAAAUAUCGGGAACAUAAAGUCCAUGUGAUCUUUUGUGCCUUUAAAAUUUUGGAUCGUUUCCUAAUGGAAAUCUGUUCCAGUUUUAUUGACAUCAGAAAUCCUAUCUCCUGUAGUCCUGUUAUUCAGCGUCUGAGUGGAGCUAUAAAAUUGAUCUUAUCAUUGAUGGUGUGUUUUAUCGUGUCGUGUUGCAAGCACAAGAAUUCAAAACAGUUCAAAUUUGCUGCAGAUGUCUUAAAUUCGUGCAGAAUCCAAGCAGCUAAUGGCACCGCCUAUCUAUAGUGUUAAAAAGGUCAAAACAUACAGCUGUUUUGUUAACAACUGAUUCACCGCCGCCAGCUUCAGAGGCGACACCGCCUCCAAAUCCAACAUAUCCAGCGCAACAUACGCAUUUUUGUCACACUUAGUUCUUAGACAUGUCGUUUUUUAGUGGGCCAACAUUUUGCUCCAUAUAACAUAGCCGGCCGGAUUGCUGUCGACAUAAAAUUCGAAGUAUGUAUUAUAUAUAUAUAUAUACUAGGUCAGUGCCCGUGCGUUGCAACGGAAUCAUAUAAUAUCACGAUAACUUAUGAACAAAUGCGUAUUAUACUGUGAUGAGAUGGAGGAUGACAUUCUCGAGCUGUCCGGGAUGACGUCGAAGCGAAACUCGGGCCACAGUCGAGCACUGAGCCCGCGAUGUGAGGUCGCCCGUCUGCGAGGCACGCGAGGUGGAGGGGGCAGUCUCAGGGAGGGGCACGCGGUCGAGAAGGUGUACGUCGGAGCCGGUGGAGGGAUGACGCAGCGGAAGGUAGAGCAGCGUCGGGGUCGGUGUCCGACAGAGCUUCACGUUGCGGCGGUGGGAGGGAGAGGCAAGUAUAUGCAUGUGCGUGCUACAGAAUCAAUAUGAUAAAAUACAUUGAUAUUGCGAAAAACCUAAUUGUUAUUCUAUACUUUUGUUAGCAUCACUAAAAGUAGUAGUAAGGUGCACAUACGUUGCUAUGAAAUCAAUAUGAUAAAAGAAUCUUGCUAGAAAAGAUCCAAAUUCAAAAAGAACAUUUAGUGCAAGUGAAAAGUCAACCUUUUUUAGAACAUUGGAACAUCAGAAUGGCAGGGAUAACAAUAGUAAACGCAACACUUAUAAAUCAGAAAAGAAUGACAGGGGUGAAUUUCAACACAAACAUUACAUAAUUGUUGUCGUAGAGGAUCUUCUAUACAUAAUCCAACAUACAUUUGUCCAAAGCACUUAAGAAAAAAGUGAGAUAAGUAGAUGUUUCCAAAAACAUGAUCAUCAACAACACACAUGUGACAACUCAUAAAUAAUUAGCCAAAGAUGAUGAAUUAAUCAAGUAGCAUGGUAGGAGUAGGUUAUUUGAUAUAUAGAAAAAACAAUAUAACAUCUAGCUCUCCGUGGUUUGAGGUUCCAUGAAAAGUACCCACCAAUUUUUUAUUUAACAUAUGUUAGUAUACACUUGAACUAUCGAGCAUCAAGUAAAAAGUAGAGAUAGUACCUAUGUUUCUUGGAGAUCGAGCAACAAAAGAUGCUAAAAAGGUGUCCAACGAAGACACUCCUGUGUUGUGCCAUCCUAGAAAAGUGGUCAUGUAAUGGGCUCAUAUAUCUACAAACAAAUAAGAGAAAAUGCUUGUUCAGAAGGCAUAAACCAAAGGCUGGUCAAUAGCCCUAAAUUUUAGAAGUACAAACCUUAGAUUUCUCUUCCUAUUCCUAAGGAGUACAUAGAAGUUCUGUUGUAGGAUUUGAUAUUGAUGUAUCUUUUUGUUUUUUCCUUGUUUUAUCAGUCCCAGUGCUGCAAUGCCUUCUUUUUAUCUGAAUAAUAUCUACUUAAGGAUUAAUAUCUGAAUAAGCAUGCAAUGGUAGCCAAGUACACAUGAAUGCUGUGAUGCACUCUCGCUUUAAUGUGAAGAGUCGAUAAAUUGAAUCAGCAACCAGAAGCGCAUAAUACACACCUUUUCAGAUAGCUUCUGAAUCAGAUUCAAUGUAACGCUCUUUACAAAAAGUGUUACAUACUUUUCCAACUCUAGGAACUGCAGAUUUGGAUUAGCGCCGAGUUAUUAUUAACAAUCUGAAGCAUAAAAAACGGUAAACUUUACAACAUCCCUAAGCAGACAAGGGGUUGAGAGCAUCAGUUCCCUAUAACAGUUACAUCAUUUCAGAGCAAUAACAAUUACAUUGUGCAGUAGCACUACCUAUGUCAUUCUCUACGCAUAACUCCCACAAGUGAUUCACAGCAUAAGAGCUUUGUCCAAACUGGGAGCUUUUUGUCUUCAUUUGUUAAUAAAUAGAAACACAAUCAGUACAUUCUUUGACGGAAGAAUAAUAAAAACACAUAACCUCACUAAGUUCAUAAGAAAAGAGCCUUCAGCAUACAGCUUUGUGUCAGGUAAAGGAACUCCCCAAAUGCAUCACAUGACAUACUUACCAAAUCAGCCUGAACAAAAUAGGUGCAUCAUCUAUAAGCAUCACAAGGACGCUAACAUACAACUUAUUUGUCUAAAUUGGAGAAGGCCAACAUUUAUAAGCACAACAAGUCUUACUGCACAAACUCAGUGCUUGUACGAAAGCAGAACCCUCAGUUGUAUGCAUCACAGGGAAGUCUGCACAAAAUUAGUGCACAAAAUUAGUGAGUGAACCAAAUAGUGCCAGCAUGUAUAAGCAUUACAGGUGUUACUGCACACACUUAAUGCCUGUAAAAAAGUAGGGCCCUCAGCUCCAUGCAUCAUAGGACAGACCGCAACAUCCAUUACCUUUACUUUUAGGUUUUCAAGGUUGUGACAACUCCUUAGCAAGGUAAACAUGAACAAAAUGGGCCUACUCUCGACAACGCUUGAGCAUAAUCUAUGUCACUAUAGUGAAAUAUCUUUUUUCUUGUAUUGUUUAUUAACAAAAUAAUGUGAUUGGUGCUUUUCUCUAUAGGGAAAGCUAACUGAACGUAUUUAUAAACAAACUUAUCAAUCAAAUUAAAUGUACACGUACCUAUUUUAGAGAUAUUCAACUCGUUUCUUCAUUCUAAACAAACACUCUGAACAAGCAUAAUAGCAUACUUCUAUCUGAUUGGACCACACAAAGUCCAAACAACUAUAGAAAGUAAAUCGGGAGACACAGAUAGUAAUUGAUGACUCUAGUUUAGAACAUCAGUUUUGCAGAUAAAGGGAGAGUGGAGAGAUUAUGUUUUUUCAUGCACCAGACUUGGGGCGAUCUUGAGCUUGUUGGGCAAUGGUUGUGCGGGCGUGUCCUUGGCCUCGCAGGUAGCUCGCUUGGCGAGGUUGGUCUGGCACCGCUUCCCAGGUAGUUCCCCUCAUUGUUGUGUAGCGUCAGGCACAUCAUGCACUCAUAGCCAUAAAGAAGCAGAAUAAGUGCAUAGAUUAGAGCGAAUCGAGAUGGGACUUCGAAGACGCUAGGAUUCAAUUGUCUUGCAAGCAAAGAGUACAAGAUCAUAGAAAAGCCAUGCAUUACUUUGCUGUCCUUCUAGACAACAAUUGUCCUGGAUAGAAAACAAAUAUAUAAAAGUGGAGAGAUCCGAGUUAUGAAAUUUCACAUAUUAAUGGUAGGACCAUUACCUCCAAGAAUACAAAGUAGGAACACAAAAAACAUUCUAGCAUUAGUCAUCACACAUGGACCAAUUGUAUGUCGUACCAGACCUGUGUUUCAUUGCGCAAUGAGAGCCUUAUUUUCUCAAGUCCUCCAACUAAGUGCUAGGCAUUCUAGAUGGGUCUCUAAACAGGUUCACUAAUUUUAAAGUCCAUAGCAUAGAAUCAUGAAAAAAAAAUAUAACUAUCCACAUUCUAGAUUCCUUAAAGUACAAUUUAGUAAUCAAGUAGAUGUACUUUCAGAGAUAGGAGUGGUGUGCUUACUGGAUUAAGUAGUUUGAGAACUAAUUAUAGAGAUGAGUGCCUUGCAUACCAGAUUGAGCAGUCCGAGAAGAAAAUUUGUUUAUUGUUUCUAUAGACAGUUGUAUCUUCUUUCUUGGAAACUAAAUAUAACAUCCUAAAGAACGUGUCAUAUGAUCAAGGUUUCAAUUCUGUAUUAAAAAGAGGAUAGCAUAUAGCAGCAUGCCAACAUAUUACCUAUUCUCAUGUCGAAGGAAGCAAGGUCCCAUAUUCCUGUGCCAACAUAGACAUCAUGCCCAUUUGGAUCAGCAGCAGCUGCAUUUAUUGGUGACUCACCAAAAUCAACAAAGAUGGCAGGUCUUCUUUGCAAUGUAAUAUCAUAUAAGUGGACCUAAAAAAGGUAAAGACCAUUCCCAUAUAAGCAGUUGCGGCCAUUAAACAAAGAUGGGAUAUAUAAUAAUACAUGUUGGAGAGACCAUCCCUUUCAUCAGUUCUAGGCUAUCAGGCUUGUCAUUGCGCUUCCUCAGUCCAUGCGUUAAUCCUGCAAAAGUAGAAGUCCACUUAUACAUAGCUCAUGAGAGAUGAACUGAAUGGAAUCGCUGGUAAGGAAUACAAGAUAACCAGGGAUCACCUUUCAUCGAAUGCUUAAACCAGAUCUUCAACUCAGUUUUAAAUUCGGGUCGAUUAUGAUCUCGCUAUGCUACUUAUAUUAUACAAAUUAUGCAUCUGCUAGCUGCUCACUGAGCAAUGUCACAAGCCUAAGAACCCCACCAUAACAGCAUGCCUGGAAAGCAGCACCUCUGAUUAGAAUCUGUAAUCUGGAUAAGAACUUCUGGGUAGAAAUAGAAACGUACGGAGUAUAACAUUGUUAUUAUGUAGCUGUCUGAGCUUCCUCAGUUCGCAAUGACAAUGUCAUCCCUCAUCAGGGGCUGAUACUCAUUAGGUAUUUCGGCCCUCACCUGCACAUGUAGUUCUCUGACAAAGGAUCUGAUAAGAGGGCCACUGGUGUCAGGGACAUGCCACAGUGCCACACCUACACGGUUGCCCCUUAAUUCUGAAAUGGUGAGCACCUUAGAAGUUAGAAGAGUAGACUCACAAACUCAGUACGCAUGGAUUAUGUGCCAAUGAACAAGAUCCAUUUACCCAUAUGCAAUUCUCAAUGCAAAUGUCAUUUCAGUGACGUUAUUUAAUUAAAAAUUUUACAGCAUAAUACAAUUAUUACAAUGAUUUCAAGAUUUGCUAAGAAUCUACAAUUGAUUAGGAUGGUAAAUGUUGCCCCAACUCCUGAUAGAAACAUGCCAGAAGUUCUCACAAAAAAAGAUCUGGACCUCACUAUGGUGACUGGUGGGUCCAAAAUAUGAUUCUAAUAUAAUCACUGGAUAUUUUCAAUAACAUUUUAAAACCCAAAAUAUAAAGGGGUUAAGUAUAUAAAACCAGGCAUAUAAGUCCCUUGUAAUAAUUAAUAAAUAGUUGAAUAUAUUCAGAGUAACAGCAUAACUGUGCAGCAUUAGCAAUAGUUGCCAAAUCAUGUGUGCAUAAUGUGUUCACUGUGCUCAGUUAUCCAGAUAGCGUUGCAGAAUACAUGCAUAUGAUUACAUGAGUAACUGCAUAUGCAAUGAAGCAUAAGACAAAUGACAUGAACAUAAAUCGAAACAUUACUGAACAUAUAAUAAAAAUGCUACACAUAACUUAGCAGAGGAUCAGGUGUUUGAUCUGUGAAAGCAAAAUACAAGACGACAAAAAAAUCUUCAAUAAUUACCAGUGCUAGAGGAUCAGGUGCUCGAUUUUGUGGAAGCACAAUACAAAACAAUAGAAAAGUCUUUGACAAUUACCAAUAGCCUUCCACACCUAAGACAUAAAAGUAAAUGACAAGUCACAGACAGACUUACACUUAGAGCAAGAAGUUGAACUUUUGGUUUCUUGUGGCCAAUCCAUUUCUUCAGUGCCUUGACGACAUCUUUUGAUUGCCUGUUACAAGCAUGGAUAUGAAUAAUCAAUAACAUAUAACCGAAAUACAGUAGGGCAAAGCAAACUAAAUAGGCUUCUUUUUCAGUGGAAACGAGCUGAGCAUAAGUUACCUAGUAGAAUGUUUGAUAUUCAGUCCCAAUUCUUGGCCAUGAACCAAAUAAAAACAAAAUGCAUCAUUAGUUUGAAUCAAUUGCCAUCAGAUUUAGAUGCUCAAAUAUAUUGUCAUGUGCUAAAUCAAAACAUUUGGACUGAAAAUAUGGAAACCAGAGUACAAUAUCUUCCCCAUAUUCCCAAUGGUCUAACUCACUGUUGAUUCGGUUGUGCGCCUCUCAUGUGCCUAAAAAGAAACCCACAUGACCUAGUGGUUAGCUGCUAAGAAAAAAUCGAUAAGGAAAUUGUUACUGUUUUUGAAAUGGGGGGAAGGAAACUAUUAGUGGUACAUGUUUUCCUUGUGACCAUGGAUUCAAUGCAGAUGAAAGAGCUAUCAUGGGUCCUUAUGCCUUUUGAGUUGGCCCACCAUCACUUGAGCUCUUAUUGCCACCGUGUAAGCAGUUAAAAGAACAAGAAGGAAAAACAACAUUUAUCACACUUUGAAUUGAUUGUGGAAUCAGGAUCCAUGAGGGCUGCUUUUGUGAAAAAUUACUCACCAUGACAGCGAAGAACUGAGUGUCUGAGUGCUCUUGCUCUUGCUCCGUGUAGACUUCUUUAUAGACUUGAUCACAUCCUUCGUAUCCUUGAUGUGAGUAACAUGACAUAGAAAAUUAACACACCAUCGAUAGUAAACAAAUAAAACGCCCUUUCCAAAUGUGGCAACCAAUGCGCCAAGACUUAUGCGUGACAAGAAAAACGAUAGUCAACUGGCAGCGAGAAACUGGUACCUCUUCUAGAACCCUAUCUCGUGUAAUAAAACAAUUCUGAGCGUAAAGAUCGCGCUUUUGAGCACAAAACUGCAGUCCACAAGUAAGAAAGAACCAUUGCGCCUAGCCCGAAGGAGGAAGAAGGGGGAGAUGUAGGGGGUUGAUUACGUUACCGAGAUAGCUGUGGUCUGGUACUGUCACAGGGUGUUCAUGAACUUUUUAAUCUACAUAUACAUUAAAGUGAUCUUCAGUAGGUAUAAAAAGAAAUAAAGGUCAGCACAAGAACAUGUAUUAUUUAAAGUGCAUCAUACUUGUGACAUAAAGGAGAUUAAUGAGUUGGGGGUAGCAUGAGGGGAGUACAUAUUGUUGUACCCUAUUUCCUUGAAUUUGGCAUCCAAAUAGUCCUACAAUAAUUUGACAAUAAAAUAUUCAGACAUCGUUGAUAGAACACUUAAAAGUUUCCUAGAAUAAGAGGAGCAUUCAAAUGUAAAGCUAAAUAAUAAGUCAAAUGGCAUGUUCAAUUAAAAACAGGUUAAAUUUCUCUGUAAACCAAGUAACACACAUUUUAAAUUCAUGCAAACAAAUAGUGGAGGCAUGGAGCUAUUUUAGUACAGGGCUCUGAAAUAGAUGUCUGUAGACAUGUCCAAUUUAAUUGAACAGCGGUGUAAAGACCUUUUCAACGCAUCGAUGCCUUUUGCUUCCUCUCCAAAGAAACCAAACCUCCAUACCAUAAUCACAGUUAGUCAAAUAUGCAAGGAGCCUCUCUAGACUGCAUCAACAGCGGUGUGUGUGGUCGACGAGAACUUGGCCAGCGUGGCGCUGGUGCUUCUGGAAGUCAUGCUGCAACGGCGCCCCGGCAACCUUUCGGUAGAAGCUUUAGAUGUUGGCACAUGCAUAUCAUUGGAUCCUGACCUCAAACUGCAAGUUGCAGUAGAGUUACAAUUGUAUGGAUGAUGCCAUCAUACAUCAAGACAAUAUGAAUACUUUUCUUAAGCCAUAGGGCGAAAUAACAGACACACCGUUUAUUGCUGCCAGGCUCCUUGAAGACAUCAUUGGGCUCCUUGAAAACAUCAUUGGUGUUCACAUAGCUGCCCACUUCCACACUGCAAAAUAAGGGGAAAAUCAAUUAGCAGUUCCAGCUGUAAAUGAACUUUCUUUUUCCUAUUUGCUACUACCUAAGUUCAACCAAAUAACAUGUAAGGCAUUGAGCUCUGCCCAUAUGGGGUAGACUGCAUUCAGUAAUAAAAAAAGGCAGCAAACAACAGAAUCACUGCACAAAGUUGAUUCUAAAAGUGAUGGAAGAACAUAAAGUUGAUAAUUUUCAUGGAGUAAGAUGUACUACACAAACAAAUGAAAGAACAAAUUAGAAUAGUGACACCAAAGAAUUAUGCUACCACAUUGUCUUUAAUUUUACCUCAUCUCUGAACAGAGGAAGUAUUAAGUUUUCCUUUAGAACAACCUGAAAGUGACCAAGAAGAAACAAAUCAAGGCUAAAUCACAAAUGGCAUGCUGGUUGCACUGAGGAAUCUAGUUUGGUGAAUCUUUUUAAAUUCUAGUACAUUUUCUUGUAACCAGUUCAUGAAAGAUGCUUUCAACAAAAUCCAUCUAAAUUAGAAACAGAUUGGUGGUGAGGUAGUUAUGGGCUUAAGGCCGUACACACAACACAAUGGUGCACUCAAUCUAACACAGUGGUUAAAACUCAAUAGCUAUUCAGACAAGAUAAAAUGGUUUAUGAGCCUUCAAUCUAAUAAUAAAGACAUGUCCCAAUACCCGUGCAGAACAUAUACAUCAACCACCCUUCAACUAAAAGUACCUAAUGAAGAAACAGUGCAAAUCGCAUUAACACCUUGACAACAAUUCUGCGUAUAAGCUAGUCAUAUUAAUCAGAGCUAGGCAGUACAGAGCAUAGCAGCAGCAGCAGCGAAGAGAUCCAGCCAUGUACACUACCAAAAAAACAUAUCCGAGAUCAGUUUUUAGGAUCAACAGUAUAGAUACAAGACCUUACUAUGAAUAGACGAGCUUUUAUUUUCUACUUGUGGACUGAGUUGCUCCUCUUGCGGAAGUCUUGAAGGACGAAGGCAAAGUAUUGGAUAGAGGUUGUGUUGCAUCACUUGGAUUGCUCAUCACAAAUUCACACAGCACCAGCUUGGUUUUCACAUUUGCUUCCAUCAUUUCAUCGCCAUUGUCGUAUAUGUUAUAUCUGUAAAAGAAAAAAAAGAAUGUUGAACAUCUGCAUUUAAUGAUCCUACAUUUCAAAACUCAUAUGCUUCAUCAGGAUCACCAAUUUCAGGGAAUGGCUGUAUCCUAUGACCUUUCAGAUAUUCUUUAUCAAUGUUGCUUUUCAGAUUUUUGUCACAGAUGCCAUUGAGCUCACCGUUGUCCGUGAAAUCAUGUACACCGUGAUCUAUGGAACACAUGAAGAGAAUUAGACCAGCAGAUAAGCAAAAGAUAGCCUCUAACAAGAACCAGGACAAAUGGACAACUUAUACUAAAUUACUCACAAAUAUAAAGAUGGACCAAUAUUAUUUUAAUAAGAUUGAUCAAAUAGUAGGUUGGACCUGGCUAUAUUGCAAAUACGUUAAAAACAAGAUCAUCAUACUUGAAAUCUGUGUUUUUAACGCUCUGAUUGUAUAUAGCAAUCGUUUAACCAAAGUUUUGUUAAAAAAUGCAGAUCAUCGUUUGCCAACAUAAACAAACUCUGAUUGUUUAAACUUCCAGAGAUAAUCCAUGAGAAAUAUAAUCAUAAAAUGGUAAAGGAACUGUAAAUGUUGACUACCGUCUAGUAUAACAAGUCCCCCUCCAUUUAUUAAACUACACACAACCAAUUUGCAACAGAGUUUUGGCUUUCAGAAGGCAACUCCGCAGAAUCUAACCUCUUCAUUGUUAUUAUUUAUUCCCCUUUUCCGGGUACAUUAAAUUCAAUAAACAGAUACACAUUAUCUGUGGCCAUAAAGUGGGCUAUAAUGGACAAACUAUAUACUGCAAAGGUAACCGCCCUUUUUUUUGAACCAAUUGAAGAGACGAACUACAUUGUAAGGCUGGAGAAGUACUUACUCGUAACAGCAUCAGUAUCAAAUGAACUGAGCAUUUGAAGCUCCUUCUCCACAACACUCAGGUCUGAAUCAUCAUCUCCUCGUCCAGGAUCCCUCUGCAUACCACAUUCAAACAUAAUAUCUCCACUCUGCUUCAAUUGAAACCCAUCCUGCGCACAAUCAUCCAUUAUCUCUGUCCGAUCAUCCAUGAUCUGGUAUCUCCCAUACACAGUAGAGCUUGAGCUCCUGGCCACAUCAAGGCCGUCAUUCUUGAGUCCCUCUCCACAGCAACCGCAGAGUGGCGAUGAGCAUGUGUACACCUCAGCGCAACCCUCUCAUCGGUCACCACCGAUGUGUUCAUGACGGUGGUUAUGGCCUGCACCGAGCUUGCCUAUUUCUGUCUGCGCUGAGGCACCACCGUGAGCAUCCAGUACAAACUUGUCCUCCUUGCGUUCGUCGUCCUCAUCGUCCAGCUUGCUAGGGAAGAGGUGAUCGUCGUAGAGCCAGUCCUCCUGGAAGAAGAGGUCGGUGGUGUCGUACUGGCGCGCUGUACCAAACUCCAUCUCCGAUGAAGACAUGUCCGACUGCGAGUGCCUCGGCGACCAUAGCCCAUACGGAUUCAACAGCCCUACAGUCGGCAAAAUAGAAAGGGAAUUUUCGUUCAGAAUUGGUAAAAUGUGCAGAAAAUUUGGCACCAAACAAAGCGCAGAAACGGAAACGAAAGUGGCGGAGCCGGAGAGGUUUAACAGCUCUCCUACAAAAUCGAAAAUCGAUCGUCCUCUUCUGGAUGGGGUCUAUCACAACAGCAACGGCUCUGGGGUUCAAAGCUUCAAAACUCUGCACAUUUAUAUAUUGAACAAAUUUAGGCCUACGAGUGCAGUGUUUGGCACUAUAUAGGAUAUAAGAUAUAGAACAGAAGCACAAAAGGUAGAUAAGAGAAGAACAACUCCAGUGAGUUGGGAUCAAUAAUUAGCUAAUGUCACCCAUUUUUCUUUUAUGAAAAAACACGCGGGUUAACUGAACUACCAACAAGAUGAGUUCAUCCACAACUUUCAGGGUGAUGGAACCUACAUAAUGAAGGUAGUGAAAUUGAAAACAGGCAAUAGGGGGAUAGAAGGGGAGAAGCUGUCUGGUGCCUACAGUUGAUCAAUUAUAGUACAACAUAUCAUAAUAUCAUAUCCAUACUUUAUUAAAAAAACACAUCAGUGUUUAUAAUGAUGUUGACAUGACAUAUAGUACAAUGUAAUGACAGCAGCUAUCCUGUUUUGAUAGACCAUUCCAAAAGAUCCUUUUAGAGAACAAGUGGAUUUGCAUAGACCUGCUGAGUAUUGAUAUCGACGCCUGAUAGCCAGCAUCCGAAGCCAGGAUGUGAGUGAUACCAACCUACAACCAUUUCUGGCCUACAAAAGGGGGGAAAUAUCACAUACUUGUUUUCCUACAGAAUAUAACUGAGUUAAAACAAUAUUGAUUAAUACUAUGAAUGCUAGAUCUCCAUGAACCUGAUGGCGUGGCUAAGACUGAAGUCGGCGAUCUUGAGCACCAUGGUCUUGUGGUCCUUGAGAAGGAUGUGCAACUUGAGCUCCCGGUGCAGCACCUUGGGGUCGUGGACGAAGGCCACGCUGUUGCAAAGCUGGUACAUCAGGAUCUGCGGACACAAACGUGGAUUAGACAUUCGCACAAACACCUGGCGUGCAGGGCGUUGGGAUGGAGGAGGAAGGGCAGAAAAUCGCGUAGACCUUCAUUGUGGCCGUGUGGAUCUUCUCGUGGUUGCUUCGUUGCCCUCGGAUGAACUUCUGGCGGCGCUCUGGUGUGUACUUCCUAGCAGUGGAUGAGGCGGAGCUGGAGAGCGUGAGGCGGAGGUUACCUGGACUUGGAGGUUGAGGGGGGAGCGGGUGAGCGGCGACUGGGUAGACCCAGGUCUCGCACGAUCUGGGAGAAGACGGCGGGGCAGACCAGGUAGCGAUGGUGAGGCGGUCGGCUUCCGUGCUGCUGAGCCCGAGCCAGGAGGCCAAGGCCGAGGCCGGCUUGACCGUCUUCUUCUCCGGCUCCUCCGCGGGGGACGACGGGCGGGCGUAGGGCGCGCGCUCGACGAGGCGGUCCUUGCGCUUGGGGUGGGGCUGAGUGGCUGACCGAGCGGUUGCGCUGAGGAAGAAGACCGCUCUCCCGCCUGAGGGUCGCGUCGCAGGGAGACGGCGACCAGGACGCGCCCGGGGCCGAGGUGCCCACCCCACACGAUGCACCCUCUCGCAGCAAAUGGGCCGUCCGCGCGACACUCAGCAAAUGGGCCGCGCGGGUCCAAGGGAUGAUGGGCCGAGGAAGAACCGCUCUCCUGCUGUCUUGCAACAAUUUAGUACCAUACUGGCUACUAAAGGAGACAUGGCGCGGCUUAUAAGCGUUGGCGCGGACUUAGCAAUACGAACUCGGUUAGUGGCUGAAUUGCUUAAGUUCUACAUAAUAUUUUUGCCGAAGACCUGUGUUUCGCACGUAUAUGGCAGAACCGGUCAGAGGCAGAACGGUCAAAGGCAGACUACUAUUACUUACUUAAUAAGUAGUAGAGAUAUAUAUAUAAAUCUAUUGUCAUUUAUUUAAAUAUAGACAUAAAAGUUAAUAGCUAAAACAAAAAUUAAUUUGCCUAAGGACCAACUGAUCCGUUUGCUUCCUUUGAUGCAAACAAGGUAUGCAAACUAGUUGAGUUUUGCCCUAAUAAAAUCAAAGAUUUUGUCUUGCUAUGACUUGAAUUGCAACUCGAUAACUAUAUUGAUGAUAUGAGAAAGGAUGAUCAUGGUUGGAUACAGUGCUAUCCACGACGGAGUCAAGCACGAGAAUAUCCGUGACAUCGGAGGAAGUCGGACAUUUUAUGCUACCACAUGCACAACCUGUUGGAUGGCCACAUCCACGAGUUGCUAGAGACGACCUUAGGGCCUGUUUGGGUGAAGACUUCUAAAUUUUACUCUCAUCAUAUUGGAUGUCAGUUAGAAGUAUUGAAUACAGUCUAAUUAUAAAACUAAAUACAUGGAUAAGGACUAAAUGGCAAGACAAACCUAUUAAUCCUAAUUAGUCCAUGAUUUUACCACGUGAUGCUACAGUAAUCAUGAUUAAUUAGAUUUGAUAAAUUUAUCUUGCGUAUAAUUAGUUUUAUAAUUAGACUAUAUUUAAUGUAAAUAACGUUCAAACUCUGAUGUUACACUACGCCAGCUAUAGACAUUUUCGGCGGCCAACUAUUUUCGGCGGCAGAAGGCUGCCAAAAAAAUAAACCGAAAAUAAGGUUUAUUUUCGAUGACCGCGCUCUGGCUGCCGAAAGUCUACUGGGAUUAUUUUCGGUGGCCCCAUGCGGCUGCCGAAAAUAAGCAAUUUUAGAGAAAAAAUAUGAAAGAAAUGCAAAAAAGCAGUAAUUUCAACAACAAUAUAAUCACAAUAAUAUGACAGAAAUAGUAAUAACAGAAUUACACACAUUUAACACAAAAUGUCACAUAUGUUCACAAAUACAUCAUAGUUCACCAAAAUACCACCAGAGUUCACAAUUGUUCACAAAUACAUCACUUAGUCCAUUACAAAAUAACACAAAGUUCACAAUUGUUCACGACAAAGUCACAAUUAAGUACAAGAUUCAAACCAUCACAUAUUUGGGUCGUUUGAGUUGUAACCACUACCUCUAGAAGCGAACAACUCGUUCACGAAGUCGUUUAACUGGUUUGGAUUCUAAAGAAAAAAGAAGAUAUUAAUAACGACAAUGUUUACAUGCAUGUCCGCUAUUCAAAUAAAUUGUCUGUAAAACUAACCUCUCAUGUAGUAGCUCCCUCCCCUGCAUAAGCUCCUCCUGAUGUUGGUAUCACCGGUGGUAGCGUGUUGUGGCCCAUAACCUCAGAUCCCUACAAAAUCAAAUUUAGUCAAGAUUUGAAAGGUUAAUACAAACGACAAGUCUAAACUAAAUUGAAGCACCUGAGGUGAAGUGGCGGAGCAUGUAAAUCCCCACUGAGGCAUCGACGACUGAAAUUGAGGGGAAACGAAUGGUUGUUGUUGUGCCUGCUCUGGAAACCAUGACUGUUGCAAAUACAAUAUAUUAGUUAUAGGACAAAUAUCGACCGUGUUGAGAAUAAAUAAGACACUCACGUUCAUUGCUUGUUGCGCCUGUGUGUUGUAAGCAGCCACUACAGGAAUCCUGAAGAUUCCUGUCGGCCAGGUUAACUCCCGUCGGCCUUUGCUUCGGUCGACGGGACUUAGUUAACUCCCGUCGGCUACCUACCAGCCGACGUGCAUUAAGUUAACUCCCGUCGGCCCUAACACAGGCCGACGGGAAUAAGUUAACUCCCGUCGGCUCUGACACAGGCAGACGGGGAUUAACUUAUUCUCGUCGGCCUUUAACCUGAUCGACAGGGAUUACUGUUUUAUGAGCCCAGCGGAUAGCCCGCGCGGUCUCAUUUCCCUCUACUCUCGCGUUUCAAACCACCGCCUAUUAUCUAUGAAGAUAAUUCAGCUUGUGUUGUUCAUAUGGAUACAUGUUAUAUUAAGAGUAAUAUUAAUAAACAUAUUUCUCCUAAAUUGUUUUAUCCCCAUGAACUUUAGAAAAAUGGAGAUGUAAACAUCUUGCAAACAAAGUCUUGUGAUAAUCUUGCUGAUUUAUUCACAAAAUCUCUAUCAUACUCCACGUUCCAGAAAUUUGUUGAGGGGAUUGGUAUGAGAAGGCUUAAGUGCUUGCAAAGUUCAGGGGGAGUAAUUCUCCGUGAUAUUUGACCUAUUUUGAACCAUCAUAUUACACUCUUUUCUUUGUAUGAGUUUUUGCCUUUCCGAGGUUUUCUCAUCCAAAGUUUUUAACGAGGUAAUAUCAACUAAGCUAUAUGCUUCAUCAUUGACUUUUCCCCACAGGGGUUUUUAUGCAUGAUGAUUAUAAGCAUAUUGUCCUUUUGGGAGUUCAAGUGAGAUUUUCUUGUUAUCCAAAAGGCAUUGUGUACUCCUUAUUUUUCCAAGAGGGUUUUGAGGAGAUAAUAUAUUGGAAGACAGUUUGCAGAUGAUCAAAUGGAUUUGGAUUGAUCAAGGGGAGUGUUACAAAAUAUUGUGUACAAGUGAUCAAUCCCCCUCCCCUGAUAGUUUUCUCCCAAGAGACACACCCCUUGGGAGACACUGCAUCCAUUGUAUAUAAGGGAAUUCUAUCUGCAAUAAAGAAAGAAAGCAAUCACUUUCUCAUUUUCUCUGUCUCAAACAUUGUUGCCACUGAGUACUUCAAUAGUCUCCACGAUAAGCGUGGUUGAAGCGUCCCAAUCCUCUGGGACUCAAAUGUGAUACAAUUACUAGUUCCAGGAGGCUAGUAAACACAUUUAUAUAUCAGAUGAUUCCAGAUCUGCUUAAACGAGACAAACCUAUAAAGGUGGCGAUCAACUUUAAGAGUUGGUCCACAACUCAGGAUAUAUCAUCAGAGUGGGGCUGAAGUAGCCCGAUAUACGCAGCGAAGCAAAUCAGCGGUCCAACAGCCAUAGGUAAGGUUGGGAAUAGGCGUAACUCUUACCCGAUCAGGGAUCUCCUUCUCUGAAAAACAACAAAUAAGCAAGGUUGAGUACUUACAUACUCAGCAGCCCACCUUCACCCGCGGAAUGGGGAAAUCAGAUAUAAUGCAUGGUAUAUGUGGAGCUCAGGAUAUUUUGCAGAAAUAUCAAUAUUUGAUGUAGGGUUAUUUUGUAAAACAUUUUAUAUUUUUCAAAGCGUAUCCUCUCCCAAGGGAGCAGGAAGUUUUUCAAUAUAGAACAAAACCCCCUGGACUAAACCAUCUAGGUAUCUCAGCAGUUUCCCACUGGUUUUCAUUUUCAAAAAUAGCAACUGGACUUCCCGUCCACCAUAGCUCACGGCUCAACCGCCGGACCUUUUAAAACCACUUUUCAAAAGCAUUUUUUGGAAAACAAAACACUAAUUGCCAAAUCCAUGCCAUGACUCAUCCAUAUCCGUGGACGCGGACUAUUCGAAUAGGUUUUCAAACUCUGCGCAGAGGUGUACACUUUACCCACUAGUCCGAUUUCUGCAAUCUCGCCGUCGUGAGAUCCGAAUGCCGAAUCUCUCUCUCUUUCCUUGCAUGUCCUUACCUUAACGAUUAUACCGGAAGGAGUCAGGCCACCACCAUGCCCAAACUAGACAAAACAUCCCCCCUCCUUAUCCUCCCGGUGCUCCCCAGCCAUCAUAGCCCUGGGGUUCGGACCGUACAAGUUCAGAUUGAGUGACUGCCCAUACAGUCUCGAGUGGUUAUACUUGAUAAGAGUAUAGGUAAGGAGUGAUGACAAACCGGUUCUUAGGCGAGAGGGACAAUCCUUCAUGCUUACACCUAAACCAGCUGAGCCAUCACCUUAGGCCCUCCUCUAAACCAGGGAGUCCCUGACCAUCCCGCUCAAAGGUGAUAAGGGUGACAACCCUUCAUCAUACCCAUUUUGAAAAGCAUUUUCUUUCGAAAACUCACACCUUUUCUCAAAUCAUUUGUAACAAAUAUGUCAAGGAGUAUAAAGAUUGAUUGCGGCAAGCGGUUGGGUAGCCAUAAUAACUUGUCUCAAAAUCAUAUGAUGCAUAAAAUAACAGGCUGAGGGUUGUGGUUGAAAAAGCAUAGGUAAUUUAUGCAUGAAAGGAAUCCAGUGAGCUUGUCGUGCUUAUCCGGCGAAAGGGGUGAGAGCUCGCGGAACUGGCUUCUGGCUCCACUGCCUGGCGUAGACUUGCAGAUCUGGCCUUCACGAGAUGGCAACGCUCCGAUAACUAUGCAACAUGAACAAGCAAACAUACACACCAGCAAGUAUAUCAACAAAUAUUUAGUAUAGUGGUCAGAAUAGCGAUAUAUGGAUGGGUAGAGUCUUGAGCAGAAUCUGUGUCAUGUGGUGUUGUGAUAUUACUGAUGGUGGAACAGAGGUGCUUACCAGGAGGGUGGAUUGGAGGUGAAGCGACACUAUGCGCGUAGCCAGCAAAGCGGAGUAACUGAGUGGGUGGGGGUUUGCCUUGGCUGAGGGUGUUGAGUGUGCGGGGAGGGAGAGGAUAGUUGGGUGUAUUUAUAACUGGGUGUAUGUGGUGUAGUACAGUAGAGUUCACUGUUGGUGAGAAUAGUGACGAGUGAAUCGACUGACUUAGUCUGAACAGGGAAAUUAUAGGCAGAAUACGGGACAAGAGUAUUUUGGGAGUUUUAUGGAAUAUGAACCAUGCUUAAGGUAUGUCAUGGUUGGAUAGGGAAUAAUUUGAUAAGAAUUCAGAAACAAGAAUUAAUGGAAUCUGAGUUUGGAAGCCUGGUUCGAAAGAAUCUCAAAGUUAAGCGUGCUCAACUUAGAGAAAUCUGGAAUGGGUGACCAGAUGGGAAGUUCUUACUAGAAGAAAAAUCACAGUCACUGGAGUUCGUAUGACUGGAAUAUUGGUCUGGCAGGUCUUAGGUGAGCUGGACAGCAUGAUGGAUGAGUAGUUGAAAUUUAGGGUGAUCGGAUGAUCAAUGAAUAAUAACGAUGAAUAGUAACGAUGAACAGUGACGAUGAAAAAGUAAUGAUAGAUAUCAUCGAUGAAUAGUAAUGAUGAUGAAUAUUAACGGUGAAUAGUGAUGGUGAAUGUUUCGUAUGAACGAACGAUGAACGAUGAAUAGUGACUAUGAAUGAACGAUGAAUAGGAACUAUGAACGAAUGGACGAACGAUCGAAUGAUCGGACAAAUGAACGAUCGGAAUUUUGGCAGCAUAACGGCUGAACAAAGAUUAUUUGGACGAACGAACAGACGAAUGAUGAAUAGGGACUAUGAACGAACAAUGAACGAUGAAUAGGAACUAUGAACGAACGGAUGAACGAUCAAAUGAUCAGACGAACGAACGAUCGGAAUUUCGGCAGCAUAAUGGCUGAACAAAGAUUAUUUGGAUGAACGAACGGACGAACGAUCGAACGAUCGGAUGAACGAACCAUGAACGAUCGGACGAACGAACGAACAAACUAAGAACAGGUGGACGAACGAUCGAAGAAUGACCAAACGAUCCUUGUGCUAGUGUGUGCUUGUGUGGGAGGUGGAGUGGGCGUGUGUGUGGGGGGGAGGGAGAGUUGCCAUGAAAUGGCUUGGGGUGUCUUGAGAGGAGGCCCUUGCCCCUCUAUUUAUAGGCUAGGUGGGGGUGAUUAGGGGGAGGAGGCGAGGAUUAGUGGGAGGAUGCGAGGAUUAGUGGGAGAUAAGCAUGUAUUAUUCAUGUAAAAGUGUAAUUAGCUUGUAGAGCUCACUGUAUGACACCGAAGGCGUACAUAUACGUAUAAGCAUGAGGAAAGUUAUGAAGAAAACAUUUGUAGGGACUUCAAAAAUGAUUCUAAAGGUAUUUCUCGGGAGGAAAAUACUUGGAGAAUUAUCGAUGGAAUAUUUGGGCAGUAAUUCUAGAAAGAAUCAGAGGGGGAUCACUGGGGAAAUAUCUGGGCAGUAUUUCUGGAAAGAAUUUGAGGGGGAUCACUGGGAAAUAUUUGUAGGAUAUUUUGAGGGGGAUUUUGGAGAGAAUAUAGACCUCUAUAUUUUAUUUGUUGAGAUCAACUCGCAAACAAACAUUUUGAAACAAAAUCUAAAAUUCAUUUUGAAUUUAGAGCGAGUUUGAGAAAAUUUCAAGAUUUGAAUUUUUGGGAUGCUACAGAACUACCCCACUUAAAAUGAAUCUCGUCCUCGAGAUUCGGCUUAGAAGGGUUAUGGGUAUAGCUUUACUUCAACUACAUAUCUUCACUUUGUAGACUCUUCGAGGAGAUGGAACUUCAACAAGAUCUAGCAUUUGAGGAGCGUCCGGUUACCGAUUGCAAACGCUGAUUCUGGCUACUCAAGGUCAUCUUCAGGCUUCUAGCUUUUGCUUGGCAGCUAGCUUAUUUAAGAAGCAUCGAUGCCAACACGCAAACCUUCCUCAUACAAACUUAUCCAUAGAUCACUUCCUUGAUUGGUCUUCUAGUGCUUCAUCAACAAAACUUGGGUGGCCACUUCUCAUCCGGAAACUUAUAUGCUUGAAUGAUCUGGUCCUCCACAAGCUUGCUACUGGCCUUCUUCUUUUUCUCCAUAGCAGGAACUUUACUGGAACACUACCCCACUUAAAAAUAAUGAGGGUAUAUCUCUUGAAUCUUGGGGAUUUGAACUCCUUGAAGUACCUCAUAACAAGGGUGUUAUGGGGCCUUCUUCUCCUGUUGCUGCUUGAGCAGGCUGCAGAGAGAUGACUGACAUAGAGUUGAUUUUGGGAGAACCUUCUUCUCAUCUUCUCUUCUUUAUUUUUCUUUUGUCUUCUUACUGCCUCUUUCUUUCUCUUUGCUCUUCCCACUGGAGGAUUCUAUCAAAGAGUAUUACCAUCACACAAAGGAGGAAACCAAAGACUAUGAACCAUGUACAACAGUCUUCAACCCAAGAAUCACCAAGCAUUAUGAUCUUAGUGACGAGAGAGUGGAAAAUGGAGUUGCUUGCGAUUUGGCAGAGGGGAUUUUAUAGGUGUGUGCUUUGCUUUGAGCGAGAUGGGAGUUGAGGGAGCUGGUGGGGGUCUUAUAGGCGAGUGGGGGUGCUCGGGUGCGGAGUGGCGGUGAUGGAGCAGGUGACACGAGGCAGCAGGUGCGAUGGAGGGGGGCUGUUGCCGGCGACGAUGGCGGUGGUGGGUGUGCUGCAAAGGGGGCAUAGGGCGGUAGUGGUGCGCAUGGAGGUGGGGCACGCGUAAGUAGUGGGGUCGAUGACUCUGAUGUUUGUGGUCUCUGGUUCCAAGAAUCUUUGCCUCUCUGUAUGGUAAUAACUUCUUCUGUCCUCUUUUUCUGUUUGCUUUGACUCAGGGGCAGUGCUUUGAUUCUCAUGGUCGGUCCUUUUGACUGAGCACCUGGACAUGUUCCUCUGUAGCUUAUUCUAGGCUUCAAGGGUAAGCUUCCCGGUAUCUUCUUGGGUAAGGUGCUUUUCUCUUGAGAUGGGUUAAGAUGAGAAUGGAAGCAUAAGGUGAGGAUUAGCUCUAAUUUGUGUUCUAUGUUUUUAGAGAAAACCUUUCUUUUAAGACAGACGGAAAGAAAACUGAAAGGGAAAUAGGGUUUAACCUUUUCCUAUAAAUAAUUUUGGUGGUUGAAUGCCCAACACAAAUAUUAGACUAACUAGUUUGCUCUAGAUUAUAUUCUAUAGGUGCAUAGAGGUUCAACACAAACCAAUAAAAAGUUUAAAGAAAGGGUUCAAAAAGAAAGGAGAAAAGAAACCCAAGUAUGCCCUGGUCUGGCACACCGGACUGUCCGGUGUGCCACGGGACAGUGUCCGGUGCACCAAGACCGUACAACUCCAAACUCGCAACUCUCGGGUUUUCUCCAGCGCCACUCCGCUAUAAUUCACCGGAUUGUCCGGUGUGCCACCGGACUGCACUAGCGGAGCAACAGCUCUCUAGCGCAACGGUCGACUGCACAGUGCCCCUGACAGCGCUACAGUUCGCGGCAGAAGUCAGAGCAGAGGUCAGUGGCGCACCAGACACUGAAUAGUGCCUGUCCAGUGCGGUAUCGGACUGUCCGGUGCCACCAGGGUCAGUGCUCCAAUGGUCGACUGUGUCAGAACCCUAAUGGUUGGGUGACGUGGCUGGCGCACCGGACUGUCCGGUGCGCCCAUCGACAACAGCCAUCCCCAACGGCUGUUUUGGUGGUUGAGGGCUAUAAAUACCCCCCAACCACCACCACUCCAGGCAUCCAAGUUUCCAGCACUCCACAUUCAAUACAAGAGCUAGUGCAUUCAAUAUUAGACACAAUUCAAAAGAAUCAAAGCCUCUCCAAGUCUCAAAUUCACUCCAUACACCUAGUGACUAGAGAGAGUGUUUUGCUCGUGUUCUUUGAGCUCUUGUUCUUGGAUCGCUUUCUUCUGCCUCAUUCUUGUUCUCUAAGUGACUUGUAAUCAAAGCAAGAGACACUAAGUUUGUAGUGAUCCUUGUGGGGUCUAAGUGACCCGUUUGAUUAAGGAGAAAGCUCACUCGGUCUAGGUGACCGUUUGAGAGAGGGAAAGGGUUGAAAGAGAUCUGGUCUUUGUGACCACCUCAACAGGGACUAGGUUCUCAAGAAUCGAACCUCGGUAAAACAAAUCAUCGUGCCAUCCACUUUAUUUCUUGGUUGAUUUGUUUUCGCCCUCUCUCUCGAACUCGAUUUUAAUUCUAACGCUACCCCGCCUUGUAGUGUGUGCUUAAGUUUGUAAAUUUUAGAUUCCGCCUAUUCACCCCUCUCUAGGCGACUUUCAAUUGGUGUCAGAGCCGGGUACUUCAUUUGAGUCUAACAACUCGAAGUAAUGUCGAGAGAUCACGCCAAGAAGGAGAUCGUGACCGGCGGUGACAAGCCCACAAGCCACGGGAAGGCUCCAUCAAGGGAGUCCGACAACAAAGUGAAGGAGGGAUCCCCUUCACACGUCAAGUCGCAUCGGAGUGGCGACAAGAAAAAGAAAAUGAAGAAGGUGGUCUACUACGAGACCGAUUCAUCAUCACCUUCUACAUCCGACUUCGACGCGCCGUCCGUCACUUCUAAGCGCCAUGAGCGCAAGAAGUAUAGUAAGAUGCCACUUCGUUAUCCCCAUAUUUCUAAACGCACCCCUCUACUUUUCGUUCCAUUAGGCAAACCACCAUUUUUCGAUGGUGAGGAUUAUUGUAUGUGGAGUGACAAAAUGAGGCAUCACCUAACAUCACUUCACACAAGCAUAUGGGACAUUGUUGAAUUUGGAGCGCAGGUACCAUCGGUGGGAGACGAGGGCUACGACUCGGACGAGGUCGCCAAAUUCGGCACUUCAACUCCCAAGCGACUACUAUACUCCUCACCUCUCUAUGUCGAGAGGAGUAUAAUAAAGUGCAAGGAUUGAAGAGCGCCAAGGAGAUUUGGGACAUGCUCAAGACCGCGCACGAGGGAGAUGAGGUGACCAAGAUCACCAAACGGGAGACGAUCGAGGGGGAGCUCGGUCGGUUCGUCCUCAACCAAGGAGAGGAGACACAAGCCAUGUACAACUGGCUCAAGACCUUGGUAAACCAAGUGCGCAACCUCGGGAGCACCAAAUGGGAUGACCAUGAAAUGGUCAAGGUUAUUCUAAGAUCACUCGUUUUUCGCAAUCCUACGCAAGUUCAAUUAAUACGUGGUGAUCCUAAAUAUAAGCUAAUGUCUACCGAGGAAGUGAUAGGAAAGUUUGUGAGCUUUGAAUUGAUGAUCAAAGGCUCCAAACAAAUCAUCAACUUGGAGCAAGGCGGCACCUCCACACCCGAGGUGCAACCCGUCGCAUUCAAGGCAACGGAGGAAAAGAAAGAAGAGUCUACAUCAAGUAGGCUCCCCAUCGACGCCUCCAAGCUUGACAAUGAGGAGAUGACACUCAUCAUCAAGAGCUUCCGUCAAAUCCUCAAACAAAGGAAGGGGAAGGACUACAAGCCCCGUUCCAAAAGGGUGUGCUACAAAUGUGGUAAGCCCGGUCAUUUUAUCGCUAAAUGUCCUAUGUCUAGUGAUAGUGAUAGGGUGACGACAAGAAGGGAAAGAGGAAGGAGAAGAAGAAGUACUACAAGAAGAAGGGCGGUGAUGCCCACGUGUGUCGGGAAUGGGACUCCGACGAGAGCUCCACCGACUCCUCCGCCGACGAGGACGCCGCUAACAUCACCGUCAACAAGUGUCUUCUCUUCCCCAACAUCGGCCAUAAAUGCUUCAUGGCAAAGGACGGCAAAAAGAAGAAGGUAAAAUCUAGAGCCUCCAUAAAAUAUACAACAUCUAGUGAUGAGGGUAGCUCUAGUGAAGAUGAAGAUGAUUUGCUUACCCUUUUUGCCAAUCUUAACAUGCAACAGAAAGAAAAAUUGAAUGAAUUGAUAGGUGCUAUUCAUGAGAAGGAUAAACUCUUGGAUAGCCAAGAGGAAUUCCUUAUUAAGGAAAGCAAAAAGCAUGUUGAAGUUAAAAAUGCUUAUGCUUAGGAGAUAGAAAAAUGUGAAAACUUGACUAAAGAGCUUAGCAUUUGCCAUGACACUGUUUCCAACCUUAGAACUGAGAAUGCUAAUUUAAUUGCUAAGGUUGAAAAGUUAAAUGCUUGUAAUGAUUCAAUUGUCAGUCUUAGAAAUGAAAAUGCUAGUUUAAUUGCUAAGAUUGAUAAAUUGAAUGAAUAAAUUUCUAGCCUUAGAUGUGAGAAUGAUAAAUUAAUUUCUAAGGCUAAAGAUUUAAAUGUUUGCAAUGAUGCUAUUUCCAAUCUUAGAAAUGAGGAUACUAUUUUACAUGCUAAGAUUGAUGAAUUAAAUGCUUGCAAACCAUCUACAUCUACUGUUGAUCAUGUUUCUAUUUGUACUAGAUGUAGAGAUAUUAAUGUUGAUGCUAUCCAUGAUCACCUUGCUUUAAUUAAAUAACAAAAUGAUCACAUAGCUCAACUAACUGCCAAAAUUAAUCAUCAUGAGAUUGAAAAUGAAAAAUUUAAAUUUGCUAGAAGCAUGCUCUAUAAUGGGAGACGCCCUGACAUUAAGGAUGGCAUUGGUUUCCAACAGGGUAGCAAUGUCAAGCUUAAUGCCCCUAAGAAAUUGUCUAAUUUUGUUAACGGCAAAGCUCCCAUGGUUCAGGAUAAUGAGGGAUAUAUUUUGUAUCCUGAAAAUUAUCCCGAACACAAAAUUAGGAGAAUUCAUGCUAGUAAGUCUCAUAAUCUUUCUCAUCAUGCUUUUAUGUAUAAGAAUGAGGCUUCUAGCUCUAGGCAAUCAACUCAUGAUAAAUUACCUAAAAAGAAAACUCCUACUGCAUCAAAUGAACCUAAUAUUUCGUUUAAAACUUUUGAUGCAUCAUAUGUGCUUACUAACAAAUUAGGCAAAGUAGUUGCCAAAUAUGUUGGGGGCAAACACAAGGGGUCAAAGACUUGUGUUUGGGUACCCAAGGUGUUUGUUUCUAACGUGAAAGGACCCAAGACUGUUUGGGUACCUAAGAACAAGGCCUAAAACUGUUUUGCAGGUUUAUGCAUCCGGGGGCUCAAGCUGGAUAAUUGAUAGCAGGUGCACAAACCAUAUUGAUAGUCGCCUAGAGGGGGGGUGAAUAGGGCGAAACUGAAAUUACAAAUAUAAACACAACUACAAGCCGGGGUUAGCGUUAGUAAUAAGAAACGAGUCCGCAAGAGUGGGUGCAAAACAAAUCCCAAGCGAAUGAGCGAGUGAGACACGGAGAUUUGUUUUACCGAGGUUCGGUUCUUGCAAACCUACUCCCCGUUGAGGAGGCCACAAAGGCCGGGUCUCUUUCAACCCUUUCCCUCUCUCAAACGGUCCCUCGGACCGAGUGAGCUUUUCUCUUCUCAAAUUAACCGGGAGCAAAACCUCCCGCAAGGACCACCACACAAUUGGUGUCUCUUGCCUUGGUUACAAGUGAGUAUUGAUCACAAGAAAGAAUGAAAGAGAGAAAGCAAUCCAAGCGCAAGAGCUCAAAUGAACACGACAAAUCACUCUCACUAGUCACUAGGGCUUUGUGUGGAAUUGGAGAGGAUUUGAUCUCUUUGGUGUGUCUUAGAAUUGAAUGCUAGAGCUCUUGUAGUAGUUGAGAAGUGGAAAACUUGGAUGCAAUGAAUGGAGGGGUGGUUGGGGUAUUUAUAGCCCCAACCACCAAAUGUGGCCGUUGGGAACCUGUCUGUUCGAUGGCGCACCGGACAGUCUGGUGCACACCGGACAGUCCGGUGCCCCCUGCCACGUCAUCACUGCCGUUGGAUUCUAGCCGUUGGAGCUUCUGACUUGUGGGCCCGCCUGGGUGUCCGGUGCACACCGGACAUGUACUGUUUGAUGUCCGGUGCACCAGUAUGGGCGUGCCUGACGUCUGCGCGCGCUGCGCGCGCAUUAAAUGCACCGCAGGGAGCCGUUGGCGCCGCAGGGAGCCGUUGCUUCGCUGGCACACCGGACAGUCCGGUGCACACCGGACAGUCCGGUGAAUUUUAGCGGAGCGGCUGCCGCGCGAACCCGAGGCUGGCGAGUUCCGGAGACCGCGCUUCCUUGGAGCACCGGACAUGUCCGGUGCACACCGGACAGUCCGGUGAAUUAUAGCGCGCCGGCUUCCGAGAAUUCCCGAGGGCGAAGAGUUUGAGUUGGUGUCCUCUGGGCGCACCGGACACUGUCCGGUGCACACCGGACAGUCCGGUGCCUCCAGCCAGAGGUGCCCUCGGUUGCCUCAUUGCUCCUUUGUUGAAUCCAACACUUGGUCUUUUUAUUGACUGAAUGUGAACCUUUACACCUGUAUACUCUAUACACUGGGGCAAACUAGUUAGUCCGAUUAUUUGUGUUGGGCAAUUCAACCACCAAAAUUAUUUGGGAACUAGGUGUAAGCCUAAUUCCCUUUCAAUCUCCCCCUUUUUGGUGAUUGAUGCCAACACAAACCAAAGCAAAUAUAGAAGUGCAUAAUUGAACUAAUUUGCAUAAUGUAAGUGUAAAGGUUGCUUGGAAUUGAGCCAAUAAAACUACUUACAAGAUAUGCAUGGAAUGUUUCUUUCUUAUUUAGCAUUUUGGACCACGUUUGCACCACAUGUUUUGUUUUUGCAAAUCCUUUUGUAAAUCCAUUUCAAAGAUCUUUUGCAAAUAGUCAAAGGUAAAUGAAUAAGAGUUUGCAAAGCAUUUUCAAGACUUGAAAUUUUCUCCCCUCGUUUUAAAUGCUUUUCCUUUGACUUAACAAAACUCCCCCUAAAUGAGAUACUCCUCUUAGUGUUCAAGAGGGUUUUGAUAUACCAUUUUUGAAAUACUGCUUUCUCCCCCUUUUGAUAUACCAAUUGAAAAAUACUUUUGGAAAGUACUAAGUUUUUGAAAUUUGUGGUGGUGCGGUCCUUUUGCUUUGGGCUCAUUUCUCCCCCUUUUUGGCAUGAAUCGCCAAAAACGGAAUCAUUAGAGCCCUCGAAGUAAUUUCUUCCCCUUUGGUCAUAAGUAAAUGAGUUAAGAUUAUACCAAAGACGAAGUCCUUUUCUUGGAGCGAUGGCGAAGGAUGAGUUACGGAGUGGAAGCCUUUGUCUUCGCCGAAGACUCCAAUUUCCUUUCAAUACACCUAUGACUUGGUUUGAAAUACACUUGAAAAACACAUUAGUCAUAGCAUAUGAAAGAGAUAUGAUCAAAGGUAUAUAAAUGAGCUAUGUGUGCAAGUUAGCAAAAGAAAUUUCUAGAAUCAAGAAUAUUGAGCUCAUGCCUAAGUUUGGUAAAAGAUUGUUCAUCAAGUGGCUUGGUAAAGAUAUCGGCUAAUUGAUCUUUAGUGUUAAUAUAAGAAAUCUCGAUAUCUCCCUUUUGUUGGUGAUCCCUAAGAAAAUGAUACCGAAUGGCUAUGUGCUUAGUGCGGCUAUGCUCGACGGGAUUGUCGGCCAUUUUGAUUGCACUCUCAUUAUCACAUAGCAAAGGAACUUUGGUUAAUUUGUAACCGUAGUCCCGCAGGGUUUGUCUCAUCCAAAGCAAUUGCGCGCAACAAUGACCUGCGGCAAUAUACUCGGCUUCGGCGGUGGAAAGAGCGACCGAAUUUUGCUUCUUUGAAGCCCAUGACACCAAGGAUCUUCCCAAGAACUGGCAAGUCCCCGAUGUGCUCUUCCUAUUAAUCUUACACCCCGCCCAAUCGGCAUCCGAAUAACCAAUCAAAUCAAAAGUGGAUCCCCGAGGGUACCAAAGCCCAAACUUAGGUGUAUAAGCCAAAUAUCUCAAGAUUCGUUUUACGGCCGUAAGGUGGGAUUCCUUAGGGUCGGAUUGGAAUCUUGCACACAUGCAAACGGAAAGCAUAAUGUCCGGUCGAGAUGCACAUAAAUAGAGUAAUGAUCCUAUCAUCGACCGGUAUACCUUUUGAUCCACGGACUUACCUCCCGUGUCGAGGUCGAGAUGCCCAUUUGUUCCCAUGGGUGUUUUGAUGGGCUUGGCAUCCUUCAUUCCAAACUUGCUUAGGAUGUCUUGAGUGUACUUCGUUUGGCUGAUGAAGGUGCCCUCUUGGAGUUGCUUCACUUGAAAUCCUAGAAAAUACUUCAACUCCCCCAUCAUAGACAUCUCGAAUUUCUUUGUCAUGAUCCUACUAAAUUCUUCACAUGUAGAUUCGUUAGUAGACCCAAAUAUAAUAUCAUCAACAUAAAUUUGGCAUACAAACAAAUCAUUGUCAAGAGUUUUAGUGAAUAAAGUAGGAUCGGCCUUGUCGACUUUGAAGCCAUUAGUAAUAAGGAAAUCUCUUAGGCAUUCAUACCAUGCUCUUGGGGCUUGCUUGAGCCCAUAAAGCGCCUUAGAGAGCCUAUAGACAUGGUUAGGGUACUCACUGUCUUCAAAGCCGGGAGGUUGCUCAACAUAGACCUCUUCCUUGAUUGGUCCGUUGAGGAAGGCACUUUUCACGUCCAUUUGAUAAAGCUUAAAGCCAUGGUAAGUAGCAUAGGCCAAUAAUAUGCGAAUUGACUCAAGCCUAGCUACGGGUGCAUAGGUUUCACCGAAAUCCAAACCUUCGACUUGGGAGUAUCCCUUGGCCACAAGUCGAGCUUUGUUCCUUGUCACCACACCAUGCUCAUCUUGCUUGUUGCGGAAGACCCAUUUGGUUCCUACAACAUUUUGGUUAGGACGUGGAACCAAGUGCCAUACCUCAUUCCUCGUGAAGUUGUUGAGCUCCUCUUGCAUCGCCACCACCCAAUCCGAAUCUUGUAGUGCUUCCUCUACCCUGUGUGGCUCAAUAGAGGAAACAAAAGAGUAAUGUUCACAAAAAUGUGCAACACGAGAUCGAGUGGUUACCCCCUUAUGAAUGUCGCCGAGGAUGGUGUCGAUGGGGUGAUCUCGUUGUAUUGCUUGGUGGACUCUUGGGUGUGGCGGCCUUGGUUCUUCCUCAUCCUCCUUCUCUUGAUCAUUUGUAUCUUCCCCUUGAUUAUUGCCAUUAUCUUGAGGUGGCUCAUCUUCUUGAUUUUGUCCUUCAUCAACUUGAGCCUCAUCCUCAUUUUGAGUUGGUGGAGAUGCUUGCGUGGAGGAGGAUGGUUGAUCUUGUGCAUGUGGAGGCUCUUCGGAUUCCUUAGGACACACGUCCCCAAUGGACAUGUUCCUUAGUGCGAUGUACGGAGCCUGUUCUUCACCUAUCUCAUCAAGAUCAACUUGCUCUACUUGAGAGCCAUUAGUUUCAUCAAACACAACGUCACAUGAGACUUCAACUAGUCCAGUGGACUUGUUAAAGACCCUAUAUGCCCUUGUGUUUGAGUCAUAACCAAGUAAAAAGCCUUCUACAGUCUUGGGAGCAAAUUUAGAUUUUCUACCUCUUUUAACAAGAAUAAAGCAUUUGCUACCAAAGACUCUAAAAUAUGAAAUGUUGGGCUUUUUACCGGUUAGGAGUUCAUAUGAUGUCUUCUUGAGGAUUCGGUGAAGAUAUAACCGGUUGAUGGCGUAGCAGGCGGUGUUGACUGCUUCGGCCCAAAACCGGUCCGGUGUCUUGAACUCAUCAAGCAUGGUUCUUGUCAUGUCCAAUAGAGUUCGAUUCUUUCUCUCUACUACACCAUUUUGUUGUGGCGUGUAGGGAGAGGAAAACUCAUGCUUGAUGCCCUCCUCCUCAAGGAAGCCUUCGAUUUGAGAGUUCUUGAACUCCGUCCCGUUGUCGCUUCUUAUUUUCUUGAUCCUUAAGCCGAACUCAUUUUGAGCCCGUCUCAAGAAUCCCUUUAAGGUCUCUUGGGUUUGAGAUUUUUCCUGUAAAAAGAAUACCCAAGUGAAGCGAGAAUAAUCAUCCACAAUAACUAGACAGUACUUACUCCCGCCGAUGCUUAUGUAAGCAAUCGGGCCGAAUAGAUCCAUGUGUAGGAGCUCCAGUGGCCUGUCGGUCGUCAUGAUGUUCUUGUGUGGAUGAUGGGUUCCAACUUGCUUUCCCGCCUGGCAUGCGCUACAAACCCUGUCUUUCUCAAAAUGAACAUUUGUUAAUCCUAAAAUGUGUUCUCCCUUUAGAAGCUUGUGAAGAUUCUUCAUCCCAACAUGGGCUAGUCGGCGGUGCCAGAGCCAACCCAUGUUAGUCUUAGCAAUUAAGCAAGUGUCGAGUUCAGCUUUAUCAAAAUCUACCAAGUAUAGCUGACCCUCUAACACUCCCUUAAAUGCUAUUGAAUCAUCACUUCUUCUAAAGACAGUGACACCUACAUCAGUGAAUAGACAGUUGUAGCCCAUUUGACAUAAUUGAGAAACGGAAAGCAAAUUGUAAUCUAAAGAAUCUACAAGAAAAACAUUGGAAAUAGAAUGGUCAGAAGAUAUAGCAAUUUUACCAAGACCUUUGACCAAACCUUGAUUUCCAUCCCCGAAUGUGAUAGCUCGUUGGGGAUCUUGGUUUUUCUCGUAGGAGGAGAACAUCCUUUUCUCCCCAGUCAUGUGGUUUGUGCACCCGCUGUCGAGUAUCCAACUUGAGCCCCCGGAUGCAUAAACCUACAAUACAAUUUUAGUUCUUGACUUUAGGUACCCAAAUGGUUUUGGGUCCUUUGGCAUUAGACACGAGAACUUUGGGUACCCAAACACAAGUUUUUGACCCCUUGUGCUUGCCCCCAACAUAUUUGGCAACUACUUUGCCGGAUUUGUUAGUCAACACAUAAGAAGCAUCAAAAGUUUUAAAUGAAAUAGCAUGAUCAUUUGAUGCAUUAGGAAUUUUCUUCUUAGGCAACUUAGCAUGGGUGGAUUGCCUAGAACUAGAUGUCUCACCCUUAUACAUAAAAGCAUGAUUAGGGCCAGAGUGAGACUUCCUAGAAUGAAUUUUCUUAAUUUUGUCUUCGGGAUAACCGACAGGGUAUAAAAUGUAACCCUCGUUAUCCUGAGGCAUGGGAGCCUUGCCCUUAACAAAAUUUGACAAUCUUUUAGGAGGGGCACUAAGUUUGAUAUUGUCUCCCCUUUGGUAGCCAAUGCCAUCCUUAAUGCCAGGGCGUCUCCCAUUAUAAAGCAUGCUACGAGCAAAUUUAAAUUUCUCAUUCUCUAGGUUGUGCUCGGCAAUUUUAGCAUCUAGUUUUGCUAUAUGAUCAUUUUGUUGUUUAAUUAAAGCCAUAUGAUCAUGAAUAGCAUUAACAUCAACAUCUCUACAUCUAGUACAAAUAGAUACAUGCUCAACAAUAGAUGUAGAGGGUUUGCAAGAAUUAAGUUCAACAAUCUUAGCAUGAAGAAUAUCAUUUUUAUCCCUAAGAUCGGAAAUUGUAGUUUUGCAAACAUCAAAAUCUUUAGCCUUAGCAAUUAAAUUUUCAUUUUCUAUUCUAAGGCUAGCAAGAGAAAUGUUUAAUUCUUCAAUCCUAGCAAGCAAAUCAUCAUUAUUAUAUCUAGGAUUGGGAAUUGAAACAUUACAAACAUGUGAAUCAACCUUAGCAUUUAAGCUAGCAUUUUCAUGUCUAAGGUUGUCAAUCAUCUCACGGCAAGUGCUUAGCUCACUAGAUAAUUUUUCACAUUUCUCAAUUUCUAGAGCAUAAGCCUUUUUAACCUUAACAUGUUUCUUGUUUUCUUUAAUUAGACAUUCCUCUUGGGAAUCCAAAAGGUCAUCCUUUUCAUGAAUAGCACUAACCAAUUCAUUUAAUUUUUCCUUUUGAGCUAUGUUAAGGUUGGCAAAAAGGGAACGCAAAUUAUCCUCCUCAUCACUAGCAUUAUCAUCACUAGAAGACUCAUAUUUAGUGGAGGAGUUGGAUUUAACCUUCUUCCGUUUGCCGUCCUUUGCCAUGAGACACUUGUGGCCGACGUUGGGGAAGAGGAGUCCCUUGGUGACGGCAAUGUUGGCGGCGUCCUCGUUGUCGGAGGAGUCGCUUGAGCUCUCGUCGGAGUCCCACUCGCGACAAACAUGGGCAUCGCCGCCCUUCUUCUUGUAGUACCUCUUCUUCUCCUUUCUUCUCCCCUUCUUGUCGUCGCCUCGGUCACUGUCACUAGAUAUAGGACAUUUAGCAAUAAAAUGACCGGGCUUACCACACUUGUAGCAAACUUUCUUGGAGCGGGACUUGUAAUCCUUCCCCCUCCUUUGCUUGAGGAUUUGGCGGAAGCUCUUGAUGACGAGCGCCAUUUCCUCAUUGUCGAGUUUGGAGGCGUCUAUUGGUUGACGACUUGGUGUAGACUCCUCCUUCUUCUCCUCCGUUGCCUUAAAUGCAACGGGUUGAGCUUCGGAUGUGGUGGCAUCAUCAAGCUCGUUGAUCUUCCUCGAGCCUUCGAUCAUGCACUCAAAACUCACAAAAUUCCCGAUAACUUCCUCGGGGGUCAUUUUAGUAUAUCUAGGAUUACCACGAAUUAAUUGAACUUGAGUAGGGUUAAGGAAAAUGAGUGAUCUUAGAAUAACCUUAACCACCUCGUGGUCAUCCCACUUUACGCUCCCGAGGUUGCGCGCUUGGUUCACCAAGGUCUUGAGCCGAUUGUACAUGUGUUGUGGCUCUUCCCCUUUGCGAAGCCGGAACCGACCGAGCUCCCCCUCAAUCGUUUCCCGCUUGGUGAUCUUGGUGAGCUCAUCACCUUCAUGCGCGGUCUUGAGUAAAUCCCAAAUCUCCUUGGCGCUCUUCAACCCUUGUACUUUGUUAUACUCCUCUCUACUUAGAGAGGCGAGGAGUAUUGUUGUUGCUUGAGAGUUGAAGUGCUCGAUUUGGGCCACCUCAUCCUCAUCAUAGUCCUCAUCCCCUACGGAUGGUACCUGCGCGCCAAACUCAACAACAUCCCAUAUGCUUUUGUGGAGCGAGGUUAGAUGAAAUCGCAUUAAAUCGCUCCACCUAGCGUAAUCUUCACCAUCAAAAGUUGGUGGUUUGCCUAAUGGGACGGAAAGUAAAGGUGUAUGUUUGGAAAUGCGAGGGUAGCGUAGGGGGAUCUUACUAUACUUCUUGCGCUCUUGGCGCUUAGAAGUGACGGAGGGCGCAUCGGAGUCGGAGGUCGAUGUUGAUGAAGUGUCGGUCUCGUAGUAGACCACCUUCCUCAUCCUCUUGUGCUUGUCGCCUUUCCGAUGCGGCUUGUGGGAAGAAGAUUUUUCCUUCUUCUCUUUGUGGUGAGAAGAAGAUUUCUUCUCCUUCCCUUUGUUGGAGGAGCUCUUCUUCUUCUCCCUCCUUUUGGUGCGGGACUCUUCCGAUGAAGUGCUCCCGUGGCUUGUAGUGGGCUUUUCGCCGGUCUCCAUCUCCUUCUUGGCGUGAUCUCCCGACAUCACUUCGAGCGGUUAGGCUCUAAUGAAGCACCGGGCUCUGAUACCAAUUGAUAGUCGCCUAGAGGGGGGGGGUGAAUAGGGCGAAACUGAAAUUACAAAUAUAAACACAACUACAAGCCGGGGUUAGCGUUAGUAAUAAGAAACGAGUCCGCAAGAGUGGGUGCAAAACAAAUCCCAAGCGAAUGAGCGAGUGAGACACGGAGAUUUGUUUUACCGAGGUUCGGUUCUUGCAAACCUACUCCCCGUUGAGGAGGCCACAAAGGCCGGGUCUCUUUCAACCCUUUCCCUCUCUCAAACGGUCCCUCGGACCGAGUGAGCUUUUCUCUUCUCAAAUUAACCGGGAGCAAAACCUCCCGCAAGGACCACCACACAAUUGGUGUCUCUUGCCUUGGUUACAAGUGAGUAUUGAUCACAAGAAAGAAUGAAAGAGAGAAAGCAAUCCAAGCGCAAGAGCUCAAAUGAACACGACAAAUCACUCUCACUAGUCACUAGGGCUUUGUGUGGAAUUGGAGAGGAUUUGAUCUGUCACACCCGGCUUUAAGGAACAAAGCCAGGUGCAUCUCAUACAUGCGCCAAGAAGACAACAUAUAUAAUAACAGAGUGUAUAGAGAUAAACGUCAAUAACAUCAGAGUAUUUAUUACAUAGCGGAAGACUUAUUACAAAAUAAAAGAAUAAACAUAAAACGAACUAAGGAUCGUUGGCGCCAAUGUCAACUGAGAAACGCCACCUAGAUUGAAUCGAACUCCUCGACUUGUGGCUCCUCCUGAACCACCUGCUCUUCUCCUGUGGGGGGGGGGGGGGUGUGAGACAGCAAGGGUGAGCUCACACAUGAUCAUCGCUCAACAAGUUGUGGGGAAUAAUGUGACAUGAACUCACCAAAGAUGGGAGCUCAUGUGAAGUGUAAGGCUGAUCAAUGAUAGGGGUUAAAGCUGAGCAUUGCUUUUAAGUAGUUGGUCAAAAUUUUAUUAGCAGUUACUAAGUGUAAGUAAAUACCAAACCUUAAAUAAAGUAAUUGAACAAAUUAAUAAUAAACCCAUGCAUAUGCAAAUGACAAAAUUGAAUUUAAGUUCCAUAAUUUAAACAUCAGAGAGUCCUGAGCUGCUCAUGACCGUGAGCUCGGCUAGUAUACCAGUUUUACACUCUGCAGAGGUUGUACCCUUUACCCACAAGUCAUGCUACCCAUCUGCCAAGGGGUCGCGAAUCCCAUACACCUCUACCUAGGAAGCGCGGCAGGGCAACACUACGAGGCCUUUACAAAGUUCCACUAGCUUCCGAAAACCCGCUACAGUUUAUAGGAAGUUCCAAUGCAGGGUUCCUGGCUGACUGCCAUCGCAGCAAAAUCAACCAGGGACCUCCCUACACUGACCACUCCCCUACUGCCCUUGCCCCUUUCGGGUAAGGUAGUCUUCCACUAGCUUUCCUAAUUAGUCAGCCAAGGGCGUCCCAUUAAACCCUUGUGGUGGCACGUGGUUCUCAAGUUAAGCUCUAUGUUCCAAUUAACAUUAAUGAUCUCAACAUGAACAUAAAUAGAAUAACAAAAAUAAUUGGAACAUAGAUAUAAUAAAUGAUUAUCCCAAAACCAUGUAAAGCAAUAGCAAACUACCCAAGUGAUUCAGGGGUAAACAAGGUAAUGAGAUAAACAAUCUAGGGUGACCUAUUGGGUCCCAUCAAAAUUAACCUAUGCAUGGAUAAAUGAUAUUAAAGAAUAUUAUUGGGUAAAAUGUGGUCAAGGGCACAACUUGCCUUCAAUGAGCUCCUGCUCAGCUACUUCAACCUGCUGCUCACCAGGAUCCUCGGCAAUGGGCUCUUCUACUCGCCACAAUACAAACAAGCACAGUGCAUAUAGAGAAAUUAACAUUACACCAAACAUGUAAACAAAAUACACAGUGAUAUUCUACAUAAUAAAAUAAAAUUCUAGGAGCAGGAAUCAUAAUUUUUGGAGUUAUAGAAUUUAAGUUAUGGAUUUUCAAAGGUUUUAUGUGCUUUAAAUAGGAUUAAGUGGUAAAUAAAUUCCUUACUGUUUUCAUGACAUAACAGAGGCUCUAGGUGAUAGAGAAUAAAAAUACAAAAUUUUAGGAAGUGGAAUGGCUCAAUUUGGAGUUAGUAUGAAUUUUCUAUGAAUUGUUGAAGAUUUAGCACUUAUUUUUGUAUUAAAAAUACAUUUUCUAAUUCAUUUAUUCAUUUUAACCUGUCACUGGACUGGGCCACCAUUUCUGUGAACUACAGGGGCUUCGGAGUAAAACUCCGCAGACACAGAGCACAGCUCUCGUGGAUGGCGGGUUGAUUCUCUAGAAGCCCGAGGGCUCUUAAGCAAAUUUACAGAGACAAAGGGGUAAGGGCUGACUUCGGCCGUCCGAUGGAGGAGGAAUGGCCCAGAUUAGAUCACCAAGGCAUUCAAACGGUACACAACUUCUACGGUUGGAUCUCAAUCCGACGUUCAGCAGAUAAUACGGCUAAGGUCACAUCCUGACCGUCCGAUCUAGAGUCUGUGGCUCAGAUUCAAAGUAGCCACGACCUACUCACACCCGACCGAUCCUAACCCAACGGUCCAGAUCCAUUCGCACGAAAGGGUACGCGACUUCUAAUCUCCAUCGUUCGCUCAGAUCAAACGGCAGAGACGCCAUCUUCCUCCUCAAUGCCGACGGCGAGGCCACCCCAGAAACCCACGGCGGCGCACAGGUUCCGGCGAACAACGAUUUCGGCCCCCAGUGGUUCAUAUCGCAAUUAACUUCACCUACGCAAUGCGGAGUUCAAAGCGAAAUUAGUGGCGAGGUUCUCACCCAGAAUAUUGUUGUAGGUGAGGCAGUCCGCGACGACCCGGGGCGCGGUGCUUCCCCCGCCGUCCGCCGUGAAAUUCCCCGCGCUGCGACAACGCCAAUCAGCCGUGGCGAGCUCCCAUUCGUACCCAGUAUGGCCCGGCGAUGUUCCCGCGCCCGCACCGGACUGCUGUGCCUCUUCUCUCUCACUGACGGCGGCGCUGCUUCCAAUACCUCACUGGUGGCGACGAUUUUUUUGUUCUGAGGAAAGAAAUCCACGCGAGAGAGUAGCAGAGGGGAAGAAAUAGGUCACGGGAGCUCCCCUUUAUCGCCCGAGGUCCGAGUUUGUUAGGAUUCCGAAAUCCUAGCUCUCACCCGUGGUGCUCGCGAUGCGUCCAUGGUGGAGGUCCGUGUCGCGCGGCAAGGAGAUCGCUUCCAAAGAUUUCGUAGACUUCUGGUAGCGAAGAUCUCGUCCGAUCCAACGGUACUAGCCCAGCCGUGGUGAGCGGAGGAGGGAGAUGAGGUGGGCGGAUGGAAGAGACACAAUGCCCAGGUCAAAUUGCUGCUGUGCGGGGAAAGAGGAGAUCGAUCCGACAUGUGGGACCCGCGUGACAUUGACUGAACGCGCACGCAACGCAGAGAGAAGGGCUGUGCAGUGGUGUUGGGGAAUGGGCCGGUUCCAAUGAAUUGGGCCCAAUGCGCAGGAUGUCCCCUUUUAUUAUUUCUUCUAUGUUUUCCUUUUUUUUCUCUUUAUCUUUUGAAUUCGAAUUUAAAUUCAACUAUGAAUGUGAAUUUUGUACUCAAAGUAAAGGUAGAUCUUGAUCUUACUAGUAUGGAUAAAGUUUACAUUUUUAUAAAUUUUGUUUUGUAUUCUAUAGUAUUUCUUUUCUUCCUCUCCCUCCAUAUUUUAAUUUCCACAUUUAGGUCUAAAUUCCCACUUUGAGUAUCAAUGUCUUUUCUAUAGAUUUUUAUUAUUAUAUGCACACACAAAAUAAAAUUCUCAGCAUGAUGCACAUAUUGUCUUAGGAUCAUUAGUUAAUUAAUUACUUUUAUGGUAAUUGUUCACAGGUAUUAAUGAAUAAAGGUAACAUAUAUAGGGAAAAUAACCUCAUUUCUUAUGUUCUUACAAAUUUGGGUAUUACAAGUCCUACCCCCCUAAAAAAUAAUCUCGUCCUCGAGAUUUAAGAAGAACUAGAGAAAAGGUGGGGAAAAUCUAUGCGAAGCUCUUCUUCUCUUUCCCAAGUUGCUUCAUCUUCACCGUGGUGACUCCAUUGCACUUUGCACAUCUUUAUCACCUUAUUUCUCGUAACUCGAGUCAAAGUAUCCAAAAUCUUGAUCGGGUACUCCGUGUAAGUCAAAUCACCCUGAACACUGAGCUCUUCCAUUGGUAACUGUUCCUCGGGCACACGGGGACACUUCUUUAGUUGAGAUACGUGGAACACAUUAUGCACAUCCGAUAGGCUAGCAGGUAACUCGAGUUGGUACGCCAUCUCCCCAACUCUUCUAAAGAUCAGGAAUGGUCCAAUAUAGCGAGGGGACAAUUUGCCCUUAACCUUGAAUCUCCUCAUUCCACGAAGUGGUGACACCUUGAGAUACACAUAAUCUCCUUCUUCAAAUUCCAGUGGUCUUCUUCUAUUAUCAGCAUAGCUCUUUUGCCUGGUUUGAGCCACCCUCAAAUUCUCUCGAAUUAUACGAACUUGUUCUUCUGCUUCUUGAAUCAAUUCAGGCCCAAAGAAUUGUCUUUCUCCAGUCUGAUCCCAAUACAAAGGAGUCCUGCACUUCCUCCCAUAUAAAGCUUCAAAAGGUGACAUCUUCAGACUGGCCUGAUAGCUAUUGUUAUAUGAGAACUCAGCAUACGGUAGACUUUUAUCCCAACUUCCUCCAUGCUGAAGGGCACAUGCUCUCAACAUAUCUUCCAAUACUUGAUUAGUCCUUUCAGUCUGUCCAUCAGUCUGAGGGUGAUAAGCUGUACUAAAAUUUAACUUUGUACUCAUGUUCUCAUGAAAGCUUCUCCAAAAUCUUGAGGUAAAUUGUGAACCUCGAUCAGACACGAUCUUCUUUGGUACCCCAUGUAAACACACAAUCCGAGCCAUAUAUAACUCUGCUAGUUGAGAACCUUUAUAAGUAGUCUUCACAGGAAUAAAGUGAGCCACUUUAGUCAAUCUAUCUACAAUCAUCCAUAUAGCAUCAUAUCCUUUCUGGGUGCGAGGCAAUCCAGUAAUAAAAUCCAUACCAAUCUCUUCCCAUUUCCACUCGGGUAUCUUCAGUGGAUGCAGUAGUCCAGCUGGCCUCUGAUGUUCAGCCUUAACUCUUUGACAUACAUCGCACAUAGCCACAUGUGCAGCUACAUCUCUUUUCAAUCCAUACCACCAAUACUUCCGUUUCAAAUCCUGAUACAUCUUAGUACUACCAGGAUGAAUAGAAUAAUCCGAGUCAUGGGCCUCCUUUAAAAUAGUCUCUCGAAGGCUUUUAAUAUCAGGAACACACAUCCUGUCCUUGAACCAUACAGUGCCUUGCUCAUCUUCCGUAAAUUCCGGAACUCGACCUUCAGUAAUAAGAUCCUUAAUCUCUCUUAUUUUAGCAUCCUCAAGUUGACCUUUGCGGAUUUCUUGCUCCAAAGUAGGUUCCACAUCAAUAGUAACUCCUUCAGUAUGAGCGACUAUCCCCAGGUUAAGUCUCCUGAAAUCCUCAACAAUCUCAUCGGGUAGUUGGGCAACAACAGCUGAAUGAACAUGCUCCUUUCGACUCAAGGCAUCUGCAACCAAAUUCGCCUUGCCCGGGUGAUAGUGAAUCUCCAAAUCAUAAUCCUUAAUAAGCUCCAACCAACGGCGUUGCCUAAGGUUGAGAUCCUUCUAAGUGAAUAUAUACUUCAAACUCUUAUGAUCCGUAUAUACUUAACACUAGGUCCCCAUGAUAUAAUGUCUCCAAAUCUUAAGCGCAUGCACAACAGCUGCCAAUUCCAAGUCAUGAGUGGGGUAGUUCAAUUCAUGUUUUCGUAACUGACGCGACGCAUAGGCGAUCACAUGUCCUUCUUGCAUGAGCACGCAUCCUAAGCCUUGGCCACACGCAUCACAAUAGAUAUCAAAUCCUUUCUGUAGGUCUGGCAUAACCAAUACUGGUGGCGACAUCAAUCUUUUCUUCAAUUGAUCAAAGCUGUCUUGACACUUCUCGUCCCACUUAAAUUCUUUUCCUUUCUCCAAAAGUGAAGUCAUAGGCUUAGCAAUCUUAGAAAAUCCUUCAAUAAAUCUCCGAUAAUAUCCCGCUAAUCCCAAGAAACUCCGAAGCUCAGUAACUGUAGUGGGUACUCUCCACUCCAUUGUCUCCUUAACCUUAGCAGGAUCCACUGAAAUUCCUCCAUUAGAAAUAAUAUGACCAAGAAAUGGCACCUCGCCUAUCCAAAACUCGCACUUGCUAAACUUGGCAUAUAGCUGGUUAUCUCGUAGCUUCUGUAGCACCAAUCUCAGAUGUUCCUCGUGAUCACUAUCACUCUGAGAAUAAAUAAGAAUAUCGUCGAUGAAUACCACGACGAAUCUGUCCAAAUAUUCCAUAAACACCUUAUUCAUCAAGUUCAUAAAAUAAGCUGGGGCAUUGGUUAAUCCAAACGACAUAAUAGUAAACUCAUAUAAUCCAUAUCGAGUCGAGAAAUCCGUCUUGGGAAUAUCUGAUGGCCUAAUCUUCAUUUGAUGGUAACCCGAUCGGAGAUCAAUCUUCGAGAAUACACUUGCACUUCUCAUCCGAUUAAAUAAAUCCUCAAUGCGGGGUAGUGGACAUUUGUUCUUUACAGUGACAUCGUUAAGGGUCCUAUAAUCCACACACAUCGCUUGCGAUCCUUCUUUCUUCUGUACAAAUGGAACCGGCGCUCCACAAGGUGAAGAAUUCGAACGAAUGUACCUAGCCUCUUGUAACUCUAUUAACUGCUUCUUAAGUUCUUUUAACUCUUCUAUAGACAUCUUGUAUGACCGUUUGGGAGUAGGAGUAGUCCCAGGUAAGAGAUCAAUGACAAACUUAACUUCCCUAUCUUGUGGUAUCCCUGGUAACUCCUCUGAAAGACAUCCGGAAAAAUCCCUAACUGCACGGAUGUUGUCACCAUCAAACUUCCCAUUUACUAAGAAUGUCGCUAGUCUGGUGGCGGUAGUUACUACAAUUCCAACUUUAAAUUUUUUUCUCCUUUGGAUCUGGUGAGUUCUAUGGUUCCUUUAGCACAGUGUAUAGACUGCCCUUCUUAACCAUGACAUACCAAGGGUCACAUCUAUAGUGCUCUCUUCUAACAGUAUAGGGGUAGCCCAUCGGGGUUAGAAAUACAAGGUAAGAAAGGAAUAAUUGUAGACAAGGCGAGUAAUUACGAGAAAUGUUACUGCGGGGGAUUUAUUAGUUAAGUAGAUUGGUGCGUUAUCUACUAAAGCUAAUACAUUACCUUAUGGUGGUACAUGCUAAGAUGCCCGUCUAUACUAUUUCAAUCAACCAAAGAAGCAAAUCAGGCAUUGAUCAUCAGAACAAUCAACCAACAUUUUUAAUAGAGAAAAUAAAUCUUUUUUUUUCUUAGGUCUCCUAUCUCUUAAAAAGAUCAUAGUGGUAGGAUUCCAAGGUGUGAAAUCCAUCUUGUCUUAGAGUAGAAAAGAUAAGAUUAACCAGAGUAGAGUAGCAGAAGGUGAGACAAGAUCAAGAUGAGAUAAGUAUAGAAUGAGUCAGAGUAAGGUAAGUAAGUGAGGGUUGUCCAUUUCUAUCUAGGUUUCGUCCUACAGUCAACAUUUCCUCUGAUACCACUUCUGUCACACCCGGCUUUAAGGAACAAAGCCAGGUGCAUCUCAUACAUGCGCCAAGAAGACAACAUAUAUAAUAGCAGAGUGUAUAGAGAUAAACGUCAAUAACAUCAGAGUAUUUAUUACAUAGCGGAAGACUUAUUACAAAAUAAAAGAAUAAACAUAAAACGAACUAAGGAUCGUUGGCGCCAAUGUCAACUGAGAAACGCCACCUAGAUUGAAUCGAACUCCUCGACUUGUGGCUCCUCCUGAACCACCUGCUCUUCUCCUGUGGGGGGGUGUGAGACAGCAAGGGUGAGCUCACACAUGAUCAUCGCUCAACAAGUUGUGGGGAAUAAUGUGACAUGAACUCACCAAAGAUGGGAGCUCAUGUGAAGUGUAAGGCUGAUCAAUGAUAGGGGUUAAAGCUGAGCAUUGCUUUUAAGUAGUUGGUCAAAAUUUUAUUAGCAGUUACUAAGUGUAAGUAAAUACCAAACCUUAAAUAAAGUAAUUGAACAAAUUAAUAAUAAACCCAUGCAUAUGCAAAUGACAAAAUUGAAUUUAAGUUCCAUAAUUUAAACAUCAGAGAGUCCUGAGCUGCUCAUGACCGUGAGCUCGGCUAGUAUACCAGUUUUACACUCUGCAGAGGUUGUACCCUUUACCCACAAGUCAUGCUACCCAUCUGCCAAGGGGUCGCGAAUCCCAUACACCUCUACCUAGGAAGCGCAGCAGGGCAACACUACGAGGCCUUUACAAAGUUCCACUAGCUUCCGAAAACCCGCUACAGUUUAUAGGAAGUUCCAAUGCAGGGUUCCUGGCUGACUGCCAUCGCAGCAAAAUCAACCAGGGACCUCCCUACACUGACCACUCCCCUACUGCCCUUGCCCCUUUCGGGUAAGGUAGUCUUCCACUAGCUUUCCUAAUUAGUCAGCCAAGGGCGUCCCAUUAAACCCUUGUGGUGGCACGUGGUUCUCAAGUUAAGCUCUAUGUUCCAAUUAACAUUAAUGAUCUCAACAUGAACAUAAAUAGAAUAACAAAAAUAAUUGGAACAUAGAUAUAAUAAAUGAUUAUCCCAAAACCAUGUAAAGCAAUAGCAAACUACCCAAGUGAUUCAGGGGUAAACAAGGUAAUGAGAUAAACAAUCUAGGGUGACCUAUUGGGUCCCAUCAAAAUUAACCUAUGCAUGGAUAAAUGAUAUUAAAGAAUAUUAUUGGGUAAAAUGUGGUCAAGGGCACAACUUGCCUUCAAUGAGCUCCUGCUCAGCUACUUCAACCUGCUGCUCACCAGGAUCCUCGGCAAUGGGCUCUUCUACUCGCCACAAUACAAACAAGCACAGUGCAUAUAGAGAAAUUAACAUUACACCAAACAUGUAAACAAAAUACACAGUGAUAUUCUACAUAAUAAAAUAAAAUUCUAGGAGCAGGAAUCAUAAUUUUUGGAGUUAUAGAAUUUAAGUUAUGGAUUUUCAAAGGUUUUAUGUGCUUUAAAUAGGAUUAAGUGGUAAAUAAAUUCCUUACUGUUUUCAUGACAUAACAGAGGCUCUAGGUGAUAGAGAAUAAAAAUACAAAAUUUUAGGAAGUGGAAUGGCUCAAUUUGGAGUUAGUAUGAAUUUUCUAUGAAUUGUUGAAGAUUUAGCACUUAUUUUUGUAUUAAAAAUACAUUUUCUAAUUCAUUUAUUCAUUUUAACCUGUCACUGGACUGGGCCACCAUUUCUGUGAACUACAGGGGCUUCGGAGUAAAACUCCGCAGACACAGAGCACAGCUCUCGUGGAUGGCGGGUUGAUUCUCUAGAAGCCCGAGGGCUCUUAAGCAAAUUUACAGAGACAAAGGGGUAAGGGCUGACUUCGGCCGUCCGAUGGAGGAGGAAUGGCCCAGAUUAGAUCACCAAGGCAUUCAAACGGUACACAACUUCUACGGUUGGAUCUCAAUCCGACGUUCAGCAGAUAAUACGGCUAAGGUCACAUCCUGACCGUCCGAUCUAGAGUCUGUGGCUCAGAUUCAAAGUAGCCACGACCUACUCACACCCGACCGAUCCUAACCCAACGGUCCAGAUCCAUUCGCACGAAAGGGUACGCGACUUCUAAUCUCCAUCGUUCGCUCAGAUCAAACGGUAGAGACGCCAUCUUCCUCCUCAAUGCCGACGGCGAGGCCACCCCAGAAACCCACGGCGGCGCACAGGUUCCGGCGAACAACGAUUUCGGCCCCCAGUGGUUCAUAUCGCAAUUAACUUCACCUACGCAAUGCGGAGUUCAAAGCGAAAUUAGUGGCGAGGUUCUCACCCAGAAUAUUGUUGUAGGUGAGGCAGUCCGCGACGACCCGGGGCGCGGUGCUUCCCCCGCCGUCCGCCGUGAAAUUCCCCGCGCUGCGACAACGCCAAUCAGCCGUGGCGAGCUCCCAUUCGUACCCAGUAUGGCCCGGCGAUGUUCCCGCGCCCGCACCGGACUGCUGUGCCUCUUCUCUCUCACUGACGGCGGCGCUGCUUCCAAUACCUCACUGGUGGCGACGAUUUUUUUGUUCUGAGGAAAGAAAUCCACGCGAGAGAGUAGCAGAGGGGAAGAAAUAGGUCACGGGAGCUCCCCUUUAUCGCCCGAGGUCCGAGUUUGUUAGGAUUCCGAAAUCCUAGCUCUCACCCGUGGUGCUCGCGAUGCGUCCAUGGUGGAGGUCCGUGUCGCGCGGCAAGGAGAUCGCUUCCAAAGAUUUCGUAGACUUCUGGUAGCGAAGAUCUCGUCCGAUCCAACGGUACUAGCCCAGCCGUGGUGAGCGGAGGAGGGAGAUGAGGUGGGCGGAUGGAAGAGACACAAUGCCCAGGUCAAAUUGCUGCUGUGCGGGGAAAGAGGAGAUCGAUCCGACAUGUGGGACCCGCGUGACAUUGACUGAACGCGCACGCAACGCAGAGAGAAGGGCUGUGCAGUGGUGUUGGGGAAUGGGCCGGUUCCAAUGAAUUGGGCCCAAUGCGCAGGAUGUCCCCUUUUAUUAUUUCUUCUAUGUUUUCCUUUUUUUCUCUUUAUCUUUUGAAUUCGAAUUUAAAUUCAACUAUGAAUGUGAAUUUUGUACUCAAAGUAAAGGUAGAUCUUGAUCUUACUAGUAUGGAUAAAGUUUACAUUUUUAUAAAUUUUGUUUUGUAUUCUAUAGUAUUUCUUUUCUUCCUCUCCCUCCAUAUUUUAAUUUCCACAUUUAGGUCUAAAUUCCCACUUUGAGUAUCAAUGUCUUUUCUAUAGAUUUUUAUUAUUAUAUGCACACACAAAAUAAAAUUCUCAGCAUGAUGCACAUAUUGUCUUAGGAUCAUUAGUUAAUUAAUUACUUUUAUGGUAAUUGUUCACAGGUAUUAAUGAAUAAAGGUAACAUAUAUAGGGAAAAUAACCUCAUUUCUUAUGUUCUUACAAAUUUGGGUAUUACAUGAUCUCUUUGGUGUGUCUUAGAAUUGAAUGCUAGAGCUCUUGUAGUAGUUGAGAAGUGGAAAACUUGGAUGCAAUGAAUGGAGGCGUGGUUGGGGUAUUUAUAGCCCCAACCACCAAAUGUGGCCGUUGGGAACCUGUCUGUUCGAUGGCGCACCGGACAGUCCGGUGCACACCGGACAGUCCGGUGCACACCGGACAGUCCGGUGCACACCGGACAGUCCGGUGCCCCCUGCCACGUCAUCACUGCCGUUGGAUUCUAGCCGUUGGAGCUUCUGACUUGUGGGCCCGCCUGGGUGUCCGGUGCACACCGGACAUGUACUGUUUGAUGUCCGGUGCACCAGUAUGGGCGUGCCUGACGUCUGCGCGCGCAUUAAAUGCACCGCAGGGAGCCGUUGGCGCCGCAGGGAGCCGUUGCUUCGCUGGCACACCGGACAGUCCGGUGCACACCGGACAGUCCGGUGCACACCGGACAGUCCGGUGAAUUUUAGCGGAGCGGCUGCCGCGCGAACCCGAGGCUGGCGAGUUCCGGAGACCGCGCUUCCUUGGAGCACCGGACAUGUCCGGUGCACACCGGACAGUCCGGUGAAUUAUAGCGCGCCGGCUUCCGAGAAUUCCCGAGGGCGAAGAGUUUGAGUUGGUGUCCUCUGGGCGCACCGGACACUGUCCGGUGCACACCGGACAGUCCGGUGCCUCCAGCCAGAGGUGCCCUCGGUUGCCUCAUUGCUCCUUUGUUGAAUCCAACACUUGGUCUUUUUAUUGACUGAAUGUGAACCUUUACACCUGUAUACUCUAUACACUGGGGCAAACUAGUUAGUCCGAUUAUUUGUGUUGGGCAAUUCAACCACCAAAAUUAUUUGGGAACUAGGUGUAAGCCUAAUUCCCUUUCACAUAUGACAGGGGAGAAAAGGAUGUUCUCCUCCUAUGAGAAAAAUGAAGAUCCCCAAAGAGCUAUCACAUUCGGGGAUGGAAAUCAAGGUUUAGUCAAAGGACUUGGUAAAAUUGCUAUAUCCCCCGACCAUUCUAUUUCCAAUGUUUUUCUUGUAGAUUCUUUAGAUUACAACUUGCUUUCUGUAUCUCAAUUAUGUAAAAUGGGCUACAACUGUCUUUUUAGUGAUACUGGUGUUACUGUCUUUAGAAGAAGUGAUGAUUCAGUAGCUUUUAAGGGAAUGUUAGACGAUCAGCUAUACUUAGUUGAUUUUAAUAGAGUUGAACUCGACACUUGCUUAAUUGCUAAGACUAAUAUGGGUUGGCUCUAGCAUCGCCGACUAGCCCAUGUUGGGAUGAAGAAUCUUCACAAGCUUCUAAAGGGGGAACACAUUUUGGGACUAACAAAUGUUCAUUUUGAGAAAGAUAGGGUUUGUAGCGCAUGUCAAGCAGGAAAGCAAGUUGGUGCCCAUCAUCUACACAAAAAUAUCAUGACAACGGAUAGGCCACUGGAACUACUCCACAUGGAUCUAUUCGGCCCGAUAGCUUACAUAAGCAUCGGCGGGAGUAAGUACUGUCUAGUUAUUGUGAAUGAUUAUUCUCGCUUCACUUGGGUGUUCUUUUUGCAAGAUAAAUCUUAGACCCAAGAGACCUUAAAGGGAUUCUUGAGACGGGCUCAAAAUGAGUUCGGCUUAAGGAUCAAAAAGAUAAGAAGCGACAACAGGAAGGAGUUCAAGAACACACAAAUCGAUGGCUUUCUUGAGGAGGAGGGCAUCAAACAUGAGUUCUCUUCUCCCUACACUCCACAACAAAAUGGUGUAGUGGAGAGGAAGAAUCGAACUCUAUUGGACAUGAUGAGGACCAUGCUUGAUGAGUACAAGACACCGGAUCGGUUUUGGGCUAAGGCGAUUAACACCACCUGCUACUCCAUCAACCGGCUCUACCUUCACUGAAUCCUCAAGAAAACAUCUUAUGAACUCCUCACCGGUAAAAAGCCCACUGUUUCAUAUUUUAGAGUCUUUGGUAGCAAAUGUUUUAUUCUUGUUAAAAGAGGUAGAAAAUCUAAAUUUGCUCCUAAGGUUGUAGAAUGUUUUUACUUGGUUAUGACUCAAACACAAGGGCAUAUAGAGUCUUUAACAAAUCCACUUGUAACACCCCUGGUGUUACUGUCACUAAAACUUGAACAUAACAUCAUGAGCAUGGGCAUAUCAUGUGUUUGUUACACCUAUUGUGCAUUCACUAGGUAAAAAUUUCAAAUAAGUUGUACUGAUGUGACUUGAGGUGUGAUUAACUCUAGGGUAGAGUGUCUAACCCUAGAUCAUGGCUUAUAGAUAUAAGUGAAGCCCAAAUAUGUGAAAACCUCAAAAGACAUGAGAAAUUAUCAUAAGAUAUCCUCUUUAAUGAACUUUAAUAACACCAAAACCUUAAAGUGCUAAAAACACUGAAAAGACCCUUGGAAAACCCUAAAUUGGAACCCUAGGGGGGUAGAUGUAAAUUUUGUGCACUUUUGGACCAAAGUAAAAAUAUAAAAGUAAAAGAGUACCUCAAACCCAAUAUCUUUCAUAUUGGAGAAUUUGCAAGUUGAAUAGUGGAGUUUGGACCUAUUUGCAAAAAAGCACCCUAUGAAUCAUAUGUGGCUAAGUCUGAAUUUCAGUUGAAUGGGAUCAACUUUAGAACUCUAUAUCUCUAAAUCCAUUUUGAUUUUGCCCUAGGUUAAUAUAGCAAACUUGUAAAGCUAAGAUAGGAGUACAACUUUGCUUAAGUAAUUAAGCCUUGGUGUUGUACAAAAAUAGGAGAUAAAUAGGUUUGAAGUCUGGCUGUCAGACCACCCUAAGACUGAAUACUGACUGACAGUGAGUUCUGAUGAACUUUGGACUCGAUUCUUGCUCAAGGGAAUGAGCAAAUGAGCAAGAUCCCUAUAGCAGAAUUGUAGCUAGAUUAUAGGACUACAACUUUGUUAAAGGUGGAUUAGCAAGUAUUACAUGGAAUUUCGAGAUUUGGGCGCUGCAAACUGCUCUGUCAGGCGUCUGAAUGGGGUUCUGAUGGUACAGUGGACUGAAAAAGAUCUCUGGUGCACUGAACCUUGCCGCCGGCGACCUUGCACUCGGAUUCGUGCCAGUGCCGCGAUUCACGCUCCGUUAAACGCAGAUAACGAUCCCCGGGUAAAAAGAUCUCGCUGUGGAUGAACUUGAAGCACAGUGGAUGCUCUGUCGCUCAUCCGGUUACCAGCGACGUGGUCGCGCGACCAUCAUCGUCGUACCGCCAUUCCUCGCGGUUAUGACAUGCCAUCAGCCAUCUUACCACGUCGCAAUUGAUCACAUUGCACAACCCAUCUAUCGGCCAAGAACUCGUCACGGUGAAAGCCACCAAUCCUUUGCGCCAGUGCUCUCCCCUCUCUCUGGCCACCAGCAAUUCCCUUCCAAAUUCGAAGCCGCCGCUCAAAGACUCUAUAAAUUGAUGUCCCAGCCUGCUCCGCUAAGUAAUUGUGCACCCAGUGAACCAGCCCUCACCUCCAAUCGUCCCCCACAGCUCCCCAAUUUGGGAUUUCCCCCAAAUCUGUCAAGAACACCGCAGUGUGUGAGCUCGCCGUGGUCAGCUCUCCGCAGGUCCGAUCAUACCUUCCUCGCUCUCGUUUCAACAUCCCUGUAUGCUGUAGAUGCUUAGCAGCCUGGCCAAUUGAACUAGAUCACGCUAGAUUACUAGAAACUUCUUGGUUUGUCCGUUGAUCGCGCUGUCACCGUGGGCAGAGAGAUUAGGGGCUAGAACCUUGAAAUUGGUUGAGGGGUAAUGAUCAUUAGAAAUCAAAUUAGGUGUUAACCGCACCGGAGCACCGGUAGUUGAGUUAUCCAGCCGGUAUGGGCUCGCCGGAGCCGCUGCUCCGCCGUCCACAAUUGUGGACCUCACCUUGUGAAGGAAUAGAAAGGGGAGGGUCUAUCUGCAUUUGUCAGUGACUCAAAGAAAUAGUGCUGCAGACUCUUUAUGGGUUUCUCAAAUACCCAGGGUCCUAUGUGUAAACCCGACACCAUGGGCACGCGCGGGCGCGCUUUCGCCUGUGCGUGGGCCGACUUGGGCUAAUUUCAGCCCAUUACUGUUUAAGCUUUCUCUUUUUCUUUUUCUGCCAGACUUAAGAAAUCCAUAGAAAAUUUUACAAAAAUGAUAAAAAUAUGAAACUAAUUUUGUUGGACUCCUAGAUUUCUCUAGUAUUUAAUAAAAAUAGUUCUAGGAUGUUUAGUCCAAACAAGAAAUUAAUCAGUAUUUAAAAGAGCUUAAACCUAUACCUCUAGAAUUUUAGGAAUUAUUUAAUAAAUCCAAAAAUCACCAAACUUUUUGGAUAAGUUUAAUAUGAUAUUUAGUUCCUAUGAGUGAAGUUUGACUUGCUUUGGACAUUGUUUGAUGCCUAAACCAAAAACCCUAGCUCCUUAGGGUAAAAAUGUCUAACCUUACUAAGAUACUGACCUAGACAAACCCUAGUUACCCUAGUGCACCGUGAAGGAAAGUUGUAUUCAAGAUACAACUUGAUACCUCUUUGCUAUUAUUGAAUUUUCAUAAGCAUUACAUGAGCAUUCAUGGUUAUAUAUGGAUAUAUAUAGAGAACGAGGAAGAAGUGACUGUUGAAGAGGAAGAAACUACUCCAUCAACAGAAAAUCCACCUGCCGGGAACUGUUUUUACUUUGACAUCUGUGGAACAGAGCCCGACUCUCCUACAACACAAGGCAAGCACCGGUGCAUUUUCCACCUCCUUGCUGUUUUAAAAUCUUUAUCACUUGCUUGAUGCAUUAGGUGAUAGGAGUUGUAUGCUAAACCAAUUGCUGCAUUUCCUUCCUUGGAACUGUUUACCAUUCCUUGAUUACCUAUUUUAUGAAAAGGUUUUCUAAUGCUUAGUCUUGCUUUAGAAAAACAAAAUAUUUUGUUUUUAACAAAAGAUGAUGCUUCAAGUGGAUGGGAUGUUUUCAAAAAUAAAACUUGAUGGUGGAUCUAUUAUGGCCACGAUGGGUUCAACAUCGGAAAAGAUGUACCUCUUACAGGUACCAAACUUUGGGUUUUAAAUAAUAAAGCUGAGACCGGGCGGGUGACUUGCACGAGAAGAGAGUCUCGGUGUAGUGUCUCCGUCUGAGUCGAUUAAGGACCGUCUCGAUGUAGGCUUGCUGAUUGAGGACCUUUUAACUGGUCACAUGCCUCAUCAUGGGUAAGCUUUGCCUCAGGCAGACUAAUACCAGAAAGGCCAACACGCAAUGGGAGUGGAGAGAUGGUGAGAGUAACGUGUACCCUCCGUGGCAAGAGGCUGGGCGAUGGUGUAUCUGUGCUCUCGGUUGGCGUGAACCCGGUCUGGUCUUAAGAAACCCGGUGGCAGUUGACAUAUGCAAGGGUUAAGUGCUACAUAUGUCGUGUGAUUGGAGAUCCUCAACUGGGUAUUAAUCGAUUCAGAUCGCUGUUACUUCUCGGACAUGAAGACUUGGUCACUACCCUACACGUAGCAUUCCAGUAAAACAAGAAGGGGCUGAUAAAGAAUGGCUAGUAUAGGCCAAGUGCUUGAACUAGGGUAGAAAGAACUCUAGUGGCAGGUAAUGACUAAACUUGCUAAUAAAACUGGAUUUUUAAGGAUCCACUAUUAGUAAGCAUUUUUGCAAACAUAGUCUUGAUUCUUGAGUAAGCCUUACCUUGACUCCCUUAAGCCAGCAUAUCCUUGAGAGUCUUUUAUUUUGACGGGUAAGACUUGUGAAAGUACACUCCAUACUCAGGGUUUUCGAACCCAUGUUGUUGUAGGUGGGGAAAUAGCAGACUUUUGCUGUUUUUGCACUAAGGUGGUGCCCAAGGAUGUGGUGCCCAAGGACGAACCUCAACAGUGAUGUGUUUGCGGGAGGAUGUUGGCCUCCCUUUGAAAAACAAUAUACUUUUAUGCGGGAGGGGUUUUUGCCUCCCGGGUUUGUAAUAAUAAUACUUGUGCACUCAUCUACCCUGGCUCUGUAAUAACUAUAACCCUCUUUCUAUAUUUUGAUGAAUGUAAAUUAAGUUAUUGUAAUUCGCUUCCGCUUAUUCGUUCCUCCGAUGUGUUGUAAUAACUGCGUGACGGUUGAAAUGCUCUUGGGCGAGGAAAUAGGAUACAAAUACCGAACUUGUCGAGUGAUUAUGUGCAUCUACAGGGUUGUCCAAGGUCCGUUGGACAAGGACAACUGUAGGUGGGCCUAAUGACUUGGGAGGUUCCGUCACAGCUGGUAUUAGAGCGAAAACCAUCUCUUCAGAUAUUAUGAAGCAUUUCAUAAAGAAUUUUCAAAUACUUAUCCAAGAAAAUUUCUUUCAUUCUUCCCUUGCCACUUUCUAAAAGCUCUCAUCUUGUAAGACCAGGUAAUAGAGUGCAGUAUAUAUGAAGUGGGAUCAACGAAGGUUGAUUCCGUAAUUUUUGGGUUAUGCAUGCAUCAUGUUAAGAAUCUACUAAUAAAUUUCCCCUCUUAUGGAGAUAUGGCACGCACAAGGAAAACUGCACGCAAAUCUAUGGGACCUUUUAGUGUGCCUCGUCACCAGUUAGCCCCCAGACAUGAAGGGAGCAGUAGUGGCUCCAACGACCCCAUUGGAGAUCUAGAAGCGAAGGUGGAGCAACUUCGUUCAGAACUACGCCAUCGGAACAGGGCACGGGAGCAGGACAGUCAGUGGAUAGCCGAACUGUCAGCUGAGGUCAGCCGCUUGAGGUUUGAGAUCUUGUAGCGGAAUUCGGCCAUCGACUGGGCCAUUAACUCGCGUUCGGUUGCUUGGCACCGUGAAGCCAAAGCCCAAGGUCGAGUGGAUGAGCUUGGCACGGUCCUUGAUAACCUGCAAGCAUACUUCAAUACAUUACAUGAAGAAGUUCAUAUGCUGUAUGCUCAACUGCACGCGGACAUGCCUUCCGACACUGCUGCAAUGGAAGUUGGACCCUCGGGAACAGCAAACGCAGGACCUGAAUGGGAGUUGGACCUUUUUAAGCCUCCUCCUACUAUGAACUUGGCUGACGAGCAGUCUCCUGCAGCAGACAGUGAAGCAACUCAAGACAAUGAAGACUAGACUAGUAUAGUUUAGAUAUUGUACUAAGUGUAAAAUAAGUACUGUAGGCAUGUUGUACGCUUGAGUCUGUAACACAACGUUUUGGUAAUGUAAAAUGAUGGUGUGUAUCGGCAUGUUAUAUUUUCCCAAAAUGUUUCUUUGCCUCAGAUGCCAUCAAGGACUCAUGUGCAGGACAGUGCGGGGACUUCCCAUGGUCAGGAAGACACACCCAACCCACCGCCUAUACCACCAACAUUGGCUGAGGCUAUCGCUGCCUUGGUCAAUGCUACCGUAGAUAAUACCUGAUUCUUACGUGAGAUGGCGGGUAAUCAAUUCCAGCAGCAAGGCGGAAGAGCUCCUCCACAGGGACCGCGUGAAACCUCAUAUCUAGAUUUUUCUGAAACGCGUCCCCCACUCUUCGUUAAAGCUGAAGAACCACUUGAAGUUGAUGAGUGGAUCAGGGUAAUAGAGCAGAAGUUCGGAUUAAUCCGUUGCACUGAAACACAGAAGCCGUUAUUCGCCGCUCAACAACUGAGAGGCCCUGCCAGUACAUGGUGGGAAAAUUUUGUGGCAAUUCAACCAGCCAGACAUCAGGUCACUUGGGAUGAAUUUAAGCUAGCAUUCCGUGAACACUAUAUUCCAAAGGGAGUGCUACACAUGAAACAAGAAGAGUUUAUGCGACUAAAGCAAGGGGGGAUACUGUGAUGCAGUACCUCAACAAGUUUAAUCAUUUAUCCCAAUAUGCAAUUGACCAAGUAAAAACUUACCUAAAAAAGAAGAACUGCUUCAUAAGAGGACUCAACGACCGGCUCUAAAGGAAAAUGGCUACCUGCCUAGAUCUUACUUACAGCAGAGCUGUCAGCACAGCGUUGGCAGUAGAAGCCAAGAAUACAGGCCCGAGAACAUCCAAGGGAUUUGGAGGUGACAGGUCCAGUCAGGGACCUGAGAAGCGACCCAGGUUGGUAAUCCGACCGUUCAAUCCGAAUCGUUCUUCGCCUCGUCCACCCUCCUACCCCUUCAAACAGCCUGUUUUCAUUCACCCUGCCACUGCCCCCACUUCUACAAAUCAGCCGACCCCUAGUGCUCGUUUCCCCGCCCUCCCUAGUUCCUCAACUGGCUGCUUCAACUAUGGGAAGUCUGGUCAUUUUAUCAAAGACUGCCCAUAUCCGAGGCAGAAUAAGUCUAACAAUCAGCAGAACUCUGGGAGCUCAAAUCAAGGCAAAGGGAACAUGGCAAAUAAUUCAGGGGGCAAAAAUGUUAAGAAGACUGGGCGAAUUUAUUACACUCAAGUGGCCACUACAAUGGAAGGAGAGCCGCUAAUGAUGGGUACGUUCCUUGUGGCCAAUCACCCAGCAGUCAUUCUCUUUGAUUCUGGUGCUUCGCAUUGAAAGGGAAAUGUGCCCUUGGGCCAUUUCUAAGUAUUUUGGUGAUUGAGUGCGAACACAAGUGCUUUUGUGUUAAUCUAUGCAAAGUGGUGGACAAAGUGAAAAUCAUGUCAAAAGGUAUGUUUCUAGACUUAGUACAUUGUUUUAUGGACUAAUGUAUUGUGUCUAAGUGCUGGAAACAGGAAAAUCGAAUUGGAAAAGAGAUGGCUUUGUACAGCCAAAGUCUGCUCAGUCUGGGUGCACCGAACUGUCCGGUGGUGCACCGGACAGUGUCCGGUGCUCCAGGCUGGCUCUGACGAACUUGCUGCUCUCGGGACUUCGACGGCGAUGUACGGCUAUAAAUCACCGGACUGUCCGGUGGUGCACCGGACUGUCCGGUGAGCCGUUCACAGGCGAACUCGUCGCUCUCGGGAAGCCAUCAACGGCGUACGACUAUAAUUCACCAGACUGUCCGGUGAGGCAACGGUCAGCCGGGGCAACGGUCGGCCGAGGAUUCCGCGCGUGACGCGUGGCCGGGCCAACGGUCACAUUGGGGCACCGGACUGUCUGGUGUGCACCAGACAGUGUCCGGUGCGCCAACGGCUCUCAAUCAACAACAGUCGACUUCGCCUAACAAGGAAACAAAUCUGCACCGGACAGUGUCCGGUGGUGCACCGGAUUGUCCGGUGCGCCAGGCGACAGAAGGCAAGAUCAGCUUUCCUGGAAUGCUCUCAACGGCUCCUAGCUGCCUUGGGGCUAUAAAAGGGACCCCUAGGCGCAUGGAGGAGCACACCAAGCAUACUCAAAGCAUUCCUAAGCACUGAGACUUCGAUUCCACGCAUUUGUUUCUUCGUGAUAGCAUCUAGAGCUCUAUUAGAGUUGUGAACUCAUCGGGUUGUGUUGCGAGCUCUUGUUGCGACUUGUGUGCGUGUUGACAUUAUGAUUUUGUGUCUUGUGUGCGUUGCUCAUCCCUCCCUUACUCCGUGCUUCUUUGUGAACUUCAAGUGUAAGGGCGAGAGACUCCAAGUUGUGGAGAUUCCUCGCGAACGGGAUAAAGAAAAGCAAAGCAAAACACCGUGGUAUUCAAGUGGGUCUUUGGACCGCUUGAGAGGGGUUGAUUGCAACCCUCGUCCGUUGGGACGCCACAACGUGGAAGUAGGCAAGUUUUGUACUUGGCCGUACCACGGGAUAAACCACUGUGUCUACCUGUGUUGAUUCUCUUGUGGUUAUCGUGUCUUGCAAGAACUUCUCUCUAGCCACUUGGCGAUUAUUGUGCUAACACUUAAUCAAGUUUUUGUGGCUUAAGUUUAAGUUUUACAGGAUCACCUAUUCACCCCCCUCUAGGUGCUCUCACGCAUACAUUCAUAAUCAAGGAAUUUGUGGAAAAACAUUGCAUUCCUUGCACUGAAUCAAGGGAAGGGUUUAUUAUUCAUUCACCCGGGGGACAAAUAUUUACUAAAGAAGUAGUCUUCCAUGUGCCAGUAACAUUAGCUGAACGGGAUUUUCCCACAAACAUGAUUGUUUUGAAAGGCCAAGAUAUAGAUGUAAUCCUGGGCAUGAAUUGGUUAGCCCAGCAUAAAGCUAUCCUCAACACUGACUUAAGGACUAUCAAGUUGAGCCAUGGCCAUGAAGAGGUUCUCUUGUCCAUCCCUAUAGCUAUCCUAGCCAAACCAUUUGGAUGGGUCUAUGAAUAUAUCAUACCAGACAUCCAGGAUAUUCUGGUAGUAUGUGAAUUUCCAGAUGUAUUUCCUGAAGAUUUGCUUGGAUUACCUCCAGAAAGGGAUGUAGAGUUUGUAAUUGAACUGAAGCCCGGUACGGCUCCCAUUUCUAGAAGGUCGUACCGAAUGCCACCUAAUGAAUUGGCGGAACUCAAAACUCAAUUACAAGAUCUACUGGAGAAGGGAUUCAUUCGACCCAGUUCAUCGCCUUGGGGAUGUCCCACAAUCUUUGUUAAGAAGAAGGAUCAAACACUCAGUAUGUGAGUGGACUACAGACCCCUUAAUGAGGUCACAAUCAAGAACAAGUACCCUCUUCCCCGGAUCGAUAUCUUGUUCGAUCAACUUACUGGAGCAUGGGUAUUCUCCAAAAUUGACCUCAGGUCGGGUUAUCAUCAGAUCCGUAUUUGACCCGAAGAUAUACCCAAGACCGCAUUUACUACGUGGUACGGAUUAUUCGAAUAUUUGGUUAUGUCCUUCGGAUUGACGAAUGCUCCCGCCCACUUCACAUAUCUAAUGAACUCGAUAUUUAUACCCGAGUUGGAUAAAUUUGUGGUGGUCUUCAUUGAUGAUAUUUUGAUUUAUUCCAAGAAUGAAGAGGAGCAUGCUAAACAUUUAUGGAUCGUAUUAACGCGCUUAAGGGAACAUAAAUUAUAUGCUAAAUUCAGCAAAUGCACGUUUUGGUUGGAAGAAAUCCAAUUUUUGGGACAUGUACUGUCUGCAAAUGGGAUUGCGGUUGAUCCCAGCAAGGUCAAGAAUAUUUUAGAGUCGAAACCGCCAACCACUGUACAUCAAGUUCGAAGUUUUCUUGGGCUGGCUGGCUAUUACCACAGAUUUAUCUCGGAUUUUUCCAAGAUUGUGAAGCCGAUCACAAGUCUAUUGAAGAAUGAUACAAAAUUUAACUUGUCCUCAAGAUGCAACGAAGCCUUCGAGCAGCUGAAGGUAUUAUUAACCACUGCUCCGAUAUUGGCUCAACCGGACAUUGAAAAGCCUUUUGAUGUGUACUGUGACGCAUCGAGCAGUGCUCUCGGAUGUGUCUUAAUGCAAGAGGGCCGGGUUAUAGCAUAUGCUUCAAGACAGUUGCACCGGCAUGAGGAACAUUAUCCAACUCAUGACUUAGAAUUAGCUGCUGUGGUUCAUGCCCUUAAAAUAUGGCGUCAUUAUCUACUGGGAAAUAUCUGCCAUAUAUAUACAAAUCAUAAAAGUUUGAAGUAUAUUUUUACCCAGUCAGAACUAAACAUGAGGCAAAGGAGAUGGCUUGAGCUAAUUAAGGAUUAUGAGUUAGAAAUCCACUAUCACCCAGGAAAGGCCAACGUGGUGGCAGAUGCGCUAAGUCGCAAGGCUUCUUGGCAUUGUCUUACAGCAAGGACCUCUGACAUCACGUUAUGUCAAGAAAUGGAGAAGUUAAACCUAGGAAUGAUUCAACAUGGAACCUUGAACCAAUUAAAGCUUGAGUAGAUUAUUCUGCAAAAGAUUAUUGAUGCACAAAGAAGUGAUAAGGGUAUGAAACAUAUUCAUGAGAAAAUAGAAGCCGGCUCAGGCCUUUUUCCUGAGUGCCUCUCUGUAAGGACCUGUUCGUGGAGUGACUACCCGGGAUAACAAUACAACCAUGAGGGUGGAAUGGGACGCCCUUAGCUGAUUAAUUAGAUGAACCUGGGGUGUAGCUGGCUUUGCCGUAGGGCCGUCAAUGGGGGCCGGGGCGUAGUGCUCGCUCUGCCAAGGUUGGGGUGCAGAGGUUCAUUCGAUUUGGUUUUUGUUAGUCACCCACCUUGGGGAGGUGUACUGUGUUUGUACGACUGGCGAAACCUAACGAGCAGCUAUGCACCAGGGGAGUCUUUGUAAAGGCUACGUAGUUAGACCCUGCUAGGUCACCUUGGUAGUGAUCAAUGGGGAGUCAUGAUCUCCAGGCAGAAUGGGAAUCACGACUUAUGGGUAAAGUGUACAACCUCUGUAGAGUGUUAAAAACCAGUAUAUUAGCCGAGCUCACGGUUAGGAGCAGCCUUGGGAUCCUCUUUGAUUAGAAGAACUUGGAUACUUUUAUGAUGAUGAUUAAGAAUGUUGGUUAUACAAUCUGAUCUCUGGUAUUUCCUCGUUUGAGGAAGUACUUUUGGGUAAUAACUGGGUUUAUUACUAAAAGUUGGCUCUACUAAUAAUAUUAAAUACUUGACUAACUUAAAAGCAACUGCUUGACCUCAACCCCACAUACAGCUAGUCCACUUUAGCCAAACGGGACAUUUGCUGAGUACGUUGAUGUGUACUCACCCUUGCUUUACAAACCACUCCACUCCAGGUUGUCCCCACUGUACCCAGUGCUCAGGAGGUGAUGCUGGCAACAUGGAGGAUUUCAAGGAGUUUGAGGACUAUGUCGAGUUCUAGUUCUUUCUUAGUGGCAACCCCCAGUCAGCUGCCUGUGUAGGCUUAGCAUCUACGUUUCGUAAUUCCACACUUUGAUAUUUAAGUUGAACAAUGGUUAUGUAUUAGACUACGUGGAUGUCUUGGACAUCUUGAUUUAAUAAAGUACCUUUCCGCUAUUUAUUUCGAGCAUUGUGUGAUGAUGUCUAAUUAUGUAAUCGCUGUGUACGUGAGUUUUCUGAUCCUGGCACGUACAUGGUUCCCAUUCGGUUUGUGAUAGUCGCCUAGAGGGGGGGGGGUGAAUAGGGCGAAACUGAAAUUUACAAAUAUAAACACAACUACAAGCCGGGUUAGUGUUAGAAAUAUAAACGAGUCCGCAAGAGAGGGCGCAAAACAAAUCGCGAGCAAAUAAUGAAGUGUGACACACGGAUUUGUUUUACCGAGGUUCGGUUCUCUCAAACCUACUCCCCGUUGAGGAGGCCACAAAGGCCGGGUCUCUUUCAACCCUUCCCUCUCUCAAACGGUCCCUCGGACCGAGUGAGCUUCUCUUCUCAAAUCAAAGCUGGGAACAAAACUUCCCCGCAAGGGCCACCACACAAUUGGUGCCUCUUGCCUUGAUUACAAUGGAGUUUUGAUCACAAGAACAAGUGAGAAAGAAAAGAAGCAAUCCAAGCGCAAGAGCUCAAAUGAACACGGCAAAUCACUCUCACUAGUCACUAGGGUUUUGUGUGGAAUUGGAGAGGAUUUGAUCUCUUUGAAUGUGUCUAGAAUUGAAUGCCUAGCUCUUGUAAGUGGUUGAGAAGUGGGAAAACUUGGAUGCAAUGAAUGGUGGGGUGGUUGGGGUAUUUAUAGCCCCAACCACCAAAUAUGGCCGUUGGGAACCUGUCUGUUCGAUGGCGCACCGGACAGUCCGGUGCACACCGGACAGUCCGGUGCCCCCUGCCACGUCAUCACUGCCGUUGGAUUCUAGCCGUUGGAGCUUCUGACUUGUGGGCCCGCCUGGGUGUCCGGUGCACACCGGACAGGUACUGUUUGAUGUCCGGUGCACCGGUAUGGGCGAGCCUGACGUCUGCGCGCGCUGCGCGCGCAUUAAAUGCACCGCAGGGAGCCGUUGGCGCCGCAGGGAGCCGUUGCUCCGCUGGCACACCGGACAGUCCGGUGCACACCGGACAGUCCGGUGAAUUUUAGCGGAGCGGCUGCCGCGCGAACCCGAGGCUGACGAGUUCCGAAGACCGCGCUUCCUUGGAGCACCGGACAUGUCCGGUGCACACCGGACAGUCCGGUGAUUUAUAGCGCGCCGGCUUCCAAGAAAUCCCGAGGGCGAGGAGUUUGAGUUGGUGCCCUCUGGGCGCACCGGACACUGUCCGGUGCACACCGGACAGUCCGGUGCCUCCAGCCAGAGGUGCCCUCGGUUGCCUCAUUGCUCCUUUGUUGAAUCCAAUACUUGGUCUUUUUAUUGACUGAAAGUGAACCUUUAACACCUGUAUAAUCUAUACACUUGGGCAAACUAGUUAGUCCAAAGAUUUGUGUUGGGCAAUUCAACCACCAAAAUUAUAUAGGAACUAGGUGUAAGCCUAAUUCCCUUUCAAUCUCCCCCUUUUUGGUGAUUGAUGCCAACACAAACCAAAGCAAAUAUAGAAGUGCAUAAUUGAACUAGUUUGCAUAAUGUAAGUGUAAAGGUUGCUUGGAAUUGAGCCAAUAAAACUACUUACAAGAUAUGCAUGGAAUGUUUCUUUCUUAUUUAGCAUUUUGGACCACGUUUGCACCACAUGUUUUGUUUUUGCAAAUCCUUUUGUAAAUCCAUUUCAAAGAUCUUUUGCAAAUAGUCAAAGGUAAAUGAAUAAGAGUUUGCAAAAGCAUUUUCAAGAUUUGAAAUUCUCUCCCCCUGUUUCAAAUGCUUUUCCUUUGACUAAACAAAACUCCCCCUAAAAGAGAUCCACCUCUUAGUGUUCAAGAGGGUUUUGAUAUACUAUUUUUGAAAUACUACUUUCUCCCCCUUUUGAACACAAUAGGAUACCUAUUGAUAAAUACUUUUGGAAAGCACUAAGAAUUUUUUUGAAAUUGGUGGUGGUGCGGUCGGUCCUUUUGCUUUGGGCUCAUUUCUCCCCCUUUUUGGCAUGAAUCGCCAAAAACGGAAUCAUUAGAGCCCUCGAAGUAAUUUCUUCCCCUUUGGUCAUAAGUAAAUGAGUUAAGAUUAUACCAAAGACGAAGUCCUUUUCAUGAUGCUCAUUUCUCCCCCAAAGAAUAGAGAGAUGGUUGGAGUGAUGGCGAAGGAUGAGUUACGGAGUGGAAGCCUUUGUCUUCGCCGAAGACUCCAAUUUCCUUUCAAUAUACCUAUGACUUGGUUUGAAAUAGACUUGAAAACACAUUAGUCAUAGCAUAUAAAAGAGAUAUGAUCAAAGGUAUUCAAAUGAGCUAUGUGUGCAAGCUAGCAAAAGAAAUUUCUAGAAUCAAGAAUAUUGAGCUCAUGCCUAAGUCUGGUAAAAGAUUGUUCAUCAAGUGGCUUGGUAAAGAUAUCGGCUAAUUGAUCUUUAGUAUUAAUGUAAGAAAUCUCGAUAUCCCCCUUUUGUUGGUGAUCCCUAAGAAAAUGAUACCGAAUGGCUAUGUGCUUAGUGCGGCUAUGCUCGACUGGAUUGUCGGCCAUUUUGAUUGCACUCUCAUUAUCACAUAGCAAAGGGACUUUGGUUAAUUUGUAACCGUAGUCCCGCAGGGUUUGCCUCAUCCAAAGCAAUUGCGCGCAACAGUGUCCUGCGGCAAUAUACUCGGCUUCGGCGGUGGAAAGAGCGACCGAAUUUUGCUUCUUUGAAGCCCAAGACACCAAGGAUCUUCCCAAGAACUGGCAAGUCCCCGAUGUGCUCUUCCUAUUAAUUUUACACCCCGCCCAAUCGGCAUCCGAAUAACCAAUCAAAUCAAAUGUGGAUCCCCGAGGGUACCAAAGCCCAAACUUAGGUGUGUAAGCCAAAUAUCUCAAGAUUCGUUUUACGGCCGUAAGGUGGGAUUCCUUAGGGUCGGAUUGGAAUCUUGCACACAUGCAAACGGAAAGCAUAAUGUCCGGUCGAGAUGCACAUAAAUAAAGCAAUGAACCAAUCAUCGACCGGUAUACCUUUUGAUCCACGGACUUACCUCCCGUGUCGAGGUCGAGAUGCCCAUUUGUUCCCAUGGGUGUUUUGAUGGGCUUGGCAUCCUUCAUUCCAAACUUGCUUAGGAUGUCUUGAGUGUACUUCGUUUGGCUGAUGAAGGUGCCCACUUGGAGUUGCCUUACUUGAAAUCCUAGAAAAUACUUCAACUCCCCCAUCAUAGACAUCUCGAAUUUCUGUGUCAUGAUCCUACUAAACUCUUCACAUGUAGACUCGUUAGUAGACCCAAAUAUAAUAUCAUCAACAUAAAUUUGGCAUACAAACAAGUCAUUUUCAAGAGUUUUAGUGAAGAGUGUAGGAUCGGCCUUGCCGACUUUGAAGCCAUUAGCAAUAAGGAAAUCUCUUAGGCAUUCAUACCAUGCUCUUGGGGCUUGCUUGAGCCCAUAGAGCGCCUUAGAGAGCCUAUAAACAUGAUUAGGGUACUCACUGUCUUCAAAGCCGGGAGGUUGCUCAACAUAGACCUCUUCCUUGAUCGGUCCGUUGAGGAAGGCACUUUUCACGUCCAUUUGAUAGAGCUUAAAGCCAUGGUAAGUAGCAUAGGCCAAUAAAAUGCGAAUUGACUCAAGCCUAGCUACGGGUGCAUAGGUUUCACCGAAAUCCAAACCUUCGACUUGUGAAUACCCUUUGGCCACGAGUCGAGCUUUGUUCCUUGUCACCACACCAUGCUCGUCUUGCUUGUUGCGGAAGACCCAUUUGGUUCCUACAACAUUUUGGUUAGGACGUGGAACUAAAUGCCAUACCUCAUUUCUAGUGAAGUUGUUGAGCUCCUCUUGCAUUGCCACCACCCAAUCCGAAUCUUGGAGAGCUUCCUCUACCCUGUGUGGCUCAAUAGAGGAAACAAAAGAGUAAUGUUCACAAAAAUGAGCAACCCGAGAUCUAGUAGUUACCCCCUUAUGAAUGUCUCCGAGGAUAGUGUCGACGGGGUGAUCUCGUUGGAUUGCUUGGUGGACUCUUGGGUGUGGCGGCCUUGGUUCUUCCUCAUCCUCCUUUUCUUGAUUAUUUUCAUCUCCCCCUUGAUCAUUGCCAUUAUCUUGAGGUGGCUCAUCUUCUUGAUUUUGCUCUUCAUCAACUUGAGCCUCAUCCUCAUUUUGAGUUGGUGGAGAUGCUUGCAUGGAGGAGGACGGUUGAUCUUGUGCCUGUGGAGGCUCUUCGGAUUCCUUAGGACACACAUCCCCAAUGGACAUGUUCCUUAGCGCUAUGCAUGGAGCCUGUUCUUCACCUAUCUCAUCAAGAUCAACUUGCUCUACUUGAGAGCCGUUAGUUUCAUCAAACACAACGUCACAUGAGACUUCAACUAGUCCAGUGGACUUGUUAAAGACUCUAUAUGCCCUUGUGUUUGAGUCAUAUCCUAGUAAAAAGCCUUCUACAGUUUUAGGUGCAAACUUGGAUUUUCUACCUCUUUUAACAAGAAUAAAGCAUUUGCUACCAAAAACUCUAAAGUAUGAAAUGUUGGGCUUUUUACCAGUAAGGAGUUCAUAGGAUGUCUUCUUGAGGAUUCGGUGAAGAUAUAACCGGUUGAUGGCGUAGCAGGCGGUGUUGACCGCUUCGGCCCAAAAUCGGUCCGGUGUCUUGUACUCAUCAAGCAUGGUUCUUGCCAUGUCCAAUAGAGUUCGAUUCUUUCUCUCCACUACACCAUUUUGUUGUGGCGUGUAGGGUGAGGAGAACUCAUGCUUGAUGCCCUCCUCCUCAAGGAAGCCUUCAAUUUGUGAGUUCUUGAACUCCGUCCCGUUGUCGCUUCUUAUCUUCUUGAUCCUUAAGCCGAACUCAUUUUGAGCCCGUCUCAAGAAUCCCUUUAAGGUCUCUUGGGUUUGAGAUUUUUCCUGUAAAAAGAAUACCCAAGUGAAGCGAGAAUAAUCAUCCAUAAUAACAAGACAAUACUUACUCCCGCCGAUGCUUAUGUAAGCAAUCGGGCCGAAUAGAUCCAUGUGGAGUAGCUCAAGCGGCCUGUCGGUCGUCAUGAUGUUCUUGUGUGGAUGAUGGACUCCAACUUGCUUCCCUGCCUGGUAUGCGCUACAAAUCCUGUCUUUCUCAAAAUGAACAUUUGUUAAUCCUAAAAUGUGCUCUCCCUUUAGAAGCUUAUGAAGAUUCUUCAUCCCAACAUGGGCUAGUCGGCGGUGCCAGAGCCAACCCAUGUUAGUCUUAGCAAUUAAGCAUGUGUCAAGUUCAGCUCUAUCAAAAUCUACUAAGUAUAGCUGACCCUCUAACACACCCUUAAAUGCUAUUGAAUCAUCACUUCUUCUAAAGACAGUGACACCUACAUCAGUAAAAAGACAGUUGUAGCCCAUUUGACAUAAUUGGGAAACAGAAAGCAAGUUGUAAUCUAAAGAAUCAACAAGAAAAACAUUGGAAAUAGAAUGGUCAGGAGAUAUAGCAAUUUUACCAAGUCCUUUGACCAAACCUUGAUUUCCAUCCCCGAAUGUGAUAGCUCGUUGGGGAUCUUGGUUUUUCUCAUAUGAGGAGAACAUCCUUUUCUCCCCGGUCAUGUGGUUUGUGCACCCGCUGUCGAGUAUCCAACUUGAGCCCCCGGAUGCAUAAACCUACAAAACAAUUUUAGUUCUUGACUUUAGGUACCCAAACGGUUUUGGGUCCUUUGGCAUUAGAAACAAGAACUUUGGGUACCCAAACACAAGUCUUGGAGCCCUUGUGUUUGCCCCCAACAAACUUGGCAACUACCUUGCCGGAUUUGCUAGUAAGCACAUAAGAUGCAUCAAAAGUUUUAAAUGAAAUGGCAUGAUCAUUUGAUGCAUUAGGAAUUUUCUUUUUAGGCAACUUAGCAUGGGUUGGUUGCCUAGAACUAGAUGUCUCACCCUUAUACAUAAAAGCAUGAUUAGGGCCAGAGUGAGACUUCCUAGAAUGAAUCUUCCUCAUUUUGCUCUCAGGAUAGCCGGCAGGAUAUAAAAUGUAACCCUUGUUAUCCUGAGGCAUGGGAGCUUUGCCCUUAACAAAAUUAGACAAGUUCUUAGGAGGGGCACUAAUUUUGACAUUGUUUCCCCUUUGGAAGCCAAUGCCAUCCUUAAUGCCAGGGCGUCUCCCAUUAUAAAGCAUGCUACGAGCAAAUUUAAAUUUCUCAUUUUCUAAGUUAUGCUCGGCAAUUUUAGCAUCAAGUUUAGCUAUAUGAUCAUUUUGUUGCUUAAUUAAGAUCAUGUGAUCAUGAAUAGCAUUAACAUCAAUAUCUCUACAUCUAGUACAAACAGAUACAUGCUCAACAAUAGAUGUAGAGGGUUUGCAAGAUUUUAAUUCUACAACCUUAGCAUGCAACAUAUCAUUUUUAGUUCUAAGGUCAGAAAUUGUAACAUUGCAAACAUCUAGUUCUUUAGCCUUAGUAAUCAACUUUUCAUUUUCUACUCUAAGGCUAGCAAGAGAUACAUUCAAUUCAUCAAUCUUAGCAAGCAAAUCAACAUUAUCAUUUCUAAGAUUGGGAAUUGAAACAUUACAAACAUGUGAAUCAACCUUAGCAUUUAAAAUAGCAUUUUCAUUCCUAAGGUUGUCAAUCAUCUCACGGCAAGUGCUUAGCUCACUAGAUAAUUUUUCACAUUUUUCUACUUCUAGAGCAUAAGCCUUUUUAACCUUAACAUGUUUUUUGUUUUCUUUAAUUAGACAAUCCUCUUGGGAAUCCAAAAGGUCAUCCUUUUCAUGAAUAGCACUAACCAAUUCAUUUAAUUUUUCUUUUUGAGCUAUGUUAAGGUUGGCAAAAAGGGAACGCAAAUUAUCUUCCUCAUCACUAGCAUUGUCAUCACUAGAGGAUUCAUAUUUAGUGGAGGAUUUUGAUUUAACCUUCUUUUUGCCGUCCUUUGCCAUGAGGCACUUGUGGCCGACGUUGGGGAAGAGGAGUCCCUUGGUGACGGCGAUGUUGGCGGCGUCCUCGUCGUCGGAGGAGUCGCUUGAGCUCUCGUCGGAGUCCCACUCGCGACAAACAUGGGCAUCGCCGCCCUUCUUCUUGUAAUACCUCUUCUUUUCCUUUCGUCUCCCCUUCUUGUCGUCACCUCGGUCACUGUCACUAGAUAUAGGACAUUUAGCAAUAAAAUGACCGGGCUUACCACACUUGUAGCAAACCUUCUUGGAGCGGGACUUGUAGUCUUUCCCCCUCCUUUGUUUGAGGAUUUGGCGGAAGCUCUUGAUGACGAGCGCCAUUUCCUCAUUGUCGAGCUUGGAGGCGUCGAUUGGUUGUCGACUUGGUGUAGCCUCCUCCUUCUUCUCCUCCGUUGCCUUGAAUGCAACGGGUUGGGCUUCGGAUGAGUCGCCAAGCUCGUUGAUUUUCCUCGAGCCUUCUAUCAUGCACUCAAAACUUACAAAAUGCCCGAUAACUUCCUCGGGGGUCAUUUUAGUAUAUCUAGGAUUACCACGAAUCAAUUGAACUUGAGUGGGAUUAAGAAAAAUGAGAGAUCUUAAAAUAACAUUUACCACUUCGUGAUCGUCCCACUUCUUGCUCCCGAGGUUGCGCACUUGGUUCACCAAAGUCUUGAGCCGGUUGUACAUGUGUUGUGGCUCCUCUCCUUUGUGAAGCCGGAACCGACCGAGCUCCCCCUCGAUCGUUUCCCGCUUGGUGAUCUUGGUGAGCUCGUCUCCCUCGUGCGCGGUUUUGAGUACAUCCCAAAUCUCCUUGGCGCUCUUCAACCCUUGUACUUUGUUAUACUCCUCUCUACUUAGAGAGGCGAGGAGUAUUGUUGUUGCUUGAGAGUUGAAGUGCUCGAUUUGGGCCACCUCAUCCUCAUCAUAGUCCUCAUCCCCUACGGAUGGUACCUGCGCGCCAAACUCAACAACAUCCCACAUGCUUUUGUGGAGCGAGGUUAGAUGAAAUCGCAUUAAAUCGCUCCACCUAGCGUAAUCUUCACCAUCAAAAGUUGGUGGUUUUCCUAAUGGGACGGAAAGUAAAGGUGUAUGUUUGGAAAUGCGAGGGUAGCGUAGGGGGAUCUUACUAUACUUCUUGCGCUCUUGGCGCUUAGAAGUGACGGAGGGCGCAUCGGAGUCGGAGGUAGAAGUUGAUGAAGUGUCGGUCUCGUAGUAGACCACCUUCCUCAUCCUCUUGUGCUUGUCGCCUUUCCGAUGCGGCUUGUGGGAAGAAGAUUUCUCCUUCUUCUCUUGGUGGUGAGAAGAGGAAGACUUUUUCUCCUUCCGUUUGGAGGAGUCCUUCUUCUUCUCCUUCCUCUUGGUGCGGGACUCUUCCGAUGAAGUGCUCCCGUGGCUUGUAGUGGGCUUUUCGCCGGUCUCCAUCUCCUUCUUGGCGUGAUCUCCCGACAUCACUUCGAGCGGUUAGGCUCUAAUGAAGCACCGGGCUCUGAUACCAAUUGAUAGUCGCCUAGAGGGGGGGGGUGAAUAGGGCGCACUGAAAUUUACAAAUAUAAACACAACUACAAGCCGGGUUAGUGUUAGAAAUAUAAACGAGUCCGCAAGAGAGGGCGCAAAACAAAUCGCGAGCAAAUAAUGAAGUGUGACACACGGAUUUGUUUUACCGAGGUUCGGUUCUCUCAAACCUACUCCCCGUUGAGGAGGCCACAAAGGCCGGGUCUCUUUCAACCCUUCCCUCUCUCAAACGGUCCCUCGGACCGAGUGAGCUUCUCUUCUCAAAUCAAAGCUGGGAACAAAACUUCCCCGCAAGGGCCACCACACAAUUGGUGCCUCUUGCCUUGAUUACAAUGGAGUUUUGAUCACAAGAACAAGUGAGAAAGAAAAGAAGCAAUCCAAGCGCAAGAGCUCAAAUGAACACGGCAAAUCACUCUCACUAGUCACUAGGGUUUUGUGUGGAAUUGGAGAGGAUUUGAUCUCUUUGAAUGUGUCUAGAAUUGAAUGCCUAGCUCUUGUAAGUGGUUGAGAAGUGGGAAAACUUGGAUGCAAUGAAUGGUGGGGUGGUUGGGGUAUUUAUAGCCCCAACCACCAAAUAUGGCCGUUGGGAACCUGUCUGUUCGAUGGCGCACCGGACAGUCCGGUGCCCCCUGCCACGUCAUCACUGCCGUUGGAUUCUAGCCGUUGGAGCUUCUGACUUGUGGGCCCGCCUGGGUGUCCGGUGCACACCGGACAGGUACUGUUUGAUGUCCGGUGCACCGGUAUGGGCGAGCCUGACGUCUGCGCGCGCUGCGCGCGCAUUAAAUGCACCGCAGGGAGCCGUUGGCGCCGCAGGGAGCCGUUGCUCCGCUGGCACACCGGACAGUCCGGUGCACACCGGACAGUCCGGUGAAUUUUAGCGGAGCGGCUGCCGCGCGAACCCGAGGCUGACGAGUUCCGAAGACCGCGCUUCCUUGGAGCACCGGACAUGUCCGGUGCACACCGGACAGUCCGGUGAUUUAUAGCGCGCCGGCUUCCAAGAAAUCCCGAGGGCGAGGAGUUUGAGUUGGUGCCCUCUGGGCGCACCGGACACUGUCCGGUGCACACCGGACAGUCCGGUGCCUCCAGCCAGAGGUGCCCUCGGUUGCCUCAUUGCUCCUUUGUUGAAUCCAAUACUUGGUCUUUUUAUUGACUGAAAGUGAACCUUUAACACCUGUAUAAUCUAUACACUUGGGCAAACUAGUUAGUCCAAAGAUUUGUGUUGGGCAAUUCAACCACCAAAAUUAUAUAGGAACUAGGUGUAAGCCUAAUUCCCUUUCAGUUUGCCUUCCAAAACCGGGUGUGACAUAAGUGGUAUCAAAGCCUUGUUAACUGUAGGACUGCUAACCUAGACUAGAAUGGUCGCCCUAAGGACUAUAGACCCUGUCGGCGUUUCAGACCCGGGGGGUCCCUGGACCGAUGAGUGAAAUUGUCGCUGCGUGCCCCUGUCCAGAUGGGUUGGUAUGGGAUGGAACACAAGAGGUGGGACAAGCCUUGUAUUAUCCUGCACCAGGGUGCUCGUAGUAGGGGUUACAAGCAUCGCAAGAGGGAAGAAGAGAGCCGGUCCGUCAGCCCGCCGUCCCCUCUGCGCGAGAGCCCUCCUUUUCUUCUUCCGCGGGAAGGCCCUGGACCUCCCUUUUAUAGAUGCAAGGAGAGGGUCCAUGUGUACAAUGGGGGGGUGUAGCAAUGCGCUAACGUGUCUAGCAGAGAAAUGCCUAAGCCCUGUGUACAUGCCAACGUGGCUGUCGGGGGAGAGCUUGAGCCCUGUAUACGUGAUAGCGUGGCCGUCGAAGAAGCGCCUGAGCCCUGUAGGAUCACAGCUAGCAGUGCGGCAAGGAUCCUGCUGAAGUCUCCUUGCUGCCGUAAGGGGUUGAGAGCCACCGGCGUCAUGGUUGCACGCGGGGCACCAUCAUUACCCGUCGCUGGGGGUAAGCCAGAUGGGACACCGGUCUUGUUCCUUGUAGCCUGAGCUGGCUAGGGAUAGAGUAAUGAUGUAUCCCCCUAUUGGCGCGGUCGGUCCGAACCCAAGGUCGGGCGAGGCGGAGACUUCUCUUGAGGCCGAGGCCGGGGUCGGGCGAGGACGCGAUUCCUCCCGAGACCAAGGUCGAGGCCGAGUCCGGAGGUCGGGCGAGGCGGAGACCUCCUCCAGAGGCCGGAGCCUGAGGUCGGGCGAGGCGGAGCUUCCUGUUGCACUCGAGGCCAAACUCGGUGGUUGAUCGUGACUUGUUGUCAGCUUCGCCUGGGUGGUUGGCACAGUAGUCAGAGCGGGGCGAGCGACGCUGCUUUCCCAUCAGAUCGGACAGUAAAAGGGGGGCAAAGUGACUGCGGUCACUUUGGCCCUGCCGACUGAGGCGUGUGUGUCAGGAUACGGUGUCAGACGAUCCUCGCAUUGAAUGCGCCUGCGAUGUGGUCGAUUGGUGAGGCGGUUUGGCCAAGGCUGCUUCACAAUGAAGCCUGCCCGAGCCGGGCUUCGGGAGAGCCGAGGGGGUGCCCGCUGCCUGAGGAGGCCCUCGGGCGAGGCGUUAACUCAUCUGAGACUACUGCUCCAGCCCGAGGCUGGGCUUGGGCGAGGUCGCGUCCCUUGGGUAGACAAAGCCUUGACUUGAACCGCGCCCGUCAGUUGGUCUGAGGGUGUUUACCAGCCGUGAUUAGGAGUGUUGGGGGUACCCCUAAUUACGGUACCCGACAGUAGCCCCCGAGCCUCGAAGGGAGUGUUGAUACUCGCUUGGAGGCUUUUGCCGCAUUUUUGGUGAGGGGACCGGCCUUUCUCGGUUUUGCUUUGUUCUGGUGGGUGCGCGCGAGCGCACCCGCCGGGUGUAGCCCCCGAGGCCUUGGAGGAGUGGUUUGACUCCUCUGAGGUCUUAAUGCUUUUCGUGGUGCCUCGGCCGGUCUGAUCGUUCCCUCAUGUGGCCUGGCCGUAGCCCGGGUGCAUGGUCAGGUUCCGAGUUAUCAAGCUGGUUUGUUGACGCUGUCAACAGUUUGGCCGUAGUCGGGUGCGAGAGCAGCCCCCGAGCCUCUGCACGGAGCGAGAGGACGAUCAAGGACUUUCCCGACUUUUAUCAUACGCCCCUGCGUCGCCUUUCCGCAAGGAGGAGGGGGGGGGAAAGCACCAUGUUGCCCUCGGAGGGCACCGAACAUGGUGUUUCCAGUGAGCUGCUAACGGGUGAUCCGAGUGGAUGCCCGUGCCCCGUUCGUUAGGGGUUGGCUGGUGGCCCAGAGGCGCGCUCCAAAAGUACCUGCGGGUGAUUCACCGGACCCGGACCCCUUCGACAGGGUCCGAGGGCUCGAUGCCUCCCUCUGGUGGGAUUCCAUUACAAAUUAUUCCCGCCGGUCUCGGAAAUGUCCUAGGGUACCUCAGGAGCGUAGCCCGAGCCUCGGCCAUGUAUCGGACGUACCCAGAGUCAUCCCUCACUCUGCGUGCUCUGGGGCGACUAUCGAACCCUUCCGAGGGGCCAGCCUUCGAACCCCUGAUCAGUAAUGGGCGCGGAGCCCGAGCGCCCUGGGGCGGCUGUCGAACCCUUCCGAGGGGCCAGCCUUCGAACCCCUGAUCAGUAAUGGGCUUGAAGCCCGAGUGCUCUGGGGCGGCUGUCGAAACCCUUCCGAGGGGCCAGCCUUCGAACCCCUGAUCAGUAGGAGGGCUUGGGGCCCGCUUCCUUCGCCAAGAAGGAUCCUUUCCGAAACAUCCCCUUUCCCAGUCCCUGUAGCGAGAGAGAGAGGAGGAGGGGAAUGAUAUGUAUUUAAAUAAGGUGGCGCACCUUUUCUGACGCGGUUAUCAUGGCGGAGGUGAAACGACGCCCGCCUCGCCUGCCAGAGGUGUCGCUUGCUCUGCCGGGGAGUUAAUGCGACGGGGCGGGCGACUCACAUGGCGCCCAUUGCGUGUGCGAGCCGUUCGAGGAAUGGGACACGGGCGUGUCGUCUUCACGCCGUGGGAGAGGGCUCUCUUGUCGCUUCAGGAGGGGACGCAAGCCUGCAGGCGAUCUGACCGCUGCUCCCGCUCGUCUGCCGCUGCCAUUACUGCCGGCCCAGUUUUGGGCCAUGCCGACCGCCGCGCCUGUCCCUGCAGUCGACCAACCCGUGGCCGUCACCUUUAAUUGGCACUGUUGGGUCAUGCGCAGGGCUGCCUCGAGUCUCGGUACUAGUUCCGCAGUCGAGGAGGCGCGACAUUCGGCGCAAGUGGCGGUGCGGUUCUUUGCACGUCGUAACCGGCGCGUUGGUUUCAUGACAUGCGGGCCCGCUUCCUUUGCGCUGGUCCACCGGAUGUGGUCGAAGCCGAAAGGGUGCACAGUUGAGGUGCGGUUGGAUGCCCAUCGCGUGGCAGUCCACCCUUUCGACCACCGGUUUCUGCAAAGAUGGGAGAGCGCUUGUAACCGUGGGACGUUUACAUGCCUUGUGUGCGGCGAUUCGCCUUCUUCGCGCUUCGGAUCAGCUCGUAUGACGUGUGGGACCCAGCCCUCGUGUCGUAGGGGGAGAACCCUGGAGCACGUCAGUGGAGACUUUGCCCGUGACGCUAGGGGGUGCAAGUGAGGAGGUCUGCCUAUAAAAGAGGAUCGAUCCCCCAGGCAGUGGCCAUGCCUUCGUUCUCCCCUCAUGCAUUGCGCCUUUCCACCUUUCGAGCCCCCCAGAUGGGGUGCACCAGCGUCGCCUUGCUCUUGCUGUCGUUGGAGGAGCGCGGCCUCGUGGAGAUUGGCGCUUCUUCAGCCAUCGCUCGGCUUCAAGGAUUUUCGUCGUGCAGCUCGGCUGCAUUCCCUCACCAAUGGUCAGUUUGGUGGGGAGAAGCAAGCCGGGCUGCGGCCUCCGCCCCGCCCUCAGCUUCAAGGAUCUUCGUCAUCCUUGCUGUGGCGGAGGGCGAGCCGAGUCGGGGCCUGCCUCUGUGUAGGCAGCGGCCCGCUCCUUCCCUCAGUGAUCUGGGGAGAAGGGCGUUCGCCGCCUGUGGCGCUGGCAGCUGCCGCGCGUCUGGCUCCCCGGCACAAGCGGCUCUGGCGUUGCUUCCGGUGUCGCCCCCACCGCUGGUCCUUGCUGCACCGCCGGAUGUUGGGGGGUCGCCCAACACGUCAUACGCCGCGAGGGCGGCGUUCGUGUUCUAGGACGGCCCCGUUCUCGUUCUCGUGGCGAGGGCGGGAGUGAGGAUCUGCCGGUGCGCUUUGGGGCGGACGCCGUACGUCGGUGCGGUGUUGGUGGGCAGGUGGCCGUCAUCGCUGAGGUGGUGGCAGCCGGAGGAGGUUGUCUCUGCCGACGAGACCGCCAGCGCCACCUGCACCCCGGACCUCCGUCUCUUUGGCUUUAAUGGCUGGUUCUCGUCCUUCAUGGGCGAGGGCCUCUCCGCUGCAGCGUUUGCCCUGAAGCCGUUGCUGCAGCUGUCUAGCCGCCUGAGACAGAGGUCGUUGUCGCUGCUGCUGGAGCGGUUGCCGACGAGCCACCCGGAGUUUGUUAUCCCGCAGGCCCUCCGGUGUGGAGGUUGUUCGUACCUGUGGGAAUGGAACCGGAGUCCCACUUGUAGGGGAAUAUACUGGGUUUUUGCCUGAGCAAAAUGUAACUGCUUCAAGUACUUAGACAUUUGUCGCAGGUCGGGAGAACCGCCGAGGAUUUUGCCGAUGUCUAAGUCUAUGUAGCAUAGUUACCCCGAGCAUAUGUAUUUGUUCUUUGUGGCUGUCGAGGCCUGAACAUUUGGGUAUUCGAGUAUAAAGCUGUGUUUCUUCCUUGUUUCGAGCACUAGGACUUGCCUGUCGGUGGCCGAACCACUUAACCGAGUGUGAGUUGCCUUGCGCGGAAGGUGACGAGUGAGGUAUCCGUAUCCCGGAGGCGUAGGAGUCCCUCGGCUCGGUCGGCCUUCCCGCUCUAGGCCUCUCUUGCUCAGUUUUUAGAACCCUCGGCUGCUCUGCGAUGAGCCAGAGCCAGAGGCAGCGGUGUUGGCACGGACAGAGGCGGAGUUGGCUCGAAAAGAGACUUCGUCGGCCCAGGAGCUGGCGGCUUCCUAGGCCGAGGAAGAUGUGGCAGCAGCAGCUGGAGCUUGGCCAAAACAUCCGCUGGCGCGGUGCUGGCGUCCUCCCUUCGGUGGAGGUCCUUUCGCCUGGGUCGCCGUCCGAGGCCGGGCCAGGUUCCGCCGAGGGUGGAAACAACACUGAGGGUGCUGCUGCUCCCCCUGUCGAUGCCGGAACCUGCGGGAACAGUUUGUCUGUAGCAUGCGCAUGUUUUUCGCGGCCGCUGAGGCCUAAACACUUUAUCGUCGUGUUAGAAAACUGCAUUUUCUUUCCUCUCGUUUCGAGCAUCACGACUUGUCUGUCGGUAGCAGAAUCGUUUAUCCAAGCGAGAGUUACUUUUCGUGGAAGGUGAUGAGUGAGGUAUUCGUAUCUCGGAGGCGUAGGAGUUCCUUGGCUCGGUCGGCCUUGCCGCUUAUGUGCACUCUCAUUUGGUCGUAGGAUUCCGUUAUCGAUAUGGUCGAGAAGGCACGAAAGUAAUUUUCUACCCGAGUGUUUGGACUUGUUCGGCAGCAGGAUCGCUUAUCCAAGCGUGAGUUACUUCUCGCGGCAGGUGAUGAGUGAGGUAUCCGUAUCCUGGAGGCGUAGGAGUUCCUCGGCUCGGUCGGCCUUGCCGCUUACAUGUACUACUGUCGUUUUUAGGAUCCCGCUAUCGAUACAGAAGUCGAAAGCACGAAGGUCAUUUUGGUAGAAAAUUUUUUCCGAGGAAAGUUUUGACGCAGAGGGGGUUCCCCCCUUCUAGCCCCCGAGGGAGGGUCGGGCUUUGCUGAGGCAAGGCCGACCCUUCCUUGACGGUUAGACUUUAUAUAUGUAAAGAAAACGAGGUACAUGAACGACUUAAAACAUAUUAAGGGUAGAAGUGACGUAGCUGUUGGAUGUUCCAAGCGUUGCUGUAGACCUCGCCUUGGUCGUUGGCCAGCUUUUAUGUUCCGGGCUUCAAAAUCUUGGCGAUGAUGAAGGGCCCUUCCCAGGGAGGAGUGAGCUUGUGGCGCCCUCGGGCGUCCUAUCGCAGACGAAGCACCAAGUCUCCCACUUGGAAGCCUAGGGGCCGAACGCUUCGGGCGUGGUAGCGUAGCAGCGACUGCUGGUACCGUGCCGAAUGUAGUAUGGCAACGUCCCGAGCCUCUUUGAGUUGGUCCAGCGAGUCCUCUCGGCUGGUCUUGUUGCUUCGGUCGUCGUACACCCUGGUCCUCGGGGAGCCGUAAUCUAAGUCCAUGGGGAGGACGGCCUCAGCCCCAUAGACUAGAAAAAACGGCGAGAAACCUGUGGCACGGCUCGGUGUCGUCCUCAGACUCCAGACUACCGAGGGUAGCUCUUUCAUCCACCGCGGUUGGCCAGUAGAAACCUUGUCGGAAGGCAUUUCCCACGAGGGCUCGAGGUGUUGCGUGGUGACCGCAAGCCCCUGAGUGUAUUUCUUGCAACAGCUCUUGUCCUUAGGUGAUGGAUAUGCAUCGUUGGAGGAUGCCCGAGGGGCUGCGAUGAUAGAGCUCCUUUUCAUCACCCAGCAAGACGAACGACUUGGCGCACCGAGCCAGUCGCCGAGCUUUGGCCUUGUCCAGGGGAAGCUCUCCUCGGAGGAGAUAUUCCAGGUACGGGGUCUGCCAGUUCGGAUUUGGCGUGACCCCAUUCUGUUCCCCCUCGACGGGCAAGACCUCCUCCUCGAUGGCCGAGGGUACCUCGGGCUCGACCAAGACCUCCUCGGGCUCGGCCGAGGGUACCUCGGGCUGGGCCGAGGCUUCCUUGGGCUCGGGCGUGUCGUCGAUCUUGAUGGAUGGUUGAUGUAGGUCUCUGGAGAAGACAUCCGGGGGAACCGUCGUCCGCCCUGAGGCUAUCUUCGCCAGCUCAUCCGCAGUCUCGUUGUACCGUCAGGCGAUGUGGUUGAGCUCCAGCCCGUAGAACUUGUCUUCUAGGCGCCGGACUUCGUCGCAGUAGGCUUCCAUCCUCCGGUCGCGGCAGUGGGAGUUCUUCAUGACUUGGUCGAUGACAAGCUACGAGUCGCCACAAGCGUCGAGGCGUCGUACCCCUAGCUCGACGGCGAUGCGCAGCCCGUUAACCAGAGCCUCGUACUCGGCCACGUUGUUUGAUGCCAGAAAAUGGAGGCGUAUGACGUAGCGAAGAUGCUUUCCGAGGGGUGAAACGAAGAGCAAGCCAGCGCCUGCUCCUGUUUUCAUGAGUGACCCAUCGAAGUACAUGGUCCAAAGCUUGGGUUGGAUCAGAGUUGUUGGUAACUGGGUGUCAGUCCACUCAGCCAGGAAGUCGGCCAAGACUUGGGAUUUUAUGGCCUUCCGAGGGGCGAAUGAUAUCGUUUCGCCCAUGAGCUCCACCGCCCACUUUGCUAUCCUACCCGAGGCCUCACGACACUGGAUGAUCUCCCCCAGGGGGAAGGAUGACACCACAGUCACCGGAUGAGACUCGAAGUAGUGUCGCAACUUUCGUCGUGUCAGAAUCACUGCGUAGAGCAGCUUCUGGAUCUGCGGGUAGCGGACUUUAGUCUCGGAAAGCACUUCGCUGAUGAAGUAGACUGGCCUCUGGACGAGUAGUGCAUGCCCUUCUUCUCGUCUCUCGACUACGAUCGCGGCACUGACCACCUGAGUGGUCGCGGCUACGUAGAUCAAGAGGGCUUCUCCUGCAGCGGGGGGCACCAGGAUGGGUGCAUUUGUAAGGAGCGCCUUAAGGUUUCCGAGGGCUUCCUCGGCCUCGGGGGUCCAAGUGAAGCGCUCAGCCUUCCUUAAGAGGCGGUACAGAGGCAAGCCUUUCUCGCCAAGGCGUGAGAUGAAGCGGCUCAGAGCUGCAAGGCAUCCCAUGACCCUCUGUACUCCUUUCAAAUCAUUGAUCGGUCCCAUGUUGGUGAUGGCUGCGAUUUUCUCCGGAUUGGCCUCGAUACCCCGCUCGGAGACGAUGAAUCCCAGGAGCAUGCCUUGGGGGACUCCGAAGACACACUUCUCGGGAUUGAGUUUCACGCCUUUCACUCUCAGACACUUGAAUGUCGUUUCAAGGUCAGAGUGGAGGUCGGAGGCUUUCUUCGUCUUGACAACGAUGUCAUCGACAUAAGCCUCGACCGUUCUGCCGAUGUGUUCUCCGAACACGUGGUUCAUGCACCUCUGGUAGGUGGCGCCUGCAUUCCUCAAACCAUAUGGCAUGGUAGUGUAACAGUACAUGCCAAAAGGUGUGAUAAAAGAAGUCAUGAGCUGGUCGGACUCUUUCAUCUUGAUUUGGUGAUAGCCUGAGUAGGCAUCAAGGAAUGACAGGGUUUCGCACCCAGCAGUGGAGUCCACAAUUUGAUCGAUGCGAGGUAGAGGGUAGGGAACCUUCGGACAUGCUUUGUUUAGACCAGUGUAGUCUACGCACAUCCUCCAUUUCCCAUCCUUCUUUCUUACAAGAAUAGGGUUAGCUAACCAUUCGGGAUGGAAUACCUCUUUGAUGAACCCUGUCGCGAGUAGCUUGUGGAUCUCCUCGCCUAUGGCCCUGCGCUUUUCUUCGUCAAAACGGCGUAGGGUUUGCUUCAUGGGUCGGGCUCUAGCUCUGAUGUCCAGUGAGUGCUCGGCGACAUCCCUUGGUAUGCCUAGCAUGUCCGAGGGACUCCACGCAAAAACUUCGGCGUUCGCGCGGAGAAAGUCAACGAGCAUUGCUUCCUAUUUGGGGUCAAGCUCAGAGCCAACCCGGACUUUCUUGCCAGCGUCAUUGCUGGGGUCGAGAGAGACAGACUUGACCGCCUCAACUGGUUCGAAGUUGCCGGCAUGCCGCUUCACAUCGGGCGCCUCCUAGGAGAGGCGUUCCAGGUCGGCGAUGAGGGCCUCGUACUCGGCGAGGGCCUCAGCGUACUCCACGCACUCCACGUCGCAUUCGUAUGCGUGGCGGUACGUGGAUCCGACGGUGAUGAUCCUGUUCGGGCCCGACAUCUUGAGCUUGAGGUAGGUGUAGUUGGGGACGGCCAUGAACUUGGCGUAGCAUGGUCUUCCCAACACCGCGUGGUAGGUCCCUUGGAACCCGACCACCUCGAAGGUGAGGGUUUCCUUUCAGAAGUUGGAGGGAGUCCCGAAGCAGAUGGGUAAGUCGAUCCGUCCGAGGGGCAGGAUUCGCUUUCCGGGCGCGAUCCCGUGGAAGGGUGCCGCGCUGACCCGGACCUCGGACCUAUCAACCCCCAAGAGUUCCAGGGUCUCGGCGUAGAUGAUGUUAAGGCCGCUGCCUCCAUCCAUGAGGACUUUGGAGAGCCUAACAUUGCCGAUGAUCGGAUCGACGAUGAGCGGGUACCUCCCCGGGCUUGGCACGAAGUCGGGGUGGUCGCCUCGGUCGAAGGUGAUAGGCUUGUCGGACCAGUCUAGGUAGACUGGCGCUGCCACCUUCACCAAGCAGACCUCCCGGCGCUCCUACUUGCGAUGCCAAGCCGAGGCGUUCGCCGCCUGCCCGCCGUAGAUCAUGAAGCAGUUGUGGACCUCCAGGAACUCUUCUCCCUUGUCGCCCUCCUUCUUGUUGUUGUCAUGGCCUUUGCUAUCUUCCGCCGGGGGCCCGGCCUUGUGGAAGUAGCGCCGGAGCAUGACACAUUCUUCGAGGGUGUGCUUGAUGGGACCCUGGUGAUAGGGGCACGGCUCUUUGAGCAUCUUGUCGAACGCGCUGGCCCCUCCAAGGGGCUUUCGAGGCUUCCUGUGCUCGGCCGCAGCGACGAGAUUCACGUCAGCGGCGUCGCGCUUUGCCUGCGACUUGUUCUUGGCCUUCUUCUUCGUGCCCCGCUGGGCGGACGCCUCGGGGGUGUCUUUCUUCGGCUCUCCCUGAGGCUGCUUGUCUUUCCGGAAGAUGGCUUCGACCGCCUCUUGACCCGAGACGAACUUGGUGGCAACGUCCAUCAGUUCGCUCGCACUGGUGGGAGUCUUGCGCCCUAGUUUGCUCACUAGGUCUCGGCAAGUGGUGCCAGCGAGGAAAGCCCCGAUGACAUCCGAGUCGGUAACGUUGGGCAGCUCGGUGCGCUGCUUCGAAAACCGCCGGAUGUACUCUCGGAGGGACUCCCCUGGCUGCUGGCGGCAGCUUCGGAGAUCCCACGAGUUCCAAGGGCGCACAUACGUGCCUUGGAAGUUUCCCGCGAAAGCCUUGACCAGAUCGUCCCAGUCGGAGAUCUGCGCAGGAGGCAGAUGAUCCAGCCAGGCUCGGGCGGCGUCGGAGAGGAAGAGGGGUAGAUUAUGGAUGAUGAGGUUGUCAUCAUCCACCCCUCCCAACUGGCAUGCCAGUCGGUAGUCUAUGAGCCACAGCUCCGGUCUCGUCUCCCCCGAGUACUUGGUGAUGGUAGUCGGGGCUCAGAAACGGGUGGGAAACGACGCUCGUCGUAUGGCCCGGCUGAAGACUCGCGGACCGGGCGGCUCGGGCGAAGGACUCUGAUCCUCCUCGCUGUCACAGCGUCCCCCACGCCUGGGAUGGUAGCCUCGGCGCACCUUCUCGUCGAGGCGGGCUCGACGGUCGAGAUGGUGGUGCUCGUUGCUAAGGCGAUCCCGGGCGGCAUGCGCCUCGUCCCGCGUGCGCUCGGGAUGGACCGAGGCUUCCCGCAUGUGUCGAGACACAUGUCGGGAGGGUGUUGCGCGAGGCUCCGAGGGGCACCCUCGCCUUCGGGAGGCAGAGCUUUCGGCUUGUCGAACCGCAGUAUGCUCUAGGAGGUUCUUGAGCUCGCCCUGGAUACGCCGCCCCUCGGUGGUGGAUGGCUCCGGCAUCGUCUGGAGCAGCAUCGCUGCUGCAGCCAGGUUCUGGCCGGUCUCGCUAACGGCCGGGGGCAGUGCUGCCCUGGCAUUGUCAACGACACGGCACUGGACUUCCUGGGGCUGAUGACACAUUCCUCCGGCGAGUGCCUGACCUACCCGCUCCUGCUCGAUGUUUUGCUGGAGCUGCCAAGUCACCCUGCUUCCUCGUCGAGCUUGGCCUGCAUCUCGCGGAUUUGCUCGAGCUGUGUGUCCUGACCCCCCGUAGGGACUGGGACCACAGCUAGCUCCCGCGGGAUGUCAACGCGAGACGUAGGCCUAGGGUCAUUCUCCGGCAUACCAAGGUGGUUGCCUUCAUCGAGAUCCCCCAGAUCGACGUGGAAACAUUCGUGACUCGGGCCAUAACCCUCGUUGACAAGGCUAUGGCCAUCAUCAGAGCAACCAGAGAGGUAGUAGUCACAUGCAUUCAUGAAGUCUCGCAUAGCACCGGAAUCAUGUAGUCUGGAGAAAUCCCAACCGGAGUCAGGAUCGUCCUCUUCCUCAGAACCCGGGGGCCCGUAGGUUGAGACGGUCGUCAGUCGUUCCCAGGAUGACCACAUAUGGUAUCCCGGGAGAUCAGGAUACGCCCUAGCGAAAGCGCUCACCGAAGCGAGGUCGCUUGGCGGAUCGAAACUGAAUCGAAAGGGCACAGGGUGGAAUACGGACGGUACCUCUCGGUCGAUAGACGGUGGUGAUGUCGCGUCGGAGCACACCGUUAUCUCAGGUACGAGGGUGACGCCUAGUAGGUCCUUCACGAGAGUGCUGGCGUCGUCAGUUCUCUUGUCGUCGGCGUAUGGCGGGGAAGCGACACCCGUCGUUGUCUCGGGCGCGAGGACAACGCCCGGCAUGUCCCCCGCUGGGGCGCCGGUGUCGUCGACUCGCUCCAGCGAGACAGCCGAUGAGGUGCUGCCUCCUGCCUGGCCAUGGUUGCCCCGUCUCUGCCUCCUCCGGCGAGGAGGGUGGCGGGGACGACCGGAGUGCUCCUCUUCUGCCGCGGGGAGAUGCUGUCGCCGAGCUCGUCGAAGACCAUCGCUGUCGUCGCGCCGCGAGGGGAGGAGUACCAUGUCGUAGCUGCCAUCGAGGGACAUGAACUCGAGACUCCCGAAGCGGAGCACCAUCCCGGGCUGAAGAGGUUGCUGAAGACUCCCCAUAUGGAACUCAACGGGAAGGCGUUCAUUAACACGCAGUAGGCCCCUACCUGGCGUGCCAACUGUCGGCAUUUCGGACCCGGGGGGUCCCUGGACUAACGAGUGAAAUUGUCGCUGCGUGCCCCUGUCCAGAUGGGUUGGCGUGGGAUGGAACACAAGAGGUGGGACAAGCCUUAUAUUAUCCUGCACCAGGGUGCUCAUAGUAGGGGUUACAAGCGUCGCGAGAGGGAAGAAGAGAGCCGGUCCGUCAGCCCGCCGUCCCCUCUGCGCGAGAGCCCUCCUUUUCUUCUUCCGCGGGAAGGCCCAGGACCUCCCUUUUAUAGAUGCAAGGAGAGGGUCCAGGUGUACAAUGGGGGGUGUAGCAAUGCGCUAACGUGUCUGGCAGAGAAAUGCCUAAGCCUUGUGUACAUGCCAACGUGGCUGUUGGGGGAGAGCUUGAGCCCUGUAUACGUGAUAGCGUGGCCGUCGGAGAAGCGCCUGAGCCCUGUAGGAGCACAGCUGGCAGUGCGGCAAGGAUCCUACUGACGUCUCCUUGCUGCCGUAAGGGGCUGAGAGCCACCAGAGUCAUGGUUGCACGCGAGGCACCAUCAUUACCUGUCGCUGGGGUAAGCCAGAUGGGACGCCGGUCUUGUUCCUUGUAGCAUGAGCUGGCUAGGGAUAGGGUAAUGAUGUAUCCCCUGUUGGCGCGGUCGGUCCGAGCCCAAGGUUAGGCGAGGCGGAGACUUCUCUUGAGGCCGAGGCCAGGGUCGGGCGAGGACACGAUUCCUCCCGAGACCGAGGUCGAGGCCAAGUUCGGAGGUCGGGUGAGGCGGAGACCUCCUCCCGAGGCCGAAGCCUGAGGUCGGGCGAGGCGGAGCUUCCUGUUGCGCCCGAGGCCAAACUCGGUGGUUGAUCGUGACUUGUUGUCAGCUUCGCCUAGGUGGUUGGCACAAUAGUCGGAGCGGGGCGAGUGGCGUUGUUUUCCCGUCAGAUCAGACAGUAAAAGGGGGGCGAAGUGACUGCGAUCACUUCGGCCCUGCCGACUGAGGCGCGUGUGUCAGGAUACGGUGUCAGAUGAUCCUCGCAUUGAAUGCGCCUGCGAUGUGGUCAGUUGGUGAGGUGGUUUGGCCAAGGCUGCUUCACAACGAAGCCUGCCCAAGCCGGGCUUCGGGAGAGCCGAGGGGGUGCCCGCUGCCUGAGGAGGCCCUCGGGCGAGGCGUGAACUCGUCUGGGUCUACUGCUCCAGCCCGAGGCUGGGCUCGGGCGAGGUAGCGUCCUUUGGGUAGAUGAAGCCUGGACUUGAACCGCGCCCGUCAGUUGGUCUGAGGUUGUUUACCAGCCGUGAUUAGGAGUGUUGGGGGUACCCCUAAUUACGGUACCCGACAGACCCCUACUCUUACCUUGACCUCAGUGUCUUUUCAAAAGUUGGUCAUCUUGACCAACUCUAUGUUGUCUACUUAUCUCAAAAGUUUUAUCUCACUUUUCUUUCUAUUUACUUUCUGGUCUCAUAGUUCUACUCUUACUCUUGUGCUUACGAUGUCUUUUGUAGAUGGCUCGUCUUAGGUGCACUGCACGUAAGUCUAUGAUCCCCUUUUUGCCUUCUCGCUUGGCGGAGCGUCCACUGCAUCGCACAGUGUCAGGUCAGUCCAGUCAUUUGGAGAGACUGCAUCGUCGCCUACACAGGAGCAGGAGCGCCGACGCCAGGAGUAGGAGCAGGACCAGGAGCAGCAGGACUCUUCCCCCUUGCCUCAGUGGGAGGUGGAGUUUGAGAGGUCGCCUUCCCCUGCACUUCAGCUAGAGAUGCCCCCUGCACCACCACAGGGCAUCCCGGCUGCUGGAGGAGACCCUGACGGAGACGGAGACGAUGACGACACCGGUGGCAAUUCGAGCCACGACACGGAGCUUUCGGAGGAGCCGGAGCUAGAGGGAUGGAUCGCUAGACCCAUCACUCGUGACGCCGCUCGCGGGUGUCACUUCCACGACGCUCUCGAUACCCUGUUGCAUCGGGCCUUCGACCGACACACCUAGUCUAUCGAGUACCAUUGUGUAGUCUUCCAGCAUCAUCGUGGGUUAUACCUGGACCAGUGGGAGUCUACUUGCUUGGUGCGCCGUCCGGACGGAUGAUCUCCGGGGUGCAGUGGCCUUCUCAUAGCACUAUUCUAUUACUGAGAGGGAUACUACCGAGGCAGCCAUGCAAGAUGCAGCACGACGAGCACUUUCUCAGUAUUGCUCAUUGUUCAGCGGGGUAGCUGAUGGCCUUGACCUAAAGUACUACCAUCGCCGUUCGACUGGCAGUGCUGGAAGUGUGAUUGUCUCGCCAGUUGGUGAGGGCAAUCCUAGACUGAGCAGCAUGGUCAACUUGGUCGUCGUGCUCAACACAGAGUUGGACCACACCCUCGAUGACUUGGGCAAGGUUCGGACGGAGGUUGCGGAAUUGUGUGCUGAGUGCGCUGCACGCCACUAUCUGGAUGGUGGUACUCCCACCCCUGUCGGGAUUCAGCACCCUUACCGUUCACCGCCCCUGUCGGGAUUCAGCACCCUUACCGUUCACCGCCCCGUGGUCGCUUCGACUAUGGUACCCCAGACUGCAGGACCCGGAUAGAUUUGGAUCCCUAGAUCGACAGAGUCAGAGUCUGUAAUGUCUUAGUCCAGUCAGUUUUAUUUAGAGUCAGUUUGCUUAUCUUAUGUUGGAUGCUUGUUAUGAUGAACAUGUACUGAAGUUGGAUCUUUGUAAUGAUUGUCACCAAGGUGUGGGUGUCCCCUGCAACUUGGUGUAGUUAUUAAUAAAGUCAGUUAUUUAGUUGGGUAAUCCAUUUAUAUCCACUUUCCUCUUUAUCUGAGAAGCUGUCGGUGAAGAUGGUCAAUUGUUCAGUGCUAUGAAGACUUCAUAUACAUCUUUUCUUAUGCUAAAAGACUGCAGAGCCAGAUUUGAUAUAAGUGUGUGAAUUCUGCAGAUGUCUGAGAACAGGCGUAGAGGUGUGAGGCGUGCUCAGCCAGAGCAGUAGGCACCCCAAGAAGAGGCAGCUCCGCAGCAGCAUUUGCCACCGCCACCCCUAAUGACCAUUGAGCAAAUGUUCUUGAUGCAGACACAAGCAGUUUAGGCAAUCGGACAGACCUUAGCAGCUAUGCAGCAGGCGCAGCAGCAGCCACCCCCGCCUCAGCCUCUAGUGCAAGUUCAGAUGCCACAAGUGCCCAGGGACAAGCGAGCAGAAUUCAUGAGGGGCCAUCCCCCAGUCUUUGCCCACUCUGCUGAUCCCAUGGAUGCGGAAGAUUGGCUACAUAUCGUGGAGCGUGAGUUGCACACUGCCCACUGCAACGAUCGAGAGAAGGUGUUGUAUGGUCCCUGACAGCUGAGGGGAGCAGCACAGUCUUGGUGGGAGUCUUACCUCGCCACCGAUGCCAACCCAGAAGCUAUCACUUGGGAAGAAUUCAGGGACAACUUCCAUCGCUACCAUGUGCUCGAGGGACUGAUGAUAGUGAGGAAGGAGGAGUUUCUCACCUUGAAGCAAGGUCCCAUGUCCGUCAUUGAGUACAGGGACAAGUUUCUGCAGCUGUCGCGUUAUGCCCCAAAAGACGUCAACACAGAUGCCAAGAGGUAGUACCACUUUCUGAGAGGAUUGGUUGACCCCCUCCACUAUCAGCUGAUGAACCACACCUUCCCUACCUUCCAGCAUCUGAUCGGCAGAGCAAUCAUGACUGAAAGGAAGCGUCGGGAGAUGGAGGACAGGAAGCGUAAGAUUGGUGGAUCUUAGGUCGGGAGUAGCAGUCGUCCUCGCUACUCAGGCAACCCACCUCAGCCAUUCAAGCAAGGUCACCAGCAUCAGCAUCAGCGUCAGAACCAGCAGCAGCAGUACCAGAGGCAGUUUCCUUAGCAGCAGCGGCAGUACCGUCAGAACAACCAGCAGGGAGGAAAUCAAUACCAGCGUCAGAACAUCCAGGCAGCCCGUCCUCCUGCCCUAGCAACCAACCAGAAAAAUCAAGCAGCGCUAGCUCAAGGAGGAAGUCGUGCAUGUUUCCACUGUGGGGAACAAGGCCAUUGGGUGAAUCAUUGCCCAAAGAAAGCAGCUCAGCAGCAGCCAGCUCCCAAUGCCCCAGUUAGGCAGAAUGCAAUGUAGCAAGGAGGCAACAACUAUGGGCAACCUCGUGCCCAGUAUGGAAAGGUGAACCACUUGGAGGCCGACACAGUCCAGGAGACUUCAGGAGUGGCACUAGGUACGUUUUCAGUCGAGUACCAUUCUGCAAAUGUGUUAUUUUAUACUGGAGCAACUCAUUCUUUUUGUGACUGCAUCAUGGGUAGAAUCACAUAAUAUAUCAGUAGUACCCAUGUAUCCACCUAUGAGGGUUAGUUCAGUUGGUGGAAGGACCCAAACAGAUAGAUUUUGCCCUAAUGCAAGAAUCCAAAUAAGGGGGAUAGAAUUCCCCGCUGAUCUAAUAGUUGUGGGUAACCAGGUUACAACUAUAGAUGUCAUCCUAGGGAUGAAUUGGUUAACCAAGUAUCAAGCCAAUCUUAGUUGUGACAAGAUAAUAGUGAAGUUGGUGUCCCCAUCAGGAGAAGAAGUGUUAGUAGAGUUGGUUUUGUCAGAACCCAGAAAAGGGAGUUGUCACCAAGUCACUGCCCACAUUGAGGAGAUUAAACCAUCAGAGGCUAUCAGUGUAGUAUUAGAUUUCCUAGAUGUGUUUCCCGAGGAGUUACCAGAUAUGCCGCCUGAAAGGAAGGUUGAAUUUGCCAUAGAGCUUAUACCAGGCACUGCCCCUAUUUCCAAGAGAGCCUAUCGAGUGUCCGGCCCAGAGUUGGUGGAACUCAAGAAGCAAAUUGAUGAGUUGUCGGAGAAAUGCUACAUCAGAUCGAGUACCUCGCCUUGGGUAGCCCCAGUAUUGUUUGUGGAGAAGAAGGAUGGCAUGAAGAGGAUGUGCAUUGACUACAGAUCCUUGAAUGAAGUUACUAUCAAGAACAAGUACCCCUGCCUAGAAUUGAAGAUUUAUUUGAUCAGUUGAGAAGAGCUAGUGUGUUCUCGAAGAUAGAUUUGAGGUCAGGUUACCAUCAGCUUCGAAUCUGACCCUCAGAUAUACCGAAGACAACAUUCAUCACCAAGUAUGGACUGUAUGAGUUCGCGGUCAUGUCAUUCGGUUUGACAAAUGUGCCAGCUUACUUCAUGUACUUGAUGAACAGUGUGUUCAUGUAACACCCCAGGUGUUUAUAUUCUGCUCGACAACGAGUAUGGAAUUAAGCACGUUAUAUCAGUGAAUGAAACAGAUACUAAAAUUUAAUCAUUUUCGCUAUCGCGAUUUUUAUAUCGUAUCUGUUCCAUCUGUCGUGAGUGCGACAUCAUUUUUAUUCGUCCGGGCUCUUCCUGAAUUUUCGUGAUGUUCGGAACGUCGUGUUCCGAAAAUUGGUGCGUCCGGUGAUUAUUUAAAAUUCAUCGCUCGCGCGAAUACGAAUUCGAAAAUUUAGUCCAGUCUUCCGAUUUCAUCCCAAACAAAUUAAGCCAAACUCGACAACUAAAGUUCUUGGUAGAAAAUAAUUCUGUCUCCUUCCGUCAGCUAAGAAGUCGCAUCCAUGGAAUUAUAAUUGAGAUUUGAUGCUCCACAUAAAUUAUAUGUUGACGUGCAAUCGGGUGUCGACUGCUGAUGAAAUCAUUUGAUUUAAAUCAAACUGAACACAGGCUGAAAUACUGUUGUUCACACCGUUCGGAUUUGUUCCGACGACAUCUCGCCCCGAUCCAAAACUUUGGAUAUAAAUAACGAAUGCAAAUUCAUCUAAUACCGAAGCCGAAAUCCAUUCAAUACGGUCUGUUGCUUCUUGCCUUGAUCCAAAUCAUAACCCUGAAACUCCGAUUAGAUUUCCGCGACUCGUGUCGCCACAAUUCAGACUGACGUGUGUUGAAUUUAAAAUUCGAAAUUAAAGCUGAGUCAAGCACGAAUUGUUAAAAUAAUACAGUAUAAAUUCUAAUCAAGAUAAAUCAUAGCCAUAAGAUUCAAACCGAAGAAAAUAUCUCUUCAUCUUCUCUUCUGCCGUUCAGUUCGUGGACGGAAAAAUUCCGCCGUCAUUCUUCUCAUGCGCAGCUGGCCAAUUCGGUUUCCUGUGUCAAAAUCUGAGAAAAAUAAUAUGUGUAGCCGGUUGUCGUCUAGCGUGUUGAUCUUUUUGUUGUCGCUAAAAAUCUCGAUCCACAAAUAUCUAAGAUUUUUCGGUAAAGAAAUUAAAAAUCUGAAAAAGAAAAUAUCUGCCGUCGCCCCUACUCAUGGGAUUCAUCCCUACGUUGAUUUUUGUUGAAGUGACCGCCGUCUGUUGAUAUUUUCACCGUCUUCCUCACGCACGCAGCUUCUCUGGUGUUUAUCCCUCAGCUCACGCGUCUCUCUCUCAGGCUUCAAUCUUCAGCCGGCGGUGGGAUAUUUUCCUUGGCCGCCGCUGUAAACACACGCGAUCACACAAGGUAGUUUAUCUCACGACGAGGCAAUUCGCUCGUUAUCUCAGACCGACGAUCAGGGAUCGCGGCCGCCGCCAGUUCGCUGUAUUCGUACAGCCUACUGUUCACCGAAUCGGACAAGGGUUUAUAUAUGAAUCUAUUACAAAUGGGUUCAAUUAUCCCAUUGUGGGCCGUAGUAUUUGACGUUGGGCUUUGGAAGACGUUUGCUACGUCUGGGCCGCCUUUCCGCUAUGGCGCCAGACCGGGCAUCCUCCUUCUGUGCUUCCUCUGCUCCCGCCAGGUUGCUGACAUCUCCUCCUCCUUUACAAUUGGCUUGUCCCCAAGCCGGUGCCGAUGGAAACUGCAUUCGUAUCUCCAGUUCAUCUUCCCACGUCGCCAGCGAUGCGGGCCAGCCGGACCAGCGCACGAGAAGCUGUGGGAUCACCUUGUUGCCGCGCCGAGUGAGACGGGAGUCGAGCACUUCUUCUGGGAUCUGCACUGCCUGUGACAGGUCAGGAAUAACAGAACUGACAGGAGUGUUUGCACCUAUCGCCGGCUUAAGUUGUGAAACAUGAAAGACAGGAUGAAUAGCACUGUUAGCAGGCAGGGCGAGCUGAUAGGCGACUGGAUUGAUUUUCUUGACAAUCUGGAACGGGCCGAAGAAGCGAAAUGCCAGCUUGUGGCUCUUGCGUUCUGCUACUGAGGUCUGGCAAUACGGUUGCAACUUCAGAUACACUUGAGCACCCACCUCAAAUGUCUGCUCUGAUCUUCCUUUGUCUGCUUGCCGCUUCAUCCUCUGUUGUGCACGUAGCAAGUGCAUUUUGACUUGUUGCAACAUCUCCUGCCUGGUGUGCAUCAAACUCUUCAGAUCCAAAACAGUGCACUGGUCGGCGGUGUCCAAGCCAAAGUGAGAUGGAGCAUGACCGUAUAGAACUUCAAAUGGAGAUUUACCCAGUGCUGAGUGGCAAGAAGUGUUAUACCAGAAUUCCGCGACAGACAACCAGGAUGACCAUUGCUUCGGACAUGCAUGAACAAAACACCUCACGUAAGCUUCCAGACAUUGGUUGACCCUCUCCGUUUGUCCAUCGGACUGCGGGUGAUACGCACUGCUAAGGCACAGCUUUGUAUCCGUUAGCUGGAACAACUCCUUCCAAAGUUUACUGGUGAAGAUGGGGUCCCUGUCUGAAAUAAUGGUGGAGGGUAAGCCGUGCAAUUUAUACACCUCCGCGAGAAACACCUUAGCAAUCAUCAGAGCGGUGAAGGGAUAGAUCAAAGGAAUGAAAUGCGCAUAUUUCGAAAAUUUGUCCACUACCACCAUGAUACAGCUGUACCUGCGAGAUUUGGGUAGGCCUAUUAUGAAGUCCAUGCUGAUGGUCUGCCAGGAGUGGUCCGACACAGGUAGUGGAACUAGCAGCCCUGGAUACUUGGCACGAUCAGGUUUUGCACUCUGACAGAUAUGGCACGAUUGAACAAAGGCCUUUAUCUGCUCUUUCAUCCCUGGCCAGCUGAAGAUGGAUUUGGCUCGCCUGGUGGUUACAGGAAAACCAGAAUGGCCCCCUAGAGCACUAUCAUGUAGUGCCUGCAUAACCUUCGUUUGAAGUGUUUCAUUAUGGCCCAACCAAACUCGUCCCUUGUGUCUGAUCACCCCAUCAGUCAACUCAUACGGAGGUAACUCACCUCCUGUUGCUAGCACUUCCAGUAUUUUCUGGGCUUGGGCAUCAUUCUCAUAACCCUGCAUAACCUCUUCCAACCAUUUAGGCACCACCGAUGAGCUAACCAACUGAUUUAAUGUGGCUGUGUCUUGAUCUAGGUCUGGUCGGCGCGACAAUGCAUCGGCCACCCAAUUUUCUGCUCCCUUUUUGUAGCAGAUCCGAUAUUGCAAUCCCAGCAACUUCGUCAGAGCUUUCUGUUGCCAAGGGGUGGACAACCGCUGGUCAUCCAGGUGUGUCAAGCUUUUCUGAUCCGUUUUGAUUAUAAAUUCUCGGUGCUGCAGGUAUGGGCGCCACCGAUCCACCGCGAAUAAAAUAGCUAGACACUCCUUUUCGUAUGUAGAUAGGCCCAGAUUUUUCGGACCUAAGGCCUUGCUUAUAUACGCUAUCGGGUGUCCCUCCUGCUGUAGGACAGCGCCGAUUCCUUUUCCACUUGCAUCAGUUUCAAUGGUGAAUGACUUACUGAAGUCAGGUAGAGCUAACACUGGAGCUUGGGCCAGGGUCAAUUUCAAAGUGCGAAAGGAUUCUUCUGUUUCGUCAGUCCAAGCAAAAAUGGUAUCCUUACGCAGCAAGUUGGACAAGGGACGACUGAUGAUGCUGAAACCCCGGACAAAUUUACGAUAAUAACCCGCCAUGCCGAGGAAACUUCUUACAUCUUUGACACUGGUGGGACGUGGCCACUCUUGUAUUGCUUGUAUCUUGGAUGGUUCUGUGGACAGCCCAGCUGCACUAACUAUGUGCCCUAAGAAUUCCAGACUGUCUCGGGCGAACUGACAUUUCGAACGUUUCAGUUUCAGUUGAUGCUGAUCCAACAGCUUGAACACUUGGUCCAGAUGAUCCACAUGCUCGGUCAGGCUCCUGCUGUAAACCAAGACAUCAUCCAGAAAAACCACGACACAUUUUCGCAACAACGGAGCUAAGAUUUUGUUCAUGAAUUCCUGAAAUGUGGCAGGUGCUCCCGUCAGGCCGAAGGACAUGACCUUAUAUUCGUAAUGUCCGUGGUGCGUCUGAAAUGCUGUUUUAUACUCGCCACCCUCUUUGAUCCGAAUCUGGUGAUACCCCGAUCUAUGGUCCAGCUUAGAAAACACCUGGGCACCAUUUAGUUCAUCGGUGAUUUCAUCGAAGAUAUGCAUGGGAAAGCGAUUCUUCACAGUAUAUGCAUUCAGCCGUCGAUAGUCCACGCACAAUCUCCAUUCGCCGUCUUUCUUCUUAACAAGCAGAACAGGCGAAGCAAACGGACUUGAACUCUGUUGGAUGAUGUCGCUGGUUAGCAUUUCUUGGAUUUGACUCUCAAUUUCAUCCUUUUGCUGCGGGGUGUAACGAUAGGGCCUGAGCCGAAAUGGUGGAGCUCCUGGCAGUAGAGGAAUUGAAUGAUCGACCAUCCUCUUCGGAGGUAGACCUUGUGGUGUUUGAAAUAGAUGUUGAAACUUGUGCAACAGCUCUGUUAUGGCUUCCGGUAACUCCUCUUGACUUUCUUCCUGCAGAGAUUGUAACUUCAGUAAUUGUUCCACUCCUUCCUGUCUUGCCAACGCCUCUAGUUGUGACAUGGACAGGGCGCUGCACUGCUGUAACUUGGGUGAAACCCCUUGCAGAUGUACCCAUGCUCCCUGGUGUUCAAAUUCCAUCCACUUUUCAGCCCAGUGGACUGCCAUUGGACUAUGCCCCUCUAGCCAGUCCAUGCCUAGGAUCAGAUCGUACCCACCCAGCGGCAACACCUUGAAGUCUGUACGGAACGUAGUUCCUGCACACAGCCAUAAACAGUUUUGGACUGAAUAUUUGCUCCACAUGAUACCUCCAUCGGCCACCUUUACUUUCAUCGGCCUAUCUAGUAACUUCACUCUUGGUAUGAUGCCCAUGAGAUGACUGCCGAUGAAGCUAGCUGAACUUCCCGAAUCAACCAAUAUCAGCACCUGUUGGCAAUGGAUCGAUGCCCACAAGCGAAUGGUUCGGUUACCCUCACUACCACUGACUGCUGCCACUGAAAUAGCCAGGAUGCUUUCAUCGACCCCUUGCUCUGCUGACUCUCCCUCCUCUGUACCCAGGUUCUCCUCCUCAUCGGCCACUGCCAUUGCCCACAUUUCUUCGACCAGGUGUAGUGGUACACUGUUGGAGCACUUAUGGGUGUGACCCCAACGCUCCCCACAUUUGAAGCACAACCCCUUCGCCCGCCUGUAUGCUUUCAAGGCUGUCAGCUUGUUAUCCUCAGCUCGGUUGCCACUGUUAACUGAACCUCGCCUUUCUUCAGAAGAGUUAUAGACCCUGGUAGCGGUCACAGCCGAGGGCACACCGGAGGAGUAAUGUGGCUUCAUAUUUGGCUUCAGGGUUGCACCAUGCUCCAUCUUUCUUCCAUCGCGCCUUCCCAUGUGCAGCAACACGUCCUCCUGCAACAAGGCGAGCGAGCAAGCAGUAUCGAGGUCGGGAGGACGUUGAAUCACAACAACAGAUUUAAUUUCAUCUCUAAGUCCGUCUAUAAAUCUAGUGGUGAUCAUGGUCGGGGUUAGAUGGUUUUCAUGGGCGAGCAGCUGGUGGACCAACUGAUCGAACAACUCAAUGUAUUCCCCCACUGAAGAGUUCUGUUGGAUGUGAUAGAAUUGCCUGAUAAGUAUACUGUGUUGGUCCCUCCCAAACCGAGUGGUCAAGGCUAGGCAUAAAUCAUCCCAGUUCAUUUCUCUGAUUCUAGACUCAACAGACUGCAGCCAAAACAAUGCUGAGCCCUCAAAAUGCAUGGUUGCUAGUCUGAUCCACCUUUCCAUGGGCACAAAAUAAAACUCAAAAUAGGUCUCACAACGAUGUUUCCACAAUUUAGGAUUGGAUCCGUCGAAUACUGGAAAGUUCAUCCCAGGCAUUCCAGAUCCCGAUCCCUGAGACCACCCUCCCAUGGAUCCACCCACUGACUGUUUACCAAACGACCCAAAUUCAAAUUGCAUAGGACCAUGGUUCAUGGAUUGGACCAUACCUCCGACCGGAGGAGGUGUCCGGGUCAUUUCCGACCCAGUACCCGAUCUCCGGUAUGGAUCAACAGUGCGGUGGCGAACUUGCCCAUGUACCGCCUCGCCAGAAGGCGCUCCCAGCUGGGUAGGAGCCGGUACACCAUCUUCCUUCAAUGCAUCGUUGCUUGGCGCGUCCAUCGGUUGCUUCUCGACGAACCGAUCAACCUUGCCUUGGAUCGUGAUCAGCACGUCGGCGAUCUCUCGUACCUUGGCCUCCACCUCUGGCUUCCACUUUCGGAACUCCCCUUGUUCGGCCAUCACAGUCUUCACGGUGGUUUCCAUGUUCGCCAUUGUUUUCUGCAUGUUCUCCAUCCUCCGAUGCGUCUCCCUGUUCCCUUCUUCAAGCUUCGCCAGAAUCUGCAUCACUGGGUCGUCGGGGCGCGGUGGAGCCAUCUCCGUCGUCUUCGCUUGGAGCCGUGUCCAGUGCUCGUGUGGUGGAUCCAGCUCUAGCUCUGAAUACCAAAUGUAAACACACGCGAUCACACAAGGUAGUUUAUCUCACGACGAGGCAAUUCGCUCGUUAUCUCAGACCGACGAUCAGGGAUCGCGGCCGCCGCCAGUUCGCCGUAUUCGUACAGCCUACUGUUCACCGAAUCGGACAAAGGUUUAUAUAUGAAUCUAUUACAAAUGGGUUCAAUUAUCCCAUUGUGGGCCGUAGUAUUUGACGUUGGGCUUUGGAAGACGUUUGCUGCGUCUGGGCCGCCUUUCCGCUAUGGCGCCAGACCGGGCAUCCUCCUUCUGUGCUUCCUCUGCUCCCGCCAGGUUGCUGACAGCCGCUGGCCGCCGCCGUUCCUUUGCCCUUAUCCGCUCGGCUGCCAUGGGUACAAAUCCAGCCGCCCAGCCUUCCUUAUUCUUUCCCCAGCCGCUUCUCUCCUCGCUGUGCCCCCUGGUUGUUGCCGUGCCGCGCGCUCCGGUGUUCUGCGUGCCUUCCUCUGCGCGCGCGCCUGUGACCUGCGCCGCGAACCCCGCCGUGGAGCUUCCCCGAACUCGCCCCAGCCCCUUGUAUCCCCCAUGGCCGGAGCUUCUUCCAGCUUCAGCUCGGCUCCAUCUCCCUGUGUCCGAUUUCUCUCUACUCCUCUGCCGACUGCCCACCUCCAUGGCCGGCUGUAGCUCCCAGCCAUGGCGUGCCCAGGCUCGGACUUCUCUCCAGCGCCCAGCCGAACGGGUCCUCCAGCGCGCGCUCUGCCUCUCCCUCAGCCCGUCGCAUCCUGCUGGUUCGCUGCUCGCCCUGUCUACGCGUCAGGCGAGGUAGUCAGUAGUCUCUGCUCGCCGGUCGAAUCCUUUGCGUCGCGCGCGUAGCGUGUCGUUGUUCCUGCGCGUGCUGCCGUGAAGUUCCCUGUUCAGUUCGCCUCUAUCGCAAACUCGUUAGCCACAAUUAUCUUAACCGCGUCAGCACGCGACUGUGGUCGUGUUCAUCAAAUUCGCCAACGCUUUGUUGCUGAUUCGUCUAUCGUCGCUUCGCGUGUUGUCGAGCCCGUCGUUUUCCCUGUCUUGUACGCGCGUGGUUUCCUGCUCGCCAGCGUGCCCUCUCGUCUCGCUCGGCUUUAAAAUCCCUAUCUCGUCGUCGACCUCGCCGCGACUUAGUUCGUCCGUCGUGCUGGUCACUGUUCCAUAUUGUGCCUAUUAACUCAGAUCCUACCCAAGCUCGUCGUUGCGUCGUUCACCAUCGAGUCGUCAAACACGUCAUCCUCUGCUCAAACCCCACCUCACCAGCUCGCUCCCGACUUCAGCUGAAAGUCAUCGUCGUGUCAGCAACAAAUCCUAAGAGGCGGAUGAAGACGAAGCUAGCAGCGUGAUAUUCCCUAAGCGCUCGACAAAUUGCCUGGAUCGGAAAACCACUACCGAUCUCGCGGACUCGUGUCAGCUGUGGAAACGGUAAGUUGAUAAAUUGUUUAGAAUGGUUCAAUCGUUGAAUAAAUUAAUGUGUUAGUGCGAGGCUUAUUAAGGUGCUCGAUAAAUUGCGUAAGUCACGAAACUCUCGUCGACUUCGCAGUUCUUGCAAUUAUCGAGCCAGGUUUAGUUAUAGCGAGUUAUUUCGCUAUUCCGGUCAAUUAGCUAAAUUAGUGUACCGAGUAGAAUUUUAGUAGGCAUGUGUGUUAAUAAAAUACUUUAAUCACUUAUAAAGAUGUAGUAUAAUUUAUAAAGCAAGAGAUAAGUUUAGAAUUCAAUUAAUUAAGUAGCUGAUGAGUUGUGUUUAGGCUAAUCAUGUUUUAAUUUGUUGUUCGUAAUGUUUGCAUUAGGUUCGUAUAAUUUAGAAAAGCGUAAUUAUUACGCGUAGUCGUAUAUCGAUAACUAGUAUUUCCGUAUGAACUUGUACAACGCCUCGCCGCUAGGUGUUUCACUAUCGCGUAGCACUAUUUAGGUGUGUGAUAUUCUCGUUGAUAUGCAUUCAUGUGCAUAAUGUAUUUCAUUCAGGUACGUUAAUUAAUCGCGCGAUGCGGAAGACAAGCCAAGUCGACCCCAAGCGCGGGCUACUCCGCAUGGUGAAGCUGAAGGACGAACCCAAGGAUGGAUGACCGGACAAGUGCCAAGACAAAGAAUGGUCGUCAAGUGCUCAUCGCCUAACCAACACUAACCUAGUGUUAUUCAGGCAAGCCCCGGUGCAUUUGCCACCUCCUUGAUGUUUUUAAACCUUUCUCACUUGCUUGAUGCAUUAGGUGAUAGGAGUUGAUUGUUAAAACAAUUCCUGCAUUACCUUCCUUGAAUUUGAUUACCUUCCUUGAUCACCCAUUUUACAAAAGAUUUUUGAUGCUUAGCCUUGCUUUAGAAAAACAAAAUGUUUUGUUUUUUACAAAAUAUGAUGUGGCAAAAGUGGGUGGGAUGUUUUCGAAAAUAAAACUUGAUGGUGGAUCCAUCAGGGCCUUGAUGGAUUCAACAUCUGGAAAAGAUGUACCUCUGCCAGGUACCAAACUUUGGGUUGAAAUGAUUAAGCUGAGACCGGGCGGGUGACUUGCACGAGAAAGAGAGUCUCGGUGUAGUGUCUCCGUCUCAGUCGAUUAAGGACCGUCUCGAUGUAGGCUUACUGACCAAGGACCCUUUAACUAGUCACAUGCCUCGUCAUGGGUAAGCCUUGCCUCGGGCAGACUAAGGCCAGAAUAAGAUAACACGGAAGAGGCUGGACGGUGGCGAGAGUAGCGUGUACCCUCCGUGGCAAGAGGCUGGACGGUGGUGUAUCUGUGCUCUCGGUUCGCGUGGACCUGAUCUGGUCUUAAGAACCCCGGUGGUGGGUUGACAUAUGCAAGGGUUAAGUGCUACAUAUGUCGUGUGAUUGGAGAUCCUCAGAUGAGUAUAAUCGAUUCGGAUCGCCGUACCUUCGCGAUCAUGAAGACUUGGUCACUGCCCUAUACGUAGAACUCAAGUAAAGAUAAAGGGUUGUUAAGAAAUUGGCUAGUGCAGGUCAAGUGCUUGAACUAGGGUAGAACGAACUCUAGAUGCAGGUAACUUUACCUAACCUGACAAUAAAAUUGGAUUUUAAGGAUCCACUUGUAGUAAGCUUUUCUGCAAAACAGAGUCUUUGAUUCUUGAUAAACCAUACCUUGACUCCCUGAUAACCAGCAUGCCCUUGAGAGUCUUUUCCUUAGUCGGGUAAGUCUUGCUGAGUAAUUUCGUACUCAGGGUUUUAUUCCCUGUUGUUUUUCAGGUUCUAACCUUGUGCUGCUGUGAUGGUGUUAAGUGCCGGUGGGCUCGGCCUUCUUAUAAGUCUAAGUAACCCUUCUAUACUUCUUAUUGAGGAUGGUCAUUUGAGCUAGCAUAUAUUUCAAACUUAUACUUUUGUAACCACUCCGAUAAAAUAAUGUAAAAUUUUUGUAACCUAUAAAAUUUGGUAAUAAGAUUUCCGCUGCAAAAAUAUUGGUGUGUGUGAUUUGUGUUACUUAAUCCCGCGGUUCUGGUUGAAAGUGGUUUAUCCGAUGUCCUUGGGGCAAUCGGACAGAUCCUGUUGAGUUAUCUGGUGCACAUGCAUGGUCGUCUGAGGUCUUUGGGACAAGGACAGGUGCAUGUGGGCCCAAUAACUUGGAGGUUCUGCCACAGUUCAUAGACUACCUCGACAAGUUCGUAGUGGUGUUCAUUGAUGAUAUCCUUAUAUAUUCCCAGAAUGAGCAAGAGCAUGAGGAGCAUUUGAGGAAGGUACUUCAGAGGCUACGAGAAUGUCAGCUGUAUGCCAAGCUUAGCAAGUGCGAGUUCUAGAUCAGUGAAGUCCUAUUCUUGGGUCACAUUAUAAACCGAGAGGGAUUGGCUAUAGAUCCGAAGAAGGUAACAACUAUCUUGGACUGGAAAGCACCAAAAGAUGUCUGAGGAAUCAAGAGUUUCUUCGGAAUGGCUGGUUAUUAUUGGCGUUUCAUUGAAGGUUUCUCCAAGAUUGCCAGGCCAAUGACAGCUUUGUUAGCAAAGAAGGUUGAGUUCAAGUGGACCCCAGCAUGCCAGAAGUCCUUUGAGACAUUGAAGGAGAAGUUGACAACGACACCAAUACUGAUUCUGCAAGAUGUUCACAAAUCAUUCUCAGUAUAUUGUGAUGCUUCGUACACCAGACUGGGAUGUGUGUUGAUGCAGAAAGGGAGAGUAGUGGCAUACUUGUCCCGACAAUUGAAGAUUCAUGAGAAGAAUUAUCCUACUCAUGAUCUGGAAUUAGCAGUCGUGGUUCAUGCAUUGAAGACCUGGAGGCAUUAUUUGUAUGGGCAGAAGUGUGAUAUCUACACGGAUCAUAAGAGUCUCAAGUACAUAUUCACUCAGUCAGAGUUAAACAUGAGGCAGUGAAGAUGGCUAGAAUUGAUAUGUCACACCCGGGUUUCGGGGCACCAAGACCUGGGCAUGAACAUAAUCACCAGGUGUGCUAGGACCAAGUCUCACACAUAUGAUGAAACAUGGCACAGGAUCGAAUGUCACAUCUUUACUAUAUAACAGGAGUUCUAUACAAAAUAAAUAAUUACAUUAUAAGGAGACAACGGUCCAGCAACCCAAAGUUGACUGGGAGACGACGGCCUAGACCUCUCACGAACACAUCGCAGCAUCCUCCAUGCGCCUCAUCCUGUGGUACCUGUUCUUGACCUGUGGGGGUGUGAUACAGCAAGAGUGAACUCACAUACGUUCAUAGCUCAACAAGUUGUGGGGAAUAAUGUGCAUGAACUCGCCAAAGGUGGGAGCUCACGUGAAGUGUAAGGCUUACCAAAGAGGAUGGUUGAAGCUGAGCAUUGCUUUUAAAGUUGGUCAAAAUUUUAUUAGCAAUUACUAAGUAUAAGUAAAUACCAGCCCAAUUAACUAGUAGAUCAAAAAUAACAACAUCACCUGCGAUGCAAUGCAUAUGACAAAUUGAAUUUAGUUCUAUAAAUUAAUCAUGUGAGUGUCCGAGCUACUCAUGACCGUGAGCACGACUAGUAUACAAGUUUUACACUCUGCAGAGGUUGCGCAUCUUUACCCACAAGUCAUGUUACCCAUCUGCCAAGAGACGGCCAAUCCCAUACACCUCUACCGAGGAGGCGAGGCAGGGUAACACUAUGAGGCCUUUACAAAGUUCCACUAGCUUCAGAAAACCCGCUACAGUUUAUAGGAAGCUCCAAUGCAGGAAUCCCUCGUCUGACCGUCAUCGCAGCAAAAUCAACCCGAGGACCUCCCUACACUGACCACUCCCCUACUGCCCUUGCCCCUUUCGGGUAAGGUAGUCUUCCACUAGCUUUCCUAGUUAGUUGGCCAAGGGCAUCCCAUUAUACCCUUGUGGUAGCACUAUUUUCCCGGGUGGUUCUCCAUGUUCCAAUUAACAUAAUGAUCUUAUCAUGAACAAUAAAUAACAGCUGAUAAUAAAAGAUAAUCAUGAAUAAAAUGUAUCUCUAUACCCAAAACCACAUAAAGCAAUAGCAGGUACUACCCAAAAAUUUAGUGGUAAACAAGGUAUAAAGAUAGUCAAACUAGGGUAACCUAUUGGGUCCCAUCAAAAUUAACCUAUGCAGAUCAUUAUGGUUAAUUAGAACAUGACUGGGUAAAAAGAAGUGAUCAAGGGCACAACUUGCCUGGGACUUGAGAUUCCAGGUACCAACUUGCUCUUCAUGUGACACGUGUCCUCACGCUAGUCGUAGCAAUACAGACAAACAGUGUAUAGGCAAAAUUAACAUCACACCAAACAUAAGAAUAAAUUGUGUAAUAUUAAUCUACGCGUUGCUAUGAGAUCAUGGGCUCGAGAAGCACUAUAAUCGGAGUUACAGUUAUUUAAUUAUGAUUUUCUGAAGUCUUAUGUGAUUAAACAGGAAAACUCAAUUCUAGGUCGUUUAUAAAUCAUGUGAGAAAGAUAAUCGAAAUAAUUAACUAACUUUCUCUUGAUCAAAUUAUACUUGAUUAGAAAACAUACUCUAGCUCCCAUUAUAAACAUAGACAUAGUAAUCUUUGGUUAGUGAGAUAAAUUUACUAAAUAUAGGAUAAAUAAAUGACUAAUAUAAAAGUAUAUGAUAUGAUAUAAUUAAGGUUAACACUGUGCAUGCAAUUUUAUUGCGAAGCUAAUGCAACUUGAAUGGAUCAAAUCAGAGUUAAAAUGAAUAAGUUAUGGAAUAAACAAGUUUCUAUGUAUUUUUUACACUUAUUUUAUAAAUUUCUAGGAUUUAUGGACUGUGGACGCAAAUACCAGAGGGCUCGGGGUUAUUUUUAUAAAUUCCAGGGCCCCGGUUGUAAGGGUUUCUCUAUAGUCGAGGACGGCGGGUUAUUUGUGGCAAAGGACAGGGGCUCUUAAGAAAGAAUGCCAAGCGAAGGGGUAUGAACAUUUCCCAGCCACUCGAUCUGAUCUGGACGGCCCAGAUCAGUCCUAUCAUUUAAAUGAACCGGUAUACACUUGGAGCCAUUGGAUUUCUAAUGGACGCCUAGGAUUUUAAAAUACCCAGCUCAACUCAUUCCCGUCGGAUCUGAAUCGAACGGCGCUGGUCAGUCCUAUGGCUAGAUCCGAUCUAAGCCACCCAUCCGUAAUCAGACGACCGAUGUUCUUCUUCCCAACCACCUGGCGCACGGUGAAGAUCCGCACCGACCAUUCUCUAUCCCUCUCUUCGCGCUAUUGUUCCAUGGCGGCGGACAGGUUCAGGCUAUGGGGUCCUUCUCCGCCCAACGACUUCAACGCAAGCAUCGAAGCUCGCCGUCGACCAACGAACCGAGGCCAACCAUCACGCGCUCGUUGAGGAUCCGCACAGGCGCACUAUCUCUCUCUCCCUGUCGGUCCGCGGCAGAAGCGCCCUGCCCAGCGGCGACCAAGCACGCCGGAGCGUAGUGCCCGCGCACAAAUCCCCACACGGACCGGUGCUACACGUACGGCGGAGUAGGACGAGCACAAGGGAGGGGAAAUUACCAGUGGAUAGAAGGGCAGAGGUGGCUAGCCACGGAAGCGUGCGGCAACAACUGGGCAUACAGCAGCGGCAUGGCGAUGAACAUCGAGCUCUGGGAGAAGUUUGCCAAGGCUUGAGUGAAACCCAGAGCAUCUGCCUACCCCCAGUGCCGCGACCGUAGAUGGAACGUUCCCAGUGCAGUUUUACCCCGCCGACGGUGGUGGCGACGCCGCCCAGCUCCAACUUCGGUUUUAUGGGUGGAGGGUCAUCGGAUGCGGCCGUUCUUAUAGUGCCCAGGUACGAGGUCCGAGUUGGAGUCCCACAUCCCAACUACACCGCGACAAAACCCCUCCAGUUCCCAGAAUCGCGCGCGUCUGUUGUGGCAGCGAGCUUUUUGCGAGGUUGGUGAUGAACCCGCCAGGUGGGACCCGUUCGUCGGCCACACACGCGAAGGGGGCGCGAGGAAGCAGGCAGCGCCCAAGAGGAGGGUUCAAGCGCGCGCGGGCCACUUGGGCCGAGAAAGACCCAAGCUGGGCCAAGCCAGGGAGGUUUCAGCCCGAGUGCUUUUAUCCUCUUUUUCCUUUUUCUAAUUUUAUUUCCUGCUUUGUUUCUCCUUUAUAUUUUAAACCUAGAAUAUGAAUUCAAAUAUUGUGGCGAAUUUGUACUAAAAUUUGUAUGUUUUGAACAUGACAUUAUGGGGUAGGUUUAUUUUCUUGUAAAUUUAUUUUGUCCUUCAUAACAUCGCUCUCUUUCUUCUUUUCUAUAUUAUUUCCAAUUCCCUAAAUUGUAAUUUUGGGUUAAAUCUAAAUUCUCAAAUUAGUAUCAUAUUUUCAUUAGUAUAUUUUAUUAUUAAAUGCACAAACAAACAAAACCUCAACAUGAUGCAAAUUUUAUUGAGGUAUUAUUUAUUUUAAACAUGUUUCCUAACAAUGAGAAGUCAUUACACAUAAAUUUGUAUUCCUCUCUUUAUUUUCUAAAGUUGGCUAUUACAAAUCCUACCCCCUUAACAGAAAUCUCGUCCUCGAGAUUUGUAAGAAAAGGGACAUAAAAGAAUUGGUUUAUGAUUUUAGCCUUUAAUCUCUAAUUGGUUCAAAAUUUCAGAAUCUCACAUUUUUUUGUCCAUAGAGUGUGACUAGGAGAGCAUGGGUCUAUAUGGGUAUAGGCAUUUUAUUAUGCAGGAUAAGAGUUAUCUUUAUAGCAUUUAUAGGUUUGGGAUAAGAAAGAGCAGGGUAAGAAAAGAUUCCAUCCAAGAUUGUGGAUCAUGAUUCCUCUAGCGAUCCAACUUGAUUUUGGAGGACUUGAGUUGAUGCUUAUUCUCCUUUGAUGUGGUUGGUCUUCUUUGGCCUUUAUUCUUGGAGUCGCCAUCCGAGUUAAGGGCAGAUGGCAAAGGACAUAUUGGCUCUAUUUGGAUCCUUCAAGCCCGGCUAGAGCUAGAGCUAGUUUCUAGCUCUAACUCUAGCCCAAACUAGCUCUAGCCCUCUACAUGUUUGGAUCCAAGGGCUAGUUUACAAUAAACCUUUCCUUAUCCGGAUUUAGUGUGGCAAACUCUUGUGUGGCUUCUCCCACACACAAACUGCACUCCUGGGUGCCCUCUGUGUCCUCGGAGCCCUCUGUGCCCUCGGUGGUGGCGGACGCGGUGCGCCUUGGCUGUUGGUGCGACGACGCGCUGUGUUGUUGAGCUGUUGACGACGGACGGGUGCUGCUGCGGCCGAGUUCGCCCGCUGACGAACUGUGUUGCCUGCCGCCGAGGUGGAGCCGUCGAAGAGCAGCUGCCGGGCGUAGGGUGCCGCUGCAGCUGCCCGCACGUCUCCGCCUCCGGCACGCGGUGGGCGAUACGGAGGAAGCACAGAGCCGCUGGCACGACCAUCGAAUAGACCAUCAGAGUCGGACAGGAUGUUGUCGUACAGCUGAAGCCCCGGGAAACCAUCAGUCUCCGGCGCCUGCGAGUUGAGGUCGAAGGCAUCGCCGUCCAUGGCAACGGUGAGGCUGCAUAUGCAGUAACAAAAUGAGCCAAUAACAGUAGAUAAAUUAGUAAAUUACAAUAGUCGAAAAUGCAUUCAAUAAGAAAUUAGCCAAAACAAAUCCGUUGUUUUCCUAUUCUACGUACUAUACUGGGAAAGAACACACUAUACUAGCUAGUCAUCAAUGUUUUGUUGCACUAAUUUUGAUUACGUACUGGUUAUGUGCACCACGCUGUAAUGAACACGUACAGACGCUGAGAAGGCUGGCCCAGAAUAGGGAGGCUGCAAGGAAAAGCAGGCUAAGAAAGAAGGUGAGUGAGUCGACAGCUGAUGACAUACAAAUAAAGGCUACACCAUGAUUUGAACAGAAACGAGUAGAAAAAAAUGACGAAGAAUUAACAUUGUUCCUUUUAAUUUCUUGACACUGUUCAAAUUCUUGUCCCUAUCAUCCAAUGUCAACGCAUAUUUAUUUUACUUCUCUUCACACUGUAAUGCAAACAGGCUUACAUCCAGCAACUCGAGUCCAGCAGGAUCAGGCUAGCUCAGCUCGAACAAGAACUUCACACUGCAAGAGCUCAUCAUGGAUGGCAAGGCAGGCAGACAGCUCGCCAUGGCCGCGGCGCCCUGCCCCCAUGCCCGCGCGCCCUGGCUCCUCGCUGCGGCGCCCUGCCCCUAGCCUGCGUCGACCCCAAGCCACGGCAGCGUGUCGACACUCAACCAGGGAGGCGACGGGCCCCAGCCAGGGUGGGCGGCACGUCCAUCCCCAGCCAUGGCUAGCGGCGCGGCUCCCCCAGCCAGGUCGCGGCGCGGAAUCAGCCCAGGGCGGGCGGCGCGUCCAUCCCCAGCCAUGGCUGGCGGCGCGGCUCCCCCAGCCAGGUCGCGGCGCGGAAUCCCACCCCCACCGGCCAUGCAUCAAGAACAGAGGGAGGAGGAGGCUGAGGGAACGGAGGGAGGCGACGGCUGACCUGGUCGAGGACGGCGGCGUUUCUUCCAACAAACUAGCCUCAAUAAUCACCCCUUGGUGGGGAGAGUUUUUUGGGGUGGGCUAGUUGCAAAAAACUGGCUCUAGCCCUCCUGUUUGGCUACUUUUGGGCUAGUUUGGCACAAACUAGCCCAAACUAGCUCUAGCCCUUGGAUCCAAACAGGGCCAUUGUUAGGAUAGCCGGGGUACACGAGGUAGGUAGAUUUGAACAGAGUUUUACUUUCCUUUUAGGACAAAUGGACCAAACAGCCUGUGACAUAGGUUAUGUUGUUGUUCACGGACGAGUUGGUAUAAGACAUUAAUUUAGGUUAAGUUAUGUUUGUAGAAACAGUGUCUAACCCAUAUCACCAGAUUAACUAACAUGUAAAUAACUCACAUUAGAUUGGAUAAUAUUAGAUUUGACAUGGGAUCUAGAUUAGUUUGGACAUAACUAGAUUAGACUAGUUUUAGUUAGAUAAAUCUACCAGGGUAGAAUAACAUAUUAUUAGGAUAUGAUAGAAUCUUUUGAGAUAGUAUGCACCAUAUGGUGUAGGUAGGUCAGAAUCUCUGUUAGGUUAAAACAGAGGGGUUUUGCAACUAUUGGGUGGUUAAGAUAGUUGCAUAUGGUCGGGUUGGUUGGUCGUGCUUUAGUGUAGAAUGAACUAAGAUAAAACAUGUUCUAUAGGAGUAGAGUCUCAUUUAUUUUACCACUAUCAACUGGUUAAGUGACUAUCCUUAGGUUAGCUCAACUUAAGGUUAGACUUCGUUAGGUUAGAUUAAUCCAUCACAUUAGAUCAGAUCUAGGUUAGAUUGUUAUGACUAGAUAAGAUCUCAUUAAUUUGGAUUAGAUCAUGGUUGUUACUUUAGGAUGAGAUAAGCAAAGUUGUUAGGAUAAGAUGAACCUAUCAAGGUGAGAUGAAUCUAUUGAGAUAAGAGAGAAUCUUUUAAGCCAAGAUGGAUCUAUAUGAAAUAGAUAUUCUAAGUUGUUUAGUUAUCUUAUGAAUUCUAUUUAUGUUUAUAUGUAUAUGCAGAUGUAAUUAUGGACAUUACUCCACAACCCAUCACACUCAAUCAAAAAUCCAAAUCAGACAAGUAUCAUAAGAACAAACACUCAAGUGUAUAGAUACCUAUAAAAUAGUUUUUUUUUGUUUUUUGUUCCUAAGAUUAGGUCUCCUAUUCCUAAAGGUCACUUUAGGUACAGGAUUUCAAAGUGUGAAAUCCACUUUUGUCUUUAGAGAGAAAAGGUAAGAAUAAUCAGAGUAAAGCGGAAAUAGAUGAGAAAAGAUUAAUGAAAGUGUAGAAAGAAUUAGAGCAGCAGAGAUAAGUAAUGGUUGUCUAGUUCUGUCUAGGUUUCAUCCUAUAGUCAACAUUCCUCUGAUACCACUUCUGUCACACCCAGGUUUCGAGGCACCAAGACCCGGGCGUGAACAUAAUCACCAGGUGUGCUGGGAGCAAAAGUCCCACACAUAUGAUGAAUCAUGGCACAGGAUCGAAUGCCACAUCUUUACUAUAUAACAGGAGUUCUAUACAAAAUAAAUAAUUACAUUAUAAGGAGACAACGGUCCAGCAACCCAAAGUUGACUGGGAGAUGACGGCCUAGACCUCUCACGAACACAUCGCAGCAUCCUCCAUGCGCCUCAUCCUGUGGUACCUGUUCUUGACCUGUGGGGGGUGUGAGACAGCAAGAGUGAGCUCACAUACUGUCGGCGUUUCGAGACCGGGGGGUCCCUAAGCCGACGAGUGAGUGUGCUGCGUGCCCUAGCCCAGAUGGGUCGAGCGCGUGGGCGAGCGCGAAGGGGGGAGAGGCGAGGUGGCCGGAGACGGGCGUGAGAGAGGUGGAAAUCCCGCGGCCUUCGUGUUCGUCCCGCGCCCAGGUCGGGUGCGCUUGCAGUAGGGGGGUUACAAGCGUCCACGCGGGUGAGGGAAGCGAGCGGCCCCAAGAGAGCGCCUGUCCCGUCCUCGGUCCCAGGCGGCCAACCCUCUCUAAGAAGGCCCUGGUCCUUCCUUUUAUAGUCGUAAGGAGAGGAUCCAGGUGUACAAUGAGGGGUGCAGCAGAGUGCUACGUGUCUAGCGGAGGGAGAGCUAGCGCCCUAAGUACAUGCCAAUGUGGCAGCCGGAGAGAUCUUGGCACCCUACUGGCGUGAUGUCGUGGCUAUCGGAGGAGCAACGGAGCUUGGCGGAAGGACAGCUGUCGGAGCGGUCGAGUCCUUGCUGACGUCCACCUGCUUCCGUAAGAGAGCUGAGAGUCGCCGCCGUCAUGGAGCUUGGGAGGCGCCAUCAUUGCCUAUCUGGCGGAGCUGGUCAGAUGGGACACCGGUCUUGUUCUCUGCGGCCCGAGUCGGCUCGGGGUAGAGUGGUGAUGGCGCUCCCUGUUGUCGUGGCGGGCCCGCGCCCGAGGCCGGGCGACGUGGGGGCUCCUCCGAAGCUGGGGUCGAAUCUGUCUUCCGUUGCCAAGGCCGAGUCCGAGCCCCUGGGUCAGGCGAGGCGGAAGUCGUUCGGCAGAGGCCAGGGCGGAGUUCGAGCCCUGGGGUCGGGCGAGGCGGAGUUCGUCGUCUUCCGGGGCCGAGCCCGAGUCCGAGCCCUGGGGUCGGGCGGAGCGGAGUUCGUCGUCUUCCGGGUCUUAGCCCGAGUCCGAGCCCUGGGGUCGGGAGGAGCGGAGUUCGCCGUCUUCCGGGUCUUAGCCCGAGUCCGAGCCCUGGGGUCGGGCGGAGCGGAGUUCGCCGUCUUCCGGGUCUUAGCCCGAGUCCGAGCCCUGGGGUCGGGCGGAGCGGAGUUCGCCGUCUUCCGGGUCUUAGCCCGAGUCCGAGCCCUGGGGUCGGGCGGAGCGGAGUUCCCUAUGGCGCCCCUGGCAAAGCCUGACUGCCUGUCAGACUCACUCUGUCGAGUGGCACCGCAGUCGGAGUGGCGCAGGCGGCGCUGCCCUUCUGUCAGACCGGUCAGUGGAGCAGCGGAGUGACGGCGGUCACUUCGGCUCUGCCGGGGGGCAUGCGUCAGGAUAGAGGUGUCAGGCCACCUUUGCGUUAAAUGCCCCUGCAACUCGGUCGGUCGGUGCGGCGAUUUAGUCAGGGUUGCUUCUUAGCGAAGCCAAGGCCUCGGGCGAGCCGGAGAUGUGUCCGCCGUUAAAAGGGGGGCCUCGGGCGAGACGGAAGUCCCUCGAGGUCGGCUGCCCGAGUCCGAGGCUAGGCUCGGGUGAAGCGUGAUCGAGUCACUCGUAUGGACUGAUCCCUGACUUAAUCGCACCCAUCAGGCCUCUGCAGCUUUAUGCUGAUGGGGGUUACCAGCUGAGAAUUAGGCGUCUUGAGGGUACCCCUAAUUAUGGUCCCUGACAGUAGCCCCCGAGCCUCGAAGGGAGUGUUAGCACUCGCUUGGAGACUUUCGUCGCACUUUUUUGCAAGGGGACCAGCCUUCUUCGGUUGCAUUUCAUUCCGGUGGGUGCGCGCGAGCGCACCCGCCGGGUGUAGCCCCCGAGGCCUCGGAGGAGUGGUUUCACUCCUUCGAGGUCUUAAUGCCUUGCGUAACGCUUCGGCUGGUCUGGUCGUUCCCUCAUGCGAACUGGCCGUAGCCCGGGCGGUCGGGGCCCAAGUUCUCGGGCUGGUAUGUUGACGCUGUCAACGGUUCGGCCGGAGCCGGGUUUGCGAGAGCAGCCCCCGAGCCUCCGCACAAGGCGAGAGGACGAUCAGGGACAGACUCGACUUUUUGCAUACGCCCCUACGUCGCCUUUCCGCAAGGAGGAGGGGGGGAGUGCGCCAUGUUACCCUCGAUGGGCACCGAACAUGGUGUCUCCGGUGAGCUGCAAGCGGGUAAUCCGAGUGGACGUCCGUGCCCCGUUCGUUGGGGGUCGGCUAGGGGCCCAGAGGCACGCCCAAAAGUACCUGCGGGUGAUCUGCCGGACCCGGUCCCCUGGCGACGGGGUCCGAGGGCUCGAUGCCUCCCUCCGAUGGGAUUCCGUUACAAGAUCGCUCCCGCUGGUCUCGGAAAUGUCCUAGGGUACCUCGGGAGCGCAGCCCGAGCCUCGGUUAUGUAUCGAACGUACCCCUGGUCAUCCCUCGCUCGGCGUCUGAGGCGACUGUGAACCCUUCGGGGGCCAGCCUUCGAACCUCUGAUCAGUAAUGGGCGCGGAGCCCGAGUAGCCUGAGGCGGCCAUGGAGCCCUUCGGGGGGCCGGCCUUCGAACCCCUGACCAGUAGUGGGUGUCGGGCCCACGCGAUCUGAGGCGACUGUUGAACCCUUCGGAGGGCCAGCCUUCGAACCUCUGAUCAGUAGGGGGGCUCGGAGCCCGGUUCCUUCACAGGGAAGGAUCCUUUUCGGGGCAUCCCCCUUUCCCGGUCCCUGUUGCAAGAGAUAGAGAAAGAGGAAAAAGGGGAAAGGAUACGAAAUCGAACGACGUGGCGUACCUUUUUUGGCGCGGUUAUUACGGCGAAGGCGAAGCGUCGUCCGCUUCUCCUGCCAGAAGCGCCGCCUGUCCCGUCGCGGAGUUAAUGCGACGGGGCGAGUGGUUGGCGGGGCGGCCGUUGCGCGUGCGCGAGCCGUUCGAGGGACGGCUAUUUCGCAUCGCGCCUUUUGAAUCCCGCGUCCGGUCCGGGCGGAGCGCUGGAAACGGUUUCGCCCUGGUCUUUAUAUACUCGGGAGAGAACCCGGCGACGGUUCUUCACUCCGCUUCCUGCCUCUUUCUCUAGGUUUUCGCAACCCGAGAGGCUUUGACCAGAGGAGAGGAAAACGCCCUCCCUGCCCCUUGCGCCGCCAUCCCUUCCGCCUUGCCGAUGGCUGACCGAGUAACCAUCAUCUCCCCGCGCGAUCCGUGGCCAUUUUCCACGGUGACGGCGAGCGAUCUGGAGGAGCUGGUUGGCGAAGGUUUGCUUCGCCCCCUCACCGACGGGCAGCGACCUGAGUGGAUUCCUCCCACGGGCGGAGUCGCUCCAUCCCCACCGCCGGGGUACGUCGUGAGCUUCAUCUCCUUCCACGAGCGGGGAUUCGGCGUGCCGACUGGCCGCUUCAUGCGGGCAAUCCUGUUCCACUAUGGGGUGGAGUUGCACAACCUCUCCCCCAAUUCUGUCUCGCAGGCCGCUAUCUUCGUAGCGGUGUGCGAAGGGUAUUUGGGGAUCGCUCCCCAUUGGGAUUUGUGGACCCAUCUCUUCCUCGCCGAGCCAUUCGCCUUGCCGACGGGGGAGAGAAGGGUCCGUGCAGCGGUGCGGGCCGGCGGCUGCACUCUCUUGCUGAGGCAGUCGCGGGCGUCGCAGUACAUUCCUGCCAUCCUUGCGUCCUCGAACAAGGGGUGGCAGCGCCGGUGGUUCUACCUCCGGAAUGACGGUGAGUUGCUCCCACCGUUCUCCCAGCGGGUAGUCACCGCCGCCACCGACUCCUGGCGCCACGGGACCCCGCACGAGAGACAGAAGAAUCUCGAACCUCUUCUCCAGGCCCUGAAGGAGUUGCGGGAGGGGGGACUCACCGCUGCGGGAGUGGUCGCCGCCAUCCAUCGUCGGAGGGUGCUUCCUUUGGGUUGCUCCGGGUUCUUACGAUCGGGUUUCUUUCUCCCCUUUUUUAGGAGGUGGGGUGGCACAAACCCUCCCGGCCACGGGUCCCGGAGGACGUGGUGGACCGAGCAGCGCGGCGGGUCGCCGCGGAGGAGAAGAAGAAGAAGAAGGACGCGGAGAAGGCCCGGGCCCGUGAGCGGAGGCGGGCUCGGGACGCCUUGGAGAAGCGCCGUCGCCAGCAGGAGAGGGACGGACUCCCGAGGGAGCCGUCGCCGAAGACGCCCGACGACGACGAUGACGAUGAUGAUGAAGAGGAGGAUGACAUGGCCGCCCGUCUCGGCCUCAGCCCCGGCUUGGGGUGUGGCCAGGAGCCAUCGAGCCAGCCCCCGAGCGGGCCGACUCCCUCAGCCCCCGAAGUUGGGGCGUCGGGGUCCCGGCCCGAGGCACGGGGGCGAUCCGAGAGGUCACCUGACCCCCCAGCCGGAGGAGCUGAGGUGGCUCCGGAGGGCCAGGUCAGGGCGUCCGUUCCCCAGGGGCCGCCGCUCGUGCCGGCGGCGCAUGGGGGUGACCCUCAAGUCAUCGCGGCCGUGCCCGAACAAUCUGCUUCCCGGGCGCCCAAAACAAGGGUGGCGCCGAAGGUGCCGGCGAAGCGGACCUCGGCGGCUGUUUCGGGAGCCGGGAUCCAAGAAGGCUCCCCCCAGGCGCGGUGGAUCAUGGCCCGAAGUGGGUGAGUAUCUCGGACUGUCUUCGUCUUGGCUUCCCAGUCAUAUGCUUCGGCUGUGAUUCUCCCUUCCUCUUCUUUUUUCUCUCUUUUUUUUAUAUCCAGCAAGCGAAGCCAUGGCCAGACUGACCUGGCGCCCCGGAAGGUCCUUAGGACGGCGCCGGACUGCGCGGCCAGCGCUGCCCCAGGUCUCGCUGUUCAGCCGACCCUUUCGCAGGGCGUUCCACCGCAGGGGGUUCGGGUGUCGCCUGCCUCCGGGGAGCGGGCUCCCGAGGCUGGCUCUACUGCCGAGGUGGCCAUUGCGAUAGGGGAGGCGGCCGACGCUGACGUGGCCCCGAGCCUGCCUGUCGUGCCGGCCACGCCGGCGCCGGCUGCUGCCGAAAUCGCCGCCGUCCCAGUCGGGGGGCGACCGGUUGCUGCCAGCGUCAGGAUGGCCGACGCGUCGGCGCCCAGUGCCUCAGAAGAGGUGGGCGUGGGCGCGCGAUCCGUCCAGCCGAGUGGGAGCCUUAUCGCUGUGCAGCGGAGCCCCGAGGCCCGGCGCCCGUCGCUCCGAUUCCGGACCCGCGAGGCCUCGGACCCUGUCUUCGUCCUCGACGAUGAACGGGAGGACCAGUCCUGGGAUGAGCUUUGCGAGUGUGUUGAAGCAACGGUGGGGCCGCUCCGGUCGUCGCUAGAGGUUCUCUACAGGGAUGUCCCCAAAAUCCUCCAGGUAACGGUUUCAGGCAUACCUUUUCCUUUCUGCGAGCGAGGCGUUCGUCGUGACGCCCUAUCUCCUUCCUCCAGGACCUGACGGAUCGGAGCGCCGCCAAGUCAUCAUUCAUCCGCCGCGAGGCCGAUGUCUGGGGCUCGCUGCGAUCCCUGAGGACCUCGCUUGCCGGGGCUACUGCGCGCCUUUCUCAGCAGGACGCCAAGGUUGCGGACCUCCAGUUGCUUUGCGCUGACCUGAGGGCCGAGGCGGCAGCAGCGCGCGCGGAGGCGCAACGGCAGCGGUCGGAGUUCGCCCAGGUCGUCGAGGAGCGGGACCAAUCUCGGAGCCGAGCUGCCGAGGCCGAAGGCCGGGCUGAGACCCUCGCGGCCGACCUAGCUGCAGCCCAGGUCGCGGCCUCGGAGCAGCGUGCCCGAGCCGGAGGUACGCCAUGGCCGUCCCUGAUUCUUAUUUUUUGUCGGUUUCCUCUGCUUGUGCUUGAGGUCUUUCUUCUGGUUGUUCGCAGAGCUUGAGUCCGCCCUUGAUGAGUCCGCCAAGGCGCUUGCCGAGGCGCUUGCCGGAACUGCCGAGCAGAGGGAGGCUGACCUCGCGGCCGUGUCCGAGGCCGUCUCGGACGUUUAUCGUAACCUCGGCUCCGGCGACGUUCCGUCAGGAAGCUCCCCUCAAAGCCGCCUUCAAGCCUUGGGUGAUCACGCGCGCGGCAGAGUCCGCGAGGCGCUACACCACGGCGUCAGGCGGGCCUUCGCCGUGCUCGCUUCCCACUACGUUGUGGACCUGGAGCGGGUUAGUGAGGGGUACUGUCUUCCUGACAAAGACGAAGCUGCCCUGGCAGAAGUCCAGCGGCUUGACGCGGUCGCCGCGGGUCCGAGCGCGGCGCUGGCGACCACCUUCGAGGCGGAGAUCCUUCCCCCUGUGCCGUCACCGGAGGCCGAGAUGGACCUUACCGACGGCGGGGACGGUGCUGAGGGCGCGGCUCCUUCCCAAGGCGGCGCCUGAUUCUUGUUGGAAAAAUUUCUUGUUGGAUGUGCGUCUUACCGUGGCCGCUGAGGCCUGAACACUUUGUCUUUCUUGCAUGAAGUCGUACUCUCCUUUCUUCCCAUUUGCGUAUCCGUCCUAGCUUCGCCAAUAAUAGGGUGGCUUCCCGGGUUGGGUCAUUCUUCAUGGCAGGUGAUGAGUGAGGUAUCCUUAACCCGGAGGCGCAGGAGUUCCUCGGCUCAGUCGGCCUCGCCAUUUACAUGUACCCACGUUCGCUCCCCGAGACCCUGCUUCUGGCAUAGCCAGGAGAACGCAAGAGGCCCCUUUUUUGAUUGAAAAUUUUUGACGCGGAGAAGUACGCCCAAUCUUGACGCAGAGGGGUUCCCCCUUUUUAGCCCCCGAGGGAGGGUCGGGCUCUACCGAGGCGAGGCCGACUCUCCCUUGAUGACUGAGGCGCAGAGGCUGCCUGACGGGUCGGACUCAGGCCCGAACAUCCAGCGAGUGCUCGGCGACAUCCCUCGGUAUGCCGGGCAUGUCCGAGGGACUCUACGCAAAGACGUCGGCGUUUGCGCGGAGAAAGUCGACGAGCACUGCUUCCUAUUUGGGGUCGAGCCCGGAACCGAUCCGGAUCUGCUCCGAGGUGUCGCCACUGGGGUCGAGUGGGACGGCCUUAACCGUCUCCGCUGGCUCGAAGUUGCCGGCAUGGCGCUUCACAUCUGGCACCUCUUUGGAGAGGUUCUCCAGGUCGGCGAUGAGGGCCUCGGACUCGGCGAGGGCCUCGGCGUACUCCACGCACUCCACGUCGCAUUCGAAUGCGUGUUUGUACGUGGGGCCGACGGUGAUGACCCCGUUGGGGCCCGACAUCUUUAGCUUCAGGUAGGUGUAGUUGGGGACGGCCAUGAACUUCGCGUAGCAUGGCCUUCCCAGUACCGCGUGGUAGGUUCCUCGGAACCCGACCACCUCGAACGUCAAAGUCUCCCUUCGGAAGUUGGAGGGUGUUCCGAAGCAGACGGGGAGGUCGAGUUGUCCGAGGGGCUGGACACGCUUCCCAGGGAUGAUCCCGUGGAAGGGCGCAGCGCCUGCUCGGACGGAGGACAGAUCGACGCGCAGGAGCUUGAGGGUCUCGGCGUAGAUGAUGUUGAGGCAGCUGCCCCCAUCCAUCAGGACCUUGGUGAGCCUGACGUUGCCGAUGACGGGGUCGACGACGAGCGGGUAUUUCCCCGGGCUCGGCACGUGGUCGGGGUGGUCAGCCUGGUCGAAAGUGAUGGGCUUGUCGGACCAGUCUAGGUAGACUGGCGCCGCCACCUUCACCGAGCAGACCUCCCGGCGCUCUUGCUUGCGAUGCCGAGCCGAGGCAUUCGCCGCAUGCCCACCGUAGAUCAUGAAGCAGUCGCGGACCUCGGGAUAUUCUCCUGCUUGGUGAUCUUCCUUCUUGUCGUCGUCGUGGGCCCUGCCACCCUCCGCGGGUGGCCCGGCCCUGUGGAAGUGGCGCCGAAGCAUGACGCACUCCUCGAGAGUGUGCUUGACGGGCCCCUGAUGAUAGGGGCACGGCUCCUUGAGCAUCUUGUCGAAGAGGUUUGCACCUCCGGGGAGCUUCCGAGGGUUCUUGUACUCGGCGGCGGCGACAAGGUCCGCGUCGGCGGCGUCGCGUUUCGAUUGCGACUUCUUCUUGCCCUUCUUCUUGGCGCCGCGCGGAGUAGACGCCUCGGGAGCCUCUUCCGAUGGGCGGCCCUGGGGCCGCUUGUCCUUUCGGAAGAUAGCCUCGACCGCCUCCUGGCCAGAGGCGAACUUGGUGGCGAUGUCCAUCAGCUCGCUCGCCCUGGUGGGGGUCUUGCGACCCAACUUACUCACCAGGUCGCGGCAGGUGGUGCCGGCGAGGAACGCGCCGAUGACAUCCGAGUCGGUGAUGUUGGGCAGCUCGGUGCGCUGCUUCGAGAAUCGCCGGAUGUAGUCCCGGAGCGACUCUCCCGGCUACUGCCGGCAGCUUCGAAGGUCCCAGGAAUUCCCGGGGCGCACGUAUGUGCCCUGGAAAUUGCCGGCGAAGGCUUGGACCAAGUCGUCCCAGCUGGAGAUCUGCCCCGGAGGCAGGUGCUCCAACCAGGCGCGAGCAGUGUCGGAGAGGAAUAGGGGGAGGUUUCGGAUGAUGAGGUUGUCGUCGUCCGUUCCACCCAGCUGGCAGGCCAGGCGGUAGUCCGCAAGCCACAGUUCCGGUCUCGUUUCCCCCGAGUACUUCGUGAUAGUAGUCGGGGGUCGGAACCGGGUCGGGAACGGCGCCCGUCGGAUGGCCCGACUGAAGGCCUGCGGACCAGGUGGUUCGGGCGAGGGACUCCGAUCCUCCCCGCUGUCGUAGCGCCCCCCACGUCUGGGGUGGUAGCCUCGGCGCACCCUUUCGUCGAGGUGGGCCCGACGGUCGCGUCGAUGGUGCUCGUUGCCGAGGUGGCCCGGGGCCGCAUGCGCGGUGUUGCGCGUGCGCCCGGUGUAGACCGAGGCUUCUCGCAUGAAUCGGGAAGUCGCGGCAUGAGGUUCCGAGGGGUAUCCCUGCCUUCGGGAGGCAGUGCUCUCGGCCCGUCGGGCCGCAGCGCCUUCCAGGAGAUUCUUGAGCUCUCCCUGGAUUCGCCGAUGUUGGGGACUCGUUCUCAAAUGCUAUGAAUUAAGAACAAGGCAACAUAAAGUGUUAAAUGUUAAUGCCCUUCGUCCAUGAAACAUUAUUCCCUUCAGGAUAAUGAGCCUUGGACGAAGGUAAAUGAGAAUAUAAUUACGAAGCUUAAGUCUUCGUAAUAAAAUUUCAAUAGACAUUAUAAGAUAAUAUAAAUAAAGGGUAUAUAAAGGAGUAAGUUAAUCAUAGACAAAUUAUAUGUAUUCAUUUAACGUAUUGAAUCAUUGAAUACAAUAGUACCUCUGCCUUGGCAAAGAUUGGUUUCCGGAAGAUGCGAUUGCAAUUAUCAGAAUGCCUGAACAGUAAAGGAAUACUGUUCACUAUUUAUGGGCACAGGACACAGCCUGUGAGGAAUUACAAUUAUGCCCCUCAUAAAAGUUUACAACAUUGAUUCAGACCUUUAUGGACUAAAAGGUCAUUCUAUCUUUAAGUCGGUUUGUAAUACCGAAGCUUCAAGAAAAGGAACCUUCGGCCAUCUUAUACAAACAGCUUCAGCCGAAGACCGCUUCUUCCUAUAGGACCUUCGGCGACGAAGCACAGGCCCAACAGCCGACCCUCGGUAGUUGACGGCUCCGGCAUCGCGCGGAGGAGCAUCGCUGCGGCUGCCAGGUUCUGGCCGACCCCGCUGGAUGAGGGUGGCGGCCUGACCCUGACAUCGUUGGCGACGCGGUGCUGGAGACCUUGGGGCAGGUGACGUAUUUCUCCGGCCGGGGGUUGGCCCGCCCAUACCCGUCCGACGUCCCGACGGAUUGGCUCAAGCGCUCCUGUUCCCUCGUCGAGCCUGGCCUGCGCCCCGCGGACUUGCUCGAGUUGUGGGUCGUAACCCCCCGCCGGAACGGGGACCACAGCUAGCUCCCGCGGGAUGUCAGCGCGAGGCACCGGCCUGGGAAGAUCACCGUCCUCCGGCAUGCCGAGAUGGUUGCCUUCGGAGGGAUCCCCUAGCUCGAUGUGGAAACAUUCGCGGCUUGGGCCGCAGCUCUCGUCGUUAAGGCUACGGCUUCCGUCGGAACAGUCGGAGAGGCAGUAGUUACAUGCGGUCAUGAAGUCCCGCAUGGCACUGGGGUUGCCAAGUCCAGAGAAAUCCCAACAGAUGCUGGGAUCGUCAUCUUCCUCAGACCCAGAGGGCCCGUAGGUUGAGACGUCCGUCAACCGGUCCCAAGGCGACCGCAUACGAAACCCCAGUGGGGUUGCACUCGCCUCAAUGAGAGCGCCCGCCAAAGCAAGGUUGCUAGGCGGGUUGAGGCCGAGUCGAAAUGACGUAAGAUGGGAGUUAGUCAGUACCUUUUGGUCGACGCGGAGCGACGUAGUCACAUCGGGGACUGGUUGCGCCGUCAUCUUAGGCACAAGGGCGACGUCCUGCAAGCUUUCCGUGAGCGCGCUGGCGUCGUCUUCUUGCUCGGGAUCAGCGUGUCGCGGGGGGACGGCGCUUGCCUUCGUCUCGAACGCGAGGUCGACGCCCGGCGUGCCUUCCGUCUGGGCGUCGGGGGCGUCGAUUCGCUCAACGGCCGACGAAGCGCGGCCUCCCGCUUGGCCUUGGUUGCCCCGCCUCCUCCUCCGUUGGCGGGGGAGAGGACGGAGCGAGCUCGAAUGUUGUUCUUCCACCACGCGAGGAAGAUGUCGUCGAUUCCGCCGCCGGCGGGCGGGUUGUCGACCGCCAUUGUCGUCGUCGCACGGCGGUGGAAGGAGUAUCAUGUCGUAGCUGCCGUCGAGGGACAUGAACUCAAGACUCCCGAAACGGAGCACCGUCCCGGGCCGGAGAGGUUGCUGGAGACUGCCCAUCUGGAGCUUGACGGGAAGCUGUUCGUCAGCACGCAGCAGCCCCCUACCUGGCGCGCCAACUGUCGGCGUUUCGAGACCGGGGGGUCCCUAAGCCGACGAGUGAGUGUGCUGCGUGCCCCAGCCCAGAUGGGUCGAGCGCGUGGGCGAGCGCGAAGGGGGGAGAGGCGAGGUGGCCGGAGACGGGCGUGAGAGAGGUGGAAAUCCCGCGGCCUUCGUGUUCGUCCCGCGCCCAGGUCGGGUGCGCUUGCAGUAGGGGGGUUACAAGCGUCCACGCGGGUGAGGGAAGCGAGCGGCCCCAAGAGAGCGCCUGUCCCGUCCUCGGUCCCGCGCGGCCAACCCUCUCUAAGAAGGCCCUGGUCCUUCCUUUUAUAGUCGUAAGGAGAGGAUCCAGGUGUACAAUGAGGGGUGCAGCAGAGUGCUACGUGUCUAGCGGAGGGAGAGCUAGCGCCCUAAGUACAUGCCAAUGUGGCAGCCGGAGAGAUCUUGGCACCCUGCUGGCGUGAUGUCGUGGCUGUCGGAGGAGCAACGGAGCUUGGCGGAAGGACAGCUGUCGGAGCGGUCGAGUCCUUGCUGACGUCCACCUGCUUCCGUAAGAGAGCUGAGAGUCGCCGCCGUCAUGGAGCUUGGGAGGCGCCAUCAUUGCCUAUCUGGCGGAGCUGGUCAGAUGGGACACCGGUCUUGUUCUCUGCGGCCCGAGUCGGCUCAGGGUAGAGUGGUGAUGGCGCUCCCUGUUGUCGUGGCGGGCCCGCGCCCGAGGCCGGGCGACGUGGGGGCUCCUCCGAAGCUGGGGUCGAAUCUGUCUUCCGUUGCCGAGGCCGAGUCCGAGCCCCUGGGUCGGGCGAGGCGGAAGUCGUUCGGCAGAGGCCAGGGCGGAGUCCGAGCCCUGGGGUCGGGCGAGGCGGAGUUCGUCGUCUUCCGGGGCCGAGCCCGAGUCCGAGCCCUGGGGUCGGGCGGAGCGGAGUUCACCGUCUUCCGGGUCUUAGCCCGAGUCCGAGCCCUGGGGUCGGGCGGAGCGGAGUUCGCCGUCUUCCGGGUCUUAGCCCGAGUCCGAGCCCUGGGGUCGGGCGGAGCGGAGUUCGCCGUCUUCCGGGUCUUAGCCUGAGUCCGAGCCCUGGGGUCGGGCGGAGCGGAGUUCACCGUCUUCCGGGUCUUAGCCCGAGUCCGAGCCCUGGGGUCGGGCGGAGCGGAGUUCGCCGUCUUCCGGGUCUUAGCCCGAGUCCGAGCCCUGGGGUCGGGCGGAGCGGAGUUCGCCGUCUUCCGGGUCUUAGCCUGAGUCCGAGCCCUGGGGUCGGGCGGAGCGGAGUUCACCGUCUUCCGGGUCUUAGCUCGAGUCCGAGCCCUGGGGUCGGGCGGAGCGGAGUUCCCUAUGGCGCCCCUGGCAAAGCCUGACUGCCUGUCAGACUCACUCUGUCGAGUGGCACCGCAGUCGGAAUGGCGCAGGCGGCGCUGCCCUUCUGUCAGACCGGUCAGUGGAGCAGCGGAGUGACGGCGGUCACUUCAGCUCUGCCGGGGGGCAUGCGUCAGGAUAGAGGUGUCAGGCCACCUUUGCGUUAAAUGCCCCUGCAACUCGGUCGGUCGGUGCGGCGAUUUAGUCAGGGUUGCUUCUUAGCGAAGCCAAGGCCUCAGGCGAGCCGGAGAUGUGUCCGCCGUUAAAAGGGGGGCCUCGGGCGAGACGGAAGUCCCUCGAGGUCGGCUGCCCGAGUCCGAGGCUAGGCUCGGGUGAAGCGUGAUCGAGUCACUCGUAUGGACUGAUCCCUGACUUAAUCGCACCCAUCAGGCCUCUGCAGCUUUAUGCUGAUCGGGGUUACCAGCUGAGAAUUAGGCGUCUUGAGGGUACCCCUAAUUAUGGUCCCCGACACAUACGUUCAUAGCUCAACAAGUUGUGGGGAAUAAUGUGCAUGAACUCGCUAAAGGUGGGAGCUCACGUGAAGUGUAAGGCUUACCAAAGAGGAUGGUUGAAGCUGAGCAUUGCUUUUAAAGUUGGUCAAAAUUUUAUUAGCAAUUACUAAGUAUAAGUAAAUACCAGCCCAAUUAAGUAGUAGAUCAAAAAUAACAACAUCACAUGCAAUGCAAUGCAUAUGACAAAUUGAAUUUAGUUCCAUAAAUUAAUCAUGUGAGUGUUCGAGCUGCUCAUGACCGUGAGCACGGCUAGUAUACCAGUUUUACACUCUGCAGAGGUUGCGCAUCUUUACCCACAAGUCAUGUUACCCAUCUGCUAAGAGACGACCAAUCCCAUACACCUCUAUCGAGGAGGCGAGGCAGGGUAACACUACGAGGCCUUUACAAAGUUCCACUAGCUUUAGAAAACCCGCUACAGUUUGUAGGAAGCUCCAAUGAAGGAAUCCCUCGUCUGACCGCCAUGGCAGCAAAAUCAACCCGAGGACCUCCCUACACUGACCACUCCCCUACUGCCCUUGCUCCUUUCGGGUAAGGUAGUCUUCCACUAGCUUUCCUAGUUAGUUGGCCAAGGGCGUCCCAUUAUACCCUUGUGGUAGCACUGUUUUCCUGGGUGGUUCUCCAUGUUCCAAUUAACAUAAUGAUCUUAUCAUGAACAAUAAAUAACAGCUGAUAAUGAAAGAUAAUCAUGAAUAAAAUGUAUCUCUAUACCCAAAACCACAUAAAGCAAUAGCAGGUACUACCCAAAAAUUUAGUGGUAAACAAGGUAUAAAGAUAGUCAAACUAGGGUAACCUAUUGGGUCCCAUCAAAAUUAACCUAUGCAGAUCAUUAUGAUUAAUUAGAACAUGACUGGGUAAAAAGAAGUGAUCAAGGGCACAACUUGCCUGGGACUUGAGAUUCCAGGUACCAACUUGCUCUUCAUGUGACACGUGUCCUCACGCUAGUCGUAGCAAUACAGACAAACAGUGUAUAGGCAAAAUUAACAUCACACCAAACAUAAGAGUAAAUUGUGUAAUAUUAAUCUACGUGUUGCUACGAGAUCAUGGGCUCGAGAAGCACUAUAAUCGGAGUUAUAGUUAUUUAAUUAUGAUUUUCUAAAGUCUUAUGUGAUUAAACAGGAAAACUCAAUUCUAGGUAGUUUAUAAAUCAUGUGAGAAAGAUAAUCGAAAUAAUUAACUAACUUUCUCUUGAUCAAAUUAUACUUGAUUAGAAAACAUACUCUAUCUCCCAUUAUAAACAUAGACAUAGUAAUCUUUGGUUAGUGAGGUAAAUUUACUAAAUAUAGGAUAAAUAAAUGACUAAUAUAAAAGUAUAUGAUAUGAUAUAAUUAAGGCUAACACUGUGCAGGCAAUUUUAUUGUGAAGCUAAUGCAACUUGAAUGGAUCAAAUCGGAGUUAAAAUUUAUAAGUUAUGGAAUAAACAAGUUUCUAUGUAUUUUUAACACUUAUUUUAUAAAUUUCUGGGAUUUAUGGACUGUGGGCGCAAAUACCAGAGAGCUCGAGGUUAUUUUUAUAAAUUCUAGGGCCUCGGUUGUAAGGGUUUCUCUAUAGUCAAGGACGGCGGGUUAUUUGUGGCAAAGGGCAGGGGCUCUUAAGAAAAAAUGCCAAGUGAAGGGGUAUGAACAUUUCCCAGCCACCCGAUCUGAUCUGGACGGCCCAGAUCAGUCCUAUCAUUUAAAUGAACCGGUAUACACUUGGAGCCAUUGGAUUUCUAAUGGACGCCCAGGAUUUUAAAAUACCCAGCUCAACUCAUUCCCGUCGGAUCUGAAUCGAACGACGCUGGUCAGUCCUAUGGCUAGAUCCGAUCUAAGCCACCCAUCUGUAAUCAGACGACCGACGUUCUUCUUCCCAACCACCUGGCGCACGCUGAAGAUCCGCACUGAUCGUUCUCUAUCCCUCUCUUCGCGCUAUUGUUCCAUGGCGGCGGACAGGUUCAGGCUAUGGGGUCCUUCUCCGCCCAACGACGACAACGCAAGCAUCGAAGCUCGCCGUCGACCAACGAACCGAGGCCAACCAUCACGCGCUCGUUGAGGAUCCGCACAGGCGCACGAUCUCUCUCUCUCCCUGCUGGUCCGUGGCAGAAGCGCCCUGCCCAGCAGCGACCAAGCACGCCGGAGCGCAGUGCCCACGCACAAAUCCCCACACGGACCGGUGCUACACGUAUGGCGGAGUAGGACGAGCACAAGGGAGGGGAAAUUACCAGUGGAUAGAAGGGCAGAGGUGGCUAGCCACGGAAGUGUGCGGCAACAACUGGGCAUACAGCAGCGGCAUGGUGAUGAACCUCGAGCUCUGGGAGAAGUUUGCCAAGGCUUCAGUGAAACCCAGAGCAUCUGCCUACCCCCAGCGCCGCGACCGUAGAUGGAACGUUCCCAGCGCAGUUUUACCCCGCCGACAGUGGUGGCGACGCCGCCCAGCUCCAACUUCGGUUUUAUGGGUGGAGGGUCAUCGGAUGCGGCCGUUCUUAUAGUGCCCAGGUACGAGGUCCGAGUUGGAGUCCCACAUCCCAACCACACCGCGACGAAACCCCUCCGGUUCCCAGAAUCACGCGCGUUUGUUGUGGUAGCGAGCUUUUCGCGAGGUUGGUGAUGAACCCGCCAGGUGGGACCCGUUCGUCGGCCACACAUGCGAUGGGGGCGCGAGGAAGCAGGCAGCGCCCAGGAGGAGGGUUCAAGCGCGCGCGGGCCACUUGGGCCGAGAAAGACCCGAGCUGGGCUGAGCCUGGGAGGUUUCAGCCCGAGUGCUUUUAUCCUCUUUUUCCUUUUUCUAAUUUUAUUUCCUGCUUUGUUUCUCCUUUAUAUUUUAAACCUAGAAUUUGAAUUCAAAUCUUGUGGCGAAUUUGUACUAAAAAUUUGUUUUUGAACAUGACAUUAUGGGGUAGGUUUAUUUUCUUGUAAAUUUAUUUUGUCCUUCAUAACAUCGCUCUCUUUCUUCUUUUCUAUAUUAUUUCCAAUUUCCUAAAUUGUAAUUUUGGGUUAAAUCUAAAUUCUCAAAUUAGUAUCAUAUUUUCAUUAGUAUUAUUUUAUUAUUAAAUGCACAAACAAACAAAAACCUCAACAUGAUGCAAAUUUUAUUGAGGUAUUAUUUAUUUUAAACAUGUUUCCUAACAAUGAGAAGUCAUUACACAUAAAUUUGUAUUCUUCUCUUUAUUUUCUAAAGUUGGAUAUUACAUGAUCAAAGACUAUGAGCUGGAGAUUCAUUAUCACUCAGGCAAAGUAAAUGUGGUUACAGAUGCUCUUAGCAGGAAGAAUCAAGUCAAUAUGUUGGCCGCUCGCCCGAUGCCGUAUGAGCUAGCAAAGGAAUUCGACAGAUUGAGUCUCGGAUUUCUGAACAACACCCAAGGGGUGACAAUUGAGUUGGAACCCACUCUAGAGCAAGACAUCAGGAAAGGUCAGAAGGAUGAUGAGAAGAUCAACGAGAUCCGGUAGCUGAUCAUAGAUGGGAAAGACAAGGAUUUCCAUGAAGAUGCAGAAGGAGUGGUAUGGUUCAAGGACAGACUGUGUGUUCCUGACAUCAAAUCGAUCCGGGAACUGAUUCUCAAGGAAGCUCAUGAGACAGCAUAUUCUAUACACCCUGGUAGUGAGAAAAUGUACCAAGACCUAAAUAAAAGAUUCUGGUGGUACGAUAUAAAAAGGGAGAUAGCAGAGUAUGUGGCUGUAUGUGAAAGUUGUCAGAGGAUUAAAGCAGAACAUCAAAGACCUGCAGGUUUGUUGCAACCGUUGCAGAUUCCUCAGUGGAAAUGGGAUGAGAUCAGAAUGGACUUUAUAGUUGGUUUGCCUCGCACUCGUACUGGUUAUGACUCCAUCUGGGUAGUAGUGGACCGUUUGACAAAGGCAGCCCAUUUCAUACUAGUCAAGACCACCUAUAACAGUACGGUGUUGGCCAAACUAUACAUGUCUCGGAUUGUGUGCUUGCAUGGUGUUCUGAAGAAGAUAGUAUCAGAUAGAGGCACUCAGUUCACCUCUCAUUUUUGGCAGCAGUUGCAUGAAGCUUUGGGCACACAUUUGAAGUUCAGCUCAGCUUAUCACCCGCAGAUAGAUGGUCAAACAGAGAGGACCAAUCAGAUUCUUGAGGAUAUUUUGAGGGCUUAUGCUUUGCAAGACAAGAUAGGUUGGGACAAGAGAUUACCAUAUGCAGAAUUCUCUUACAACAACAGCUAUCAAGCCAGUCUGAAAAUGUCACCAUUUGAAGCGCUGUAUGGGAGGAAUUGUAUAACUCCAUUGCAUUGGGACCAACCCGACGAAAGACAGGUAUUCGACCUAGAGAUUUUGCUUGAAGCCGAAGAGAAUAUUAGAAUGGUCCGAGAGAAUUUAAAGGCAGCACAGUAUAGACAGCGGAGCUAUGCUGACACCAGAAGAAGGGAACUCAGUUUUGAAGUGGGAGACUAUGUCUACUUGAAAGUGUCACCCAUCAGAGGAACCAAAAGGUUUGGAGUCAAAGGCAAGCUAGCACCUCGUUAUAUUGGACCGUAUCAGGUUCAAGCCAGACGUGGAGAAGUGGCUUAUCAACUCGGCUUACCAGGGAAUCUAUCCGCUGUGCACGAUGUGAUGGCAACGGGUACAAACCCGCUGGGUUUUGCUAUCCCAAACCCGUACCCGUGAAAAAUAUUUACACCCAUUAAAAAACCCGUACCCAUGACGGGUUUGAAAUUUUGCCCAAACCCGUACCCAUCGGGUUUGCGGGUACCCACGGGUUACCCACGGGUUUUUAUCUCCAAUAUGCUUAUUCUUUUUAUAAUCAAUAAAUAUCGUAAUGAUUAAUGAGAUCAUGGUCCAAAAUUUAUGUAAUGAACAACGAGUUCAUGAUUUGGUAUAAAUAAUAUUAGUAGAGAGAAUUAAAUACAAAUAAUAAGUUGUAUAAUCAAGUUACCUUCCACUAAGUUAUACAUCCACCACAUAUAUAACGCUAGUAAUAACUAUAAUAGCAAGCACGCAACACUAUCACCAACUACUUAUACAUUCACUAUUUGAUAAAAAUUAGGAAGUAAAUAGGUAGAUAACAAGUUUGUUGUUCAUUUAUAAAAUAAAAUGACAAUAUGCACUUGGUUUGGUCGGGUUUAAAAAACCCACGGGUUCACGGGUUUGGGUACUAUAGGAACAAACCCGUACCCAUGAACUCGUCGGGUAUACAAUUAUGCCCAUUAACAAACCCAUGGGUAUAAAAAUUGACCCAAACCCGUACCCUAAUGGGGUAAAAACCCAUCGGGUUUCGGGUACCCAUUGCCAUCUCUAGUUCCAUGUGUCUCAGUUGAAGAAAUGCUUGAGAGUGCCAGAGGAGCAGUUGCCAGCAAAAGAUCUUGAAGUUCAAGAGGAUCUGACCUAUAUUGAGAAGCCAACUCAAAUUCUGGAGACAGCAGAUCGGGUCACUCGGAGAAAUACCAUCAGGAUGUGCAAAGUCAAAUGGGGUCAUCACUCAGAAGAAGAAGCAACCUGGGAACGAGAAGAUGAAUUGAAAGCCAAGUACCCUGAGCUCUUUGCUAACCAGCCCUAAAUCUCGAGGGCGAGAUUCUUUUAAGGGGGAUAGGUCUGUAACACCCUGAUUUUGGGGGUAUAAAAUUUCUUUCUAAUUAUCACCCAAAAUCAUGUGUUACUCUUCCUUUUCUCACUCUAGGCUUCCUCUCUCUCUAGAUUCUUUCUCCCUUUUUCAUUUCAAUUAGAAAUAGCUUAAACUAGUGGAGGUUAAUUAUUUAUUUUUGCCAAAAUAUUGUGGGUCAUGACAUGUUGCAUCAUGCUGAGUUUAAAAUAUUCUUUGAAGUGCUGCACAUGUUUGAGUUUAUUUGAAUUUGAAACCUAAUUUGAAUUUGGAUUUGAAAACCCUAGAGAAGAGAAAUAGAAAAGGAAUUAGAAAAUCCAGGGAAAAAGAAAAAGCCAUUUCGGCCCAAACUAGCCCACCAGGCCCAACCCUACGUGCGCGCCUGCCGCCCCUGACAGGCGGACCCCGCCUGUCGGCGCCAGUCUUUCGCGCGUGCCCACUCUCUAGCUCUCUGCCCGCUGGGGCCAAUAUGUCGGUGCCAGUUUCCUUCGCUCGCACGCUCCCUCUCUCUCUCUGUCUCAUGGGCCCAGUUUGCCAGUCGUCAAGCCGUUGCCCCCACGCACCCCUUUCCUCUCUCUCUCUCUGCGUCGUGGGCUAGCCCUGUCAGCUCUGCCCCCUCCACGCUCGCCGUGGACUGGCACGUGCGCACUCGCGCACGUCGCCGGAUUUCUCGGCCACGACACCCGCCCACGCGCCCAGCUCCCUUAUUAGAGCCCCGCCAGUGCCCCGCGCUCAACCCUCGCCUCAUUUCGCACAGCUUCACCCUCCCUCGCGCUCUGCCCACGCCGCCAGCCGCUACCAGGACCCGUGCCCGCGUUCCCGGCCAUCCAGCUCGCCGGAGACUGCUCCAAGCCUCCCCAAGCUCCGCCCCGAGGCGAGACACCCGUCUCCGUGCCCAAUUCCCUUAUCUCGCCCUGUGUUCGGCCAAUUUCACCUUCUCCGGUGCUCGGCCGUGGCGGUCCGCCGUGCUCACGCGGUGGCCGGCCGAUUCAGCCCAGUCUAGUUCACCGGAGUAGGUCCCUAUGUCACCCUGCCUCUGCUGAAGCUAGCCAAGGCCUUAGAGCGCCUUAGGUUUCCUCCCCGUGGCCGGAAUGGCUCACCGGAGUUGCUCCGGCCCGCCCGAGACCUUCUCACCGCCGUUCUCCCCUCUCUGCUCGUGGAUUCAUGGCCUCUCCCCUGCCAUCGAGUUUGCCGUGGCGCCCUCUCCCUCUCUGCCCAAUUCCGGCGACCCCGGAGCCACCCUAGCUCACGCCAGCCUCAACUCCGGCGACCUCACAGGCGCGGAGAGGAGCGGUGCCGCCCGCAGCCACCUGUUCCCCCUGGUCCGAUCCAGAUCGAAUGGCUCGGACCACCGCAGCCGCCUGUUCCCCCUGGUUCGAUCCUCUCCGUCCGAUCUAGAUCGAACGACACAGACCACCACAGUCACAUGUUCCCCCUGGUCCGAUCCCCUCCAUCCGAUCUAGAUCGAACGGCUUGGACCACCGUAGCCGCCUGUUCCCCUGGUUCGAUCCCCUCCGUCCGAUCAAGAUCGAAUGGCUCAAACCCCGGAUAACGCUUCGCGCACGCGUGCCCUGAUGCCCUGGCCCUCCUGGCAGCGCCUAAGUCCCCUGGUGUUGGGCCCGCUCGGUCAGCGCGCUCUCCCCCUCUAUCGCUGAAGCACUGGCCCGCUUGUUAGCGCUCGGCCGCCCGCGCGCGCCCUCGGCUGUAGAUCUAAUCUCAGCCGUUGGUUUUAGAUCCGACGGUUAGAUUCGCUCGAUACCCCUUCGCGCGGUAGCCUUCUUAAAGAGACCCUCGGUUUAUUGAAAAUCAACCCGCCGUCCCUGGUUUUUGCGCGUAGGCCCCUGUAAUCUUGCAGAUUUAGCCCUGGACUUUUAAAUAUUCACAGAAUUAGCCCUAAUUUCAUAUUUUGAAUUCCCAAACUUUUUUAUUUCAUAACUUUUGCAUAUGAACUCCACAUUUAGUGAUUCGAAUUGCAAAAUGUUCAUAGAAUCAUUCUCUGUCUAAAUAAAAUGGUUUCAUUUACUAUCUGCACACUCUAAUUUUUAGGAUUGAAUAUGAACUAAUGUAGAUGUAUUUUUAUUGAUUUAAUAAAAUAAAUAAAAGGAGAACCUUAGAGAUUUAAUCAUGUGUAAGCUGUGAGAUUAAUAAUGUGUAUUACAUAAGUUUACCUCUGCUCUAAUUUUUUUAGGUCACAAUAAAAUGAAUUGAACUAUGAUCAUGUAUGUCAUGGAACCUCCCAAGUUAUUAGGCCCACCUACAGUUGUCCUUGUCCAACAGACAUCAGACAACCCUGUAGAUGUUCCUUAAUUACUUGACAAGUUCGGUAUCUUUAUCCUUACCUUUCCAGGAACGUUUCACCCGUCUGACAGACAAUAUGUUCAUCGGAGAUGCGGAAAUGCGGAAGUGAUUACAUAAACUUACCUUUAUUUAAAAAGUAAGAGUAAGUUAUUUAGUACAGACCAGAGAGUGCUGAAACGUAUUAUUACAAUACCUGGGAGGCAAAAACUCCUCCCAUAAAGUUCUUUACAUAAAAGUUUUUAAGGAGGACCCGGUCCUCCGGCAGCUUCACUCUUGAUUAUCUUCACUUUUCACCACCUUGGUACAAAAACAACAAAAGUUUGUUGUCUCCUCACCUAAAAACAACGGGGGGAAUAAACCCUGAGUAUGGAAUUACUCAGCAAGUCUUACCCGACUAAGGAAAAGACUCUCAAGGGGAUGCUGGAUAUAUGGGAGUCAAGGUAAGGCUUUUCAAUAUUCAAAGACUCUGUUUGCAGAAUUGCUUACUAAAGUGGAUCCUUAAAAUCCAAUUUUAUUGUCAGGUUAAGUAAAAUUACCUGCAGCUAGAGUUCUUCUACCCUAGUUCAAUCACUUGACCUGCACUAGCCAAUUUCUUAUCAACCCUUCAUCUUCACUGGAUUGCUACGUGUAAGUCAGUGGCCAAGUCUCCAUAACCGCGGAGGUACGGCGAUCCGAAUCGAUUAUACUCAGCUGAGGAUCUCCGAUCACACGACAUAUGUAGCACUUAACCCUUGCAUAUGUCAACCCGCCACCGAGUUUCUUAAGACCAGAUCAGGUUCACGCAAACCGAGAGCACAGAUACACCACCGUCCAGCCUCUUGCCACGGAGGGUACACGCUACUCUCACCACCGCUCCACGCCCAUUUCGUGUUAUCUUAUUCUGGCCUUAGUCCACUCGAGGCAAAGCUUACCCAUGACGAGGCAUGUGACCAGUUAAAGGGUCCUCGGUCAGCAGGCUUACAUCGAGACGGCCCUUAAUCGACUCAGACGGAGACACUACACCGAGACUCUCUUUCUCGUGCAAGUCAUCCGCCCGGUCUCAGCUUAAUCAUUUAACCCCAAAGGUUGAUACCUGGCAGAGGUACAUCUUUUUCGAUGUUGAAUCCAUCACGGCCGUGAUGGAUUCACCAUCAAGUUUUAUAUUUGAAAACAACCCUUCCACUUUGCCAAACAUCUUUUGUAAAACAAAUCUUUUUGUUUUGCUAGAGCAAUACUAAGCAUAAUAAAAUCUUUUGUAAAACAGGGUAUCAAGGAAAGUACUCAAUUCCAAGGAAAGUAAUGCAGGAAUUGGUUUAAGCAAUCAACACCUAUCACCUAGUGCAUCAAGCAAGUGAGAAAGAUUUUAAAAUACAAGGGGGGUGGCAAAUGCACCGGGGCUUUCCUUUGUUUAUGGGUGAGUCAGGCUCAGAUCCACAAAUAUCGAAGUAGAAACAGUUCUCAGCCUGUGUUUCCAAAGGUGGUGGUGCUUGCUCUUCAGUGGCUUCCACUUCUUCUUCGUGUUCUAAUCAUAACCAUAUAUAUGUAUAAGAAUGGAUACCAUGGGAUGCUCAUGAGGGUGCAAAGAUAAUAUAAACUUAUUAUCUAAGUCUUGAAUACAACUUUCCUUCACGGAACUUUGAGAACCUAGGGUUUCCGGAGUAGGUAAAGGAGUUCACAAGGCAGGGGGGUGUUUUGGGGUUUGGUGAUCAAACAAGGUCCAAAUCAAUUCAAACUCUACCCAAGGCUUCUAAAUAAUGUAAGGAACUCAUAUAAAAAUUGUGAGCAUUUUUGGGAUUACCAUUUAUCUUUUAAAAAUCUAGAACUACUAUCUUAAACUGUUUUAAAUGCCUUAAAAUUCCCUGUUUAAACUAAAAAUCAUGAAACUAUUUUUGUUAAAUUCUAGGGAAAAUAAGAAGCCCAGGAAAAUUGGUUUCACAAUUUUACCAUUUUUCUACAUUUUUCUACAUAUUUCUAAAGUUAUUCUGAAAAAGAAAAGGAGAAAGAAUAAAUAGUGUUGGGCUGAAUUUAGCCGAGUCGGCCCAGUCCCAGGCAGAAGCGCGCCCGCGCGCGGCCGCGCUGGUGACUUUGCAGAAAGGCCCUUGCGUUUCAGAACAACCCGAAGCAGGUCCGAAGCACUAUUCACUGAGUCGCUGACGUAUUCCAGAAAACCCCUUGUACUUCUAAGUCUUCGCAGAGGAAAGCCCUCAACGGCGUCGCGCGGAGGAUGAACUCCGGCGAGCACGCAGACCGGCCGAAUUGCUCCAAGACCAGCGCUUAGGCUAAGACUAAACCAAAUCCAUGACCAGGGGAGUAUUUUCCCCAACCUAAUUGCACUAGAGAUCAAAAGGUGUGCUCUGGCCACGGUGGCCGUGGACACCAUGGCAAUACCGUCGUGUUCCUAACGAUUAGCGGGCUCCUAGUUCAAUCCAGUGGCUCGGCAAGCAUCAUAGACUUAAGGGAAAGCUUGAACGAGGAAAAGGAGGAGAUGAAUUGACCGGGAGGAGGCUGGCCGCGGGGAGGUAAAUUCACGGUGGCGGAAAGUCGAUUUGGGGAGAACUGGAAAUUCACGCGUGCUGGUGGAUAAUCGAGGGUGGGAACGGGUGCUAUAGCUCGGCAAUUACAUGGCGCAACUGACCUAGCCCUCAAUUUAUAGGCACAUCAAAGGACGGUGAAGAAUUUGGUCGAGGGAUGUGAGCGGCCGGAGAGCUCGGUGCGGAGGAAAAAGUAACUUUCACCGUGGCAGUGGCUCCGGUGAUCGCCAGACAUGCAACUAAUGAGUCACUGCAAGAGAGUUUCGUGCUGAGACACGUGGUGUGCAACGGCGGUGGCUUAUCAGCGACGAGGUCAUCCAACCGGCGAUGAGCUGGGGGUAAAGUAUGGCGGCCUUAGCCUUAGCUCCAUCCAGUACCGGAUUUUUAUCCGGUCAAGCUUAUCGGUUAAACACGGCGCACGAAUCGCAGUAAAGGAUCAACCACCGGCGACGACUCAUCGGCGACGAGCGAACCAGCUGGCGGUCUGAUCUUCUUCAGUCGUGACACUGUACCAUGGUGAACACUCCAUCAGAGCAGCUGACAGAGCAACUUUAGGUCCUAUUUUCUCCAGAUUUUCUAUGGUACCAAGUCCAACCCUCUGCAGCAAAAGUGGAGUGCUACAAACCAGCUACAACUUUGCUAUGGCAGACCAAGGUAGAUUUUUAUUGGAUCAUGCUCAGAAUUGAGUUUGAAGUCGGUGUCAGCCCACUGUCAGUCUGAUUUUCAGACUUAAGCAGCCUGACAGCCAAAGUUUGAGCAUGAUUAUCUCCAAAUUACUCACAAGAACAUGGCUUGCCCUCUUCAGCAAAAUUGUUCUCCUAUGAUUGGGCUACAAUUUUAAUGUGGUGACCUAGGGCAAAAACCCUAGAAUUUGAAAGAUACAUGGCUCCAAAGUUGAGCCUACUAAACUGAAUUUCAGACUUAGGCUCAAUAGAGCUAAAGGGUGAUUUUUGCAAAUUAGUCUAAAACUUAGGGUUUGGCUUGUAAAUUCACAUAUGAGUGACCCAAAGGACUUAAGAUACUUAUUUAACUUGUUUUUUGCACUUUAGUCCAAAAGUGGACUAAUUUUGCACAUAGGUCCCUAGGGUUUGGUUUUAGGGUUUUCCAGGGUUCCAAUUAGGGUUUCUGGUAUUCCAGGGAUAUAAAUGUGAUUCAACUUUGUUUUUGGGGACAUUUUAUGACUCUUUCCCUAAAGCCUUUAGGUUUUCUCAUCUUGGGUUAAGUUUUGCCCCUUUGAGCCUGAUUUAGGGUUAGGUUCCCUAUCCAGGGUCCUAUUUGCAAAACACCAAAAACAAUACACUGGUUUGAAAUUUUUACCUAGUGAAUGCACUCUAGGUGUAUCAAACAUAUGCAAUGUCAAUGAUUAUGAUGCCAUGCUCAAAUUUUAGUUACAGUAACACCAUGGGUGUUACAUCCUUCCCCCCAUAAAAGAAUCUCGUCCCGAGAUUUAAAGUCCUAGGGUGAGUAAUGAAAAAGGAAAUGCUUCACAUUUGUAUUUCCUUAUUUUUGGUACAAGGCAGGGGUGGUGUGGGGGUCACUUCUUUAUUACAAUAUUAAAUAUGCUUUACAAAUUACAUGAGGCUAGAAAGCCUGGGAAAUUCUUAUCUAAAAAGUCUUGAGUUUCCCACGUAGCCUCUUCCUCAUAAUGUUGGUUCCAUUGUAUCUUAUAGAACUUGAGAGUCUUUCUCCGGGUAACCCUGUCCUUUUGAUCCAGAACUCGAAUAGGAUGUUCCGAGUAUGUUAAAUCUGGUUUCAGGACAACAUCUGUCACUUCAAUGGUUCGAUCGGGAACCCGAAGACACUUCUUCAAUUGCGAUACAUGGAACACAGUAUGUACAGCAGACAAUGUUUCAGGAAGCUGAAGUCGAUAUGCCACUGGCCCAUAUCUUUGAAGUAUAGGAAAGGGACCAAUGUACCUGGGUGCAAGCUUUCCUUUUAUCCCGAAACGCGACACUCCCUUCAUUGGGGAAACCUUUAAGUAGACAUAGUCCCCUUCAAGAAAAUACAAGGGCAUUCGUCGUUUGUCUGCAUAGCUCUUCUACCGAGCUUGGGCUUUCUUCAGAUUAUAAAUAAUUCUCUGAACCUUUUCCUCGGCCUCCUUCACUAUAUCAGGCCUAAAGAAAUACCUGUCUCCAGGUUUAGACCAAUUUAGCGGAGUUCGACACCGUCGCCCAUAUAAAGCUUCAAAAGGUGCCAUCUUGAUACUCUCUUGAUAACUAUUAUUGUAUGAAAACUCUGCCAAAGGCAAACAUUCAUCCCAUUUUGGUGAGAAAUCCAGGACACAUGCUCGCAACAUAUCUUCGAGUACUUGAUUAAUUCUCUCAGUCUGUCCACUGGUUUGUGGAUGAUAUGCCGAACUAUGGAGCAACUUAGUACCCAAGGAUUUGUGAAGUGAUUCCCAAAACUUGGCUACAAAUUGGGGUCCACGAUCCGACACAAUGGUCUUCAGAACACCAUGCAGACUAAGAAUACGAGCAAUGUACAAUUGGGCGUAGACAGUAACUGGGGAAUCUGUCUUGACCGGCAGAAAGUGAGCAAUCUUUGUAAGCCGAUCAAUUAUAACCCAGAUAGAAUCAUGCCCUUUUGCAGUCCUAGGCAAUCCCACGAUAAAGUCCAUACUUAUAUGUUCCCAUUUCCAUGUUGGGAUCGGCAAAGAUUGUAAUGGACCAACAGGUUUCAUGUGUAUGGCUUUGACACGUCUGCAAGUGUCACACUUAGCCACAUAGCGUGCAAUUUCAAUUUUCAUCUUCGUCCACCAGUAAUGCUGCUUUAGAUCGUGAUACAUCUUAGUGCUUCCCGGAUGAAUAGAAUAGCGACUAAGAUGCGCUUCAUCUAAAAUUUGCUGGCGGAGUUCUUCGUUCUUUGGCACUACUAUGCGGUUAUUGAACCAUAACACACCUUGAUCGUCUUCCUUGAAACAUUUGGCUGUUCCAGCCCUUAUUUUCUCCCGUAUGUGCUUCAUACCCACAUUAUCCUUUUGAGCAUCAACUAUUCUUUGCAAGAUGAUAGACUCAAGCUUUAGCUGAUUCAGAGUCCCUUGUUGAACCAUCCCCAGGUUUAGCUUUUCCAUCUCUUGACAUAAAGUAUUGUCAGAGGUCUUCGCCAUAAGACAGUGGCAGGAAACCUUACGGCUCAGUGCAUCUGCCACAACAUUGGCUUUGCCUGGGUGAUAGUGAAUUUCCAGUUCAUAGUCCUUAAUAAGCUCAAGCCAUCGUCUUUGCCUCAUAUUUAAUUCUGACUGGGUGAAGAUAUACUUCAAGCUUUUGUGAUCUGUAUAAAUAUGACAGAUAUUUCCCAGCAGAUAGUGACGCCAAAUUUUCAGGGCAUGAACCACAGCAGCUAGCUCCAGAUCAUGAGUUGGGUAAUGCUCCUCAUGGUGGCGCAACUGCCUUGAAGCAUAUGCAAUUACUCGACCCUCUUGCAUUAAUACACAGCCGAGUCCACUGCCUGAUGCAUCACAGUAUACAUCAAAAGGCUUAGUGAUGUCCGGUUGAGCCAAUACCGGAGCAGUGGUUAAUAAUGUCUUCAAUUGCUCAAAGGCUUCAUUACACUUAGAAGACCAAUUGAAUUUAGUGUCAUUCUUCAAUAAACUUGUGAUUGGCUUCACAAGCUUGGAAAAAUCUGGUAUGAAUCUGCGAUAAUAUCCAGCUAGUCCAAGAAAACUCCGGACUUGGUGAACAGUGGUUGGGGGUUUCCACUCCAGAAUAUCCUUGACUUUGCUAGGAUCUACCGCAAUUCCCUUGGCAGAUAACACGUGCCCCAAAAAUUGAAUUUCCUCCAGCCAGAACGCGCACUUGCUGAACUUGGCAUACAACUGAUGUUCCCUCAGGCGCGUCAAAACAAUCCGUAGAUGUUGAGCAUGCUCCUCUUCAUUUUUGGAAUAUAUUAAGAUAUCGUCGAUGAAGACCACCACGAACUUGUCCAACUCGGGCAUGAACACCGAGUUCAUCAAAUAAGUGAAGUGGGCAGGAGCAUUUGUUAGCCCAAAGGACAUUACCAAAUAUUCAAAUAAACCAUACCGCGUAGUAAACGCGGUCUUCGGUAUAUCCUCGGGCCGAAUACGGAUUUGGUGAUAGCCCGACCUGAGAUCAAUUUUGGAAAAUACCCUCGCCCCAGUCAGUUGAUCAAAUAAGAUGUCGAUCCUUGGAAGAGGGUACUUGUUCUUGAUGGUGACCUCAUUCAGGGGUCGAUAAUCCACGCACAUUCGCAAGGUUUGGUCCUUCUUCUUAACAAAAAUGGUGGGACAACCCCAUGGAGACGAGCUUGGCCGGAUGAAUCCCUUAUUCAGUAGAUCUUGUAAUUGAAUCUUCAAUUCUGCCAACUCAUUAGGAGGCAUACGGUACGAUCUUCAGGAAAUGGGAGCCGUACCGGGCUUUAGCUCAAUUACAAAUUCUACAUCUCUUUUAGGGGGCAGUCCAGGCAAAUCUUCCGAAAAUACAUCUGGAAACUCACAUACUACCGGAAUAUCCUUGAUCUCCGGUACAAUGGCUUCAUAUAUUCUACCAGAAGCUUUGGCUGGAUUGGUUACGGGGAGAGACAAAAGAAUCUCUUCUUGAUUAUAGCUCAACCUGACGGUUCUGAGUUCAGUGUUGAGAAUUGCCUUGUGUUGGGUUAACCAAUUCAUACCCAAAAUUACAUCUAUAUCCUGGCCUUUUAGAACAAUCAUGUUAGCAGGAAAGUUCCGUCCGGCCAUUGUUACUGGCACUUCAUAGGCCACUUCUCUAGUAAAAAUGUGUCCCCCAGGUGAAUGAAUUUUAAAUCCUUCUUUUGAUUCAUGGCAUGAAAUGUGAUGUUGCUCCACAAAUGUCUUGCUAAUAAAUGUAUGCGAAGCACCAGAAUCAAAAAGAAUAAUUGCAGGGUGACUGGCCACGGGAAACGUACCCAUCAUCACCGGUUCUCCUUCCGGUGUAGUGGCCACUUGAGUAUAGUAUACCCGCUCCGUCUUCUUUGCAUUCUUCCCCACAUUAUUUCCCUUGAGCUGAGCUGAUUUCCCAGAUCCUUGCGGAGCAUUUGAUUGAUUCUGCUUGGGAUAUGGGCAGUCUUUGAUGAAAUGUCCCGACUUGCCACAAUUAAAACACCCGGUUGAGGAGCUGGGCAAAGCAGGGAAUCGAGUGCCCGGGGCACCCGGCUGAUUUGGGGUAGUGGGGGCAUUGUUGGGGCGAAUAAUGAUUGGCUGCUUGAAGGGAAAUGAGGGCGGUCAAGAAAAAGAGCGAUUUUGGCUAGAAGGCCGGAUCACAAACCGUUGCCUCUUUGCCUGGCCCUGAUUAGGCUUCUCACCACCAAAUCCCGUAUUCUUCCCGGAACCUGCAUAUUUUGAUUCAACAGAUAAGGCUGUGCUAACAGCCUUUCCAUACAUGAGAUCUAUGCAGGCAGCCAUUUUUCUCUGCAAUCGAUCAUUUAGCCCUCUCAUAAAGCAGUUCUUUUUCUUUAAAUCAGUAUUCACUUGAUCGAUGGCAUACUGCGACAGGUGAUUAAACUUGUUGAGAUACUGAUUGACGGUAUCUCCUCCUUGUUUCAGCUUCAUGAACUCUUCUUGCUUCAUAUGCAGAACACCUUCGGGUAUGUAGUGCUCGCGGAAAGCCACUUUAAAUUCUUCCCAUGUGACUUGAUGGUUGGCAGGUUGAAUAGCCACAAAAUUUCCCCACCAGGUACUGGCAGGGCCGCGUAGUUGUUGCGCUGCGAACAACGGCUUCUGUGUCUCUGAACAGCGGAGAAGACCAAAUUUUUGUUCAAUAACCUGUAUCCACUCAUCAGCUUCCAACGGGUCCUCAGCCUUAACAAAUAGUGGUGGACGGGUUUCAGAGAAAUCCAGAUAUUGUAGGAUUACGGGGAGGCUACGCUAGCGCAAAACAAAAAUUUUCAUCCCCAUAAUACCAAGAACUACUGCGGUUAUAGGUCAUGGAAUUACCACUAGACGCGCAGAGCAGCGGAAGACGUCUCGAUGUAGACGAACGCGUCGAGCAGUGCCGUGCAGUCGCCGGCGUCCUUCACGUCCUCGCACGGUCCGUCCAAGUGCUCCAGAUGCAGCACCUCCGAGGUAUCCACACGUACAGGGAGGAAGCGUCGCGUACCGAACUGCUAGGUUCGCGACGGCGGCUUGGCGAGGGCGAGAGGUGGGCGGCGGCUGUUAGUUCGCUGGUGGCGAAUUAGGUUAUCCUUAACCGCGCCCCCGCCCCUCAUUAUAUAGGCGUUAUGGUGGGCUUCUGACGCCGAGGCCCAUCAUUAACCCUAAAGCCCAGUCUAAUUUCGGAUCUAAUCCGAAUUAGGCUUCCUUCCCCUUAAGUGUGUGACCCUAUAGGUUCACGUACAAAUAGACAUAGGCCGAGUACUCUUACUUGGCCCAAUAAUUGACAGCGACCUCUAGCAAGACAUGUCAACUCCUAUGUGUACGUAAAGAUCAUAUCGGACGAACCAUUGCGACAUUACGUACAUGCUGUUCCCUUUGUCUCACGAUAUUUGGUCUGGCUCUAAGCUGACCUCUCUUUCUCGAUACUGUGAAUUGGAAUCCUUUCAAUGGUUAACUCUUAACCCUAGCACGGCCAUGCAUUUCUUGAUCCAAUCACUCGAGGGGCCCAGAGAUAUCUCUCUCACAAAGAGAGGGACAAAUUCCAUCUUGACUGACCAUGCCUCAUAGCAUGCUUCCUGACAAACCCAAAACUACCUUUAUAACUACCCAGUUACGGGAUAGCGUUUGAUAGUCCCUAAGUAAGUCAAUUCACAUCUUGAGAACAUGCGACAAUCUCAGGUCUAAGGAUACAGUAUUCAUGUUGCAAGAAGAGAACUAUAUUACAAUAUCUCACGUUGGGUCGGUCCAGCCUCAUGUCAUACAUGCGCCCACAUUAUUAGUUUAACAUCUCCAUGUUCAUGACUUGUGAAAUGUAGUCAUCAACUAAUACAUGUGCUAGUCAUCGACUCUGACUAGGGACAUCAUUUAGAAUAACCAUAUAAGUAAAGAAUCUCACAAACAAUUCACAUAAUUGCUAAUCAAUACAAGGUGCCUUCCAUGGAUAUUCAAUUAAGCAAUAUAUAUAUCAUGGAUACAAAGAAAUAUGCUCAUCUCUAUGAUUAUCUCUAGGGCAUAUUUCUAACAGUCUCCCACUUGCACUAGAGUUAAUCUAGAAGAUAUCUAAUACCCAUAGAUCUCACGUGUGCCUCAUGCUUAGGUUGUGGAAGAGGUUUUGUCAAAGGAUCAGCAACAUUCAAAUCCGUAUGUAUUUUGCAUAUCUUUAUCUCACCCCGCCUAAUGAAUUCCCGUAUGAGGUGAAACUUCCGCAGUACGUGUUUGUUUUUCUGGUGGUUCCUUGGCUCCUUAGCUUGCGCAAUAGCCCCAUUGUUGUCACAGUAGAGGUUCAAUGGGCUAGAUGCAUUAGGAAACACACCAAGCUCGAUGAGGAACUUCCUUAUCCAAACACCUUCCUUCGCAGAUUCAGAAGCUGCAAUGUACUCGGCUUCUGUUGUAGAAUCAGUCACAGUCUCCUGUUUGGAACUCUUCCAACUAACAGCACCACCAUUUAUUGUGAACACAAAACCUGAUUGCGAUUUUAACUCGUCUGGGUCAGUUUGGAAGCUAGCAUCGGUGUAACCAGUUACAACGAGCUCCUCCUUACCCCCAUAUACCAGGAACAUAUCUUUAGUCCUUCUUAAGUACUUAAGAAUGCCUUUUACCGCUGUCCAGUGAUCCUCACCUGGAUCAGCCUGGUAUCUACUCGUAGCACUUAUAGCGUAUGAAACAUCUGGGCGUGUACUUAUCAUGGCAUACAUGAUUGAUCCAAUCGCUGAGGCGUAUGGUACCUUACUCAUGCGCUCCCGCUCAUUAGCCGUCGCAGGACAUUGCAUCUGGCUAAGGUGUUUACCAUGUGACAUAGGUAUGAAACCUUUCUUGGACUGUUCCAUGUUGAACCGUUUCAAAACCUUGUCAAUGUACGUAUCUUGACUUAAUCCUAUAAGCCUCUUCGACCUAUCUCUAUAGAUCCUUAUGCCCAAAAUAUAUGCUGCUUCCCCUAAGUCCUUCAUAGAAAAACUCUUUUUCAGUGAAGCCUUGACGGACUCCAGCAUAGGAAUGUCAUUCCCAAUCAAUAAUAUGUCAUCCACAUACAAGAUCAGAAAUACAACAGCGCUCCCACUUUCCUUCUUGUAAACACAAGCUUCUUCUUCAUUCUGAUGAAAACCAAGCCCUUUGAUCACUUCAUCAAAACGAAUGUUCCAACUCCGAGAUGCUUGCUUCAACCCAUAAAUGGAUUUCUGAAGUUUGCAUAUCUUUCCAGCAUUGAUCGGAUCGACAAAACCCUCGGGCUGUAUCAUAUACACGUCCUCAUCUAGGUUUCCAUUAAGGAAAGCUGUUUUGACAUCCAUCUGCCAAAUCUCAUAAUCGAAAUAUGCGGCAAUAGCUAGAAUGAUCCGAAUAGAUUUAAGCAUCGCUACCGGCGAGAAUGUCUCGUCAUAGUCAACUCCUUGAACUUGUCGAAAACCCUUUGCAACAAGUCGAGCCUUAUAGAUUUGAACAUUUCCAUCCAUGUCUUUCUUCUUCUUAUAGAUCCAUUUGCAUUCUAUAGGUCUAACACCAUCAGGCGGGUCAACCAAGUUCCAAACUUGAUUUUCUCCCAUGGAAUCUAUCUCGGAUCUCAUGGCGACAUGCCAUUUCUCGGAAUCUGGGUCCAUCAUCGCUUCUGAAUAUGUUGCAGGUUCGUCGUUGUCUAACAACAACACUUCCCCAUUGCCCAACAAUAGCACUUCUCCUCGUGCCUCGCGAAGCCUUGCUGACCUUCGUGGUUGUGGUGGUGAUUCUCUUGCCAUAGACGUCUCAACUUGUUCUGCUACAUUAGCAUCACUUGUUGAAUCUUGUCCCACUGGCUCAUCCUGAACUUCUUCAAGAUACACCUUUUGUUUACUUUUCUCUCUUUUGAGAAACUCUUUCUCUAAGAACACACCGUUCCGGGCGACAAACACUUUGCCCUCUGACCGGUGGUAAAAGUAAUAUCCUAAAGUUUCCUUUGGAUAUCCCACGAACAUGCACUUGUCCGAUUUUGGAGUGAGUUUAUCCGACUGUAGUCGCUUGACGUAAACCUCACAACCCCAAAUCUUCAGAAAAGACAAGCUGGGAGUCUUCCCAGUCCACAUCUCAUAUGGUGUCUUAACUACGGACUUAGACGGUACCCUAUUUAGUGUGAAAGCUGCUGUUUCUAGAGCGUAUCCCCAAAACGACAAAGGUAGGUCCGACUGGCUCAUCAUUGAUCGAACCAUAUCCAAUAAAGUCCGAUUACGUCGCUCAGACACGCCAUUCCUCUGAGGCGUUCCAGGCGGCGUAAGCUGUGGAACAAUUCCACAACUCUUUAGAUGAUUGCUAAACUCAUGACUCAAAUAUUCACCACCACGAUCUGAUCGCAGUGCUUUAAUUUUCUUGCCACGCUGAUUUUCUACUUCAUUCUGAAACUCUUUGAACUUUUCUAAGGAUUCAGACUUGUGUUUCAUUAAGUAGACAUACCCAUAUCUACUAAAAUCAUCAGUGAAGGUUAUGAAGUAUUGGAAUCCUCCCCUAGCUGUCGUACUCAUUGGUCCGCACACAUCAGUAUGUAUGAGUUCCAAUAAAUCUAAUGUCCUCUCCGGUAAACCCGUGAAAGGCGCUUUGGUCAUCUUACCAAGUAAGCAAGCUUCACAUGUCUCGUAUGAUUCAAAAUCAAACGAAGUUAAAAGCCCAUCAGAAUGAAGCUUCUUCAUGCGAUUCUCACUUAUAUGACCCAAACGACAGUGCCACAUGUAGGUAGGACUUAAAUCAUUAGGCCGAGGCCUUUUAGCACUAAUAUUACAGAUAGGUGCAUCAUCAAGAUUUAAAAUGAAUAACCCAUUCAUAAUGGAUGCAAAAGCCACAAACAUGCCAUUCUUAGAGAUCACACAACCAUUGUUUUCACUCGCAAAUGAAUAACCAUCCUUCAUCAAACAUGAAGGAGACAUAAUGUUUCGACUCAUACUAGGAACUAGAUAACAAUUAUUUAACUCCAAAAUAAAUCCUGAUGGGAGGUGGAGUUGCAUCGUCCCGACGGUCAACGCAGCAACUCUUGCAUUAUUGCCUACCCGGAAAUCAACUUCUCCUCUUUUCACGCUUCUACUUCUUAUCAUUCCCUGCAUCGAAUUGCAAAUAUGGGCAACCGAUCCGGUAUCAAAUACCCAAGAAUUAAUAUAAGAAUCAGCAAGAAAAAUUUCUGUAAUGUGAAUAGCAAGUGUACCUGCUGCGGCUGUACCCUUACCGCCGCGAUCCUUAAUAGAGGCCAAGUACUGCUUGCAAUUCCUUUUCCAGUGACCAAGUUCUUUGCAAUAAAAGCACUCUGCAUCUGCAGCUGGUCCAGCCUUGGGCUUUUGAUUUGGCUUGGAUACUGUAUCCUUUGCCUUGCCCUUCUUCUUUUGAGAUUUACCCUUCUUCUUAAAGUUGGGUUUGUUUUGGACCGCCAUCACAUGGCCGCUGCUGCCAGCGCUUUUCUUUAUGUCCCCUUCUGCAGUUUUCAGCAUGCCACAUAGUUCAUUGAGGCCCCUCUCCGCCCCAUGCAUAUGGUAGUUCGUGAUGAAGUUUCCAUAGCUGGGCGGAAGAGAUGCUAAAAUGAAGUCAGUGGCCAACUCUUGGCUUAUUGGGAAGCCUAGCUUCUCCAACCUCUGACUGUAACCAACCAUUUUGAUUACAUGUGGUCCAACUGCUGCGCCUUCUGCUAGCUUGCAUUCCAGAAAGGCUUUGGACACAUUGAACCUUUCAGUCCUAGCCUGAGUCUGGAACAUAUCCUUGAGCGCCACGAUCAUAUCGUACACCUCAUGGUUUGUCUCAAACUGCAUCUGCAGCUCAGGCUCCAUGCAAGCAAGCAUUAGGCAACUCACUUCAAGAUUAGUAUCCAUUGCUUUCUUGUAAGCGGUUUUAGCUGCAGCAGUUGCAUUUUCACCAGGAUCCUCUGGCAGUGGGGUGUCUAGAACGUCUUCCUUUUUUUCAGCCCUGAGAACAAUUCUCAGGUUACGGAUCCAAUCCGUAUAGUUUGUUCCAUUUAACUUAUCCUUUUCAAGAAUUGAUCGCAAAGUAAAUGUUGGUGUGCUAGGUGCCAUCUACAACAAAAUAAUGCAAAAUACUAAGACAAAAAUAUCCAUGACAGAGUAAAUCAUAUUAAACAUUUAAUAGUCUACUCCCACUAAAAUCAAUAUCCCUCGAUUGAUACUUAGUGAUUCAGAACCCACAACUAACAAGUCUACUAGUGAGCUUUAGCAUCACCGCUAGAAGACAAGGUAGAUCGGUAAGCAACUCCUUGCUAAUCAUAUCAUAUAUAUGACUCCUGUUGUUGGGUGACAUCUCUAUGUCUCGGCUCCCAACCUUAUGCCUCAAAGUCCUUAACCAUUAAGCUGACUUUGUUUAAGUUAACCAACCCUUUCUGCAGUUCGUAUCCGAUACAAACCUAUCUAGUCAAGGAAAACUGGUGGCACCCUAAUUUCAUAGACCCACCACCAAUUGUACAAGACUUAUGAUAGUGCAAGGUUUGGAGAGGCAUUAAAGCUUAAACAUUUAUGAGGGAUCGUCCUACUUAUAACAUCGCACGCAAGGAAUUAUAUGCAAUAUAAACAAGUAGAACAAUAAGAAUGGCAUUCACACAACAGUUGUGAUUCGGUAUGGCUUGUUUUCACAUGGUGAUCUCCAUCUCCAAUAAUCUGUCCAUCACGAUGAUCUCCAUCUCCAUGAUAUAGGUAUGCCAUCCUCCAGGUGAUGAGUCCUUCAAGACCUAUCUAACGUAUGCUGGUAAACAAAUUACAUAUACGCUUUGGAUCAUCACAUGUUGACACGCAGGUCAUUACAUUAAAUUUGGACAAUACAUGUGGCUCCAGCCGUAUUGCCCUGGUCACGACACGCAGGUCAUGAAUAAUUUGUUAACAUGCAUCACAUACACAUAAUAGCCAUACCGAUCACAUGUCCUGCAAAAACAGGUUAGACAAACAUGUUUCUAUACGUUCGCCACUACAGCAGAUAGUCAGCGGGCGGGGGGUCGAGGGGGGAGCCGCCCCCCGCGGGUCUCAGGGCAGCGCCCUGAAAACCUCACAGGAUUCCAUGCAUCAUAUGUAUGGAAAUUCCACUGGAAAUCUCAUGCGGUUGAUCAAAUCAACCCAAAUCCGAGACUUUCGACCCGAAGAAGAUUACACUCAUGACGUUGAUCUGUUACGUCAAUCUACUAGUUGUGUACGCAGUUAGCCCCGAUGGUGAUUCCAGCCGGUAGGGGCAAGUCGCGCACAUAACAGAGAAGGACGAACUGAUCUCUCCAGUCAUAUCCGAUGUAAUCGACUUCAACCCUUUAUAACCAAUUGAUCUAAUCAAACCGUGCAUCAAGUAGAUCCAUCUAAUGAACCUAGAUCCAGACCUAAAACUACGCAGAACCUGGCUCUGAUACCACUGUAGGAUUACGGGGAGGCUACGCUAGCGCAAAACAAAAAUUUUCAUCCCCAUAAUACCAAGAACUACUGCGGUUAUAGGUCAUGGAAUUACCACUAGACGCGCAGAGCAGCGGAAGACGUCUCGAUGUAGACGAACGCGUCGAGCAGUGCCGUGCAGUCGCCGGCGUCCUUCACGUCCUCGCACGGUCCGUCCAAGUGCUCCAGAUGCAGCACCUCCGAGGUAUCCACACGUACAGGGAGGAAGCGUCGCGUACCGAACUGCUAGGUUCGCGACGGCGGCUUGGUGAGGGCGAGAGGUGGGCGGCGGCUGUUAGUUCGCUGGUGGCGAAUUAGGUUAUCCUUAACCGCGCCCCCGCCCCUCAUUAUAUAGGCGUUAUGGUGGGCUUCUGAUGCCGAGGCCCAUCAUUAACCCUAAAGCCCAGUCUAAUUUCGGAUCUAAUCCGAAUUAGGCUUCCUUCCCCUUAAGUGUGUGACCCUAUAGGUUCACGUACAAAUAGACAUAGGCCGAGUACUCUUACUUGGCCCAAUAAUUGACAGCGGCCUCUAGCAAGACAUGUCAACUCCUAUGUGUACGUAAAGAUCAUAUCGGACGAACCAUUGCGACAUUACGUACAUGCUGUUCCCUUUGUCUCACGAUAUUUGGUCUGGCUCUAAGCUGACCUCUCUUUCUCGAUACUGUGAAUUGGAAUCCUUUCAAUGGUUAACUCUUAACCCUAGCACGGCCAUGCAUUUCUUGAUCCAAUCACUCGAGGGGCCCAGAGAUAUCUCUCUCACAAAGAGAGGGACAAAUUCCAUCUUGACUGACCAUGCCUCAUAGCAUGCUUCCUGACAAACCCAAAACUACCUUUAUAACUACCCAGUUACGGGAUAGCGUUUGAUAGUCCCUAAGUAAGUCAAUUCACAUCUUGAGAACAUGCGACAAUCUCAGGUCUAAGGAUACAGUAUUCAUGUUGCAAGAAGAGAACUAUAUUACAAUAUCUCACGUUGGGUCGGUCCAGCCUCAUGUCAUACAUGCGCCCACAUUAUUAGUUUAACAUCUCCAUGUUCAUGACUUGUGAAAUGUAGUCAUCAACUAAUACAUGUGCUAGUCAUCGACUCUGACUAGGGACAUCAUUUAGAAUAACCAUAUAAGUAAAGAAUCUCACAAACAAUUCACAUAAUUGCUAAUCAAUACAAGGUGCCUUCCAUGGAUAUUCAAUUAAGCAAUAUAUAUAUCAUGGAUACAAAGAAAUAUGCUCAUCUCUAUGAUUAUCUCUAGGGCAUAUUUCUAACAGAUAUGUGGUCUCACGGGGGCCUUGCUGAUAACCCCUUCCACCCUGCUGCUGGAAUUGUUGGCCCGCCAUUUCCCUAAGAAAGCGGGUAUUGUCUGCAGUGGCGUUCACCAAGGCGGCAAUCGCCUCGGCCAAUGUGGGAGGAACCGGAGGUGGAUUUGGGGUAACAUCCCUUCCCCCAGAAGUUCCUGCUGCAUCCUGUCCUCGGGUCCUGGUAGGCAUCUGAGGCAAGGAACAUUUGAAGUAAACAUAAUAUGCCAGAGAAACCUUCCAUUUUACAUUACUAUAAAAAGUAAUGAUACAGACUCGAUGUUAUACAACAGGAUACAUUACCCAUUAUACAAGAGUUCAACCUAUUAUACAACAUACUACUUCUACUUCUAUAACUACACUACUCCUGCUUCUGAUUGCUCUUGGCAGCUUCAUCGUCAGGUGUGGGAGACCAUACAUCGACCAACCUCAAAGAAGGAGGGGGCCUAAAAAGGUCUAACUCGCCACCAAGCGCUUCUCCCGCAUUACGCGAGGGUCCGGCUUCUAACCUGACGGGAUCCGCAGGGACAUGUGGGUGUAAUUGCGAAUACAGUACAUGAACCUCCUCAUGUAAAGUAUUGCAAUAUACCUGCAAGUUGUCAAUAGCAGCGCUAAGUUCGUUGACUCGUGCUCGAGCCUUUGCUUCCUUAGCCCAAGCUACUGAACGAGACUGUACUGCCCAAUCAAGUGCCAAAUCUCGAUCAGCUAGUUGAUCUUGCAGGGUACGGAUGUAACUUCUUAACUCAUUUAUUCGGUCACCAUCCGCAACCCAUAAAUUAGUCCUGCGUUGCAACUCUGCUUGAAGUUGAUUCACGCGAGCUUCGAGAUCACCAAUAGGAUCGUUGCUCCCGCUACUGCUAUCUUGCUCCCGUGGGGCAAGUUGGUGUCGAGGUACACCGAUAGGUCCAGUAUGUUUUCGCGCCGUUUUCCUUGUACGCGGCGGCAUUUGCUAAGGGGGAAAAUUUAUUAGUACAAUUCUUAGCAUGAUGCAUGAAUAAUUACAGAAUCAACCUUAGUUGAUUCAACCUUCUAUACAUUGCACUCUUCCUAUUUGGUCUUUAAAAUAAACUCUUCAGAGAUGCUUAGGCAAGAAGAGAAGAAUUUUUCUAGAUAAGUCUUAGAAAAUCCUUUUGAAGAUGCUACAUAGUAUCUACCAAGAAGGGCUACGCUCCGAUACCAGCUGUCAUGGAACCUCCCAAGUUAUUAGGCCCACCUACAGUUGUCCUUGUCCAACAGACAUCAGACAACCCUGUAGAUGUUCCUUAAUUACUUGACAAGUUCGGUAUCUUUAUCCUUACCUUUCCAGGAACGUUUCACCCGUCUGACAGACAAUAUGUUCAUCGGAGAUGCGGAAAUGCGGAAGUGAUUACAUAAACUUACCUUUAUUUAAAAAGUAAGAGUAAGUUAUUUAGUACAGACCAGAGAGUGCUGAAACGUAUUAUUACAAUACCUGGGAGGCAAAAACUCCUCCCAUAAAGUUCUUUACAUAAAAGUUUUUAAGGAGGACCCGGUCCUCCGGCAGCUUCACUCUUGAUUAUCUUCACUUUUCACCACCUUGGUACAAAAACAACAAAAGUUUGUUGUCUCCUCACCUAAAAACAACGGGGGAAUAAACCCUGAGUAUGGAAUUACUCAGCAAGUCUUACCCGACUAAGGAAAAGACUCUCAAGGGGAUGCUGGAUAUAUGGGAGUCAAGGUAAGGCUUUUCAAUAUUCAAAGACUCUGUUUGCAGAAUUGCUUACUAAAGUGGAUCCUUAAAAUCCAAUUUUAUUGUCAGGUUAAGUAAAAUUACCUGCAGCUAGAGUUCUUCUACCCUAGUUCAAUCACUUGACCUGCACUAGCCAAUUUCUUAUCAACCCUUCAUCUUCACUGGAUUGCUACAUGUAAGUCAGUGGCCAAGUCUCCAUUACCACGGAGGUACGGCGAUACGAAUCGAUUAUACUCAGCUGAGGAUCUUCGAUCACACGACAUAUGUAGCACUUAACCCUUGCAUAUGUCAACCCGCCACCGAGUUUCUAAAGACCAGAUCAGGUUCACGCAAACCAAGAGCACAGAUACACCACCGUCCAGCCUCUUGCCACGGAGGGUACACGCUACUCUCACCACCGCUCCACGCCCAUUUCGUGUUAUCUUAUUCUGGCCUUAGUCCACCCGAGGCAAAGCUUACCCAUGACGAGGCAUGUGACCAGUUAAAGGGUCCUCGAUCAGCAGGCUUAUAUCGAGACAGCCCUUAAUCGACUCAGACGGAGACACUACACCGAGACUCUCUUUCUCGUGCAAGUCACCCGCCCGGUCUCAGCUUAAUCAUUUAACCCCAAAGGUUGGUACCUGGCAGAGGUACAUCUUUUCCAAUGUUGAAUCCAUCACGGCCGUGAUGGAUUAACCAUCAAGUUUUAUAUUUGAAAACAACCCUUCCACUUUGCCAAAAAUCUUUUGUAAAACAAAUCUUUUUGUUUUGCUAGAGCAAUACUAAGCAUAAUAAAACCUUUUGUAAAACAGGGUAUCAAGGAAAGUACUCAAUUCCAAGGAAAGUAAUGCAGGAAUUGGUUUAAGCAAUCAACACCUAUCACCUAGUGCAUCAAGCAAGUGAGAAAGAUUUUAAAAUACAAGGGGGUGGCAAAUGCACCGGGGCUUGCCUUUGUUUAUGGGUGAGUCAGGCUCAGAUCCACAAAUAUCAAAGUAGAAACAGUUCUCAGCCUGUGUUUCCAAAGGUGGUGGUGCUUGCUCUUCAGUGGCUUCCACUUCUUCUUCGUGUUCUAAUCAUAACCAUAUAUAUGUAUAAGAUUGGAUGCCAUGGGAUGCUCAUGAGGGUGCAAAGAUAAUAUAAACUUAUUAUCUAAGUCUUGAAUACAACUUUCCUUCACGGAACUCCGAGAACUUAGGGUUUCCGGAGUAGGUAAAGGAGUUCACAGGGCAGGGGGGUGUUUUGGGGUUUGGUGAUCAAACAAGGUCCAAAUCAAUUCAAACUCUACCCAAGGCUUCUAAAUAAUGUAAGGAACUCAUAUAAAAAUUGUGAGCAUUUUUGGGAUUACCAUUUAUCUUUUAAAAAUCCAGAACUACUAUCUUAAACUAUUUUAAAUGCCUUAAAAUUCUCUGUUUAAACUAAAAAUCAUGAAACUAUUUUUAUUAAAUUCUAGGGAAAAUAAGAAGCCCAGGAAAAUUUGUUUCACAAUUUUACCAUUUUUCUACAUUUUUCUACAUAUUUCUAAAGUUAUUCUGAAAAAGAAAAGGAGAAAGAAUAAAUAGUGUUGGGCUGAAUUUAGCCCAGUCGGCCCAGUCCCAGGCAGAAGCGCGCCCGCGCGCGGCCGCGCUGGUGACUUUGCAGAAAGGCCCUUGCGUUUCAGAACAACCUGAAGCAGGUCCGAAGCACUAUUCACUGAGUCGCUGACGUAUUCCAGAAAACCCCUUGUACUUCUAAGUCUUCGCAGAGGAAAGCCCUCAACGGCGUCGCGCGGAGGAUGAACUCCGGCGAGCACGCAGACCGGUCGAAUUGCUCCAAGACCGGCGCUUAGGCUAAGACUAAACCAAAUCCAUGACCAGGGGAGUAUUUUCCCCAACCUAAUUGCACUAGAGAUCAAAAGGUGUGCUCUGGCCACGGUGGCCGUGGACACCAUGGCAAUACCGUCGUGUUCCUAACGAUUAGCGGGCUCCUAGUUCAAUCCAGUGGCUCGGCAAGCAUCGUAGACUUAAGGGAAAGCUUGAACGAGGAAGAGGAGGAGAUGAACUGACCGGGAGGAGGCUGGCCACGGGGAGGUGAAUUCACGGUGGCGGAAAGUCGAUUUGGGGAGAACUGGAAAUUCACGCGUGCUGGUGGAUAAUCGAGGGUGGGAACGGGUGCUAUAGCUCGGCAAUUACAUGGCGCAACUGACCUAGCCCUCAAUUUAUAGGCACAUCGAAGGACGGUGAAGAAUUUGGUCGAGGGAUGUGGGCGGCCGGAGAGCUCGGUGCGGAGGAAAAAGUAACUUUCACCGUGGCAGUGGCUCCGGUGAUCGCCGGACAUGCAACUAAUGAGUCACUGCAAGAGAGUUUCAUGCUGAGACACGUGGUGUGCAACGGCGGUGGCUUAUCGGUGACGAGGUCAUCCAACCGGCGAUGAGCUGGGGGUAAAGUACGGCGGCCUUAGCCUUAGCUCCAUCCAGUACCGGAUUUUUAUCCGGUCAAGCUUAUCUGUUAAACACGGCGCACGAAUCGCAGCAAAGGAUCGACCACCGGCGACGACUCAUCGGCGACGAGCGAACCAGCUGGCGGUCUGAUCUUCUUCAGUCGUGACACUAUACCAUGGUGAACACUCCAUCAGAGCAGCUGACAGAGCAACUUUAGGUCCUAUUUUCUCCAGAUUUUCUAUGGUACCAAGUCCAACCCUCUGCAGCAAAAGUGGAGUGCUACAAACCAGCUACAACUUUGCUAUGGCAGCCCAAGGUAGAUUUUCAUUGGAUCAUGCUCAGAAUUGAGUUUGAAGUCGGUGUCAGCCCACUGUCAGUCUGAUUUUCAGACUUAAGCAGCCUGACAGGCAAAGUUUGAGCAUGAUUAUCUCCAAAUUACUCACAAGAACAUGGCUUGCCCUCUUCAGCAAAAUUGUUCUCCUAUGAUUGGGCUACAAUUUUGAUGUGGUGACCUAGGGCAAAAACCCUAGAAUUUGAUAGAUAUAGGGCUCCAAAGUUGAGCCUACUAAACUGAAUUUCAGACUUAGGCUCAAUAGAGCUAAAGGGUGAUUUUUGCAAAUUAGUCUAAAACUUAGGGUUUGGCUUGUAAAUUCACAUAUGAGUGACCCAAAGGACUUAAGAUACUUAUUUAACUUGUUUUUUUGCACUUUAGUCCAAAAGUGGACUAAUUUUGCACAUAGGUCCCUAGGGUUUGGUUUUAGGGUUUUCCAGGGUUCCAAUUAGGGUUUCUAGUAUUCUAGGGGUAUAAAUGUGAUUCAACUUUAUUUUUGGGGACAUUUUAUGACUCUUUCCCUAAAGCCUUUAGGUUUUCUCAUCUUGGGUUAAGUUUUGCCCCUUUGAGCCUGAUUUAGGGUUAGGUUCCCUAUCCAGGGUCCUAUUUGCAAAACACCAAAAACAAUACACUGGUUUGAAAUUUUUACCUAGUGAAUGCACUCUAGGUGUAUCAAACAUAUGCAAUGUCAAUGCUUAUGAUGCCAUGCUCAAAUUUUAGUUACAGUAACACCAAGGGUGUUACAAUGUACUUGUAAGUAACACUUAGGGAAAUGAUAAUCUAUGUCCAAAUGAAAGUAGUUUAUGUUAUAGUUCAUGUUAUGCUUUGAUCUCAGUAAUUCCUAAUUGUGUUUUAAGAUGCAUUUCUAUGUUUGUACAUGUUUGGUGUGUUGUUCUUUUGUACUUUCCAAAUGUAUUGAAUGCAUGCUCGCUUUAUUUAGACAACGAGCAGUCCAAGGUUCCUGAGUGUGUUGUUGGAGACCUCCCUGAGCAACAACCUGGUGAAGGCAAGAGUCCUUUGACCUAAUAUGUCCUACUUACUUUAUAAUUCAUUGUCUCGCAUUACUUUAUGAAACCUAAGGAUUGACUAGCUUUUCUAUUUACCUUAACCUUGUUUACCUUUUGGGUUUUCAUGGUUAGCAUGUUGCUAUUGCUUUAACUUAAUCAAUGAACAUGAUGUGAACAUUUAUGAUAUGAUACUGUUAUCCUGAUUAGGUGGAUGAUAUUAUGAUACCUUAGGGGGCUCAGGCCUUUUCCUGAGUGCCUCUCCGUAAGGACCUGUUCGUGGAGUGACUACCCGGGAUAACAGUACAGCCAUGAGGGCGGAAUGGGACGCCCUUAGCUGAUUAAUUAGAUGAACCUGGGCGUGUAGUUGGCUUUGCCAGAGGGCCAUCAAUGGGUGCCCGGGCGUAGUGCUCGCUCUACCAAGGUUGGGGUGCAGAGGUUCAUUUGAUUUGGUUUUUGUUAGUCACCCACCUUGGGGAGGUGUACUGCGUUUGUACGACUGGCGAAACCUAACGAGCAGCUAUGCACCAGGGGAGUCUUUGUAAAGGCUACGUAGUGAGACCCUGCUAGGUCACCUUGGUAGUAAUCAAUGGGGAGUCAUGAUGCCCGGGCAAAAUGGGAAUCACGACUUAUGGGUAAAGUGUACAACCUCUGCAGAGUGUUAAAAACUGGUAUAUCAGCCGAGCUCAUGGUUAGGAGCAGCCUUGGGAUCCUCUUUGAUUAGAAGAACUUGGAUACUUUUAUGAUGAUGAUUAAGAAUGUUGGUUAUACAAUCUGAUCUCUGGUAUUUCCUCGUUUGAGGAAGUACUUUUGGGUAAUAACUGCGUUUAUUACUAAAAGUUGGCUCUACUAAUAAUAUUAAAUACUUGACUAACUUAAAAGCAACUGCUUGACCUCAACCCCACAUACAGCUAGUCCACUUUAGCCAAACGGGACAUUUGCUGAGUACGUUGAUGUGUACUCACCCUUGCUUUACAAACCACCCCACCCCAGGUUGUCCCCACUGUACCCAGUGCUCAGGAGGUGAUGCUGGCAACAUGGAGGAUUUCGAGGAGUUUCAGGACUAUGACGAGUUCUAGUUCUUUCUUAGUGGCAACCCCCAAUCAGCUGCCUGUGUAGGCUUAGCAUCUACGUUUCGUAAUUCCGCACUUUGAUAUUUAAGUUGAACAAUGGUUAUGUAUUAGACUAUGUGGAUGUCUUGGACAUCUUGAUGUAAUAAAGUACCUUUCCACUAUUUAUUUCGAGCAUUGUGUGAUGAUGUCCAAUUAUGUAAUCGCUGUGUACGUGAGUUUUCUGAUCCUGGCACGUACAUGGUUCGCAUUCGGUUUGCCUUUCGAAACCGGGCGUGACAUUUUUCAGGCCUGAUAUGGUUAAAGAGAUGGAAGAAAAGGUUCAACGAAUUAUACAUAAAUUUAAAAAAGCACAAGCUCGACAGAAGAGUUAUGCAGACAAACGACGCCAACCCUUGUACUUUCAAGUCAAGGAUUGUGUAUACCUAAUAGUAUCACCAAUGAAGUGUGUGACCCAUUUCGGUGUAAAAGGAAAGCUUGCACCCUGAUACAUUGGUCCGUUUCCUAUUCUUGAAAGAUGUGGACCAGUGGCAUACCGACUCCAACUACCCGAAACCUUGUCUGCAGUGCACAAUGUGUUCCAUGUAUCCUAAUUGAAGAAGUGUCUUCGAGUUCCAGACCGAACCAUUGAUGUGAUAGAUGUUACCUUGGAACCAGACUUAACAUAUUCAGAACAUCCCAUUCAAGUCCUGGAUCAAAAAGACAGAGUCACCCGAAGAAGAGUUCUAAAAUUCUAUAAGAUACAAUGGAACCAACAUACUGAAGAUGAAGCUACAUGGGAAACCCAAGACUUCUUAGAAAAGAAUUUCCCUGGCUUUUUAGCUUCAUGUAACUUAUAAGAUAUGUACAUUGGAUUGUAAAGAAGAAAUAAAUCCCAUACCACCCCCUGCCUUGUAAGACAAUAAAGGAAAUAAAGAUGUGACAUGUUUCCUUUUCCAUUACUUACCCUAAGACCUUAAAUCUCGGGACGAGAUUCUUUUAUGGGGGGAAGGAUGUAACACCCCUAGUGUUACUGUCACUAAAACUUGAGCAUAACAUCAUGAGCAUGGGCAUAUCAUGUGUUUGUUACACUUAGAGUGCAUUCACUAGGUAAAAAUUUCAAAUAAGUUGUACUGAUGUGACCUGAGGUGUUAUUAACCCUAGGGUAGAGUGUCUAACCCUAGAUCAUGGCUUAUAGAUAUAAGUGAAGCCCAAAUAUGUGAAAACCUCAAAAGGCAUGAGAAAUGAUCAUAAGAUAUCCUCUUUAAUGGACUUUAAUAACACCAAAACCUUGAAGUGCUAAAAACUCUGAAAAGACCCCUAGAAAACCCUAAAUUGGAACCCUAAGGGGGUAGAUGUAAAUUUUGUGCACUUUUAGACCAAAGUGAAAAUAUAAAAGUAAAAGAGAACCUCAAACCCAAUAUCUUUCAUAUUGGAGAAUUUGCAAGUUGAAUAGUGGAGUUUGGACCUAUUUGCAAAAAAGCACCCUAUGAAUCAUAUGUGGCUAAGUCUGAAUUUCAGUUGAAUGGGAUCAACUUUAGAACUCUAUAUCUCUAAAUCCAUUGGGAUUUUUCCCUAGGUUAAUAUAGCAAACUUGUAAAGCUAAGAUAGGAGUACAACUUUGCUUAAGUAAUUAAGCCUUGGUGUUGUACAAAAAUAGGAGAUAAAUAGGUUUGAAGUCUGGCUGUCAGACCACCCUGAGACUAAAUACUGACUGACAGUGAGUUCUGAUGAACUUUGGACUCGAUUCUUGCUCAAGGGAUUGAGCAAAUGAGCAAGAUCCCUAUAGCAGAAUUGUAGCUAGAUUAUAGGACUACAACUUUGUUAAAGGUGGAUUAGCAAGUUAUUACAUGGAAUUUUGAGAUUUGGGCAUUGCAAACUGCUCUGUCAGGCGUCUGAAUGGAGUUCUGAUGGUACAGUGGACUAAAAAAGAUCUCUGGUGCACUGAACCUCGCCGCCGGCGACCUUGCACUCAGAUUCGUGCCAGCGCCGCGAUUCACGCUCCAUUAAACGUAGAUAACGAUCCUGUUGGAGACUUGUUCUCAAAUGCUAUGAGAUAAGAACAAGGCAACACAAAAUGUUAAUGGUUAAAGGCCUUUGUCCUUCGAAGUAUUAUCUCCCUUAGGAUAUAAUGAUCUUCAGACGAAGGUCAUGAAGGACAUACCUUCAUCAUCUCAGUAUACAAUAAUAGAAGUAGAACCAUAUGAAACAUUGGAAAUGAAACAAAUAAUCAUAUGAUAUCUCUAAAAUAUCUUUAUUAUCUCAUCAUGAAUAAACAUAAACAAUAUUGUAUUACAUUUAUACCUUCGGCUUGAUAGAAGGCGAGAAUCCAAGUGUGACGUGCAAGUGAAUACAAGUCAGCGUGAACAGUACGGGGGUACUGUUCACCUAUUUAUAGGCACGGGACACAGCCCGCACAAAAUUACAUUUGUGUCCUUGACAACUAAUCACAAUCAUGAUACAAAAUGUCAGGGACUAGAUGGUCCUUUUCUCUUUAAGUCUAUGCUGCUCUUCGUCUCAGGCGCGCCAUUAUGCCGAAGCUCCCUUGGCAAUAGCUUUGGCAUAUCGUCUUGCUGAAGGUGUUUCUGCUCGAAGGACCUUCGGCGAAGAAGAAGGCCCCCAAUAGUAGCCCCUUCGCGGUGCUAGAUCGUUUUUCGUAACGAGCUCGAUCCGCGAAAAAUACGAAGGCUUCGGAAUGCCGAAGGUCCGAAAAACAUCUUCCCUGAGCUCGUUGCCGAGAAACGAUUUAAAUAUUCCAGGUGUCGGGUGGUCCACCGUUCAGCGAGUGGCGACAUUCUGAUGGUUCUGUUACCGAACGCUGGGUGGCCCACCGUUCAGUGAGUAGAGGCGGGUCUGGCGUUUCUCCUUCCGACCUAUAGUACUAUAUAAACAGACGGGUUGGUGCAGAGUUACCACAACAUUCAUUGCUAUUGCACUGUUGUGCUGUUAAAAAAUUUAACCAUAGCCGAAGCUUUUUCGCUGCACUCUCAAGCGGAUCAUAAUUUUGAGUUAACUUCGUCAUAAAAGAGAGCUUCAUCAAAACUGCGAAAAGACAUCAAUCUUCGUAAGAACCGCAAAAGAUCCAUCAGAUGGCCAGAGUACGCUCGACUGCAAGGGUGACUCGUGACGGACAGGAGACCGAAGCCACCGAGACAACUCCGAUUUCCGAAGUCAUGAGAUAGUCGGGUUUAGUUGUGACAGAGGGAACCAUUGAUGAAGGUACAUCUGCUGCCGAAGCUGAACGGGCUAAUAUUGAAGAAGAAAAUGCUAACGAAGAAGAAGAGGAUUAUGGCAUUUUAAUCCCAUCAAAACCCAGCCACCUAGAUUUUGAGAGAUCUACUGUGUCUGGAGCCGAUAUGCCCAUGAUGAUGAAACCGGGUUACUUUGGAGAAGCUGAAAAGAAAUUUGUUCGUUUUGCUAGAGAAGAAACCACUCCAACACCGAAGACGAUGAAGUAGUGGUUUUUAAAAGUUUUUUUAGAGCGGGAUUAUGGUUUCCUUUGAACAAGAUGAUAGGAGAAGUUUUGAAAAAUUUUGAAAUUUAUCUUCAUCAGCUGACCCCUAACGCUAUUAUUAGGCUCAGCAUCUUCAUCUGGGUCGUUCGAAGCCAGGGGAUGGACCCAGAUGCUAAAGCAUUUUGUCGAGUGCACGAGCUGCACUACCAAACGAAAGGCAAGGGCAGACGGUCUUCAUGAGAAUUUUGGUUGCUAUAAUUUCGCGUAUGGCAAGGAUACAAAGGCUCCAAUUCUCAGCUAUCGCACCAAGUGGCCAACUGGCUAGAAGAGUGAAUGGUUCUAUAUUAAGACUGAUGAAAAGAAAAGGGAGAAGCUGAUGAUGAUGGUUAUGUGCCCACUAUCUCUAAGCUUCAGAAUGACCCGGCCUCUGUGCAACAUGCAGCCAGGGUCACCAUGUCAACUGGCCGUAGCAGAAUUUAGGGUGGUGGCUGAACAGAUCAGCACCAGAGACCUGGUGCAAGGAUACCUGGCCAACAGGACAUCUCCGACGUUAAGUGACUGGAGCAUGCCGAAGCUAAAGGGGACAAAAAAAGAAGUAUGAGCUUGUUCGAUUACCUUAUCGCUUUAAGUUUGAGAAACGGUUCAAGGAGCCCUGCCAAGAAUGGCUGGAAAUGAUUGAAACUAUGUCAGCAGCCUUUGGCACCCAGCCAAAACGAAGGUUGAACCGAGUUAUGGACGCUCUGAAUUUUGAAUACCCUGAUUAUGAGCGGCUCAACAAGGGUGCCGAAGGGGCAAAAAGAAAAAGGGUUGUUAGCAUUCUGAGCAGACAAGCUGCCAGAAUGGUGAAAGAAGAUGAGAAGAUCUUAAAGAAGAGAAAAUCCAGUCCGGAGCCGAAGGUGACUAUUUCGAAGAAAAGAAAAGCUGAGUCCCCAGGGCCGAAGGUGACCGAAGUGGAAGAAGAGACUCCGUCAACACCUCCAGCUGCCGAAGUGACAGAAAUUUUAAAGGUAAUGACUGAUUCUCUUCCUAUCAAGCUGCUAAGCCCUCUAGGACCAGAACUGAUGAAGCUUUUUUAGAAGAGAGAAGAACCUUCGGCCACGAAGAAGGCAGAUAGACUGAAGAAGCGAAGAAUUGGUAGCGUAAUGCAAGCCAUUGAAAAGACACCACCACCAAUCUCGGCAACUAAGAUAGUGCCUACUACAAGCAUCGAGGCCACUGCCGAAGCAAACACAUCGGCCCAAGCUGCAGCUGCCACCGAAGCUGCCAACCAAGAGGCUACCUUAUCUGGGAUUGAUAAAUUUAUAUUGGGUAUGCCUACAGAAGAAACAUCUAUGGUCGCAGAACAGGUUAUGGCUCCAGUGCCUGACAAAGGGAAAGGAAUUGCCGAAGUUGCUUUGGAAGAAAAAGGUUUCGAUCUUCGGAACCUGGUCAGGCUAGAACUAUCUGAGGUCGAGAAGAAGGAGCUACAGGAAUAUGGUAUUUCCUGUGGCUACCAGCUAGGAGCUUUGCUAUUUGGUGGACUCGAUGAAGAGGCCUUGGGGUGUGUUCGUGACCAUACUGGGGCGAAGGUAAUCGGCACUCUAUCAAAGAGUAUCGGUUUUCCGAAGCUUGAAGCUGAUAUUAGCAGCUACCAACGACAACAUAUCGUCGGUAGUUUGUUUUAUUCCAACUUUAAGGUAAAAUUGUUAUAAUAAAGCAAAAAAAUUUAUUAUUUGUUUUAUUUUUACGACGAAGUUUUAUUGAUGAAGUUCUAUUUUCUACAGAGUAUGCUGAUGAGCAAAGCGCUGCAAAUGCAACAGGACCUCGAGGAUAAAAAGAAUGAAAUUAUAAUCGAGGGUCUACAGAGCAAAAUCAAAGAAUACGAAGCUUCUCUUGAAAAGAAAGAUUUCCUACUCCAAGCAAUGGAAGGUUCCCUUGCACAAGCGCAAGCCGAAAAUGUUAGAUUAAACAGGGAACUCCUGCAAAAAUCAGAGAGCUGAGAGCACCUAGAGGGGGGUGACUAGGUGAUCCUGUGAGACUUGAAACUUAAGCCACAAAAACUUGGUUAAGAGUUAGUACAAUAAUGCCAAGUGGCUAGAGAGGAGUCUCAACAAAACACAAUAACCACAAAGAUAUCAAUCACAGAGAUGGCACAGUGGUUAUCCCGUGGUUCGGCCAAGACCAACGCUUGCCUACUCCACGUUGUGGCGUCCCAACGGACGAGGGUUGCAAUCAACCCCUCUCAAGCGGUCCAAAGACCCACUUGAAUACCACGGUGUUUUGCUUUGCUUUUCUUAAUCCCGUUCGCGAGGAAUCUCCACAACUUGGAGCCUCUCGCCCUUACACUUGAAGUUCAUGAAGAAGCACGGAGUAAGGGAGGGAUGAGCAACGCACACAAGACACAAAAUCAGAAUGUCAACACGCACACAAAUCGCAACAAGAGCUCGCAACACAACCCGAUGAGUUCACAACUCAACAAGAGCUCUAGAUGCUAUCACGAAGAACCAAAUGCGUGGAAUCGAAGUCUUGGUGCUUAGGAAUGCAUUGAGUAUGCUUGAUAUGCUCCUCCAUCCGCCUAGGGGUCCCUUUUAUAGCCCCAAGGCAGCUAGGAGCCGUUGAGAACAUUCCUGGAAGGCAGAUCUUGCCUUCUGUCGACUGGCGCACCGGACAGUCCGGUGCACCACCGGACACUGUCCGGUGCAGAUAUCCUUCCUUAUUUGGCGAAGCCGACCGUUGGAGUCUGAGAGCCGUUGGCGCACCGGACAAUGUCCGGUGCACACCGGACAGUCCGGUGCACCAAUGUGACCGUUGGCUCGGCCACGCGUCACGCGCGGAAUCCUCGGCUGACCGUUGCUCCGACUGACCGUUGGCUCACCGGACAGUCCGGUGCACCACCGGACAGUCCGGUGAUUUAUAGUCGUACACCGCCGUCGCACUCCCGAGAGCAACAAAUUCGCCAGAGUCAGUCUGGCGCACCGGACACUGUCCGGUGCACCCAGACUGAGCAGACUUUGGCUGAACAAAGCCAUCUCUUCUCUAACUUGAUUUUUCCUGUUUCCAGCACUUAGACACAAUACAUUAGUCCAUAAAACAAUGUACUAAGUCUAGAAACAUACCUUUUGACAUGAUUUGCACUUUGUCCACCACUUUGCAUGGAUUAACACAAAAGCACUUGUGUUGGCACUCAAUCACCAAAAUACUUAGAAAUGGCCCAAGGGCACAUUUCCCUUUCAAUCUCCCCCUUUUUGGUGAUUUAUGCCAACACAACAUAAAGUGACUAGAACAAGUGCAAUACCAAUGCAAAUGAAAACCAAACGUUGUUUUGAAUCAAAUUUGGCAUAUAUGGAUCACUCUUUGCCACCACUUGGUUUGUUUUUGCAAAUCAAACUCAAAUUCCUAUCUCUAAGUCAAAUUCACUUGUAGAGACAUAAAGAGAGGUAUUUCAAAGAAAAUUGAUCAAGGAUUUCAAAAACUCCCCCUUUUUCCCAUAAUCAACACUUCUCCCAACAAGAGGCCAACUUUUGACAAAAGAGCCAAAAAAGAGUUUUGACAAACCAAAAGCUCUAAUCUACUAUUUUCAAAAUUUCUCAAGUGGUAGCUGAUCCAUCUAUUGCUUUGGCCUUUAUUUUCUCCCCCUUUGGCAUCAAGCACCAAAACGGGAUCAAUCUUGGCCCUUGAACCCCAUUGCCUCACCAAAAUCUUCAAAUAAGAAUACAAAGGCAAUAAGAGUACAUGAGAUGAACUUGGAAUAAGUUACCCUCUCAUCGGAGUGCAGUGGAAGUCUGUCAUGGUCCAAGUCCACCUUUUCCCUUUCAAACCUCCUUUGAGACUAAAACAAGCAAACUCAAGCACACGGUUAGUCUCAAAGGGUCAAGUUGUAGCACAGCUCCCCCUAAAUAUGUGCAUCACUUGCAAAAAGGACUUGUGAGGUCCAGGGAGUGUUUGUACAACUUGAGCACCACAAGUAAGCAACAAAAUGCAGAAGGAACAUGAUCAAAGGCAUAAACACAUGUGUGCUAUAAAUCAAUCCAAGUUCCGCGAAUCUAGGACAUUUAGCUCACUACGCAACCUGCAAAAGGUCUUCUCAUCUAAAGGCUUAGUGAAGAUAUCGGCUAGCUGGUUCUCGGUGCUAACAUAAAACACUUCAAUAUCUCCCUUUUGCUGGUGGUCUCUCAAAAAGUGAUGUCGGAUGUCAAUGUGCUUUGUGCGGCUGUGUUCAACAGGAUUUUCCGCUAUUCGGAUAGCACUCUCAUUAUCACAUAGGAGUGGGACUUUGCUCAGAUUGUAGCCAAAGUCCCGGAGGGUUUGCCUCAUCCAAAGUAGUUGCGCGCAACACUGUCCUGCGGCAACAUACUCGGCCUCAGCGGUGGAUAGGGCAACGGAAGUUUGUUUCUUAGAGUUCCAUGACACCAGGGACCUUCCUAAGAAUUGGCACGUCCCCGAUGUACUCUUCCUAUCGACCUUACAUCCAGCAUAGUCGGAAUCUGAAUAUCCAAUCAAGUCAAAGUUAGACCCCUUUGGAUACCAGAUCCCGAAGCAAGGCGUAGCGACUAAUUAUCUAAGAAUUCGCUUCACGGCCACUAAGUGACACUCCCUCGGAUCGGAUUGAAAUCUAGCACACAUGCAUACGCUAAGCAUAAUAUCCGGUCUACUAGCACACAAAUAAAGUAAAGACCCUAUCGUAGACCGGUAUGCCUUUUGAUCAACGGACUUACCUCCUUUGUUGAGGUCGGUGUGUCCGUCGGUUCCCAUCGGUGUCUUUGCGGGCUUGGCGUCCUUCAUCCCAAACCGCUUUAGCAAGUCUUGUGUGUACUUCGUUUGGGAGAUGAAGGUGCCAUCUUUGAGUUGCUUCACUUGGAACCCAAGGAAGUAGUUCAACUCACCCAUCAUCGACAUCUCGAAUUUCUGCGUCAUCACCCUGCUAAACUCUUCACAAGACUUUUGGUUAGUAGAACCAAAUAUUAUGUCAUCGACAUAAAUUUGGCACACAAAAAGAUCACCAUCGCAAGUCUUAGUAAAAAGAGUUGGAUCGGCUUUCCCAACCUUGAAAGCAUUAGCAAUUAGAAAGUCUCUAAGGCAUUCAUACCAUGCUCUUGGGGCUUGCUUAAGUCCAUAGAGCGCCUUAGAGAGCUUACACACAUGGUCGGGGUACCGUUCAUCCUCGAAGCCAGGGGGUUGCUCCACGUACACCUCCUCCUUGAUCGGCCCGUUGAGGAAAGCGCUCUUCACAUCCAUUUGGUACAACCUGAAAGAAUGGUGAGCGGCAUAUGCUAGCAAAAUACGAAUUGAUUCUAGCCUAGCCAUAGGAGCGAAAGUCUCCUCAAAGUCCAAACCUGCGACUUGGGCAUAACCUUUUGCCACAAGUCGAGCCUUGUUCCUUGUCACCACCCCGUGCUCGUCCUGUUUGUUGCGGAACACCCACUUGGUUCCCACAACAUUUUGCUUGGGACGAGGCACCAGUGUCCAAACUUCAUUACGCUUGAAGUUGUUGAGCUCUUCCUGCAUGGCCAAUACCUAGUCCGGAUCUAGCAAGGCCUCUUCUACCCUGAAAGGCUCAAUAGAAGAGACAAAAGAGUAAUGCUCACAAAAAUUCACCAAUCUAGAGCGAGUAGUUACUCCCUUGCUAAUAUCACCCAAAAUUUGGUCAACGGGAUGAUUCCUUUGAAUCGUCGCUCGAACUUGGGUUGGAGGUGCCUGAGGUGCUUCUUCCUCUUCAACUUGAACAUCCUGUGCUCCCCCUUGAUCACGCGCCUCCACUUGAGGUACCUAUUCGUCAUCUUGGGUUGGGGGAUGCACCAUUGUUGAGGAAGAAGGUUGAUCUUGCUCCAAUUGUUCCUGUGGUCGCACAUCGCCAAUCGCCAUGGUGCGUAUUGCGGCCGUUGGAACGUCUUCUUCAUCUACAUCAUCAAGAUCAACAACUUGCUCUCUUGGAGAGCCAUUAGUCUCAUCAAAUACAACGUCGCUAGAGACUUCAACCAAACCCGAUGAUUUGUUGAAGACCCUAUACGCCUUUGUAUUUGAAUCAUAACCUAAUAAAAACCCUUCUACAGCUUUGGGAGCAAAUUUAGAAGUUCUACCUUUCUUCACAAGAAUAUAACACUUGCUCCCAAAAACUCGAAAAUACGAAACAUUGGGUUUGUUACCAGUUAGCAGCUCAUACGAAGUUUUCUUGAGGAGGCGGUGAAGGUAGACCCAGUUGAUGGCGUGGCAAGCCGUGUUCACGGCUUCCGACCAAAAACGCUCGGGGGUCUUGAACUCUCCAAGCAUAGUCCUCGCCAUAUCGAUGAGCGUCCUGUUCUUCCUCUCUACCACACCAUUUUGUUGUGGUGUGUAGGGAGCGGAGAACUCGUGCUUGAUUCCCUCCUCAUCAAGAUACUCCUCCACUUGAAGAUUCUUGAAUUCGGACCCGUUGUCGCUUCUUAUCUUCUUCACCUUGAGCUCAAACUCAUUUUGAGCUCUCCUGAGGAAGCGCUUGAGGGUCCCUUGGGUUCCAGAUUUAUCCUGCAAAAAGAAUACCCAAGUGAAGCGGGAAAAAUCAUCAACUAUAACAAGACCAUACUUACUUCCUCCUAUACUUAGAUAGGCGACGGGUUCGAAGAGGUCCAUAUGAAGCAUCUCCGAAGGUCUUGAUGUGGUCAUCGCAUUUUUGGUGUGAUGAGAGCUUCCCACCUGUUUCCCUGCUUGACACGCUGCACAAGGUCUAUCUUUUUCGAAAUAAACAUUAGUUAGACCUAUCACGUGUUCUCCCUUUAGAAGCUUGUGGAGGUUCUUCAUCCCCACAUGUGCUAAGCGGCGGUGCCACAGCCAGCCCAUGCAAGUCUUAGCAAUUAAGCAUGCAUCUAGACCGGCCUCUUCUUUUGCAAAAUCAACCAAAUAAAGUUUGUCGUCUAGUACACCCUUAAAAGCUAGUGAACCAUCACACCUUCUAAAGACAGACACAUCUACAUUUGUGAAUAGACAAUUAUAUCCCAUAUUGCAUAAUUGACUAACAGAUAACAAAUUAUAUCCAAGCGACUCAACUAAAAACACAUUAGAAAUAGAGUGCUCGGAUGAGAUAGCAAUUUUACCUAACCCUUUUACCUUGCCUUGGUUUCCAUCACCGAAUAUUAUUGAAUCUUGGGGAUCCUUGUUCUUGACGUAGGAAGAGAACAUCCUCUUUUCCCCCGUCAUGUGGUUUGUGCAUCCGCUGUCGAUAAUCCAGCUUGUACCCCCGGAUGCAUAAACCUGCAAGGCAAAUUUAGGCUUGGGCCUUAGGUACCCAACUCUUGUUGGGUCCUACAAGGUUAGUCACAAUUGUCUUAGGGACCCAAAUGCAAGUCUUGUCUCUCUUGCAUUUGGCCCCUAACUUCCUAGCAAUCACCUUCUUAUUUUUUCUACAAAUGGCAAAUGAAGCAUUGCAAGCAUGAUAUAUUGUAGAAGGUUCAUUAACUUUCCUAGGAAUAUUAACAACAUUUCUCCUAGGCAUAUUAUGAACAACAUUUCUCCUAACAACAUUUCUAUCAUGCAUAACAUGGGAACUAGAAGCAGUCAUAGCAUGAAAAUCAAAAGCAUCAUAACUUCUAAAGGCAUUCUUAGAAUGUCUCCUAUCCUGAUACAUGAAGGCAUGGUUCUUUUGCACACUACUAGCCAUAGGGGCCUUCCCUUUCUCCUUGGCGGAGAUGGGAGCCUUAUGGCUUGUUAAGUUCUUGGCUUCCCUCUUGAAGCCAAGUCCAUCCUUAAUUGAGGGGUGUCUACCAAUCGUGUAGGCAUCCCUUGCAAAUUUUAAUUUAUCAAAUUCAGUUUUGCUAGUCUUAAGUUGGGCAUUAAGACUAGCUACUUCAUCAUUUAAUUUAGAAAUGCAAUCUAGGUGUUCACUACAAGCAUCAACAUUAAAAUCUUUACACCUAGUGCAAAUUACAACAUGUUCUACACAAGAUGUUAAUUUACUAGAUUUUUCUAACUUAGCAUUUAAAUCAUCAUUCACACCUUUUAAAGUAGAAAUGGUUUCAUGACAAGUAGAUAGUUCAUAAGAAAGCAUUUCAUUUCUUUUAACUUCUAAAGCAUGAGAUUUUUGUGCCUCUACAAAUUUAUCAUGUUCUUCAUACAACAAAUCCUCUUGCUUUUCUAGCAACCUAUUCUUGUCAUUCAAGGCAUCAAUUAACUCAUUAAUUUUGCCAAUUUUAAUUCUAUCUAAACCUUUAAAUAAACUAGAAUAGUCUAUUUCAUCGUCAUCACUAGAAUCGUCAUCACUUGAAGAAGCAUAAGUGGUAUCCCGAGUACAUACCUUCUUCUCCUUCGCCAUGAGGCAUGUGUGAUGUUCGUUGGGGAAGAGGGAUGACUUGUUGAAGGCGGUGGCGGCUAGUCCUUCAUUGUCGGAGUCGGAAGAGGAGCAAUCUGAAUCCCACUCCUUUCCGAUAUGUGCCUCGCCCUUGGCCUUCUUGUAGUUCUUCUUCUUUUCCCGUUUGUUCCCUUUUUCCUGGUCACUUUCAUUAUCGGGACAGUUAGCAAUAAAAUGACCAAUCUUACCACAUUUGAAGCAUGAGCGCUUCCCCUUUGUCUUGGUCUUGCUUGGCUGUCCCUUGCGACCCUUUAGCGACGUCUUGAAGCGCUUGAUGAUGAGGGCCAUCUCUUCAUCAUUGAGCCCGGCCGCCUCAACUUGUGCCACCUUGCUAGGUAGCGCCUCCUUGCUCCUCGUUGCCUUGAGAGCAAUGGGUUGAAGCUCAUGGAUUGGACUGUUCAAUGCAUCGUCCACGUACCUCGCCUCCUUGAUCAUCAUUCGCCCGCUUACGAACUUUCCAAGGACUUCUUCGGGCGACAUCUUGGUGUACCUAGGAUUUUCACGAAUAUUGUUCACCAAAUGUGGAUCAAGUACAGUGAAGGACCUUAGCAUUAGGCGGACGACGUCGUGGUCCGUCCAUCGCGUGCUUCUGUAGCUCCUUAUUUUGUUGAUAAGGGUCUUGAGCCGGUUGUAUGUUUGGGUUGGCUCCUCGCCCCUUAUCAUCGCGAAUCGUCCAAGCUCGCCCUCCACCAACUCCAUCUUGGUGAGCAAGGUGACGUCGUUCCCCUCAUGAGAGAUCUUGAGGGUGUCCCAGAUCUGCUUGGCAUUGUCCAAGCCGCUCACUUUAUGGUACUCGUCCCUGCACAAGGAGGCUAACAACACAGUAGUAGCUUGUGCAUUUUUAUGAAUCUAUUCAUUAAUAAAUAUAGGACUAUCCGAGCUAUCAAACUUCAUUCCAUUCUCAACAAUCUCCCAUAUGCUUGGAUGGAGAGAAAACAAGUGACUACGCAUUUUGUGGCUCCAAAAUCCGUAGUCCUCCCCAUCAAAGUGUGGAGGCUUGCCGAGAGGAAUGGAAAGUAAAUGUGAAUUUGAGCUAAGCGGAAUACGCGAAUAAUCGAAAGAAAAGUUUGAGUUAACCGUCUUUCAUUUCUCGUAGUCAUAGUCGUCCUUUUGGGAAGAAGUAGAUUCGUCGCUGUCGUCGUAGUAGACGAUCUCCUUGAUGCGCCUUGUCUUCUUCUUCUUCCCAUAUUUCCGUUUAUGGCCCGAGCCUGAGUCGGUAGGCUUGUCAUCCUUUGGCUCGUUGACAAAGGACUCCUCCUUAUCGUUGAUCACGAUUCCCUUCCCCUUAGGAUCCAUCUCUUCGGGCGAUUAGUCCCUUCGUGAAGAGAACGGCUCUGAUACCAAUUGAGAGCACCUAGAGGGGGGGUGAAUAGGUGAUCCUGUGAGACUUGAAACUUAAGCCACAAAAACUUGGUUAAGAGUUAUUACAAUAAUGCCAAGUGGCUAGAGAGGAGUCUCAACAAAACACAAUAACCACAAAGAUAUCAAUCACAGAGAUGGCACGGUGGUUAUCCCGUGGUUCGGCCAAGACCAACGCUUGCCUACUCCACGUUGUGGCAUCCGAACGGACGAGGGUUGCAAUCAACCCCUCUCAAGCGGUCCAAAGACCCACUUGAAUACCAUGGUGUUUUGCUUUGCUUUUCUUAAUCCCGUUCGCGAGGAAUCUCCACAACUUGGAGCCUCUCGCCCUUACACUUGAAGUUCACGAAGAAGCACGGAGUAAGGGAGGGAUGAGCAACGCACACAAGACACAAAAUCAGAAUGUCAACACGCACACAAAUCGCAACAAGAGCUCGCAACACAACCCGACGAGUUCACAACUCAACAAGAGCUCUAGAUGCUAUCACAAAGAACCAAAUGCGUGGAAUCGAAGUCUUGGUGCUUAGGAAUGCUUUGAGUAUGCUUGAUAUGCUCCUCCAUCCGCCUAGGGGUCCCUUUUAUAGCCCCAAGGCAGCUAGGAGCCGUUGAGAACAUUCCUGGAAGGCAGAUCUUGCCUUCUGUCGACUGGCGCACCGGACAGUCCGGUGCACCACCGGACACUGUCCGGUGCAGAUAUCCUUCCUUAUUUGGCGAAGCCGACCGUUGGAGUCUGAGAGCCGUUGGCGCACCGGACACUGUCCGGUGCCCACCGGACAGUCUGGUGCACCAAUGUGACUGUUGGCUCGGCCACGUGUCACGCGCGGAAUCCUCGGCCGACCGUUGCUCCGACUGACCGUUGGCUCACCGGACAGUCCGGUGCACCACCGGACAUACCGGUGAAUUUUAGCCGUACGCCGUUAAUCAACUCCCGAGAGCGGCGAGUUCGCCUGUGAACGGCUCACCGGAUAGUCCGGUGCACCACCGGACAGUCCGGUGAUUUAUAGCCGUACACCGCCGUCGCACUCUCGAGAGCAGCAAGUUCGCCAGAGUCAGUCUGGCGCACCGGACACUGUCCGGUGCACCCAGACUGAGCAGACUUUGGCUGAACAAAGCCAUCUCUUCUCUAACCUGAUUUUUCCUGUUUCUAGCACUUAGACACAAUACAUUAGUCCAUAAAACAAUGUACUAAGUCUAGAAACAUACCUUUUGACAUGAUUUGCACUUUGUCCACCACUUUGCUUGGAUUAACACAAAAGCACUUGUGUUGGCACUCAAUCACCAAAAUACUUAGAAAUGGCCCAAGGGCACAUUUCCCUUUCAAGAGCUUCGAACAGGAGAGAAAAGACUUGCAGGUGAAGUACGAAGCCAAAGCUACCGAGAAUACGAAGCUAAAACAAUCUUUGAAGGAUCUUCGUGACAUAUGUCUGAAUUUCGACAGCCGCUGCGUACAACGAUUAAAAAAUGUUUUCAACUCAGUCGAAGCCAGUUCUAAAAAGUUUACUCCUUCGGCCGAAAACAUAUCAAGCACCUUUGAACAUAUUGAAGGUGAAGUUGAGGCGCUUGACGAAGUAAUAGCGGGACAUGGUGACUUCUGCGCCCAGCUAGCUUCUCGCGGCACGACUGCAUCAUUUUUGAAAGCUGUCUAUACGCACGCGAAGAUAGUGAAUAGGCCUACCUUCAACCUAUCUUCGGCAGAUUUAAUUGAUAUUCCUAGUGAAGCUCGAAGCAUAGGAAGUAGAUUUAUAACACAAAUUUGGGCGAAGGGUGGUCGGGAGCUGGCUGGUGAUGAGGCCCGAAGCUUACUUAAGCCGGUACGAAAAUUAUACCUGUUGCUUACCUUUUUUUCAUGAUUACCUUUUACCUUAUAAAAUUUUGUUGUGUGUAGGAUGAUGAUGCCGAAGAUUAGUAAUCCGAAGCAGAUUCCGAAGGCCACUGAAGCUGAUCUUUAGACUUGCCUGCAUAGAUCUUUUAGAGGCAUUUGUAUUAUCUCUGUAAAAGACAUUGUAAUCCGAGAAUUGAACAUUACUGUGUAUAUUUGUCCAUACCUUGCAAUAUAUUUUUACCUUUUCUUCCAAGUGCGAAUUGCUUUGUUGUGGACGAAACUUAUAUCUUUUGAGCCAAAGGCGAAAAACACCUUCCCUUCUUUUCAUACACAACGAAGCAUAUCUUGCUUCUUCAUGCUCAUCGAAUCAUUGUUAUCAAAGCUUAAGUAUCUACUUGUGCUUUAUGUUAUGAUGAUGAUGAUCCUACGAAUGUCUAUAUGAAUAUGUAUGAAUGCAAUGAAUGAUGUAAUGUAAUGUGCAGAUGAAUGUCCAAACACACACACGAAGCCACACCCAGACUCUGCAUCCCUUUAGGAACGACUUUUGAGUCUUAAGCUCUGCAUCCCCUUAGGAACGACUUUUGAGCUUCUUCGCCUUCUAUUUUGGUGGUAUAAGUUCUGCAUCCCCUCAGGAACGACUUUUGAACUUCUUCGCCUUCUAUUUCGACGGUAUUUGGCUCUGCAUUCCCUUUGGAACGACUUUUGAGCAGAAAACUUACACUACGCUCCCUUAGGAACGACUUUUGGUAGCUUCAUCAUGCUUUGCAUCCCCUUGGGGACGACUUUUGAGCUUCUCCCUAUUUUUCCUUUUUGCACUCGAUGAUGCAUGCUUAGAUUUUAUAUAUUACAUCUUUGGGGGAUUUGGCCCUCAUGGGGCUAAAUAAGAAUGAAAAACUAUAGGCUAUGGCCCCAUUAAAAACCUUUCUCCCCUCUUGAAAGGAAAAGGGUGCUAUAGAAAAAAUGAAAAAAGAUUACAUCAAAUUACACAUAGUAUCGCCGAAGCUCAUCCGCAUUCCAAGAUCUAGGUAUGUCGUUGCUGUCCAUAUCCUUCAAUCUAUAAGAACCGGGUCUUGAUGAAGAUAUUACUAGGAAAGGACCUUCCCACUUCAGUUGCAACUUGCCCACUGUGUCUGGGUUAGCGACUCCCGAAGCACCAGAUGCCCUGGCUUGAUAUUUUUCAAUCGAACUUUUCUGUCUCGCCACCUUAUUGUUUUGGCCUGAUAUUUAUUGAUGUGCUCUAUGGCCUGAAGUCUAGUCCCUUCUAUAGUGUCUUUUGUUACUUGAUAAUCAGCUCCGUCCUCAGCUGAAGCUAUUGUUCUUAUUGACCUUGUCUUUGCUUCUUCUGGAGUUAUUGCUUCAUCACCAAGUAGGAGCUUGAAGGGUGUAAAUCAUGUUGACCUUGACGCAGUUGUGUUGUGGAUCCACACCACUUUAGUCAGCUUGUCUGGCCACUUUCCUCUGGGCUGAUUGAAUAUUAGCUUCAUUAUUCCUGUCAUUAUAAUGUCAUUCGCUCUUUCUACCAGCCCAUUUGAUUCUGGAUGCCUAACAGAUGCAAAGUUAAUCUUCGUACCAAUUUGGUUGCAAAAAUCCUUGAAUGCUUUAGCCUCAAAUUGAGUGCCAUUGUCCACGGUUAUUGCCUUUGGGACGCCGAAGCGACAAACAAUAUUUUGCCAGAAGAAUUAUUGGACGGUAGCCGAAGUUAUUGUAGCCAAGGGCUUCGCCUCAAUCCACUUGGAAAAAUAUUCCACUACCACUACAACAUACUUCAAGUUGCCUUGUGCUGGUGGGAGUGGACCCAACAAAUCUAGGCCCCAUCUUUGCAAUGGCCAGGUUGGCUGUAUUAGCUGAGUCAACGACGAAGGUUAUUUCUGAUCUCUUGCACAUUUUUGACAGUUUUUGCACUUUUGAACCAGAUCCGCUACAUCCGAAGCUGCCUUCAGCCAAUAAAAUCCUUGUCUGAAAACCUUUCCCAGCAAAGGCCUAGACCUAAUGUGAGAUCCACACAAACCUGCAUGUAUCUCUUUCAUUAACUCUAUGCCUUCGGUUCUGGAUAAACACUUGAGAAGUGGGGAACAAACUCCAAGUUUGUAUAGCUCCCCUUCUAUUAUGACGUAUGGUCUUGUCCUAGCUUCCAUCCUUUUAUUAUAGACUUCGUCAUCUGAAAGACAGUUGCCUUGGAGGAAGGAUAUAAUUUCAGUCCUCCAAUCUUUACUAUGUACAGGUGAUAUUGUAAGGACCGCUCUCUCCAUAAGUUCAACCGAAUGUGCUUUUAUAGUAUCAAAGAAUACUUCUGUAGCUAGGGGAAGCCCCCGUGCUGCUAACUUGGCCAAUAGGUCUGCAUGCUCAUUUUCCCCUCUUGGAAUAUUUUUUACAGAAAAACCUUCGAAAAAAAGCCUCUAGCCUUCGGACUGCAUCCAAAUAUUUUUCAAGCUUCGGGUCCCUUGCUUUGCUGCUUUUAUCCACAUGGCCAGAGAUGACUUGGUAGUCAGUUUUAAGAAUCGCCCUUCUUAUGCCCAUUGCCUUUAGCUUCCGAAGCCCCAACAGAAGGGCUUCGUAUUCAGCAAUGUUAUUUGUACAACUAAAGUCCAGUCUUGCUGCAUAGCAUGUUCUGACUUUAGAGGGCACUACUAGGACAGUAGCGGCUCCUGCACCGAAGGUUCCCCAAGAACCAUCACAGAAAACUGUCCAAGCUUCGGCAUCCUUUGUUACUUCUUCCUGAGCCCCUGGCGUCCAAUCAGCGAUGAAAUCUGCUAACGCCUGGGACUGAAUUGAGGACCUAUGCACAUAGUCAAUAGUGAAUUCAUUGAGCUCCGCAGCCCAUUUUCCAAUCCUUCCAGUAGCUUCUCUAUUCCUCAUUAUGUCCUUCAAAGGCUGUGAUGAAGGAACAAUUAUAUGAUAUGCUUGGAAAUAAUGUCGAAGCUUCCUGGAGGCCAUUAACACAGCAUACAACACCUUCUCCAAUUAUGUAUAGUUUUUCUUUGAUAAGCUUAGAACUUCGGAGACAAAAUAUACUGGGGCUUGCCUUUUGACUUGGCCAUCUUACUUCUCCUAUACAAGCGCUGCACUGACUGCAGAAUGAGAAGCUGCUACAUACAAGAGUAAUGGAGCCACUGGCAAAGGUGGAGUUAGAGUUGUUAGAUCUAUCAAAUACUACUUUAAUUCUUCAAAAGCCUUUUGCUGAGCCGGACCCCACUGAAAAACUUUGGCUAACUUUAAAAUUUCAAAGAAUGGCAGGUUCCUCUCUGCUGAUCUUGAUAUGAAUCUAUUCAAUGAUGCCAGCCUUCCUGCCAAUCGUUGAGCCCCCUUUUUUGAAUUUGGCGGCUCCAUCCGAAGGAUAGCUUCGAUUUUAUUUGGAUUGGCUUUGAUUCCCUUUGUCGAUACUAGACAACCAAGGAACUUGCCCUUCUUUACUCCAAAAACACACUUUUUUGGAUUUAAUUUCAGACCAGCUUGCCUGAAAUUGGCAAAUGUCUCCUGCAAGUUAGCAAUGUGAUUCUCUUGCUUCAUGCUCUUCACUAUGAUGUCAUCAACAUAAGUCAGCACAUUCUUGCCUAUUUGAGAAUGAAGGACCUUGGCUGUCAUUCUGCUGAAGCUUCCUCCAGCAUUCUUGAGCCCCUCAGGCAUCCGAAGGUAGCAAUAAGUGCCACUGGGAGUUAUGAAGCUAGUCUUUGGCUCAUCUUCUUUCUUCAUCCAUAUCUGAUGAUAUCCUGAGUAACAGUCUAAUAGACUCAUGAGCUCCGAAGAAGUUGCUGCAUCCACAAGGGAGUCUAUUCUUGGCAAUGGGAACUCGUCCUUUAGACAUGCUUUGUUGAGGUCUGUGAAAUCAAUACACAUUCUCCAUUUGCCAUUAGCCUUCUUCACCAUAAUAGUGUUGGCUAGCCAUUCUGGAUAUUUUACUUCUCUGAUAACUCUAGCACUGAGAAGUCUUUUUACUUCAUUCCGAGCACCCUCAGCCUUAUCCUCAGACAUCUUCCGAAGCCUCUGCUUCCUUGGCCUGAAAGAUGGAUCUACAUUAAGUGAAUGUUCAAUAACAUCUCUGUUGACACCACAAAGAUCAUUGGCUGUCCAAGCAAAAACAUCUUUGUUGUUGAACAAAAACCUUAUCAGUGUUUUUUCUUGCUCAUCAGAUAGCUGAGAUCCCAGCAGUACCCUUUGAUCUGCUAUAUCUUCACAUAGAAGCAUAGGCUUCGGCUGAUCUGCCGAAACAGCCUUCUCUCUUUUGUGCUUAUAUUGUUGACAAGCUUCGGCUCCAUCUAUGUUGUGGAUUGCCUUUGAAUCUGUCCAACUCCCUUUGACCCUUCUGGCAGCUUCUUGACUUCCAUGAAUAGCAAUGGGCCCUUGUGAUAGAAGACGCGGCCCGAUCUUCUGUGAGAUACGAUAACUUGAUUAAGUGGAGAUCUCGACGUUGAUGAUCCAAGGCUCCAAGCAAACGGUUCCUCGCAAUCACUACACCACGGCUCCGUUGGUUAUCACCCGUGACACACGAAUGACCUCGCCAUGAAGGCUUAUCCCUGCAAGCGCAAUCAAGAACACAAGCAAGAACAGGAAAGAAACACAACCAAAAUUGUAUUGAUUACGGGAUGGGGUCUCACAAACCGAUGACGGCGACACUGUACGAUGACAGAAUUGAUCUAAGCAAAACCCCCAAACCUAAUGUGGUGGCGGCUGCUGAAUAAAUAGAGUAUUAGGGCGUGCAUGACCCCUAGACUCGCCCCUAAUGGGCUCCGACGCGAUACACGGCCCAACAGACGGUGUCGCAGCACCAAAAUAGAAUCUGAACGCUGAAUUGUUUCGACAAUUCCUAUUGACUCCAGAUGAAUUUUAGGGUGGAACUAUUUGGGUUGGUUAGAUAAUCUCUUUAUCUUUCCAACCACAUCAAGUCUGUCACAAUCGGAGUCUGGAUGCAUCUUGGGCGUCCAUUUUAGUGUAGACUGGUCCUGGAACCCGAGAUGGAGUCGCAGCCGAGUCAGACUUGAUCUCCUUCCUAUUGUGGGCGUCCUUGCUGCUCCUCCUCAACACCUAGGCCUUUCCAAAGUCCUUGCUGGUCCUCUCCAAGGUUCCUAAUCAUCAAAACAUCCAUGGCCCCAAGCGUAAGCUCUAAAACACAAUUAACUAGGGUAGAACGUACCUGGAGAUUUAGCUGUCGUGCAUGUGAUCGUGUUAUCGAUCCAUUCAUUGUAUGUAUAGAAGUGAUGUCCUCAUCAUCCUCCUCCUCUUGAAUUGGAGUCGACCUCGACUCGAUCUCAUCUUCGUCACCCAUAUAUGGCUUCAAAUCUGAAAUGUUAAAGGUGGGACUAACCCCAAAAUCUGGCGGCAACUCAAGUGUAUAUGCAUUAUCAUUAAUUUUUGCAAGAACUUUAUAAGGACCUGCAGCUCGUGGCAUAAGUUUAGACUUUCUCAAAUCAGGAAACCUAUCCUUUCUCAAAUGAACCCACACCAAGUCACCAGGUUCCAAUUUCAUUUCCUUCCUACCUUUAUUAGUGGCAAUACGAUACUUUUCAUUCAUCUUUUCAAUUUGCAACUUAGUUGUUUCAUGUAACUUAAGAAUGAAUUCAGAACGUUGCGUAGCAUCCAAGUUUACUAUUUCAGAAGUUGGUAAAGGUAGCAAAUCAAUUGGAGCACAAGGAUUAAAACCAUAUACUACCAUAAAUGGACUAAGCUUGGUUGUGGAAUGAAUUGAUCUGUUAUAAGCAAACUCAAUAUGUGGCAAACAUUCCUCCCACAACCUCAAAUUAUCCUUCAAAAUAGCCCGCAACAUGGUAGAUAAAGUGCGAUUAACAACCUCUGUUUGCCCGUCAGUUUGGGGAUGACAAGUAGUAGAAAACAACAACUUUGUUCCUAAUUUAAACCACAAGGUUCUCCAAAAAUAACUUAAAAACUUAGCAUCCCUAUCAGAAACAAUAGUAUUUGGCACACCAUGCAAACACACAAUCUCAGUGAAGAACAAAUCAGCAACAUGUGACGCAUUAUCAGUUUUGUGACAGGGUAUAAAAUGUGCCAUCUUUGAAAAACGAUCGACAACAACAAAAACACUAUCACUCCCCCUCUUUGUUCUAGGCAAUCCCAAAACAAAAUCCAUAGAAAUAUCCUCCCAAGGUGCACGAGGAACAGGAAGAGGCAAAUAAAGACCAUGGGGGUUAAGUCGGGACUUAGCUUUGUUGCACGUGGUGCAACGAGAGAUGUAGCGCUCAACAUCACGUCGCAUCCAAGGCCCAUAGAAAUGAGUAAACAACACAUCCUCGGUCUUCUUAACACCAAAAUGUCCCAUCAAGCCACCUACAUGUGCUUCCUGCAAGAGUAGAAGACGAACGGAGCUAGCUAGAACACACAACUUGUUAGCACGGUAGAGAAGGCCUUCACGCAGCAUAAAUUUUUGCCACGUUCUUCCCUCUCUGCAAUUUUCAAAAGCUUCUUUGAAGUCCAAAUCAGUAGCAUAUAAUUCCUUUAUAGUCUCCAAACCAAAGAUUUUAUGAUUAAGUUGGGACAGCAUAGUAUAACGUCUAGAUAAAGCAUCAGCAAUCACAUUAUCCUUUCCUUUUUUAUGCUUAAUAAUGUAAGGAAAUGAUUCUAUGAAUUCAAUCCAUUUAGCAUGUCGUUUGUUUAGAUUAGAUUGUCCCUUAAGAUACUUCAAAGAUUCAUGAUCUGAAUGUAUGACAAAUUCUUUAGACCAUAGAUAAUGUUGCCAAGUUUGUAAAACUCGUACUAAAGCAUAUAAUUCUUUGUCAUAUGUAGAAUAAUUCAGAGUUGGACCAUGCAAUUUUUCACUAAAGAAAGCAACAGGUUUACCUCCUUGAAUGAGCACUCCUCCAAUCCCAAUGUCGCUCGCAUCACACUCGAGCUCGAAUGUCUUGUCAAAAUUAGGAAGUUGCAGUAGUGGUGCUUGUGUGAGCUUCGACUUGAGGGCAUCAAAUGCUUGUUGUUGUGAUGGUCCCCAACAAAACAGCUCUCCAUUCUUUGUCAACUCAUGGAGAGGUGCUGCAAUGGUGCUGAAAUCCCGCAUAAAUCACCUAUAGAAUCCUGCAAGACCAAGAAAACUUCGAACCUGCAUGACCGUGGUUGGAAGUGGCCAGCUCGUGAUGGCAACAAUUUUUGCCUCAUCCAUCUCAAUGCCCUGCGAUGUCACAACAUAUCCAAGAAAAGACACACGAUCAAUGCUGAAGGUGCACUUCUCAAGGUUACCAAAUAAACGUGCAUCACACAAAACAUCAAAAACUACACAUAAAUGUUCAAUAUGAUCAUCAUGAGACUUACUAUAGAUAAGAAUAUCAUCAAAAUAUACCACCACAAAUUUACCAAUGAAAGCACGUAAAACCUCGUUCAUCAAUCUCAUGAAAGUGUUAGGUGCAUUAGUUAACCCAAAAGGCAUGACUAACCACUCAUAAAGACUGAACUUAGUUUUAAAUGCAGUUUUCCAUUCAUCACCUAAAGACAUAUGAAUCUGGUGGUAUCCACUAUGCAAGUCAAUUUUAGAGAAAACAAUAGAACCACUUAAUUCAUCAAGCAUGUCAUCCAAUCUAGGAAUAGGAUAUCUAUACCAAAUUGUGAUGUUAUUAAUGGCUCUACAAUCAACACACAUGCGCCAAGUGCCAUCUUUCUUAGGAACCAAAAGAACAAGAAUUGAACAAGGACUAAGGCUCUCACGAAUGUACCCGCUGUCUACAAGGUCCUGGACCUGGCGCUGAAUCUCCUUAGUCUCCUCGGGGUUGGUCCUGUAGGCAGCAUGGUUGGGCAAGCUCGCCCUGGAAUUAAAUCAAUCUUGUGCUCAAUGCCUCGCACAGGUGGUAAUCCAGAGGGUAUCUCAGAGGGAAACACAUCCAUAUACUCUUGCAAAAGGUUAGUAAUAGCCGGUGGCAAAGCAAUAGACGUAUCAUCAAUGGAAUAGAAAGCAUUUUUGCACACUAAGGCAUAGCAAAGUCCAACAGAGGCAUGUAACUCAUCAAGAUCAGAUUUAGUGGCUAGCAAAGUAGGAGUUUUUAACUUAAUAGGUUGCUGAUUUUCAGAGUUCAAAACACCUUUUUGCUUAGCAUUAGUCUUUUUCUCAUGUUCAAAGUGGACAAUUUUAGUGAGAGUCAUAGGAAGCAACACAAUUUUCUUUCCCUUAUGCAUGAAAGUAUAUUUAUUAGAUCUACCAUGGUGAAUAGCAUCAGUAUCAAACUCCCAAGGACGUCCCAGUAAAAGAGAGCAAGCAUCCAUACUCACCACAUCGAAAUCAGAGAAGUCAUGGUAAGAGCCAAUAGAAAAAAUGCACCCUUGCUGUUUUUGUUACUUUAAACUUACCGUUGUUGUUAAACCAUUGAAUGUGAUAAGGGUGGGGAUGCUCUUGUGUGGUCAAGCCAAGCUUCUUGACCACCUCAACAUUCACCAAGUUGUUGCAGCUACCACCGUCAAUGAUGGUAUGUACACGGCAGUCCUUGACGAUGAGGAACAUGUUGAAGAGGUUGUGGUGCUGUCUGUUGUCAUCGUCACUAGCCGUGGCACUCAAAGCUCGUUGCACAAUCAAGGCCUUAUAGGUCUCGGUCGUUGUUGUACCAAGAACCUCUUCAUCACCAUCAUAAGUCUCUGCAAUGUUAGCUCCAAUAGUAUCUUCAUCUUCAACAUCAGAAGCACUAACAUACCCACCAUCACCAGUAGCAAUGUAUGCUCAUUUGCUGGGGCAAUCUCGCUGAAUAUGGCCAAGUCCCUGGCAGCGGUGGCACUUGAUGUCGGAGGAGCGGCCUGUGGAAGAGGUGGUCGUAGUAGGUUUUGCUGCAACACCCGAAGGCACCAAGGACUUGCUGUUGUUGUGUCCUUGUGAUGCCGAAGGUGCGGUGAUGUGGACGUCCGUACGCCCGAAGAGGAUGAUGCCGGUGGCUGGCGUGGCGCGAAAGUGCUGCUCCUCCGCUGUUGACGACCCUACAAUUCUUUUUCUGUCAACAUAGAAAGAUGGAACAAGCAUUGUAUAGAAUGAUAUUCUUUAUAAUCAACAAUAUCCUGAAUCUCCCGCCUCAAGCUCCCAUAAAACCUAACCAUUUGAUCCUCCGGAUCCUCAACUACCCCACAUUGUAGCAUACCUUUCUAAAGCUCUUGGUAGUAUUCCUGUACCGACAUGUCUCCCUGAUCUAAGAGUUGCAAUUUUUUUCGAAGAUCACGUCUAUAAGAAGGGGGAACAAAGUGAGCUCGCAUCUCCUCUUUUAACGCAUUCCAUGUUUGUGGUGCAACACGUGUGUUAACAAGUUCAAUCCACCAAAUGAUAGCAAAAUCUCUAAAUUCACUAGUGGCUUGUCUAACCCUAUGUUGCUCAGGAACAAGAUGGGAAUUAAAUUUUUGUUCUACCGUCAUCUCCCAGUCUAAGUAAGCUUCAGCAUCAUAAGAACCCAUGAACAGUGGAAUAGAGAACUUAAUCUUAGCAAAUGGAUCAUGGUCUGGUUUAGGAUUAUGAUGACGACGUCUACCAUUACCUCCCAUACCUUGUCGAUUACGUGCAAGGCGUUGUCGCAGCGGUGCAUAAACAUCGUCGUCAUCGUCAUCGUCGUCCACAGGAGAGUGAGCUAGGGCUGGAGUUGGUGGGGGGAUGAGCCUCCAGUCCGUCCAUGCGUGUAACAAGUUCAGCAACUCAUCGAUCAAGUUGCUCAUAGGAUGUCACCAUAGAGUCCUGGUAUUUUUUAAAAGCUUCAGUCAUCGCGCGUAUCAUCUCCUUCAAUUCCAUCUGAGAGCCACACUCAUCGUCGUUAAACUUAGGCCCUUGUCCUUGUCCAUUUGAUUCUUUGGUCCUAUCAUUGUGAAAGGGAAAUGUGCCCUUGGGCCAUUUCUAAGUAUUUCGGUGAUUGAGUGCCAACACAAGUGCUUAAGUGUUAAUCUAUGCCAAUUGAUGGACAAAGUGCAAAUCAAGAGUAAAGGUAUGUUUCUAAGACUCAGUAUAUUGUUUUGGAGACUAAUGUAUUGUGUCUAAGUGCUAGAAAUAGGAAAAGACCAAUUUGGAAAAGACUUGGCUAAGCAGCCAAGACUCUGCGCAGUCUGGGUGCACCGGACUGUCCGGUGGUGCACCGGACAGUGUCCGGUGCGCCAGGCUGGCAACUGUCAACUGGCUGCUCUCGGGAAGCGAUUAACGGCGUGCGGCUAUAAAUCACCGGACUGUCCGGUGGUGCACCGGACUGUCCGGUGAGCCAUUCACAGGCGAAGUCAUCGCUCUCGGGAAGCGAUUAACGGCGUACGGCUAUAAAUCACCGGACUGUCCGGUGGUGCACCGGACUGCCCGGUGAGCCAACGGUCGGCUGGGCCAACGGUCGGCCGCGUAAUCCGCGCGCGAUGCGUGGCCGAGCCAACGGUCAGAAGGGGGCACCGGACUGUCCGGUGUGCACCGGACAGUGUUUGGUGCGCCAACGGCUCUGGAUCUUCAACGGUCGGCUGCGCCACAGAUGGAAAGAAAUCCGCACCGGACAGUGUCCGGUGGUGCACCGGACUAUCCGGUGCGCCAGGCGACAGAAGGCAAAAAUUGCCUUCCUGGAAUGCUCUCAACGGCUCCUAGCUGCCUUGGGGCUAUAAAAGGGACCCCUAGGCGCAUGGAGGAGACCACCAAGUAUUCUCUAAGCAUUCCUAAGCACCAAGACUUCAAUUCCACGCAUUCGAUUCUUUGUGAUAACAACUAGAGCUCCAUUUGAGUAGUGUACUCUUCGGGUUGUGUUGAGAGCUUGUGUUGCGACCUGUGUGCGUGUUGUUGCUCUGAUUUUGUGUCUUGUGUGCGUUGCUCAUCCCAACCUUACUUCCGUGAUUCUUUGUGAACAUCUUUGUAAGGGCGAGAGGCUCCAAGUUGUGGAGAUUCCUCGCAAGCGGGAUAUAGUAAAGCAAAGCAAAACACCGUGGUAUUCAAGUGGGUCUUUGGACCGCUUGAGAGGGGUUGAUUGCAACCCUCGUCCGUUGGGACGCCACAACGUGGAGUAGGCAAGUGUUGGACUUGGCCGAACCACGGGAUAAACCACUGUGCCAUCUUUGUGUUGAUCUUCUUGUGGUUAUCGUGUCUUGCAAAAACUCCUCUCUAGCCACUUGGCUUUAUUGUGCUAACUCCUAAUCAAGUUUUGUGGCAUUAAGUUUCAAGUUUUUACAGGAUCACCUAUUCACCCCCCCCCCCUCUAGGUGCUCUCAAUUGGUAUCGGAGUCGUUCUCUUCAAGAAAGGGACUAAUCGCCCGAAGAGAUGGAUCCUAAGGGCAAGGGGAUGGUGGUCAAUGAUAAGGAGAAGGAGUCCUUCAUCAAUGAUCCAAAGGAUGACAAGCCUACUGACUCGGGGUCGGGCCACAAAAGAAAAGACGGGAAGAAGAAGAAAACGAGGCGCAUCAAGGAGAUCAUCUACUACGACGACAGCGACGAGUCCUCUUCUUCCCAAAAGGACAACGACGACAACGACUACGAGAAAAAGAAAACAGUCAAUUCAAACUUUUCUUUUGAUUACUCUCGUAUUCCGCAAAGUACCAAUGCACAUUUACUCUCCAUUCCACUUGGUAAACCUCCUCACCUUGAUGGAGAGGACUACGGAUUUUGGAGUCACAAAAUGCGUAGUCACUUGUUCUCUCUCCAUCCAAGCAUAUGGGAGAUAGUAGAGAGUGGAAUGAAAUUUGAUAGUACUGAUAGUCCCAUGCUCAUUAAUGAGCAAAUUCACAAAAAUGCACAAGCUACUACUGUUCUUCUAGCUUCAUUGUGCAGGGACGAAUACCAUAAGGUGAGCGGCUUGGAUAACGCCAAGCAGAUUUGGGACACCCUCAAGAUCUCACAUGAGGGGAACGACGUCACCAUGCUCACCAAGAUGGAGUUGGUGGAGGGCGAACUUGGGAGAUUCGCAAUGAUCAGGGGCGAGGAGCCAACCCAAAUGUACAACCGGCUCAAGACCCUCGUCAACAAAAUAAGGAGCUAUGGAAGCACGCGAUGGACGGACCACGACGUCGUCCGCCUAAUGCUAAGGUCUUUUAUCGUCCUUGAUCCACAUCUUGUGAACAAUAUUCGUGAGAAUCCUAGGUACACCAAGAUGACGCCCGAGGAGAUACUUGGAAAGUUUGUAAGCGGGCGGAUGAUGAUCAAGGAGGCAAGAUACAUUGACGAUGCGUUGAACGGCCCUAUCCACGAGCCUCAAACUGUUGCUCUCAAAGCAACGAGGAGCAAGGAAGUACUACCUAGCAAAGUGGCACAAGUUGAGGCGGCAGGACUCAAUGAGGAAGAGAUGGCCCUCAUCAUCAAGCGUUUCAAGACGGCGCUAAGGGGUCGCAAGGAGCAUCCCAACAAGACCAAGACGAAGGGGAAGCGCUCAUGCUUCAAAUGUGGUAAGAUUGGUCAUUUUAUCGCUAAUUGUCCCGAUAAUGAUAGUGACCAGGAACAAGGGAACAAGAGGGAAAAGAAAAAGGCGUACAAGAAGGCUAAGGGCGAGGCACACCUUGGCAAGGAGUGGGACUCGGAUUGUUCGUCGUCCGACUCUGACAACGAAGGACUCGCCGCCACCGCCUUCAACAAGUCAUCCCUCUUCCCCAACGAGCAUCACACUUGCCUCAUGGCAAGGGAAAAGAAGGUAAGCACUCGUAAUACUAGUACUUACACUUCCUCAAGUGAUGAAGAAUCUAGCGAUGAUGAAAUAAACUAUUCAUGUUUAUUCAAGGGCUUAGAUAGAACUAAGGUUGAUAAGAUUAAUGAAUUGAUUGAUGCUUUGAAUGAUAAGAAUAGAUUAUUAGAAAAGAAAGAGGAUAUUUUGUAUGAAGAACAUGAUAAGUUUGUAGAGGCUCAAAAAUCCCUUGCUUUAGAAAUUAAAAGGAAUGAAAUGCUUUCUUGUGAAUUGUCUACAUGCCAUGACUCUAUUUCUAGCUUAAAUAGCAUAAAUGAUGAUUUGUAUGCUAAGUUAGAAAUAGCUAAUAAAUCAACAUCUUGUGUAGAACAUGUUACAAUUUGCAAUAGGUGUAAAGAUUUCAAUAUUGAUGCUUGUAGCGAACACCUAGCUUCAAUUUUUAAAUUGAAUGAUGAAGUGGCUAGUCUUAAUGCCCAACUUAAAACUAGCAAGAGUGAAUUUGACAAAAUAAAAUUUGCAAGGGAUGCCUACACUAUUGGUAGACACCCCUCAAUUAAGGAUGGGCUUGGCUUUAAGAGAGAAGCCAAGAACUUAACAAGUCAUAAAGCUCCCAUUCCCGCCAAAGAGAAAGGGAAGGCUCCUAUGACUAAUAGUAGUCAUAAGAAUCAUGCUUUCAUUUAUGGUGAUAAGAAAUAUUCUAGAAAUGUUCAUUAUGAUAGGAGUUAUAAUGCUUAUGAUUCAAAUGCCAAGUUUGCUUCAAGUUCUUCCUAUGUGCAUGGUAGAGAUAUGCCUAGGAGAAAUGUCAUUCAUCAUAUGCCUAGGAGAAAUGUUGCUCAUGUUCCUAGGAAAAUUAAUGAACCUUCUACAAUUUAUCAUGCUUGCAAUGCUUCCUUUGCAAUUUGUAGAAAGGAUAGAAAGGUGAUUGCUAGGAAAUUAGGGGCAAAAUGCAAGGGAGACAAAACUUGCAUUUGGGUCCCUAAGGAUAUUGUCACUAACCUUGUAGGACCCAACAAGAGUUGGGUACCUAAGACCCAAGCCUAAAUUUGCCUUGCAGGUUUAUGCAUCCGGGGGAUCAAGCUGGAUUAUCGAUAGCGGAUGCACAAACCACAUGACGGGGGAGAAGAAGAUGUUCACCUCCUACGUCAAGAACAAGGAUUCCCAAGAUUCAAUCAUAUUCGGUGAUGGAAACCAAGGCAAGGUGAAAGGGUUAGGAAAGAUUGCUAUUUCAUGCGAGCACUCCAUUUCUAAUGUGUUUUUAGUUGAGUCGCUUGGAUAUAAUUUGUUAUCUGUAAGUCAACUUUGUAAUAUGGGAUAUAAUUGUUUAUUCACAAAUGUAGAUGUGUCUGUCUUUAGAAGAAGUGAUGGUUCAUUAGCUUUUAAGGGUGUACUAGACGGCAAACUUUAUUUAGUUGAUUUUGCAAAAGGGGAGGCCAUUCUAGAUGCAUGCUUAAUUGCUAAGACUAGCAUGGGCUGGCUAUGGCAUCGCCGUUUAGCACAUGUGGGAAUGAAGAACCUUCACAAGCUUCUAAAGGGAGAACACGUGAUAGGUCUAACUAAUGUAACUUUCGAAAAAGAUAGACCUUGUGCAGCUUGUCAAGCAGGUAAACAGGUGGGAAGCUCUCAUCAUACCAAAAAUGUGAUGACCACAUCAAGACCUUUGGAGUUGCUUCAUAUGGACCUCUUUGGACCCGUCGCCUAUCUAAGUGUAGGAGGAAGUAAGUAUGGUCUUGUUAUAGUUGAUGAUUUUUCCCGCUUCACUUGGGUAUUCUUCUUGCAGGAUAAAUCUGAAACCCAAGGGACCCUCAAGCGCUUCCUAAGGAGAGCUCAAAAUGAGUUUGAGCUCAAGGUGAAGAAGAUAAGGAGCGACAACGGGUCCGAGUUCAAGAACCUUCAAGUGGAGGAGUACCUUGAGGAGGAAGGGAUCAAGCACGAGUUCUCCGCUCCCUACACACCACAGCAAAAUGGUGUGGUAGAGAGGAAGAACGGGACGCUCAUAGACAUGGCGAGGACGAUGCUUGGAGAUUUUAAGACCCCCGAGCGGUUUUGGUCGGAAGCCGUGAACACGGCUUGCCACGCCAUCAACCGGGUAUACCUUCACCGCCUCCUCAAGAAGACUUCGUAUGAGCUUCUAACCGGUAACAAACCCAAUGUGUCUUACUUUUGUGUAUUUGGGAGCAAAUGCUAUAUUCUAGUGAAGAAAGGUAGAAAUUCUAAGUUUGCUCCCAAAGCUGUAGAAGGGUUUUUGUUAGGUUAUGACUCAAAUACAAAGGCGUAUAGAGUCUUCAACAAAUCAUCGGGUUUGGUUGAAAUCUCUAGCGACGUUGUAUUUGAUGAGACUAAUGGCUCUCCAAGAGAGCAAGUUGUUGAUCUUGAUGAUGUAGAUGAAGAAGACGUUCCAACGGCCGCAAUACGCACCAUGGCAAUUGGAGAUGUGCGGCCACAGGAACAAAAGGAGCAAGAUCAACCUUCUUCCUCUACAAUGGUGCAUCCCCCAACUCAAGACGAUGAACAGGUUCAUCAAAAAGAGGCGUGCGAUCAAGGGGGAGCACAAAAUGAUCAUGUGAUGGAGGAAGAAGCACAACCGGCACCUCCAACCCAAGUUCGAGCGACGAUUCAAAGGAAUCAUCCCAUCGACCAAAUUUUGGGUGAUAUUAGCAAGGGAGUAACUACUCGCUCUAGAUUAGUUAAUUUUUGUGAGCAUUACUCCUUUGUCUCUUCUAUUGAGCCUUUCAGGGUAGAAGAGGCCUUGCUAGAUCCGGACUGGGUGUUGGCCAUGCAAGAGGAGCUCAAUAAUUUCAAGAGAAAUGAAGUCUGGACACUGGUGCCUCGUCCCAAGCAAAAUGUUGUGGGAACCAAGUGGGUGUUCCGCAACAAACAAGACGAGCACGGGGUGGUGACAAGGAACAAGGCUCGACUUGUGGCAAAAGGUUAUGCCCAAGUCGCAGGUUUGGACUUUGAGGAGACUUUUGCUCCUGUGGCUAGGCUAGAGUCCAUUCAUAUUUUGCUAGCAUAUGCCGCUCACCAUUCUUUCAGGUUGUUCCAAAUGGAUGUGAAGAGCGCUUUCCUCAACGGGCCAAUCAAGGAGGAGGUGUACGUGGAGCAACCCCCUGGCUUCGAGGAUGAACGGUACCCUGACCACGUUUGUAAGCUCUCUAAGGCGCUCUAUGGACUUAAGCAAGCCCCAAGAGCAUGGUAUGAAUGCCUUAGAGACUUUUUAAUUGCUAAUGCUUUCAAGGUUGGGAAAGCCGAUCCGACUUUAUUCACUAAGACUUGUGAUGGUGAUUUAUUUGUGUGCCAAAUUUAUGUCGAUGACAUAAUAUUUGGUUCUACUAACCAAAAGUCUUGUGAAGAGUUUAGCAGGGUGAUGACUCAGAAAUUCGAGAUGUCGAUGAUGGGCGUUGAACUACUUCCUUGGGUUCCAAGUGAAGCAACUCAAGGACGGCACCUUCAUCUCCCAAACAAAGUACACGCAAGACUUGCUAAAGUGGUUUGGGAUGAAGGACGCCAAGCCCGCAAAGACUCCGAUGGGAACUGACGGACACGUCGACCUCAACAAGGGAGGUAAGUCCGUUGAUCAAAAAGCAUACCGGUCUAUGAUAGGUUCCUUGCUUUACUUAUGUGCUAGUAGACCGGAUAUUAUGCUUAGCUUAUGCAUGUGUGCUAGAUUUCAAUCCGAUCCAAGGGAGUGUCACUUAGUGGCCGUGAAGCGAAUUCUUAGAUAUUUAGUCGCUAUGCCUUGCUUCGGGAUCUGAUAUCCAAAGGGGUCUACCUUUGACUUAAUUGGAUAUUCAGACUCCGAUUAUGCUGGAUGUAAGGUUGAUAGGAAGAGUACAUCGGGGACGUGCCAAUUCUUAGGAAGGUCCCUAGUGUCAUGGAGUUCUAAGAAACAAACUUUCGUUGCCCUAUCCACCGCUGAGGCCGAGUACGUUGCCGCAGGACAGUGUUGCGUGCAACUACUUUGGAUGAGGCAAACCCUCCGGGACUUUGGCUACAAUCUGAGCAAAGUCCCACUCCUAUGUGACAAUGAGAGUGUUAUCCGCAUAGCGGACAAUCCUGUUGAGCACAGCCGCACAAAGCACAUUGACAUCCGGCAUCACUUUUUGAGAGACCACCAGCAAAAGGGAGAUAUCGAAGUGUUCUAUAUUAGCACCGAGAACCAGCUAGCCGAUAUCUUUACCAAGCCUUUAGAUGAGAAGACCUUUUGCAGGCUGCGUAGUGAGCUAAAUGUCUUAGAUUCGCAGAACCUGGAUUGAUUUAUAGCAUACAUGUGUCUUAUGCUUUGAUCAUGUUCUCUUAUGCAUUUUGUUUAUUUAUGGUGCUCAAGUUGUACAAACUCUCCCCGGACCUCAAAAGUCCAUGUGUGAGUGAUGCACAUAUUUAGGGGGAGAUGUGCUACAACUUGGCCCUUUUGAGACUAAUGAUGUGUUUGAGCUUGCUUGAUUUAGCCUCAAAGGAGGAUUGAAAGGGAAAAGGUGAACUUGGACCAUGCAAGACUUCCACUGCACUCCGAUGAGAGGGUAACUCACUCCAAGUUCAUCUCCAUAUUCUUAUUGCCUUUGUACUCUUGUUUGAAGAUUUUGGUGAGGCAAUGGGGUUUAAGGGCCAAGAUUGAUCUCGUUUUGGUGCUUGAUGCCAAAGGGGGAGAAAAUAAGGCCAAAGCAAUAAAUGGAUCAGCUACCACUUGAGAAUUUUGAAAAUAGUAGAAUAGAGCUUUUGGUUUGUCAAAACUCUCUUGUUGUCUCUUUGUCAAAAGUUGGCCUCUUGUGGGGAGAAUAGUUGAUUAUGGGAAAAAGGGGAGUUUUUGAAAUCUUUGAUCAAUUUCUCUUGGAACAACUCUCUUUAUGUCUCAACAAGUGUGUUUGACUUAGAGAUAGGAAUUCGAGGUUGAUUUGCAAAAACAAAACCAAGUGGUGGCAAAGAAUGAUCCAAAUAUGCCAAAUUUAAAUCAAAACAAAUUUGUAUUCUCAUUUGCAUUGAUGUUGCACUUCUUUAGUUGCUUUUUGUUGUGUUGGCAUAAAUCACCAAAAAGGGGGAGAUUGAAAGGGAAAUGUGCCCUUGGGCCAUUUCUAAGUAUUUCGGUGAUUGAGUGCCAACACAAGUGCUUAAGUGUUAAUCUAUGCCAAUUGAUGGACAAAGUGCAAAUCAAGAGUAAAGGUAUGUUUCUAAGACUCAGUACAUUGUUUUGGAGACUAAUGUAUUGUGUCUAAGUGCUAGAAACAGGAAUUGACCAAUUUGGAAAAGACUUGGCUAAGCAGCCAAGACUCUGCGCAGUCUGGGUGCACCGGACAGUGUCCGGUGCGCCAGGCUGGCGACUAUCAACUGGCUGCUCUCGGGAAGCGAUUAACAGCGUGUGGCUAUAAAUCACCGGACUGUCCGGUGGUGCAUCGGACUGUCCGGUGAGCCAUUCACAGGUGAAGUCAUCGCUCUCGGGAAGCGAUUAACGGCAUACAGCUAUAAAUCAUCGGACUGUCCGGUGGUGCACCGGACUGUCCGGUGAGCCAACGGUCGGCCGGGCCAACGGUCGGCCGCGUAAUCCGCGCGCGACAUGUGGCCGAGCCAACGGUCAGAAGGGGGCACCGGACUGUCCGGUGUGCACCGGACAGUGUCCGGUGUGCCAACGGCUCUGGAUCUUCAACGGUCGGCUGCGCCACAGAUGGAAAGAAAUCCGCACCGGACAGUGUCCGGUGGUGCACCGGACUGUCCGGUGCGCCAGGCGACAGAAGGCAAAAAUUGCCUUCCUGGAAUGCUCUCAACGGCUCCUAGCUGCCUUGGGGCUAUAAAAGGGACCCCUAGGCCAUGGAGGACACCACCAAGUAUUCUCUAAGCAUUCCUAAGCACCAAGACUUCAAUUCCGCGCAUUCGAUUCUUUGUGAUAGCAACUAGAGCUCCAUUUGAGUAGUGUACUCUUUGGGUUGUGUUGAGAGCUUGUGUUGCGACCUGUGUGCGUGUUGUUGCUCUGAUUUUGUGUCUUGUGUGCGUUGCUCAUCCCAACCUUACUUCCGUGAUUCUUUAUGAACAUCUUUGUAAGGGCGAGAGGCUCCAAGUUGUGGAGAUUCCUCGCAAGCGGGAUAUAGUAAAGCAAAGCAAAACAUCAUGGUAUUCAAGCGGGUCUUUGGACCGCUUGAGAGGGGUUGAUUGCAACCCUCGUCCGUUGGGACGCCACAACGUGGAAUAGGCAAGUGUUGGACUUGGCCGAACCACGGGAUAAACCACUGUGCCAUCUUUGUGUUGAUCUUCUUGUGGUUAUCGUGUCUUGCAAAAACUCCUCUCUAGCCACUUGGCUUUAUUGUGUUAACUCCUAAUCAAGUUUUGUGGCAUUAAGUUUCAAGUUUUUACAGGAUCACCUAUUCACCCCCCCCCCCUCUAGGUGCUCUCACAUUGUUAGCACAAAACAGAGACAAAAAGGCAACAAACAAUGUGAACCCUACAACUAUCUCUCAGGGUGGUGGUGGUGGAAUACAAAUUAUGAAGCGUCUUACUCCGCUCUUACAAGGUUCUUACCAGCACUGCAGGUGGCAAAUGGUGAUCGAUGUGACUGUCCAACGAGUGUGGGUGUGAUUGCAAAGGAGUACAUGUUCUGCUCGAGAGAAAGCUGGAGCUCUGGGAAGGCUGACUAUAUAUAUAUAUAUAUAUAUAUAUAUAUAUAUAUAUAUAUAUAUAUAUAUAUAUAUAUAUAUAUAUAUAUAUAUAUAUAUAUAUAUAUAUAUAUAUAUAUAUGUGUGUGUGUGUGUGUGUGUGGCACAAAAGUCAGUAACAGAUAGCAAUGCUGAAUAAGUGUUCCAAGUACUCUUCCUAGUUGCUGGCCUAGAAAAUGUAAUAGGAUAGUUGGACCAAGGCACAAGAAAGUUGGUACAAGUAUAUGGGUGUAGCAAGAAAACAUGCUUGGGGAAAAAUAAUCACAGAGGUGCACAGAACACUGACAUUUAUAGUUAUGUGCUACCUUUUUUGCAAUUUUUUUCAAAUAUUUUUUCUAUAUUUUUCUCUUUUGCAGCAACACAUAUGAAGAUAACACACCAAGUUUCAGAUUUUUUUGUGCAAUGACGCGUCCUCUGAAAUUUCUGCAAGUUUGCCCUGAAAUCGGAAUAAAUGUUUGGAAAAUGAGAAGUCCUAUUUCCAAGCCGAAUUUGGGAAUUUUAAAAACAGCGAAUCCAGAAAAGCCAGAAAGAAUCGGAUGUAAAAUUUAAUUCCGUGCGAUUUGAAAAAAAAUGGGCCCGAUUCGAGUUCCGAGGCGAAAGUUAUGGUCGUUUUAAGUUCGGAUUCCGAAUCAGGGUUUCUGGCGAGGUGUUGGAAGAGUGGGGGGGUCGGUUUUGUGGAUAGAGUCGGUUUUAGAGAUAGGAUCUAUUUUGUGGAUAGGGUCAGUUGUAGAGAUAGGAUCUAUUUUGUGGAUAGGGUCGGUUUUAGAGAUAGGAUUUGUUUUGUGGAUAUGGUCAGUUUAGAUACGGGAUCUGUUUUGUGGAUAGGGUCGGUUUUAGAGAUAGGAUCUGUUUUGUGGAUAGGGUCGGUUUUAGGGAUAGGAUCUGUUUUGUGGAUAGGGUCGGUUUUGUAGGAUGGAAGCGGAUAGACAGAAUCAAACUAAACCAAAACAAAUCUAAACCAGCAACCAAACUCAACCUAGAACACGAACUCAGAACUGCGGACUCUAAAAUUGAAUUCUGCAAAGGCUAAGGCGAUAGUUUUAGGUCGGAAUAAACUGAUCGUAAUUAUUUUUUUGGCUUUUUGUGGACUAUGGAAUGAAACAAAACUAAUCUAAAGGUAGGAUUAUACCUCACGGGCAACCUAGAAAUCUGAUACCAAUUGAUAGAAGACGCGGCCCGAUCUUCCGUGAGAUACGAUAACUUGAUUGAGUGGAGAUCUCGACGUUGAUGAUCCAAGGCUCCGAGCGAACGGUUCCUCGCAAUCACUACACCACGGCUCCAUUGAUUAUCACCCGUGACACAAGAAUGACCUCGCCACGAAGGCUUAUCCCUGCAAGUGCAAUCAAGAACACAAGCAAGAACAGGAAAGAAACGCAACCAAAAUUGUAUUGAUUACGGGAUGGGGUCUCACAAACCGAUGACGGUGACACUGUUCGAUGACAGAAUUGAUCUAAGCAAAACCCCCAAACCUAAUGUGGCGGCGGCUGCUGAAUAAAUAGAGUAUUAGGGCGUGCGUGACCCCUGGACUCGCCCCUAAUGGGCUCCGACGCGAUACAUGGCCCAACAGACGGUGUCGCGGCACCAAAACAGUAUCUGAACGCUGAAUUGUUUUGAUGAUUCCCGUUGACUCCGGAUUAAUUUUAGGGUGGAACUAGUUGGGUUGGUUAGAUAAUAUCUUUAUCUUUCCAACCAUAUCAAGUCUGUUGUAAUUGGAGUCCGGAUGCAUCUUGGGCGUUCAUUUUAGUGCAGACUGGUCCUGGAACCCGAGAUGGAGUCACAGCCGAGUCGGACUUGAUCUCCUUCCUGUUGUGGGUGCCCUUGCUGCUCCUCCUCAACACCUAGGCCUUUCCAAAGUCCUUUCUGGUCCUCUCCAAGGUUCCUAAUCAUCAAAACAUCCAUGGCCCCAAACGUAAGCUCUGAAACACAAUUGACUAGGGUAGAACGUACCUGGAGAUUUAGCUGUCGUGCACGUGAUCGUGUUAUCGGUCCAUUCAUUGUAUGUAUAGAAGUGAUGUCCUCAUCAUCUUGCUCCAAAGGUAUCUUCAUGCAUAAGUAUGUUGGAUGAAGUAUUGCUUCGAAGGCAUUAAGUGUUCCUCGACCAAUGAUUGCAUUGUACGGGUAUUCCAUGUCAACAAUGUCAUAAACAACUUGCUCAGUUCUUGUGUUGUGGACAUAACCGAAGGUAACUGACAUUGUGAUUUUGCCAAGUGCCACAAUUUGUCGUCCUCUGAAGCCACACAGAGGGUGUGUAGCAUCAUGGAUCUUAUCCUCUGGUUCUUGCAUCUGCUUGAAAGCCUUUGCAAAUAUAAUGCCCGCUGCACUACCUAUGUCAACGAGAACAUUAUGGACCAGAAAUCCCUUGAUGACACAGGAUAUGACCAUAGCAUCAUUGUGAGGAUAGUCUUUUAGCUGAAGAUCCUCCUGGGAGAAAGUGAUUGGAAUGUGAGACCACUUGGACCUAACGAAGGGUCCUUGCACCCCCAACAUGUUGCACUCUUCUCUGCGCUUCCUUCUUCUUAUUCUUGUUAGCUGGCUCUGAACUAGAACCGUCCGUGAUUGGGAGCACCAGCUUCGUAGCUGAAGGUGCCAUGACUUGUUUGUUGAAUGAAGCCAUCAGCUCAACAGUGGAAGUGAGUUCACCGGAGGUGGGCGCCAAUGUUGGAGACUUGUUCUCAAAUGCUAUGAGAUAAGAACAAGGCAACACAAAAUGUUAAUGGUUAAAGGCCUUUGUCCUUCGAAGCAUUAUCUCCCUUAGGAUAUAAUGAUCUUCAGACGAAGGUCAUGAAGGACAUACCUUCAUCAUCUCAGUAUACAAUAAUAGAAGUAGAACCAUAUGAAACAUGGGAAAUGAAACAAAUAAUCAUAUGCUAAAAUAUCUUUAUUAUCUCAUCAUGAAUAAACAUGAACAAUAUUGAAUUACAUUUAUACCUUCGGCUUGACAGAAGGCGAGAAUCCAAGUGUGACGUGCAAGUGAAUACAAGUUAGUGUGAAUAGUACGGGGAUACUGUUCACCUAUUUAUAGUCACGGGACACAGCCCAGAUAAAAUUACAUUUGUGUCCUUGACAACUAAUCACAAUCAUGAUACAAAAUGUCAGGGACUAGACGGUCCUUUUCUCUUUAAGUCGGUGCUGCUCUUCGUCUCAGGCACGCCAUUGUGCCGAAGCUCCCUUGGUAAUAGCUUCGGCAUAUCGUCUUGCCGAAGGUGUUUUUGCUCGGAGGACCUUAGGCAGAGAAGAAGGCCCCCAACAGAUCCCCGGGUAAAAAGAUCUCGCCGUGGAUGAACUUGAAGCACAGUGGACGCUCUAUCAUCGCUCAUCCGGUUACCGGCGACAUGGCCACGCGACCAUCACCGUCGUACCGUCGUUCCUCGCGGUUAUGACACGCCAUCGGCCAUCUUACCACGUCGCAAUUGAUCACAAUGCAUAGCCCAUCUAUCGCCCAAGAACUCGCCACGGUGAAAGCCACCAAUCCUUUGUGCUAGUGCUCUCCCCUCUCUCCGGCCGCCAGCACUUCCCUUCCAAAUUUGGAGCCGUCACUCAAAGACUCUAUAAAUUGAUGUCCUAGCCUGCUCCGCUAAGUAAUUGUGCACCUAGUGAACCAGCCCUCACCUCCAAUCGUCCCCCACAACUCCCCAAUUUGGGAUUUCCCCCAAAUCUGUCAAGAACACCGCAGUGUGUGAGCUCGCCAUGGUCAGCUCUCCACAGGUCUGAUCAUACCUUCCUCGCUCUCGUUUCAACAUGCCUAUAUGUUGUAGAUGCUUAGCAGCCCAGCCAAUUGAACUAGAUCACGCUAGAUUAUCGGGAAUGCCUCGGUUUGUCCGUUGAUCGCGUUGUCACCGUGGGCAGAGAGAUUAGGGGCUAGAACCUUGAAAUUGGUUGAGGGGUAAUGAUCAUUAGGGGGUCAAAUUAGGUGUCAACCGCACCAGAGCACUGGUAGUUGAGUUAUCCGGCCGGUAUGGGCUCGUCGGAGCCGCUGCUCCGCCGUCCACGGUCGUGGACCUCACCUUGCGAAGGAAUAGAAAGGGGAGGGUCUAUCUGCAUUUGUCAGUGACUCAAAGAAAUAGUGUUGCGGACUCUUUAUGGGUUUCUCAAAUACCCAGGGUCCUCUGUGUAAACCCAACACCGCGGGCACGCGCGGGCACGCUUUCGCUUGUGCGUGGGCCGACUUGGGCUAGUUUCAGCCCAUUACUGUUUAAGCUUUCUCUUUUUCUUUUUCUACCAGACUUAGAAAAUCCAUAGAAAAUUUUAGAAAAAUGAUAAAAAUAUGAAACUAAUUUUGUUGGAAUCCUAGAUUUCUCUAGUAUUUAAUAAAAAUAGUUCUAGGAUUUUUAGUCCAGACAAAGAAUUAAUCAGUAUUUAAAAGAGCUUAAACCUAUACCUCUGGAAUUUUAGGAAUUAUUUAAUAACUCCAAAUAUUACCAAACUUUUUGGAUAAGUUUAACAUGAUAUUUAGAUCCUAUGAGUGGAGUUUGACUUGCUUUGGACAUUGUUUGAUGCCUAAACCAAAAACCCUAGCUACUUAGGGUAAAAAUGUCUAACCCUACUAAGAUACUGACCUAGAAAAACCCUAGUUACCCUAGUGCACCGUGAAGGAAAGUUGUAUUCAAGAUACAACUUGAUACCUCUUUCCUAUUAUUGCUUUUUCAUAAGCAUUACAUGAGCAUUCAUGGUUAUAUAUGGUUAUAUAUAGAGAACGAGGAAGAAGUGACUGUUGAAGAGGAAGAAACUACUCCAUCAACAGAAAAUCCACCUGUCAGGAACUGUUUUUACUUUGACAUCUGUGGAAUAGAGCCCGACACUCCUACAACACAAGGCAAGCCCUGGUACAUUUGCCACCUCCUUGCUGUUUUAAAAUCUUUAUCACUUGCUUGAUGCAUUAGGUGAUAGGAGUUGUGUGCUAAACCAAUUGCUGCAUUUCUUUCCUUGGAACUGUUUACCAUUCUUUGAUUACCUAUUUUAUGAAAAGGUUUUCUAAUGCUUAGUCUUGCUUUAGAAAAACAAAAUGUUUUGUUUUUAACAAAAGAUGAUGCUUCAAGUGGAUGGGAUGUUUUCAAAAAUAAAACUUGAUGGUGGAUCCAUCAUGGCCAUGAUGGGUUCAACAUCGGAAAAGAUGUACCUCUGCCAGGUACCAAACUUUGGGUUUUAAAUAAUAAAGUUGAGACCGGGUGGGUGACUUGCACAAGAAGAGAGUCUCGGUGUAAUGUCUCCGUCUGAGUCGAUUAUGGACCGUCUUGAUGUAGGCUUGCUGAUUGAGGACCUUUUAACUGGUCACAUGCCUCAUCAUGGGUAAGCUUUGCCUCGGGCAAACUAAUACCAGAAAGGCCAACACGCAAUGGGAGUAGAGAGAUGGCGAGAGUAAUGUGUACCCUCCAUGGCAAGAGGCUGGACGGUGGUGUAUCUGUGCUCUCGAUUGGCGUGAACUCGGUCUGGUCUUAAGAAACUCGGUGGCAAGUUGGCAUAUGCAAGGGUUAAGUGCUACAUAUGUCGUGUGAUUGUACAUGAAGACUUGGUCACUGCCCUACACGUAGCAUUCCAGUAAAACAAGAAGGGGUUGAUAAAGAAUGGCUAGUAUAGGCCAAGUGCUUGAACUAGGGUAGAAAGAACUCUAGUGACAGGUAAUGACUAAACUUGCUAAUAAAACUAGAUUUUUAACGAUCCACUAUUAGUAAGCAUUUUUGCAAACAGAGUCUUGAUUCUUGAGUAAGCCUUACCUUGACUCCCUUAAGCCAGCAUAUCCUUGAGAGUCUUUUAUUUUGAUGGGUAAGACUUGCGAAAGUACACUCCGUACUCAGGGUUUUCGAACCCAUGUUGUUGUAGGUGAGGAAACAACAGACUUUUGCUGUUUUUGCACUAAGGUGGUGCCCAAGGAUGUGGUGCCCAAGGACGAACCUCAACAGUGAUGUGGUUGCGGGAGGAUGUUGGCCUCCCUUUGAAAAACAAUAUACUUUUAUGUGGGAGGGGUUUUUGCCUCCCGGGUUUGUAAUAAUAAUACUUAUGCACUCAUCUACCCUGGCUCUGUAAUAACUAUAACACUCUUUCUAUAUUUUGAUGAAUGUAAAUUAAGUUAUUGUAAUUCGCUUCCGCUUAUUCGUUCCUCCGAUGUGUUGUAAUAUCUGUGUGACGGGUGAAACGCUCUUGGGUGAGGAAAAAGGAUACAGAUACCAAACUUGUCGAGUGAUUAUGUGCAUCCAUAGGGUUGUCCAAGGUCUGUUGAACAAGGACAACUGUAGGUGGGCCUAAUGACUUGGGAGGUUCCGUCACACCAUUGGAUUAUUUGAAGUUUCUUGUGACAUUGUGUUUGAUGAGACUAAUUGCUCCCAUGUGGAGCAAGUUGAUCUUGAUGAACUAGAUGAUGAAGAGGCUCCGUGCGUCGUGCUAAGGAACAUGUCCAUUGGGGAUGUGUGUCCUAAGGAAUUCAAAGAGUCUCCACAAGCACAAGAUCAACCAUCAUCUUCCAAUCAAGCAUCUCCACCAACUCAAGAUGAGGAACAAGCUCAAGACAAUGAAGAAGAAGAUCAAGAAGAUGAGCCACCUCAAGAGGAGGACAAUGAUCAAGGGGGAGAUGACAAUGAUAUAGACAAGAAAGAUGAUCAAGAUAUUCAGGAUCAAAGACCGCCACACCCAAGAGUCCAUCAAGCGAUUCAAAGAGAUCACCCCGUGAACUCCAUCCUCGGCGAUAUUCAUAAGGGGGUAACCACUCGAUCUUGAGUCGCACAUUUUUGUGAACAUUACUCUUUUAUUUCCUCUAUUGAGCCUUACAGGGUAGAGGAUGCACUAAGAGAUUCGGAUUGGGUGUUGGCAAUGCAAGAGGAGCUCAACAAUUUCACGAGGAACGAGGUAUGGUAUUUGGUUCCACGUCCUAAUCAAAAUGUUGUAGGUACCAAGUGGGUAUUCCGCAACAAGCAAGAUGAGCAUGGUGUGGUGAUAAGGAACAAAGCCAGACUUAUCGCCAAAGGUUAUUCACAAGUCGAACGUUUGGAUUUUGGUGAAACUAAUGCACCCGUAGCUAGGCUUGAGUCAAUUCGCAUAUUACUUGCCUAUGCUACUUACCAUGGCUUCAAGCUUUAUCAAAUGGACGUGAAGAGUGCCUUCCUCAAUGGACCAAUCAAGGAAGAGGUCUAUGUUGAGCAACCUCUAGGCUUUGAAGAUAGUGAGUAUCCUAACCAUGUGUAUAAGCUCUCAAAGGCGCUUUAUGGGCUCAAGCAAGCCCCAAGAGCAUGGUAUGAAUGCCUGCGAGACUUCCUUAUCACUAAUGGCUCCAAAGUCGGCAAAGCUGAUCCUACUCUCUUUACUAAAACUAUUGCAAAUGAUUUGUUUAUAUGCCAAAUUUAUGUUGAUGAUAUCAUAUUUGGGUCUACUAACAAAUCUACUUGUGAAGUGUUUAGUAGGAUAAUGGUUCAGAAAUUCAAGAUGUCUAUGAUGGGGGAGUUAAAGUAUUUCUUAGGUUUUCAAGUCAAGCAACUUCAAGAAGGCACCUUCAUCAGCCAAACAAAAUAUAUUCAAGACAUUCUUAUGAAGUUUGGAAUGAAGGAUGCCAAACCCAUCAAGACACCCAUGGGAACCAAUGAGCAUCUCGACCUCGACACGGGAGGUAAAUCCAUAGAUCAAAAGGUAUACCGGUCAAUGAUAGGAUCUUUACUCUAUUUAUGUGCAUCUCGACCGGAUAUUAUGCUUUCUAUAUGCAUGUGUGCAAGGUUCCAAGCCAAUCCUAAGGAAGUUCACCUUAGGGUUAUGAAACGAAUCAUGAGAUAUUUAGUUUACACUCCUAAGUUUGGGCUUUGGUACCCCAGGGGAUCAACCUUUGAUUUAAUAGGAUAUUCCGAUGCUGAUUGGGCAGGGUGUAAAAUUGAUAGGAAGAGCACAUCAGGGACUUGUCAGCUUCUGGGAAGAUCCCUGGUGUCUUGGGCUUCAAAGAAACAAAAUUCAGUAGCCCUAUCAACCGCCGAAGCCGAGUACAUUGUCGUAGGCCAUUGUUGUGCGCAAUUACUCUGGAUGAGGCAAACCCUCAGGGACUAUGGCUACAAAAUGAGCAAAGUCCCUCUCCUAUGUGACAAUGAGAGUGCAAUCCGCAUGGCGGAUAAUCCCGUUGAACACAGCCGCACUAAACACAUAGACAUUCUGUCGGAGAGAAAAUCCUCCGGCCGGGUGGCGGAAUGCACCCGCCCUAAUCUUAAGAUGAGGAGGGGGCCUAAGCAUUCGCCUGUUUGGUGAAUUGUCAAUGAACACAGGAAGACUCGAGGGUUUAUAGUGGUUCAGACCGCCGGGGCAUAAUACCCUACCUCCACUGUAUGUAAGUUGUAUUGAGCGUGUCCCUUGUAACGUUGUGUCCCUUCCUUUUUAUAGUUUAAGGGAGGUACAUACAAGGAUGCUGAGCCCCGACAUGCGGGACCAGGAGCAUAAUGGUAGGAAUACAAUAUGUGAAUAGCAAAUGCUGAUAGCACACAAAGAUCCUCCGCCUGAGUAACACAUGAGUAAUUAGCGUGGGUCAUGAUGACUGCAGUCCAUGCAGCAUUGAUAGGCAGUAACCCUGUGCUAGUAAUGGUGAGUUAUUACCCUUGAUAUGGUAACGUGUGAGUAACUGCAUGGCCCAUGUAACAUGGACUGGGUACGCCGCCUGUCACUGGAAUGGACAGGCGCACGUCUUAUCCGUAAUGAAUGAAAAGACGUGCGUAGCCCAGAGGCUUCAUGCCAGGUUCCGCCCAUUGGCUUACACCGUGCGCAGUAAGCCACGCGGCAGCAUCAGGCCUUCGCCUGGGCGGGGAGUAGGAGUAUAUGCAAUUAGGUCCGGAUCCCAGCAGACCAGGUCUGGACACGUGUCGGCACCGGACCCCCGCCUGGGCCCUGAUUAAGGCCCGGGUAUGUUCUAUCCUGGAACCAGGGACCCCAUCGUGGGCGGUCCGGACCCCAUACAGGGAGGUCUGGAUCCAUUCUAGGGGUCUGGUUCGCAUACGUGGAGGUCCUGGACCAAACUUGGAGGCUCGGACCAUAUAUACAUGGGUCCGGCACCUUCCCAUGGGGGUUCGGACACGUGGUGGCACCGGACCCGCACAUGUGGGGGGGGUCAGGUGCUGUUGCUGGCCCAGAGUAGUCGCCCGAGGCUGGGGCGAGUCAUGGCCUGGUCCCACAUACAGCUCUUUUACCACGCGACUAAAAAUAGCCGCGUGGGUACUGCGUCUUUAUACAGCAGUAAGGGGUACCCUAGUUUCAGGGUACCGACAGUGGCCCCCGGGCCCACCUCAGGGGAGGAUGCGAGCCUGCAGGUGGGGCCAAAGCUUGUACCUUGCCUCAACAUGGCCUGAUUUAGUGAUUGGCGCGCCGUUUCAGCGUGUCUGCUGACACACCCACCGUCAAUCCACCAUCGGUCACGCCAACUGCCAUAUCUGUCCUCACGACUGACUUACCCACGGCCCCCCACGCCUGGUGGUUUCGUCGGGCCAUGCGCGGGGCACCUCGUUGUCACUGCCUUGGUUUAAAAAAUUACCUUUUGUCUUCUGCAUCGGCCCCAAGGAGGCGCACUACAGGCACAUGCGGCAGUUCGCUCUUUCUGCACUCAAAAUCCGGCACACAAACUGUAUGACUUGUGGACCCGGGCCCCCGUAUCACAGACUGCGCUGCCUAGGUCCUAGGUACCCGUCGAGCGGGAUUUCCUACGGCGAUUCAGGGGCGCGCGGAAGGGUUUCCCUGAACAAGGACUCAGGUUUCCUUGAAAAAGGAUUCACCCCGCGUGCAGCAGUUACCUUUUCGCAUUCUCUCCCAAUCGGUUGCGCCCUUUUGCCUUUGUGCUCCUCUGCUCUACGCUCCCACUGCCGCACUCGCCAUGGCUUCGCUUAGUCAUCCUGACCGCUUUCAGUCUGAGGAAGCGCUUAAUCUGGUGUGUGGCCUGCUUAGGUGGAGCGCGACAGGGCUCACCGGAAGAAUCCAUGCCGGCGCUGCCCCCCUUGGCGAUCUUGCCGUCGGGGAGUUCGUGCUGUUCACCUCCUAUAUUUCUUGUGGGUUAGCGCUACCAAUUUCGCCCUUCUUCCUGCUGCUGCUAGAGGAGUUUGGACUUCAGCUUCAACACCUCACGCCCCACUCCAUCCUCCAGGCAGCAAUCUUCGUCCACCUCUGCGAAAUGUUCAUAGGUGUGGCCCCCUGCACUUCCCUCUUCCGCUACUUCUUCGUGCUGGUCAGGUCUAGGAAGACUAGGGACCACAUCGGCGCCUACUACUUUCAGACAAGGCUAGAUCCGGCCAUAGUCUACAUCCCCACCUUUGGUGGAGCGAGGUGGGAGAACUGGCGUAGCGACUGGGUGAUUGCCAGCACCGAGGCCAACGACCGCCUUGUCCUGCCGUCCAAUGGGCCAACACUCGACCGCAAGCAAUGGAGGACCAAGCCGUCCCUAUCGCCGGAGUUCCUGCCCGUAUUCGACAGGAUCAAGGUAUUGGCCACGGGCAGCCUGACGUCAAUGCACGUGGUCGGUGACCUCCUGAAGCGCCGGAUCAUGCCGCUGCAGAGGAGGCCACGCCUGUGCUGCUGGUUCACUGACCCGAAUGACAUCGGUAGGAUCCAGCAUGGGCCAGGCACCGAUCUGUCCUGGGAUGAGCUAGAACUCCUGGUGGGGGAUUACUAGGGAGACUUUUGUCCCUAAAUCUAUGAUACUCCCCUAGGCCAUCCCAGCGCUAUGUGAUGACCCAGGCCUGAGAACGGCGAUCCUGGCCACGUUGCCAACCCUUGACGACAGCGGUGUGGCGGUUUGCCAGACCAGCGACUGGGACCCCCUCCGUGGGAUCUGGAUCUCUGAUGCACUGGCUGGAGGUCCCUAGCCCACCGGUGUGGCUCCCAGCGCCAAUCCCGUUGUGGCCCCCAGCUCCUUGGACAAGGGCAAAGGGGCUGCAAGCAGUGCCUUCGCCCCAGGUAGCUUCAGGGGGUCGGAGGAGGAGAGGCGACGCAGGCUGCAUCGCGCUGAUGGGUCGCUCGUUUCGGAGCCCCCAGAAGCGCUAGAGGACCGCAGGUGGGGCCGAGGAGGCCAGCUCCCAGGCCCACGGCGUGCAGAGGCGCGUCAGUCCUCCGGUCCUGCCACCACCACCACCAUCUGGGGGUGAUCACCCCAGGGGCACCAGCAGCAGCAGCAGCAACAGGAGCGGCGAUCGCCCUGCUUCCAGGGUCACUAGAAAGUCCAGGGCCCCAAGUAAGUGUAGCCCCAUUUUCCAUGAGUUUAAUCAUCAUGCCGACAAGUCUUAACCCAUUAUCUGUUCAUCAGGGCUUCUUCCUCCGUCGCUCCCAAGGCCACGCCUCCUCCGCUAGAUACCAGGCCCACCGACGGGUCUGGCUCUCAGUAGCAGGAAUCUGCUGAGUGGUGCCGACGGUCCACCCCCAGCUGCUGCCAAGGCAGCGCUAGCGGCUUCCCAUGCCCCAGCCGGGGGUCUGGCGUCAGCGGCGCUAGCGUCAGGAGGCAUCGCAGUGGCGGAGGAGAUCCCAGCUGGGGGAUCCGUGCCCACUCCUAACACUGGGGGUGACGCAAGAGGCGCGUCCAGCUCCAACACCCCGCCUGCUUCGGAGGAGAUGGAGGUGGUGUUUGGGCGGCGACUCUGUUCGGGUGCCAAGCAAGAAGCUGCGCCAGUCCCCCUCCCCUGCAUGUUAUCCCGUGCCCACCGAGUCCUUAGUGAAACUGAGGCAGCAAUUUUGCGGGAGUGGGAGGCGCUUGAGGCUGAGCACCUGAGAGCACCUAGAGGGGGGGGGGUGAAUAGGUGAUCCUGAGAAAACUUAAACUUAUAGCCACAAAAACCUUGUUAAGUGUUAGCACAAUAAUUGCCAAGUGGCUAGAGAGGAGUCUCGACAAAACACAAUACCACAAGAGAUCAAACACAGAGAUGACACAGUGGUUUAUCCCGUGGUUCGGCCAAGACCAACGCUUGCCUACUCCAUGUUGUGGUGUCCCAACGGACGAGGGUUGCAAUCAACCCCUCUCAAGCGGUCCAAAGACCAGCUUGAAUACCACGGUGUUUUGCUUUGCCUUUCAAUAUCCCGUUUGCGAGGAAUCUCCACACUUUGGAGCCUCUCGCCCUUACACUUGAGAUUCACAAAGAAAUACGGAGUAAGGGGGAAUGAGCAACGCACACAAGACUUCUAAAGAUCAGAGCAACAACACGCACACAAGUCGCAACAAGAGCUCGCAACACAACUCAAAGAGUUCACAACUCCACAAAAGCUCUAUAUGCUAUCACAAUGAAACGAAUGCGCGAGAUCGAUGUCUUGGUGCUUAGGAAUGUUGUCGGAAUACUUGGUGUUCUCCUUCAUGCGCCUAGGGGUCCCUUUUAUAGCCCCAAGGCAGCUAGGAGCCGUUGAGAACAAAUCUGGAAGGCCAUCCUUGCCUUCUGUCAUCGGGCGCACCGGACAGUCCGGUGCACACCGGACAGUGUCCGGUGCCCGAUUCCUUUCCUUAAAUGGCGAAGCCGACCGUUGCAGAUCUGGGAGCGGUUGGCGCACCGGACAUGUCCGGUGCACACCGGACAGUCCGGUGCCCCCUUCCGACCGUUGGCUUGGCCACGUGUCGCGCGCAGAAUCCGCGGCCGACCGUUGGCCCGGCCGACCGUUGGCUCACCGGACAGUCCGGUGCACACCGGACAGUCCGGUGAAUUUUAGUCGUACGCCGUCAACAAAUUCCCGAGAGCGGCCUCUUCGGCCGAGGCAGCCUGGCGCACCGGACACUGUCCGGUGCACCACCGGACAGUCCGGUGCUCCAGACCGAAGCAGCCUUCUGGCUGUACACAGCCAACUCUUUUCUUUUCUUUUUCUUCAUGUUUCCAAUACUUAGACAAGUAUAUUAGUACACAAAACCAAUGUACUAAGACUUAGAAACAUACCUUUGCUCUUGAUUUGCACUUUAUUCAUCCAUGGCAUAAAUUCACAUUUAAGCACUUGAGUUGGCACUCAAUCACCAAAAUACUUAGAAAUGGCCCAAGGGCACAUUUCCCUUUCAAUCUCCCCCUUUUUGGUGAUUUAUGCCAACACAACAUAAAGCAACUAGAACAAGUGCAAAAUCACUUCAAAUAAAACUCAAAUUGAUUUUGAUUCAAUUUUGGCAUAUAUGGAUCAUCCUUUGCCACCACUUGGUUUGUUUUUGCAAAUCAAACUCAAAAUCCUAUCUCUAAGUCAAAUCCACUUGUAGAGACAUACAGAGAGGUUUUCCAAAGGAAAUUAAUUCAAGAUUCCAAAAACUCCCCCUUUUUCCCAUGAUCAACACUUCUCCCCGCAAGAGGCCAACUUUUGACACAAGAGACAAUGCAAGAGUUUUGACAAAACAAAAAAGCUCUAUUCUAGUUUCAAUACUAUCUCAAGUGGUAGCUGAUCUAUCUCAAGUGGUAGCUGAUCCAUCUAGUGCUUUGGCCUUUAUUUUCUCCCCCUUUGGCAUCAAGCACCAAAACGGGAUCAAUCUUGGCCCUUUAACCCCAUUGCUUCACCAAAAUCUUCAAUUAAGAGCAAAUAGGCAAUAAGAGUUUAAAGAUGAACUUGGAAUAAGUUACCCCCUCAUCGGAGUGCAGUGGAAGUCUUUCACGGUCCAAGUCCACCUUUCCCUUUCAAACCUUCUUUGAGACUAAAACAAGCAAACUCAAGCAAAUGGUUAGUCUCAAAGGGUCAAGUUGUAGCACAUCUCCCCCUAAACAUGUGCAUCACUUUGCAACGGACUUGUGAGGUCCAGGGAGUGUUUGUACAACUUGAGCACCAAAAUAAGCAACAAAAUGCAGAAUGAACAUGAUCAAAGGCAUAAACACAUGUAUGCUACAAUUCAAUCCAAGUUCCGCGAAUCUAAGACAUUUAGCUCACUACGCAGCUUGCAAAAGGUCUUCUCAUCUAGAGGCUUGGUAAAGAUAUCGGCUAGCUGGUUCUCGGUGCUAACAUGAAACACUUCGAUAUCUCCCUUUUGCUGGUGGUCUCUCAAAAAGUGAUGCCGGAUGUCUAUGUGCUUUGUGCGGCUGUGUUCAACGGGAUUUUCCGCCAUGCGGAUAGCACUCUCAUUAUCGCAUAGGAGUGGGACUUUGCUCAGAUUGUAGCCAAAGUCCCUGAGGGUUUGCCUCAUCCAAAGUAGUUGCGCGCAACACUGUCCUGCGGCAACGUACUCGGCCUCAGCGGUGGAUAGGGCAACGGAGGUUUGUUUCUUAGAGUUCCACGACACCAGGGACCUUCCUAAGAAUUGGCACGUCCCUGAUGUACUCUUCCUAUCGACCUUACAUCCAGCAUAGUCGGAGUCUGAGUAUCCAACCAAGUCAAAGGUAGACCCCUUUGGAUACCAGAGCCCGAAGCAAGGCGUAGCAACCAAAUAUCUAAGAAUUCGCUUCACCGCCACUAAGUGACACUCCUUAGGAUCGGAUUGAAAUCUAGCACACAUGCAUACGCUAAGCAUAAUGUCCGGUCUACUAGCACAUAAAUAAAGUAAAGACCCUAUCAUUGACCGGUAUGCUUUUUGAUCAAUGGACUUACCUCCUUUGUUGAGGUCGGUGUGUCCGUCGGUUCCCAUCGGAGUCUUUGCGGGCUUGGCGUCCUUCAUCCCAAACCGCUUUAGCAGAUCUUGCGUGUACUUUGUUUGGGAGAUGAAGGUGCCGUCCUUGAGUUGCUUCACUUGGAACCCAAGGAAGUAGUUCAACUCGCCCAUCAUCGACAUCUCGAAUUUCUGCGUCAUCACCCUGCUAAACUCUUCACAAGACUUUUGGUUAGUAGAACCAAAUAUUAUGUCAUCGACAUAAAUUUGGCACACAAACAAAUCACCAUCACAUGUCUUAGUGAACAGAGUUGGAUCGGCUUUCCCAACCUUGAAAGCAUUAGCAAGUAAAAAGUCUCUAAGGCAUUCAUACCAUGCUCUUGGGGCUUGCUUAAGUCCAUAGAGCGCCUUAGAGAGCUUACACACGUGGUCGGGGUACCGUUCAUCCUUGAAGCCAGGGGGUUGCUCCACAUACACCUCCUCCUUGAUUGGCCCGUUGAGGAAAGUGCUCUUCACAUCCAUUUGGAACAACCUGAAAGAAUGGUGAGCGGCAUAUGCUAGCAAGAUACGAAUUGAUUCUAGCCUAGCCACAGGAGCAAACGUCUCCUCAAAGUCCAAACCUGCGACUUGGGCAUAACCUUUUGCCACAAGUCGAGCCUUGUUCCUCGUCACCACCCCGUGCUCGUCCUGUUUGUUGCGGAACACCCACUUGGUUCCCACAACAUUUUGCUUGGGACGAGGCACCAGUGUCCAAACUUCAUUGCGUUUGAAGUUGUUGAGCUCCUCCUGCAUGGCCAACACCCAGUCCGGAUCUAGCAAGGCCUCCUCUACCCUGAAAGGCUCAAUAGAAGAGACAAAGGAGUAAUGCUCACAAAAAUUAACUAAUUUAGAUCGAGUAGUUACUCCCUUACUAAUGUCACCCAAAAUUUGGUCGACAGGAUGAUCCCUUUGAAUCACCGCUCGGACUUGGGUUGGAGGUGCCGGUUGCGCAUCUUCCUCCAUCACAUGAUCAUCUUGUGCUCCCCCUUGAUCACACGCCUCCUGUUGAUGAACCUGUUCAUCGUCUUGAGUUGGGGGUUGCACCAUAGUUGAGGAAGAAGGUUGAUCUUGCUCCAAUUGUUCCUGUGGUCGCACAUCACCAAUCGCCAUGGUGCGCAUAGCGGCCGUUGGAACGUCUUCUUCAUCUACAUCAUCAAGAUCAACAACUUGCUCUCUUGGAGAGCCAUUAGUCUCAUCAAAUACAACGUCGCUAGAGACUUCAACCAAACCCGAUGAUUUGUUGAAGACUCUAUACGCCUUUGUAUUUGAGUCAUAACCUAACAAAAACCCUUCUACUGCUUUGGGAGCAAAUUUAGAAUUUCUACCCUUCUUCACUAGAAUGUAGCACUUGCUCCCAAAUACACGAAAGUACGAUACAUUGGGUUUGUUACCGGUUAGAAGCUCAUAUGACGUCUUCUUGAGGAGGCGGUGAAGGUAGACCCUGUUGAUGGCGUGGCAAGCCGUGUUCACGGCUUCCGACCAAAAACGCUCGGGGGUCUUGAAUUCUCCAAGCAUAGUCCUCGCCAUGUCGAUUAGCGUCCUGUUCUUCCUCUCUACCACACCAUUUUGUUGUGGUGUGUAGGGAGCGGAGAACUCGUGCUUGAUCCCUUCCUCCUCAAGGAACUCCUCCACUUGCAAGUUCUUGAACUCCGACCCGUUGUCGCUCCUUAUCUUCUUCACCUUGAGCUCAAACUCAUUUUGAGCUCUCCUGAGGAAGCGCUUGAGGGUCCCUUGGGUUUUAGACUUAUCCUGCAAAAAGAACACCCAAGUGAAGCGGGAAAAGUCAUCAACAAUAACUAGACCAUACUUACUUCCUCCUAUGCUCAGAUAGGCGACGGUCCGAAGAGGUCCAUGUGUAGCAGCUCCAGGGGUCUUGAUGUGGUCAUCACAUUCUUGCUGUGAUGUGCUCCUCCCACUUGUUUACCUGCUUGACAAGCUGCACAAGGUCUAUCUUUUUCGAAAUGAACAUUGGUUAGCCCUAUCACGUGGUCUCCCUUUAGAAGCUUGUGGAGGUUCUUCAUCCCCACAUGUGCUAAGCUGCGAUGCCACAACCAGCCCAUGCAAGUCUUAGCCAUUAAGCAUGCAUCUAGACCGGCCUCUUCUCUUGCAAAAUCAACUAAAUAAAGUUUGCCGUCUAAUACACCCUUAAAAGCUAGUGAACCAUCACUUCUUCUAAAGACAGACACAUCUACAUUUGUAAAUAGACAGUUAUAUCCCAUAUUGCAUAAUUGACUAACCGAUAGCAAAUUAUAUCCAAGAGACUCUACUAAAAACACAUUAGAGAUAGAGUGCUCAUUAGAAAUUGCAAUUUUACCUAACCCUUUUACCUUGCCUUGAUUCCCAUCACCGAAUAUAAUUGAAUCUUGGGAAUCCUUGUUCUUGACGUAGGAGGUGAACAUCUUCUUCUCCCCCGUCAUAUGGUUUGUGCAUCCGCUGUCGAUAAUCCAGCUUGAACCCCCGGAUGCAUAAACCUGCAAGGCAAAUUUAGGCUUGGGACUUAGGUACCCAACUCUUGUUGGGUCCUACAAGGUUAGUGCAAAUAUCCUUAGGGACCCAAAUGCAAGUUUUGUCUCCCUUGCAUUUUGCCCCUAACUUCCUGGCAACAAUUUUCCUAUCCUUUCUACAAAUAGCAAAGGAAGCAUUUAAAGCACAAUAAAUUGUAGAGGGUUCAUUCACUACUUUCCUAGGAGUAUGGAUAAUAUUCUUUCUAGGCACAUGAUGAAUAGCAUUUCUCCUAGACAUAUUUCUACCAUGCAUGUAGGAAGAACUAGAAGCAAACAUGGCAUGAGAGUCAAAAUCAUCAUAAGCAUUAUAACUCCUAUAAGCAUUUCUAGUUUGUCUCCUAUCAUGAUACAUAAAAAGCAUGGUUCCUUUUAGUACUACUAGCCAUAGGAGCCUUCCCUUUCUCCUUGGCGGAGAUAGGAGCCUUAUGGCUUGUUAAGUUCUUGGCUUCCCUUUUGUAGCCAAGUCCAUCCUUAAUUGAGGGGUGUCUACCGAUCGUGUAGGCAUCCCUUGCAAAUUUUAGCUUGUCAAAUUCAUUCUUGCUAGUCUUAAGUUGAGCAUUAAGACUAGCCAAUUCAUCAUUAAGCUUGGAAAUUGAAACUAGGUGUUCACUACAAGCAUCAAUGUCAAUAUCUUUACACCUAGUACAAAUUACAACAUGUUCUACAUAAGAAUUAGAUUUAUUUGCUACUUCUAAUUUAGCAUUUAAAUCAUUGUUGACACCUUCUAGAGUAGAAAUGGUUUUAUGACAAGUAGAUAAUUCACCAGAGAGUAUUUCAUUUCUUUUAAUUUCUAGAGCAAGAGAAUUUUGUGCACUAACAAAUUUAUCAUGCUCCUCAUAUAAAAGAUCUUCUUGUUUUUCUAGUAAUCUAUUCUUGUCAUUCAAAGCAUCAAUCAACUCAUUAAUCUUAUCUAUUUUAGAUCUAUCUAAGCCCUUGAAUAAGCAUGAAUAGUCUAUGUCAUCAUCAUCACUAGACUCAUUAUCACUAGAAGAAGCAUAAGUGGAGUCUCGAGUACUCACCUUCUUCUCCCUUGCCAUAAGGCAUGUGUGACGCUCGUUGGGGAAGAGGGAUGAUUUGUUGAAGGCGGUGGCGGCGAGUCCUUCAUUGUCGGAGUCGGAAGAGGAGCAGUCCGAGUCCCACUCCUUGCCUAGAUGCGCCUCGCCCUUUGCCUUCUUAUAGUUCUUCUUCUUCUCCCUCUUGUUCCCUUGAUCCUGAUCACUAUCAUUGUCGGGACAGUUAGCAAUAAAAUGACCAAGCUUACCGCAUUUGAAGCAUGAUUGCUUUCCCUUGGUCUUAGUCUUGCUUGGCUGUCCCUUUCGACCUUUUAGCGCCGUCUUGAAUCUUUUGAUGAUGAGGGCCAUCUCUUCAUCAUUAAGACCGGCAGCCUCAAUUUGUGCCACCUUGCUGGGUAGCGCCUCCUUGCUCCUUGUUGCCUUGAGAGCAAUGGGUUGAGGCUCGUUGAUCGGACCAUUCAAGGCGUCGUCGACGUAUCUCGCCUCCUUGAUCAUCAUCCGCCCGCUUACGAAUUUUCCGAGUACCUCCUCGGGCGUCAUCAUCGUGUACCUGGGAUUCUCACGAAUAUUGUUUACGAGAUGAGGAUCAAGAACAGUAAAGGACCUUAGCAUUAGGCGGACGACGUCGUGGUCCGUCCAUCGCAUGCUUCCAUAGCUCCUUAUUUUGUUGAUAAGGGUCUUGAGCCGGUUGUAAGUUUGGGUUGGCUCCUCUCCCCUUAUCAUUGCGAAUCGUCCAAGCUCGCCCUCCACCAACUCCAUUUUAGUGAGCAUGGUGAUGUCGUUCCCCUCGUGAGAGAUCUUGAGGGUGUCCCAUAUUUGCUUGGCGUUGUCCAAGCCGCUCACCUUAUUGUACUCUUCCCUGCACAAAGAUGCUAAUAGAACAGUAGUAGCUUGUGCAUUUCUAUGGAUUUGUUCAUUUAUAAGCAUAGGGCUAUCCGAGCUAUCAAAUUUCAUUCCAUUCUCUACAAUCUCCCAUAUGCUUGGAUGGAGAGAGAAUAAGUGACUACGCAUUUUGUGACUCCAAAAUCCGUAGUCUUCCCCAUCGAAGUGUGGAGGUUUGCCAAGAGGAAUGGAGAGCAAAUGCGAAUUCGAACUAUGUGGAAUACAAGAAUAAUCAAAUGAAAAGUUCGAAUUGACCGUCUUCCUGUAGUCGUUGUCGUCGUCCUUUUGGGAAGAAGUAGACUCAUCGCUAUCGUCGUAGUAGACGAUCUCCUUGAUGCGCCUUGUCUUCUUCUUCUUCCCAUCUUUACGCUUGUGGCCCGAGCCCGAGUCAGUAGGCUUGUCAUCCUUAGGCUCGUUGACGAAGGACUCCUUCUCCUUGUCGUUGAUCACGAUUCCCUUUCCCUUAGGAUCCAUCUCUUCGGGCGAUUAGUCCCUUCUUGAAGAGAACGGCUCCAAUACCAAUUGAGAGCACCUAGAGGGGGGGUGAAUAGGUGAUCCUGAGAAAACUUAAACUUAUAGCCACAAAAACCUUGUUAAGUGUUAGCACAAUAAUUGCCAAGUGGCUAGAGAGGAGUCUCGACAAAACACAAUACCACAAGAGAUCAAACACAGAGAUGACACAGUGGUUUAUCCCGUGGUUCGGCCAAGACCAACGCUUGCCUACUCCACGUUGUGGCGUCCCAACGGACGAGGGUUGCAAUCAACCCCUCUCAAGCGGUCCAAAGACCAGCUUGAAUACCACGGUGUUUUGCUUUGCCUUUCAAUAUCCCGUUUGCGAGGAAUCUCCACACUUUGGAGCCUCUCGCCCUUACACUUGAGAUUCACAAAGAAAUACGGAGUAAGGGGGAAUGAGCAACGCACACAAGACUUCUAAAGAUCAGAGCAACAACACGCACACAAGUCGCAACAAGAGCUCGCAACACAACUCAAAGAGUUCACAACUCCACAAAAGCUCUAUAUGCUACCACAAUGAAACGAAUGCGCGAGAUCGAUGUCUUGGUGCUUAGGAAUGUUGUCGGAAUACUUGGUGUUCUCCUUCAUGCGCCUAGGGGUCCCUUUUAUAGCCCCAAGGCAGCUAGGAGCCGUUGAGAACAAAUCUGGAAGGCCAUCCUUGCCUUCUGUCAUCGGGCGCACCGGACAGUCCGGUGCACACCGGACAGUGUCCGGUGCCCGAUUCCUUUCCUUAAAUGGCGAAGCCGACCGUUGCAGAUCUGGGAGCGGUUGGCGCACCGGACAUGUCCGGUGCACACCGGACAGUCCGGUGCCCCCUUCCGACCGUUGGCUUGGCCACGUGUCGCGCGCAGAAUCCGCGGCCGACCGUUGGCCCGGCCGACCGUUGGCUCACCGGACAGUCUGGUGCACACCGGACAGUCCGGUGAAUUUUAGCCGUACGCCGUCAGCAAAUUCCCGAGAGCGGCCUCUUUGGCCGAGGCAGCCUGGCGCACCGGACACUGUCCGGUGCACCACCGGAGAGUCCGGUGCUCCAGACCGAAGCAGCCUUCUGGCUGUACACAGCCAACUCUUUUCUUUUCUUUUUCUUCCUGUUUCCAAUACUUAGACAAGUAUAUUAGUACACAAAACCAAUGUACUAAGACUUAGAAACAUACCUUUGCUCUUGAUUUGCACUUUAUUCAUCCAUGGCAUAAAUUCACAUUUAAGCACUUGAGUUGGCACUCAAUCACCAAAAUACUUAGAAAUGGCCCAAGGGCACAUUUCCCUUUCAGCACCAGCGCCUCAGUGACUGGCGCACCCAACUGGAGGAGCGCACCAAGUCGGCGUCCCGACAGUUCACCUUCGAGCGGUCCCAACUCGAGCGGGACCGCAAGGAGUACAAGAAGGACCUCCAGAAGCUGUGCACUAGGGAGCUAGCAUUGCUGAGUGGGCCGACGAGGCGAGCACGGCACUGGUGCCACUAGGGAUGAGCCCCAUCCCAGUGUCGGAGCUGCCGGUGUCGAUCUCCGAUGCCCUCCUGGUGUUGGACUCUGCCGUUGAUCGCCUCCGGCGCCUGGAUCAGAUCCUCGGUGCCCACCUGGAGGCAGAGGGCAGCAAGCUCUAUCGGGCGGUAGUUAAAUAUGUCCUGACGUGCUUCCGGAGCCACGACCCUGCCAUAUCCUUGGCACUGAUGAUCGCUGGUCCGGUGGCCACCACAGAAGAUGCCGCCCGGGAGAGUGUACAAGACGCUAUGGAGAUGGUGGCCGAGCGCUUCCAGCGUGAUCCUGCCGACGCCGAGUAGCUGAACCUAUAGGGACAAGGCAAGGGUUCCGCUGGGGAGCGGCUGUAAUAACUUUUUGUCAUGAAACAUACUUUAAGAACCGUUAAUCAAACAGCAGUGGAACUUAUCUGUAUGUUAUUCGCCCUUGUUAUGUGUAGCGUCAUCAACUUUCACCUGGUACUUGGCCCCCAUGGGAGGUAGGCUCGACGUGUCGAGGCUAGAUACCAGUAUACCAAAGAAAAAUUUGAUGACCCGGCCCCUAGGAGGUAGUCUCUACAGUUUGAGACUACCUACCUCUGGACUGGGACCUGGACCUGCACACAGCUUCGGCUUUGAAGUGUUAGGAGCACACCCAUAGGACCCAUCGUCUGGUACCUGUCAUCCUUUGAUUCAUGCAACAGGACCUGCGGGAUUUAGCCUGGGAAGCCAAGUCGUAUGCCCGGACCCACAGGAUCACAGUUCCAAAUACUAGGGUACCCGUUGCACAGUGGUGGAGCGUGCAGGCUUAGGGUACGGAACCAGGCUAAGCGGCUACACAGCUCCGGACCACUCCAGGAGACGAGCGCCCAUUCUCUAGAACUGGUCCGCAGGUUGACGGGCCCCCUGUAGCAGUAGAGGGGUCCUGAACUGCAAGCCUGGCUACUCAAUUCAGAUGUCAUCAUACCAGCAAGGGUGGGAAACUAUAUGGGUGGGUUAGAUAAAAAAUAAUGCUCGUAAACUAAAGUAGAAUAGAACCAUCACAAAAGCACAUCUAGGGGGUAAAUCUUUUCUUUAUAACUUGACAUAUAUGGGUGCAGACCAACAGGCUGGGCUUACGACGGCGGACCUCACCGGAUUGACAUACACAUAUGUGCAACCUAGUUACAAAGGAAGAAAACUCAACCUCCUAGUUUUGCUUUUAUGGAUAGAACUUACGGAGAUGCUCUAUAUUCCAGGGAUUGGGAAGAGGUACUCCUUCUGUUGUGGCAAGGCAGACACACCCGGGUCGGCAUAUUUCCGUCACCUUGAAGGGUCCUUCCCAACUGGGGGAGAGUUUGUGGAGCCCUUCUCGGUUCAGUACUCGCCUUAGGACUAGGUCCCCGACCCUGAGCUCCCUAGUAUGCACAAACUGUUGGUGGUAGCGCCUGAGCGCUUGGUUGUACCGUGCAUUUUGGAUCAUCGCUUGCCAUCUACGUUUGUUGAUGAAGUCCACGUCCUCACGCCGUAGCUGUUCCUGCAUAGACUCAUCGAAAGACUAGACCCGUGGUGAGCCCAUAAUGAUUUUCGGGGGAAGACAGGCUUCAGCCCCAUAGACCAGGAAGAACAGGGUCUCCCCAGUAGCUCGGCUGGGUGUGGUCCAGUUCCCCAUAGUACGCUCGGAAGCUUGUUGACCCAAUUUGCACCAUGCUUUUUUAAGCAGUCAUAGGUGCGUGUCUUGAGUCCCCUGAGGAUUUCUGUGUUUGCCCUCUCAGCCUGGUCGUUGCUCAUGGGAUGAGCCACAGACGCAAAGCAGAGCUACGUGUCGAUGCCCUCGCAAUACUCUUAGAAGAGCCGACUUUUGAACUAGGUCUCUUUGUCCGUACUGAUACGGCUUGGGACCCCAAAUCUGCAGAUAAUCGACUUGAGGAAGGCAACAGCAGCACCCUGGGUGAUACUGACCACAGGGGUGGCCUCUGGCCACUUUGUGAAUUUGUCGAUAGCAACAAAGAGGAAAUGGUACCCGCCAACAGCCCUAGGGAAUGGUCCCUGGAUAUCCACCCCCCAUACGGCGAAUGGCCAAGAGGGUGGAAUCAUUUGUAGAGCCUAAGCUGGUGUGUGUAUCUGCUUUGCAUGGAACUGACAUGCUUUACAGUACUUUACCAACUCAGCUGCAUCCUGGAGAGCGGUUGGCUAAUAGAAGCCGUGCUGGAAGGCCUUACCAACCAGUGUGCGGGAUGACAAAUGACUUCCGCACUCACCUCCAUGGAUCUCCGCGAGCAACUCACGGCCCUCCUCCUGGGUGACGCACCGCAUGAGAAUGCCAUUGGUGCCACGGCGGUAUAGAUCCCCUUCUACCACCGUGUAUCGUUUAGCCAACCGCACUAUGCACUCUGUGGACACAUGAUCUUCAGGAAGGAUAUUUUCUUUUAGGUAGUCCCGGAUCUCGGAGAUCCAUGCAUCAGGACCACUCUGAGAUACUGGCUGUGGCGCUAAGAGGUUGGCAGGACCCUCUGUAUCACACACAAUCCUUGGUGGGUUCUACAGAUGUAACACCACCGGGACCGCUAGCUUCGAGGUACUAGUCUCUCCCCCUUUGCCCGGUUCGGCAAGCUAGGCGGUAGGUCUCAGCAGCCAUCUUUCGAAGACGCCCUCGGGCACGGGUGCCCAAGUGGAUGCUCUCGUGGAGAGUUCAUCUGCCGCUGAGUUGUUAGCCUGAGGAACAUGUUGCAGUUCCAGGGCAAUGAAGUCCUUUUCUAGCUUCCUUACGUGGAGGAGGUAAGCUGCGAGCCUGGGCUCAUUGCAGCUACAUUCUCCGCGGACCUGCUUGAUAAUCAGUUGGGAGUCCCCCUUCACGAGGAGCUGGCGGAUCCCUAGGGAAAGGGCCAUAGACAAGCCGAAGAUCAGUGCUUCUUACUCUGCCAUGUUGUUGGUGGCCUUGAACUCAAGGUGCACCAUGUACUUCACUUGAUCUCCGCUUGGGUCAAUGAGGACCACUCCAGCACCGCCACCCUGCUGGCGGGCGGACCCAUCGAAGAAGAGCGUCCAGUGGGGCUCGGUGAAGACCGGAGCCCUGGACUCCACAGGUGUGGGGUCCGAAUCGGGAUCCGGACCCCCAGGAGUGCUCGAGGGAGGGGUCCAUUCCACGAUGAAGUCGGCCAGAACCUGGCUCUUGACUAGGGAUGUUCCUAAAACAUCCGACUUGUAUCACAAAUCUAAUAUUUUAGCAUAGAUAUACAUAUAAUUUAAAGCUAAUUUUUGGCAAUGUUAUGAAGAAUAUUAUUAAGUAUUUAAAUAAAUUUUUGUAUACUUUUUUAUGUACAUUAUUUUCUCCCUACAACAAAAAAGGUGAAAAAACAUCUGAAUCCGUAUUCGGAUAGACAUCCGAAUUUUAUAUCAAUUAUUUAAAAAUAUCUAGAAUGAAUUUAAUGUUUCUUUUUUGUGAAGAUUAAUAGCCUCAAUGCUAAAAACAAGAAUAUAAAUUUACAUAGCAAAUUCUAUAUGUUAUUUGUUCACAGUCGAAGAAAGAGGACCAAAAAAUUGACAUCCGAAUAAAUAUCCGGAUCCAUCCCUACUCUUGACAAUGUGGCGAGGCUAGAAAUCCAGUUGGAACUCAGCAAGCUCCGCAGCCCACUUGGCGAUGUUGCCUGUGGCGUUAGAGUUGUGGAGGAUGGCCCUUAACGGGAAUGAGGUCACCACCACGACCCUGUGUGCCUGGCCUUCGCCUCAUGGAGGCCUUCGCUAACGUAGUAGACUGGCUUCUGGAUGGUUUGGACCCCUGCGGUUGGUCCUGAGUCCUCAAACUCUUGACCUUCCAUCAGCACCAUGGUGGUCGGACCACCACCUUCUCCUAGGGGAACUUUUUGGCUCCCCUGGGGAUGUUGUGUCGUCCUUUCGACGACCAGCACCAUGCUCAACACCUCUAUAGCCGUUGUAAUGUAUAAGUACAUCGUUUUGGAGCUAUCAAUAUUGGUAGGGACACAAGGUGCUGCUUCAACUCUUGAAAGGCACGUUCUGCCUCCUCGGUCCAAGAGAAUGGGCCGGACUUCCGUAAUAGCUUGAAGAAGGGUAGCGCCCUUUCAGCUAGUCUUGAGAUGAAGCAGCUAAGGGCGGCCAGUGACCCCGUAAGCUUCUGGACAUCCUUGAUUCGGGCCAGAGGCCUCAUUGCCUCGAUUGGUUUGAUCUUCUUCGGGUUUGCUUCAAUGCCCCGGUGCGAAACUAAGAAUCCUAGCAACUUCUCUGUGGAGACACCAAAGACGCACUUUUUCGGGUUCAGCUUCGUGCGCGUUGCCUGCAGCUUGUCAAAGACCAAGGUUAAGUCUUCCACUAGGGUCGACCCUCUCUUAGUCUUGAUCACGAUGUCAUCGACAUAUAUCUCUAUCCUGUCCCUAAUCAGGUAACCAAAGGUCUUACUCAUCACCCGUACAAAUGUUGGCAAGGCGUUUUUCAGACCGUAAGGCAUUACAACAUAACAGUAAAGCCCAUCCACAGUUACAAAAGCGGUAUGUUUCCUAUCUUGCCUAGACAUUUGGAUCUGAUGGAAACCAGAGUAGAAUCCACGAUUUGAUCUAUUCGUGGAAGUGGAUACGGGUCCUUGGGACAAGCCUUAUUGAGGUUGGUGUAGUCGAUGCACAUCCGAAGCUUCCCGUUUGCCUUGGGAAUGAUGACUGGAUUGGCUAGCCAUACUGGGUGAUGGACCUCUUCGAUGAAGCCAGCAUGUAGCAGCUCUGGACCUCCUCACGGAUGAAAUCCUGCCGCUCAACGAACAGUCUCCGAGGCUUCUGACUCACCGGUUUGGCGUCAGGGUGGAACUUCAGAUGGUACUCAAUCACCUCCCUAGGGAUCCUAGGCAUUUGCGACGGUUCCCAUGCGAAUACGUUGGCAUUUGUCUGGAGGAAGGCGACGAGCGCGAUUUCCUAUUUAUCCUCCAUAUUGCCCGUGAUGCGGGUCGUCUAGGAGGAAUCCACGCCAACCUGGAUGGUUUUGACGGGACCGUCGUCUGCUCCGGAUGGCUGCACCUUUGGCACCUUGGUACAGGAAGUCGAGGGGUCCCUCCCCCUAUCAUCUGGGCGAGCAGUUUCUGCCAUCAGGGCAUGCAACUUUUCGACAGCUGCAAGCGCAGCGGCGCGGUCGCCCUGCACGGUGAGGACCCCAGCAGGGGACGGCAUCUUGGGGACCAAGUACCCAUAAUGGGCAAUGGCCAUGAACCGGUACAGGGCCGGCCUGCCAAUGAUGGCAUGGAAAGGGAGGUUAACCUCCGCGACGUCGAACUGGACGUUCUCUGUGCAGAAGUUCUCUUCAGUCCCGAAUGUAACCGGGAGUGUGAUGCUCCUAAGGAGAUACACCGGUUGUGGGCCCACUCCGGAGAAUGUGCGAGAGGGUCCCAGCUAGGAUCCUGGGAUCUGCAGCUGCUUGAACGCAGCGUGACUGAUGACGUUGAGCCCAGCCCCACCAUCAAUCAGGACAUGAUGCAGCUUCAUGUUGGCGAUGACAGGGGCAGUGAUGAGUGGUAGUAUACCGGCCCCUGCCAUGUUUUCGGGGCAGUCGGAUGCCCUGAAGGAGAUAGUGGUGCUCCUCCACCGCUAAUGUGGAGCAGCCUUCGGGACCCCUAGGGUCACCGAAAGGACCUCUCGGCGCAGGGACUUCACGUUCCUAUGGGAGGUGAGCUCCCAGCUCCCGCCGUACAUCACGUACAGCUUUUUGCGGCGGUCAUUAUCGUCACCGGAGUCCAGUGAAUAUGUCCUUAAGGACCUACUCGGGGGACUGAUACCCGAGGUCCCGUUCUCCCGCGGUCGCGUCACCUUCGUUAGCCUUCUCCUUGCCAGGUCGGCAACGAGGCGGCGAGCCAUCCUUGGAUGCCUGCUCUCGCUGCUCGCUGACAUGCUUCGCGAGCUUGAGGAUCUCUUGACACUUCGAGGCACUAUGGUGACUGUUGGGAUGGACAGGGCAUGACCCGCUGUUACUUCCCUGUUGUCGUGGGCGCUUGCCGCGCUCGUUCCGGCCCCUAGUCGCAGCUGCGAUGACCGGAGUAGCAGACUGCGGCCUAUCAUGACCGUGGUUCUUCUUCUUGUUGUUGUUGCUGCCCUGGGUGGCGGCACCUGAGCCACCUGUCUGGGUAACUCCGGUUUGUGGUGCCGAGUGCCAUGCACGGCCCUCGGCAGCUCUGGCACAUUUGUCGACCAGAGCGAAGAGCAUAGUGACGGUUUCCACGUGAUGCGUCGCCAAUUUCUCCAACAUCUUCUCAUCACGUACCCCCUAUCGGAAAGCAGUGAUAAUGGAAGCAUCAGAGAAACAAGGUAUAGUCCCUCGUACCUUGGUGAAGCGGGAGAUGAAAGACCGGAGAGUCUCCCCAGGUUCUUGCCUUACGGUAUGGAGAUGAGCCUCCACACCAUGCUGCUGAUAAGCACUAGCGAAGUUCGCUGUGAACCAUGCACAGAGCUCUUCCCAGGAGUAGAUGGACCCCAGGGUAAGGUUCAUGAGCCAGGUCCGGGCCAGCCCAGUCAAGGCUACAUGGAAGUAGCUCGACAUUACUGCGGUGUUUCCACCAGCUGCCGUAAUGGCAGUGACGUAGACCUGCAAGAAUUCCGACGGGUUUGACGUACCGUCGUACUUCUCUGGCAGGUGUGGCCGAAACUUGGAUGGCCAAGUCGCCGCGCGAAGGUGAUCCGCUAGUGCGGCACAGCCCACGCCGACCAAUGGGACACCCGCCUGGAUUCGGGCGCCCCUUGGAGUUUGUGGCGCAACUGGAGCGAAAUCUUGGUCGAGGUCGCGACCCUCAAAGUUUUGCCAGCGCUCACGCGCCCUCUCCAGAGAGACUUGAGCAUCCUCGCCCGCACGCCUACGGUUGAGCUCUGCCCGCAGGUCGUCAGCCCUCUCUAGAGAGAUUUGGGCAUCCUCGCCCGCAUGCCUACGGUUGAGCUCUGCCCGUAGGUCGUCAGUCCGUGCACCCUCACUGAGGGCGAGCGCAUAGAUGCCGACGCUUCAUGUUGACACCGGAAUGACCGAGGCCUAGGCCUGGCCGAGCCAGAAUGUGCCAUGCCGAGGAGACGGACAACAUCUUCACGCCACUGCCUCAUGGCCCCUGGCGAAGCCGUGGAACUUGGGGGGUUGCGUAGCAACUCCCUGGCUGCAGACAAUGCCCCACCAGGGGCAGCCCUCGAUGGAGCCCUAGAUGUCUGUGUAGGCGUGUGCUGCUGCGCAGGCGUGCAUAGCUGCAGCACCAGGCGCAGGGCGGUUAGAGCCCCGUGGCAUGGAAGAUGCUGCCCCUUCCUCCAUUAGGAAGCCCUCGGGAGACAAGUCGCGGUGCUCGACGAUCUGAACCAUCGUGUCGAGCAAGGAAACAGGCGAAAAACUCAAGGCCAAAGCCCCCUACCUGGCGCGCCAAAUAUCGGAGAGAAAAUCUUCCGGCCGGGUGGCGGAAUGCACCCGCCCUAAUCCUAAGAUGAGGAGGAGGCCUAAGCGUUCGCCUGUUUGGUGAAUUGUCGACGAACACAGGAAGACUCGAGGGUUUAUAGUGGUUCAGGCCGCCGGAGCGUAAUAUCCUACCUCCACUGUAUGUAAGUUGUAUUGAGCGUGUCCCUUGUAACGUUGUGUCCCUUCCCUUUUAUAGUUUAAGGGAGGUACAUACAAGAAUGUUGAGCCCCGACAUGUGGGCCCAGGAGCAUAAUGGUAGGAAUACAUUAUGUGAAUAGUAAAUACUGACAGCACACAAAGAUCCUCCGCCUGAGUAACGCAUGAGUAAUUAGCGGGGGUCAUGAUGACUGUAGUCCAUGCAGCAUUGAUAGGCAGUAACCCUGCGCUAGUAAUGGUGAGUUAUUACCCAUGAUAUGGUAACGUGUGAGUAACUGCAUAGCCCAUGUAACAUGGACUGGGUACGUCGCCUGUCACUGGAAUGGACAGGCGCACGUCUUAUCUGUAAUGAAUGAAAAGACGCGCGUAGCCCAGAGGCUUCAUGCCAGGUUCCGCCCGUUGGCUUACGCCGUGCGCAGUAAGCCAUGCGGCAGCAUCGGGCCUCCGCCUGGGCGGGCAGUAGGAGUAUAUGCGAUUAGGUCCGGAUCCCAGCAGACUAGGUCUGGACACGUGUCGGCACCGGACCCCCGCAUGGGCCCUGAUUAAGGCUCGGGUAUGUUCUGUCCUGGAACCGGGGACCCCACCGUGGGCGGCCUGGACCCCAUACAGGGAGGUCCGAAUCCAUUCCAGGGGUCCGGUUCGCAUACGUGGAGGUCCUGGACCAAACUUGGAGACCCAGACCAUAUAUACAGGGGUCCGGCACCUUCCCAUGGGGUCCGAACACGUGGCGGCACCGGACCCGCCCAUGUGGUGGGGUUAGGUGUUGUUGCUGGCCCAGAGUAGUCGCCCGAGGCUGGGGCGAGUCAUGGCCUGGUCCCACAUACAGCUCUUUUACCAUGCAACUAAAAAUAGUCGUGUGGGUACUGCGUCUUUAUACAGCAGUAAGGGGUACCCUAGUUUUAGGGUACCGACACAUUCGAUAUCACUUUUUGAGAGAUCACCAACAAAGGGGGUGUCGGGGACCAUAAUUAGGGGUACCCUCAAGACGCCUAAUUCUCAGCUGGUAACCCCCAUCAGCAUAAAGCUGCAGAGGCCUGAUGGGUGCGAUUAAGUCAGGGAUCAGUCCAUACGAGCGACUCGAUCACGCCUCGCCCGAGCCUAGCCUCGGGCAAGGGCAGCCGACCUCGAGGGGUUUCUGUCUCGCCCGAGGCCCCCCUUUUAACGGCAGACACAUCUCCGGCUCGCCCGAGGCCUUGUCUUCGCUAAGAAGCAACCCUGACUAAAUCGCCGCACCGACCGACCGAGUCGCAGGAGCAUUUAACGCAAAGGUAGCCUGACACCUUUAUCCUGACGCUCGCCCCCCGGCAGAGCCGAAGUGACCGUCGUCACUUCACCGCCCCACUGACCGGCCUGACAGAAGGACAGCGCCGCCUGCGCCACUCCGACUGCAGUGCCACUUGACAGAGUGAGACUGACAGGCAGUUAGGCCUUGCCAAAGGCGCCAUAGGAAGCUCCGCCCGACCCAGGGCUCGGACUCGGGCUCAGCCCCGGAAGACGGCGAACUCCGCUCCGCCCGACCCAGGGCUCGGACUCGGGCUAAGCCCCGGAAGACGGCGAACUCCGCUCCGCCCGACCCAGGGCUCGGACUCGGGCUAGGCCCCGGAAGACGGCGAACUCCGCUCCGCCUGACCCAGGGCUCGGACUCGGGCUAAGCCCCGGAAGACGGCGAACUCCGCUCCGCCCGACCCAGGGCUCGGACUCGGGCAAGGCCCCAGAAGACGGCGAACUCCGCUCCGCCCGACCCAGGGCUCGGACUCGGGCUAGGCCCCGGAAGACGGCGAACUCCGCUCCGCCUGACCCCAGGGCUUGGACUCCGCCCUGGCCUCUGCCGAACGACCUCCGCCUCGCCCGAACCGGGAGCUCGGGCUCGGCCUCGGCCAUGGAAGACAGACUCGACCCCGGCUUCGGAGGAGCCUCCACGUCGCCCGACCUAGGACACAGGCCAGCCACGUCAACAGGAAGCGCCAUCAUCACCCUACCCCGAGCCGACUCGGGCCGCAGAGAGCAAGACCGGUGUCCCAUCUGGCUAGCUCCGCCAGAUAGGCAAUGAUGGCGCCCCGCUAGCCCCGUGACGACGGCGGCUCUCAGCUCCCUUACGGAAGCAGGGGGACGUCAGCAAGGACCCAACCGCUCCGACAGCUGUCCCUCCGCCAGGCUCCGUUGCUCCUCCGACAGCCACGACACCACACCAGCUGGGUGCCAAGAUCUCUCCGGCUGCCACAUUGGCAUGUACUCAGGGCACUAGUUCUCCCUUGCUAGACACGUAGCACUCUGCUACACCCCCAUUGUACACCUGGAUCCUCUCCUUAUGCCUAUAAAAGGAAGGACCAGGGCCUUCUUAGAGAAGGUUGGCCGCGCGGGGACGAGGAGGGGACAGGCGCUCUCUUGGGGCCGCUCGCUUCCCUCACCCGCGUGGACGCUUGUAACCCCCUACUGCAAGCGCACCCGACCUGGGCGCGGGACGAACACGAAGGCCGCAGGAUUUCCACCUCUCUCACGCCCGUCUCCGGCCACCUCGCUUCCCCCCUUCGCGCUCGUCCACGCGCUCGACCCAUCUGGGCUGGGGCACGCGGCACACUCACUCGUCGACUUAGGGACCCCCCGGUCUCGAAACGCUGACAGUUGGCGCGCCAGGUAGGGGCCUGCUGCGUGUUGACGAGUAGUUUCCCGUCGAGCUCCAGAUGGGCAGUCUCCAACAACCUCUCCAACCCGAGACGGUGCUCCGUUUCGGGAGUCUUGAGUUCAUGUCCCUCGACGACAGCUACGACAUGAUACUCCUUCCACCGCCGUGCGACAACGACAAUGGCGGCCGACAACCCGCCCGCCGGCGGCGGAAUCGACGACAUCUUCCCCGCGUGGUGGAAGAAUGACAUUCGAGCUCGCCUUGUCCUCUCCCCCGCCAACGGAGGAGGAGGCGGGGCAAUCGAGGCCAAGCAGGAGGCCCCGCUUCGUCGGCUGUCGAGCGAAUCGACAUCCCCAGCGCACCAACGGGGGGCGCGUCGGGCGUCGACCUCGCGUUUGAGACGAAGGCAAGCGCCGUCCCCCCGCGACACGCCAAUCCCGAGCAAGUGGACGACGCCAGCACGCUCGCGGAGGGCCUACAGGACGUCGCCCUCGUACCUAAGACGACGGCGCGAUCAGCCCCCGGCGUGACUAUGUCGCUCCUCGUCGAUCAAAAGGUACUGACUGAUUCCCAUCCUACGUUAUUUCGACUCGGCCUCAAUCCGCCUAGCGACCUCGCUUUGGCGGGCGCUCUCAUUGAGGCGAGUGCAACCCCACUGGGGUUUCGUAUGCGGUCGCCUUGGGACCGAUUGACGGAUGUCUCGACCUACGGGCCCUCUGGGUCCGAGGAAGAUGACGAUCCCAGCAUCUGCUGGGAUUUCUCUGGAUUUGGCAACCCCAGUGCCAUGCAGGACUUUAUGACCGCAUGUGACUACUGCCUCUCCGACUGUUCCGACGGUAGCCGCAGCCUUGACGACAAGGACUGCGGCCCAAGCCGCGAAUGUUUCCACGUCAAGCUAGGGGAUCCCUCCGAAGGCAACCAUCUCGGCAUGCCGGAGGACGGUGAUCUCCCAAGGCCGGUGCCUCGCGCCGACAUCCCGCGGGAGCUAGCUGUGGUCCCCGUUCCGGCGGGGGGUCAUGACCCACAGCUCGAGCAAGUCCGCGGGGCGCAGGCCAGGCUCGACGAGGGAGCAGGAGCGCUCGAGUCGAUCCGCCGGGACGUCGGGCAGGUAUGGGCGGGCCAACCCCCGGCCGGAGAAAUACGUCACCUGCCCCAGGGUUCCCAGCACCGCGUCGCCAACGACGUCAGGGUCAGGCCGCCGCCCGCAUCCAGCGGGGUCAGUCAGAACCUGGCAGCCGCAGCGAUGCUCCUCCGCGCGAUGCCGGAGCCAUCAACCACCGAGGGUCGGCGAAUCCAGGGAGAGCUCAAGAAUCUUCUGGAAGGCGCUGCGGCCCGACGGGCCGAGAGCUCUGCCUCCCGAAGGCAGGGAUACCCCUCGGAACCUCAUGUCGCGACUUCCCGAUUCAUGCGGGAAGCCUCGGUCUACACCGGGCGCACGCGCAACACCGUGCCUGCGGCCCCGGGCCACCUCGGCAACGAGCACCAUCGUCGCGACCGUCGGGCCCACCUCGACGAAAGGGUGCGCCGAGGCUACCACCCCAGGAGUGGGGGAUGCUACGACAGCGGGGAAGAUCGGAGUCCCUCACCCGAACCACCCGGUCCGCAGGCCUUCAGUCGGGCCAUCCUACGGGCGCUGUUCCCGGCCCGGUUCCGACCCCCGACUACUAUCACAAAGUACUCGGGGGAAACGAGACCGGAACUGUGGCUCGCAGACUACCGCCUAGCCUGCCAACUGGGUGGAACGGACGACGACAACCUCAUCAUCCGCAACCUCCCCCUGUUCCUCUCCGACACUGCUCGCGCCUGGUUGGAGCACCUGCCUCCGGGGCAGAUCUCCAACUGGGAUCACCUGGUCCAAGCCUUCGCCGGAAAUUUCCAGGGCACGUAUGUGCGCCCUGGGAAUUCCUGGGACCUCCGAAGCAGCCAACAGCAGCCGGGAGAGUCUCUUCGGGACUACAUCCGGCGAUUCUCGAAGCAGCGCACCGAGCUGCCCAACAUCACCGACGCAGAUGUCAUCGGCGCGUUCCUUGCCGGCACCACCUGCCGCGACCUGGUGAGCAAGUUGGGUCGCAAGACCCCCACCAGGGCGAGUGAGCUGAUGGACAUCGCCACCAAGUUCGCCUCUGGCCAGGAGGCGGUUGAGGCUAUCUUCCAAAAGGACAAGCAGCCCCAGGGCCGCCCGUCGGAAGAUGCUCCCGAGGCGUCUACUCCGUGCGGCGCCAAGAAGAAAGGCAAGAAGAAGUCGCAAGCGAAACGCGACGCCGCCGACGCGGACCUUGUCGCCGCCGCCGAGUACAAGAACCCUCGGAAGCCCCCUGGAGGUGCCAACCUCUUCGACAAGAUGCUCAAGGAGCCGUGCCCCUACCAUCAGGGGCCUGUCAAGCACACCCUCGAGGAGUGCGUCAUGCUUCGGCGCCACUUCCCUAAGGCCGGGCCACCCGCAGAGGGUGGCUGGGCCCGCGACGACGACAAAAAGGAAGACCACCAAGCAAGAGAGUUCCCCGAGGUCCGCGACUGCUUCAUGAUCUACGAAGGGCAUGCGGCGAAUGCCUCGGCUCGGCAUCGCAAGCAAGAGCGCCGGGAGGUCUGCUCGGUGAAGGUGGCGGCGCUAGUCUACCUAGACUGGUCCGACAAGCCCAUCACCUUCGACCAAGCUGACCACCCCGACCACGUGCCGAGCCCGGGGAAAUACCCGCUCGUCGUCGACCCCAUCGUCGGCGACGUCAGGCUCACCAAGGUCCUGAUGGAUGGGGGAGCUGCCUCAACAUCAUCUACGCCGAGACCCUCAGGCUCCUGCGCGUCGAUCUGUCCUCCGUCCGUGCAGGCGCUGCGCCCUUCCACGGGAUCAUUCCUGGGAAGCGCGUCCAGCCCCUCGGACGGCUCGACCUUCCCGUCUGCUUCAGAACGCCCUCCAACUUCCGAAGGGAGAUUUUGACGUUCGAGGUGGUCGGGUUCCGAGGAACCUACCACGCGGUAUUGGGGAGGCCAUGCUACGCGAAGUUCAUGGCCAUCCCCAACUACACCUACCUGAAGCUCAAGAUGCCGGGCCCCAACGGGGUCAUCACCGUCGGCCCCACGUACAAACACGCGUUCGAAUGCGACGUGGAGUGCGUGGAGUACGCCGAGGCCCUCGCCGAGUCCGAGGCCCUCAUCGCUGACCUGGAGAACCUCUCCAAAGAGGUGCCAGACGUGAAGCGACAUGCCGGCAACUUCGAGCCAGCGGAGACGGUUAAGGCCGUCCCUCUCGACCCCAGUGGCGACACCUCCAAGCAGAUCCGGAUCGGUUCCGGGCUCGACCCCAAAUAGGAAGCAGUGCUCGUCGACUUUCUCUGUGCAAACGCCGACGUCUUUGCGUGGAGUCCCUCGGACAUGCCCGGCAUACCGAGGGAUGUCGCCGAGCACUCGCUGGAUAUUCGGGCCGGAGCCCGACCUGUCAGGCAGCCUCUGCGCCGAUUCGACGAGGAGAAGCGCAGAGUGAUAGGCGAAGAGAUCCACAAGCUAAUGGUGGCAGGGUUCAUCAAAGAGGUAUUCCAUCCCGAAUGGCUUGCCAACCCUGUGCUUGUGAGAAAGAAAGGGGGGAAAUGGCGGAUGUGUGUAGACUACACUGGUCUCAACAAAGCAUGUCCGAAGGUUCCCUACCCUCUACCUCGCAUCGAUCAAAUCGUGGAUUCCACUGCUGGGUGCGAAACCCUAUCCUUCCUCGAUGCCUACUCAGGGUAUCACCAAAUCCGGAUGAAAGAGUCCGACCAGCUCGCGACUUCUUUCAUCACGCCCUUCGGCAUGUACUGCUAUGUCACCAUGCCGUUCGGUUUGAGGAAUGCGGGCGCGACGUACCAACGGUGCAUGAACCAUGUGUUCGGCGAACACAUCGGUCGCACAGUCGAGGCCUACGUCGAUGACAUUGUAGUCAAGACAAGGAAGGCUUCCGACCUCCUCUCCGACCUUGAAGUGACAUUCCGAUGUCUCAAGGCAAAGGGCGUCAAGCUCAAUCCCGAGAAGUGUGUCUUCGGGGUGCCCCGGGGCAUGCUCUUGGGGUUCAUCGUCUCCGAGCGGGGCAUCGAAGCCAACCCGGAGAAGAUCGCAGCCAUCACCAGCAUGGGGCCCAUCAAGGACUUAAAAGGCGUACAGAGGGUCAUGGGAUGUCUCGCGGCCCUGAGCCGUUUCAUCUCACGCCUCGGCGAAAGAGGUCUGCCUCUGUACCGCCUCUUAAGGAAGGCCGAGUGCUUCACUUGGACCCCUGAGGCCGAGGAAGCUCUCGGGAACCUGAAGGCGCUCCUCACCAAGGCGCCUAUCUUGGUGCCCCCAGCCGAUGGAGAAGCCCUCUUGGUCUACGUCGCCGCGACCACUCAGGUGGUUAGCGCCGCGAUUGUGGUCGAGAGGCAAGAAGAGGGGCAUGCAUUGCCCGUUCAGAGGCCAGUUUACUUCGUCAGCGAGGUACUGUCCAAAACCAAGAUCCGCUACCCACAAGUUCAGAAGCUGUUGUACGCAGUGAUCCUGACGAGGCAGAAGUUGCGACACUACUUCGAGUCUCACCCGGUAACUGUGGUGUCAUCCUUCCCCCUGGGGGAGAUCAUCCAGCGCCGAGAGGCCUCGGGCAGGAUUGCGAAGUGGGCGGUGGAACUCAUGGGCGAGACCAUCUCGUUCGCGCCUCGGAAGGCCAUCAAGUCCCAAGUCUUGGCGGACUUCGUAGCCGAAUGGGUCGACACCCAGCUGCCGACGGCUCCGAUCCAACCGGAGCUCUGGACCAUGUUUUUCGACGGGUCGCUGAUGAAGACGGGAGCCGGCGCGGGCCUGCUCUUCAUCUCGCCCCUCGGGAAACACCUACGCUACGUGCUGCGCCUCCAUUUCCCGGCGUCCAACAAUGUGGCUGAGUACGAAGCUCUGAUCAACGGAUUGCGAAUCGCCAUCGAGCUAGGGGUCCGACGCCUCGACGCUCGCGGCGACUCGCAGCUCGUCAUCGGCCAAGUCAUGAAGAACUCUCACUGCCGCGACCCGAAGAUGGAGGCCUACUGCGAUGAGGUUCGGCGCCUGGAAGACAAGUUCUACGGGCUCGAGCUUAACCACAUCGCUCGGCGCUACAACGAGACUGCGGACGAGCUGGCAAAAAUAGCCUCGGGGCGAACGACGGUUCCCCCGGACGUCUUCUCCCGGGAUCUGCACCAACCCUCCGUCAAGAUCAACGACACGCCCGAGCUCGAGGCACCCUCGGUCCAGCCCGAGGUACCCUCGGCCCAGCCCGAGGCGUCCUCGGUUCAGCCCGAGGUACCCUCAGCCCCCGAGGGCGAGGCGCUGCGCAUCGAGGAGGAGUGGAGCGGGGCCACGCCUGAUCGAGAUUGGCAGACCCCGUACCUGCAAUAUCUCCGCCAAGGAGAGCUACCCCUCGACCAAGCCGAGGCUCGGCGGGUAGCGUGACGCGCCAAGUCGUUCGUCUUGCUGGGCGAUGAGAAGGAGCUCUACCACCACAGCCCCUCGGGCAUCCUCCAGCGAUGCAUCUCCAUCGCCGAAGGGCAGGAACUCCUGCAAGAGAUACACUCGGGGGCUUGCGGCCAUCACGCAGCGCCUCGAGCCCUCGUCGGGAAUGCUUUCCGGCAAGGCUUCUACUGGCCAACGGCGGUGGCUGAUGCCACUAGAAUUGUCCGCACCUGCGAAGGGUGUCAAUUCUAUGCGAAGCAGACCCACCUGCCCGCUCAGGCUCUGCAGACGAUACCCAUCACCUGGCCCUUUGCUGUGUGGGGUCUGGACCUCGUCGGUCCCUUGCAGAAGGCACCCGGGGGCUACACGCACCUGCUGGACGCCGUCGACAAAUUCUCCAAGUGGAUCGAGGUCCGACCCCUGAACAGCAUCAGGUCCGAGCAGGCGGUGGCGUUCUUCACCAACAUCAUCCAUCGCUUCGGGGUCCCAAACUCCAUCAUCACCGACAACGGCACCCAGUUCACCGGCAGAAAUUUCUUGGAUUUUUGCGAGGAUCACCACAUCCGGGUGGACUGGGCCGCCGUAGCUCAUCCCAUGUCGAAUGGGCAAGUAGAGCGUGCCAACGGCAUGAUUCUACAAGGGCUCAAGCCUCAGAUUUACAACGACCUCAACAAGUUCGGCAAGCGAUGGAUGAAGGAACUCCCCUCGGUGGUCUGGAGCCUGAGGACAACGCCGAGCCGGGCCACGGGUUUCACGCCGUUCUUCCUGGUCUACGGGGCCGAGGCCGUCUUGCCCACUGACCUGGAAUACGGCUCCCCGAGGACGAGGGCCUACGACGAUCAAAGCAACCAAGCUAGCCGAGAAGACUCGCUGGACCAGCUGGAAGAGGCUCGGGACAGGGCCUUACUACACUCGGUGCGGUAUCAGCAGUCCCUGCGACGCUACCACGCCCGAGGGGUCCGACCCCGAGACCUCCAGGUGGGCGACCUGGUGCUUCGGCUGCGGCAAGACGCCCGAGGGAGGCACAAGCUCACGCCCCCCUGGGAGGGGCCAUUCGUCAUCACCAAAGUUCUGAAGCCCGGAACGUACAAGCUGGCCAACAGCCAAGGCGAGGUCUACGGCAACGCUUGGAACAACCAACAGCUACGUCGCUUCUACCCUUAAGAUGUUUCCAAGUUGUUCAUAUACCUCGCACCCACGCAAAGUUUAGUCAACAAGGAAGGGUCGGCCUCGCCUCGGCAAAGCCCGACCCUCCCUCGGGGGCUAAAAGGGGGGAGACCCCCUCUGCGUCAAAAUUUUCCUCGAAAAAAGAUCUCUUUUACCAGAAUAUCUUUCGUGCUUUUUGACUACUUCGAAAAGUGGGUCCUGGAAACGACGGAGUACACGUAAGCAGCCAAGGCUGACCGAGCCGAGGGACUCCUACGCCUCCGGGAUACGGAUACCUCACUCAUCACCUUCUGCGAUAAGUAACUCGCGUUCGGAUAAAGUGGCUCCGCGGAUCGAACAAGUCUUUACGUUCGGAAGCCCUUCUGCCGAAGCGAUCCUUCGAGCCUUCUCGACUGAGUCGGUGACAGGGCCUCACGGACGGGUGAAAGUACGCGUAAGCGGCAAGGCCGACCGAGCCGAGGAACUCCCACGCCUCCGGGAUACGGAUACCUCACUCAUCACCUUCCGCGAGAAGCAACUCCCACUCAUACAAACAUCCCUGCUACCGACAAAAAGUCCAGAUACUCGAAACAAGAGGAAAAGAGACGCAGCUUUACAACGCAGCGAGGGUGUGUGUUCUGGCCUCGGCGGCCGCACAAGGCACACGCUACAAGACAAUCUGAUCCUGCAGGCUCGGGUCUUGACGCUGGAAGGGGGCAGCAACACCCUCGGCAUCGACGGCACCUUCGGCGAGGCCCGACCUAGCCUCGGACGGCGACGCGGUCCGAGGUUCUCCGCUCCGAAGGACGACGUCGUCACCACGCCCGGGCAAUCGCUCCUAGGGACUUCUCCGGGAAUCCGGCCUGAGCAGGCGGCUCGGACGGUUACCCCUGGGGCCUCAGCCAACCAUCUUCCAAGGGUGCCAGCCCGGUCCGAGGCCUCGGCUGAUCAACUCCGGCAUCGGUCCUGCUGACGGACAACCCGGCUAGGCUCCGGCCAACCAGGUUUCAUUCUCGAGCCGACUCCGCCUCUGUUCAUACUGAUAUCGCUACCCCUGGCCUCGGCUCGUCGAAGAGCGGCCGAGGGGUCUCUUUAACUAAGCUAGAGGAGCCUCGGACAGCAAGGUCGACCGAGCCGAGGGACUCCUACGCCUCCGGGAUACGGAUACCUCACUCAUCACCUUGACACGGGGCGACUCAUGCUUGGUGAAGCGGUUCAGAUAAUCAACAUACGAGUCUUAGCGCUCAAAAAUGAGAAGAAAACACGGCUUCGUGCCGUAAUUACAUACAUGUUCAGGCCCCGAAAGCCGAAAUGAACAAAAAACACCGGCAUUCGAAGUGCCAUUACAAACGGAACUCCGGUUCCCCCCUCCGCAGGUACGAACAACCCCACUCGACAGGGGUGGGCCUGCGGAGCAACAGAAGACCGACGAACGACUUGUCAUCGCCCACCCCAGCAGCGGCGACGAUGAAGACUUCUGUCCCGGGGGGCCGAACAGCAGCAGCGAUGACCUCAGGGCGGAUGCUGCUGCCAGGAGGCCCCCGCCCAUGCCCAAACUCGAGAGGCAAGGACGGGCAGAAUGCCGUAGAGUUGGAGGUCGGUCCGUGGCCAGCCUUGGCUAUCACGUCGGCGGAAGAACCUCUUCCAGCUGCCGUGGCAGACGCCGGCGCCGCGAGCGGCUCCGAAGCCACUCGCGCCUGAAAGCCAGGCACGCUGCAGAUGCCAGCGCCAUGGACGACAACCGCUCCUCCCUCCGAUCACUGAGUGAAGGAGCGGGCCGCCGCCCACGCGGGGGCCGACCUCAACUCGGCACACUCCCCUCCCCAGCCCUGGUGAUGAAAAUCCUUGAGGCUGAGGGAGGGGCAGAGGCCGCAGCCCAGCUCGCUUUCCCCCACCAUCAAGCUGGAGGUCACUGUCUUGGGUGACCGCCGGCGGAGGGGUGCAGCCGGGCUGCAUGAUGAAAAUCCUUGAAGCCGAACGAUGGCUAAAAGGUACCAACUCCCACGGAGUUGCGUUCCUCCAACGAUGAGGCAAAAAGACGGCGGGUUUCCCCCCAUCCGGGGGCUUGGAAGGGGGAAAGACGCGACUCAUAAGGGAGGAAGAAGACAUGGUCGCCUUCCGAAAGGGGUCGCUCUCCUUUUAAAGGCGACUCUCCCUGCUUGCACCCCCAACCGUCACAGGCUGAGUCUUCUCCAACACGCUCCAAAGCCCUCCCCUGCGGCGCGGGGGCUGGGUCCCGCAUAUCAUGCAGACCGGCUCCGAGCAGAAGAAGCCAAACCGCCGCGCGUGGUGCACGCAACCGCCCAGCGGUUACAAGUGACCCUCCACUUUUGCCCAGACCAACGGGCGAAAGGGGCCGGCAGCCAUGCAGGCGGCAUGCAACCGCGCCAAGUGGACGCGCUUCUCCGACUCCCGACAUGCCAGCACGGAGGCCCAGGCCCACGCAUCGCGCAACCGGUGCGCCGGAUGCUGCAUGCAAGCAACUGUACCGCCUGUGCCACCACCGCUCCUCCUCGAUUGCGGAACCAAUACCGCGACUCGAGGCAACCCAGCGCGCGACCCAGCAGCGCCAGCCUGACGCGGCGGCCAACGCGGCCAAAGGUGGGCUGGCAGUAAUGACGGUGGCAGGCGCGCGGGAGCAGCGGUCAUGUCGUCAGCCAAGCUCAUGUCCCAUCCGGGGGCAGCAAGAGAACCCCCUCUCACGGCGCGAAGACAACGCGCCCGUGAUCCGUUCCUCGAACGGCUCGCACACGCGCAACGGCCGCCCCGCCAACUACUCGCCCCAUCGCAUUAACUCCGCGGCUGGACAGGCGGCGCUUCUGGCAGGAGCAGCGGGCGACGCUUCGCCUUCGCCGAAACAACCGCGCCAAAAAAGGUACGUCGCGUCGUUCGGUUUCGUAUCCUUUUUCCUUUUUUCCUCUUUCUCUAUCUCUUGCGAUAGGGACCGGGAAAGGGGGAUACCCCGAAAGGGGUCCUUCCCCGUGAAGGAACCAGGCUCCGAGCCUCCUUACUGAUCAGGGGUUCGAAGGCUGGCCCCCCGAAGGGUUCAACAGCCGCCUCAGAUCACGUGGGCCCUACACCCACUACUGGUCAGAGGUUCGAAGGCCGGCCCCCCGAAGGGUAACACGGCCGCCUCAGGCUACUCGGGCUCCGCGCCCAUUACUGAUCAGGGGUUCGAAGGCUGGCCCCCGAAGGGUUCACAGUCGCCUCAGACACCGAGCGAGGGAUGACCAGGGGUACGUUCGAUACAUAACCAAGGCUCAGGCUGCGCUCCCGAGGUACCCUAGGACAUUUCCGAGACCAGCGGGAGCGAUCUUGUAACGGAAUCCCAUCGGAGGGAGGCAUCGAGCCCUCGGACCCCGUCGCCAGGGGACCGGGUCCGGCAGAUCACCCGCAGGUACUUUUGGGCGUGCCUCUGGGCCCCUAGCCGACCCCCAACGAACGGGGCACGGACGUCCACUCGGAUUACCCGCUUGCAGCUCACCGGAGACACCAUGUUCGGUGCCCAUCGAGGGUAACAUGGCGCUCUCCCCCCCUCCUCCUUGCGGAAAGGCGACGUAGGGGCGUAUGUAAAAAAGCCGAGUCUGUACCUGAUCGCCCUCUCGCCCUGUGCGAAGGCUCGGGGGCUGCUCUCGCAAACCCGGCUCCGGCCGAACCGUUGAUAGCGUCAACAUACCAGCCCGAGAACUUGGGCCCCGACCGUGCACCCGGGCUACGGCCAGUUCGCAUGAGGGAACCACCAGACCAGCCGAAGCAUUACGCGAGGCAUUAAGACCUCGAAGGAGUGAAACCACUCCUGCGAGGCCUCGGGGGCUACACCCGGCGGGUGCGCUCGCGCGCACCCACCGGAACAAAAUGCAACCGAGAAAGGCUGGUCCCCUUGCAAAAAAGUGCGACGAAAGCCUCCAAGCGAGUGCUAACACUCCCUUCGAGGCUCAGGGGCUACUGUCGGGGACCAUAAUUAGGGGUACCCUCAAGACGCCUAAUUCUCAGCUGGUAACCCCCAUCAGCAUAAAGCUGCAGAGGCCUGAUGGGUGCGAUUAAGUCAGGGAUCAGUCCAUACGAGCGACUCGAUCACGCCUCGCCCGAGCCUAGCCUCGGGCAAGGGCAGCCGACCUCGAGGGGUUUCUGUCUCGCCCGAGGCCCCCCUUUUAACGGCGGACACAUCUCCGGCUCGCCCGAGGCCUUGUCUUCGCUAAGAAGCAACCCUGACUAAAUCGCCGCACCGACCGACCGAGUCGCAGGAGCAUUUAACGCAAAGGUAGCCUGACACCUUUAUCCUGACGCUCGCCCCCCGGCAGAGCCGAAGUGAUCGUCGUCACUUCACCGCCCCACUGACCGGCCUGACAGAAGGACAGCGCCGCCUGCGCCACUCCGACUGCAGUGCCACUUGACAGAGUGAGACUGACAGGCAGUCAGGCCUUGCCAAAGGCGCCAUAGGAAGCUCCGCCCGACCCAGGGCUCGGACUCAGGCUCAGCCCCGGAAGACGGCGAACUCCGCUCCGCCCGACCCAGGGCUCGGACUCGGGCUAAGCCCCGGAAGACGGCGAACUCCGCUCCGCCUGACCCAGGGCUCGGACUCAGGCUAGGCCCCGGAAGACGGCGAAUUCCGCUCCGCCCGACCCAGGGCUCGGACUCGGGCUAGGCCCCGGAAGACGGCGAACUCCGCUCCGCCCGACCCAGGGCUCGGACUCGGGCUAAGCCCCGGAAGACGGCGAACUCCGCUCCGCCCGACCCAGGGCUCGGACUCGGGCAAGGCCCCGGAAGACGGCGAACUCCGCUCCGCCCGACCCAGGGCUCGGACUCGGGCUAGGCCCCGGAAGACGGCGAACUCCGCUCCGCCCGACCCCAGGGCUCGGACUCCGCCCUGGCCUCUGCCGAACGACCUCCGCCUCGCCCGAACCGGGAGCUCGGGCUCGGCCUCGGCCAUGGAAGACAGACUCGACCCCGGCUUCGGAGGAGCCUCCACGUCGCCCGACCUAGGGCACAGGCCAGCCACGUCAACAGAAAGCGCCAUCAUCACCCUACCCCGAGCCGACUCGGGCCGCAGAGAACAAGACCGGUGUCCCAUCUGGCUAGCUCCGUCAGAUAGGCAAUGAUGGCGCCCCGCUAGCCCCGUGACGACGGCGGCUCUCAGCUCCCUUACGGAAGCAGGGGGACGUCAGCAAGGACCCAACCGCUCCGACAGCUGUCCCUCCGCCAGGCUCCGUUGCUCCUCCGACAGCCACGACACCACACCAGCUGGGUGCCAAGAUCUCUCCGGCUGCCACAUUGGCAUGUACUCAGGGCACUAGUUCUCCCUUGCUAGACACGUAGCACUCUGCUACACCCCCAUUGUACACCUGGAUCCUCUCCUUACGCCUAUAAAAGGAAGGACCAGGGCCUUCUUAGAGAAGGUUGGCCGCACGGGGACGAGGAGGGGACAGGCGCUCUCUUGGGGCCGCUCGCUUCCCUCACCCGCGUGGACGCUUGUAACCCCCUACUGCAAGCGCACCCGACCUGGGCGCGGGACGAACACGAAGGCCGCGGGAUUUCCACCUCUCUCACGCCCGUCUACGGCCACCUCGCUUCCCCCCUUCGUGCUCGCCCACGCGCUCGACCCAUCUGGGCUGGGGCACGCGGCACACUCACUCGUCGGCUUAGGGACCCCCCGGUCUCGAAACGCCGACAGGGGGAUAUCAAAAUAGCUUAUGUAAAUACCAAAGAACAAUUAGCCGAUAUCUUUACCAAGCCAUUAGAUGAGAAAACCUUUAGCAAACUUAGGAAUGAGCUAAAUAUACUUGAUUCUCGGAAUUUUGAUUGAAACAUUGCACACAUAGCUCAUUUAUAUACUUUUGAUCAUAUCUCUUUCAUUUGCUACGACUAAUGUGUUUCCAAGUGUCUUUUUAAUGCUAAGUUGUAGAUUGAAAGGGAAAUGGAGUACUCGACGAAGCCAAGGCUUCCACUCCACUCUACCGGUAUCAUGUACCCUUCAUCAUUACUCCACCACACUUCACAUUGGUAUAAUCUUUUCACUCAUAUUUACUUGUACCAAUGGGGGAGAUAGUUUUGGGCUCCAACGUUCUCCGUUUUUGGUGAUUAAUGCCAAAGGGGGAGAGAAUAUAGCCCAAAGCAAAAGACCGCACCACACCACCAAUUUCAAAAUUUUCAAAGAAUUUUUCAAAAUAGUUUGAUCCUUUUCAAAUUGGUAUUUACAAAAAUUGGUAAAACCCUCUUGAACACUAAGAGGAAAAUUUCAUUCAGGGGGAGUUUUGUUUAGUCAAAGGAACAACAUUUGAAAUAGGGGGAGAAAAUCUCAAAUCUUGAAAAUGCUUCUUGCAAUCUUAUUCAUAUAUCUUUGACUAUUUGCAAAAGGAUUUUGAAAAGACUUUACAAAGGAAUUUGCAAAAACAAAACCGUGGUGCAAGCAUGGUCCAAAAUGUUAAAUAAAAAGAAAGCAAUCCAUGCAUAUCUAGUGAAAUUAUAAAUUGGUUUAAUUCUAAGUAACCUAUGCACUUACAUUAUGCAAACUAGUUCAAAUUCUACACUUAUAUAUUUGCUUUGGUUUGUGUUGGCAUCAAUCACCAAAAAGGGGGAGAUUGAAAGAGAAAUAGGGUUUAACCUUUUCCUAUAAAUAAUUUUGGUGGUUGAAUGCCCAACACAAAUAUUGGACUAACUAGUUUGCUCUAGAUUAUAUUCUAUAGGUGCAUAGAGAUUCAACACAAACCAAUAAAAAGAUUAAAGAAAGGAGAAAAGAAACCCAAGUGUGCCCUGGUCUGGCGCACCGGACUGUCCGGUGUGCCACCGGACAGUGUCCGGUGCACCAGGACCGUACAACUCCAAACUCGCAAGUCUCGGUUUUCUCCAGCGCCACUCUGCUAUAAUUCACCGGACUGGCCGAUGUGCCACCGGACUGUCCGGUGCACCAGCGAAGCAAUGGCUCUCCAGCGCAACGGUCGACUGCACAGUGCCCCUGACAGGCGCUAUAGUUCGCGGCAGAAGUCAGAGCAGAGGUCAGUGGCGCACCGGACACUAAACAGUGUCUGUCCGGUGCGGCACCGGACUGUCCGGUGCCACUAGAGUCAGCGCUCCAACGGUUGACUGCGUCAAAACCCUAAUGGUUGGGUGACGUGGCUGGCGCACCGGACAGUGUCUGGUGGUGCACCGAACUGUCCAUAGCGCCCAUCGACAGCAGCCAUCCCCAACAGCUGUUUUGGUGGUUGAGGGCUAUAAAUACCCCCCCAACCACCACCACUCCAGGCAUCCAAGUUUCUAGCACUCCACAUUCAAUACAAGAGCUAGUGCAUUCAAUAUUAGACACAAUUCAAAAGAAUCAAAGCUUCUCCAAGUCUCAAGUUCACUCCAUACACCUAGUGACUAGAGAGAGAGUUUUGCUCGUGUUCUUUGAGCUCUUGUUCUUGGAUCGCUUUCUUCUUCCUCAUUCUUGUUCUCUAAGUGACUUGUAAUCAAAGCAAGAGACACUAAGUUUGUAGUGAUCCUUGCGGGGUCUAAGUGACCCUUUUGAUUAAGGAGAAAGCUCACUCGGUCUAGGUGACCAUUUGAGAGAGGGAAAGGGUUGAAAGAGACCUGGUCUUUGUGACCACCUCAAUGGGGAUUAGGUUCUCAAGAAUCGAACCUCGGUAAAACAAAUCACUGUGCCAUCCGCUUUAUUUCUUGGUUGAUUUGUUUUCGCCCUCUCUCUCGGACUCGAUUUUAAUUCUAACGCUAACCCCGGCUUGUAGUGUGUGCUUAAGUUUGUAAAUUUCAGAUUCUGCCUAUUCACCCCCUCUAGGCGACUUUCAAAAACAAACAAGCUCAGCAAUGAUAAGCACAAACAAAUUAAAUGUUUUGAAUAGGGGAAGAGUAGAGUUUUCCAAAUCACGAACUACUCGGAUUCGGGGGCUAAGCAUAACACUAUUGCUCGGCUCCUGAACUGAGAACUAUGCUAAAUGUGACUUAUGAGAACUAACAUUAAAGCAUCACAUAUGCACUCAAAAGGGGAUAAAACAUCAAGCAAAAAUCAUUUUGAAAUGCCCUAGGGGCACACAAUUAGAGUUUUGCAAAACACGAGGUUACACGGUUACCUCUCAUACAUGCAGGGCUCUAGCCAAAGUGAAGAAAGACUUCACUACCCAAUGCAUGCAGAGGACUGGGCACAACUAACUUCAGACCAGGCAGCUUCUCUUCUGGCAAGGCUGGCGCACAACUUCAAUCUGAGACAUCUCCUGGAUGGGUCAAGAGGGAGCUGAUGUUGAUGACUUCUUCUGGCAGCGACUGAGAUGGCAGGACGGGGUCGAACUCUUCUUCACGCGGGACUGGCUCUUGUAGCUCCUCAGAGGGCGGCGGUGCUGGUGGGGUGCUUGCGGCUUCUUCCUUGACCUCAAGGGAUGGUGCUGGAAUCUUCUUCAUGGUGAGGGGCUCAAACAACCCUGAUGGGGGAUCUUGGGAGGAUUCGGGGUGCUCUUGCUUAUCCAUAGCCUUAGGGGAGACUGGCAUUCCUUCCAAGACUAUGGCUCCUUCCGGGAGUUCCCAAUCCUUCUUGUCUCCUCUGAUAGAGACCGGGUGACCUUCAAGAAUAUGGGGAUCUUCAGCUUUCAUGGGUUGAACUGGGUUGUAUGAAGCGGCCUCUUAGAUCCGUAGGGCUCUUUGUUGGUUGUGGGUUACCAAGUAGGACUCCAUCAACUUCUGGACGUGCUCAUCCUUGGCUUGCUUCAGGGCUUCAACAGCAAUGACUUCAUGACUUUCCAAAGCAGUUGCACGGGCUUGAGCUGUGGUGAGAUCCACAUGGAGCUUACGGUUGUGCUUCUCUGCAUCUUCUGCUCGGGCAAUCAUCUAACGGUGGUGCUGAGCCAAGAAAUCAUACUGUGCAUCCAGGGUGAGCAGGUAGGCAGUGAGGUACACGACUGUGGGGUUGUCCUCAAGCAGCUGCUGCCCUUCCAAUGCACGCAUCAUGGACAUCCAAACUGGACGGUCUCUUUGAAAGGGCGGAAAGAAUCUGAGCGGGGUAUCGGCCACCUCUUCUUCAUAGAUUUGUCACAAAGCCCUCAAUGCCUUGCGAGCGACGACUUGGCAGGUGUCUUUGAAUCUGUGCCCCGCAGCAGUUACACUCCAUUCCACAUGGUGCGGACUGGAUCCAAUGUAUACAGCCACGACACACUUCUCUGUGCCAUGCUCGACGAAUUCAUGACUAUCAUACUCUAGCUGGCUCCUGAUUCCGAGGCGAACUGUGCAUGCUCUCAACAACUUGGGGAAACCAUCUUCAUUCUGGCAAAAGCUGGUUUGGCAGCGAACCUCCAUCUGACUUUUGAGAGAAGGAAAGGGGAAAACAUUUUUGAAAUAAAGGGAUGAGAGCAAGAAUUUUUUUAAGAAAAUAGUUUUGACUCAAAAACUUUUGGAUCAAGGCUAAGGGUUACGUCCUGCGGCCAACCUAACAACUCUGAUACCACCUGAAGCGCCUCAAUCCUCUAGGACUCAAAUGUGAUACAAUUACUAGUCCCAGGAGGCUAGUAAACAUAUUUAUACAUCAGAUGAUUCCAGAUCUACUUAAACGAGACAAACCUAUAAAGGUGGCGAUCAACUUUAAGAGUUGGUCCACAACUUGGGACAUAUCAUCAGAGUGGGGCUAAAGCAGCCCGAUAUAUGCAGCGAAGCAAAUCAGCGGUCCAACAGCCACAGGCAAGGUUGGGAACAGGCGUAACUCUUACCCGAUCAGGGAUCUCCUUCUCUGAAAAACAACAAAUAAGCAAGGGUGAGUACUUACGUACUCAGGAGCCCACCUUCACCCGCGGAAUGGGGAAAUCAGAUAUAAUGCAUGGAAUAUGUGGAGCUCAGGAUAUUUUGCAGAAAUAGCAAUAUUUGAUGUAGGGUUAUUUUGUAAAACAUUUUAUAUUUUUCAAAGCGCAUCCCCUCCCAAGGAAGCAGGAAGUUUUUCAAUAUAGAACAAAAUCCCCUAGACUAAAUAAUCCAGGUAUCUCAGCAGUUUCCCACUGGUUUUUAUUUUCAAAAACAGCUACUGGACUUCCCGUCCACCAUAGCUCACGGCUCAACCGCCGGACCUUUUAAAAACCACUUUUCAAAAGCAUUUUUUGGAAAACAAAACACUAAUUGUCAAAUCCAUGCCAUGACUCAUCCAUAUCUGUGGACGCGGACUAUUCGAAUAGGUUUUCAAACUCUGCGCAGAGGUAUACAUUUUACCCGCUAGUCCGGUUUCUGCAAUCUCACUGUCGUGAGAUCCGAAUGCUGAAUCUCUCUUUCCUUGCACGUCCUUAACUUAACGAUUAUACCAGAAGGAGUCAGGCCACCACCAUGCCCAAACCGGACAAAACAUUCCCAUCCUUAUCCUCCCGGUGCUCCCCAGCCAUCAUAACCCUAGGGUUCGGACCAUACAAGUUUAGAUUGAGUGACUGCCCAUACAGUCUCGAAUGGUUGUACUUGAUAAGAGUAUAGGUAAGGAGUGAUGACAAACCGGUCCUUAGGCAAGAGGGACAAUCCUUCAUGCUCACACCUAAACCAGCUGAGCCAUCACCUUAGGCCCUCCCCUAAACCAGGGAGUCCCUGAUUGUCGGUGUUUCGACCCUGGGGGGUCCCUGGACCGACGAGUAAAUUGUCGCUGCGUGUCCCAACCCAGAUGGGUCGGCGCGAGACGGAGCACAAGGGGGGGAAACCAGCGAGGGGAAACCGCGGCCUCGUGUUGUCCUGCGCCCAGGGCGGAUGCGCUUGCAGUAGGGGGUUGCAAGCGUUCGCGAGGGAGAGAGAGAGGGGGGUGAGACUGCACGUCAACCCAUUCUCCCGUGCGGCCACCUUUCGUACGAGGGCCCUGGACCUUCCUUUUAUAGACGUAAGGAGACGGUCUAGGUGUACAACGGGGGGUGUAGCAGUGUGCUAAAGUGUCUAGCAGAGAGGAGCCAGAGCCCUAUGUACAUGCCGACGUGGCUGUCGGAGAGGUGUUGGAGCCCUGUUCAUGUGGCGUCGUGGCCAUCGGAGGAGCGCUUGAGCCCUGUAGAAGCACAGCUGUCAGGGCUGUCGGAUCCUUGCUGACGUCUCCUUGCUUCCAUAAGGGGCUAAGAACCGCCGUUGUCAUGGAGCACGCGGGGUGCCAUCAUUACUUGUUUCACCGGGGCGAGCCAGAUGGGACGCCGGUCUUGUCCCCGUAGCCUGGGCUAGCUAGGGGUAGGGUAAUGAUGCCCCCCCUUGUGGCGUGGUCGGCCCGAGCGAGGUGGUGACUCCUUCGAGGUCGAGGUUGAGUCCGAGCCCGGGGGUCGUGCGAGGCGGAGACCGUCGUCCGGAGGUCGAGGUUGAGUCCGAGCCCGAGGGUCGGGCGAGGCGGAGACCGUCGUCCGAGGUCGAGGUCGAGUCCGAGCCCUGGGGUCGGGCGAGGCGGAGACCGUCGUCCGAGGUCGAGGUUGAGUCUGAGCCCUGGGGUCGGGCGAGGCGGAGACCGUCUUCUGGAGUCGAGGUUGAGUCUGAGCCCGGGGGUCGGGCGAGGCGGAGACCGUCGUCCGAGAUCGAGGUCGAGUCUGAGCCCUGGGGUCGGGCGAGGCGGAGACCGUCGUCCGAGGUCAAGGUUGAGUCCGAGCCCUGGGGUCGGGCGAGGCGGAGACCGUCUUCCAGAGUCGAGGUUGAGUCCGAGCCCUGGGGUCGGGCGAGGCGGAGACCGUCUUCCGGAGUCGAGGUUGAGUCCGAGCCCUGGGGUCGGGCGAGGCGGAGAUUCCUAUGGCGCCCGAGGCUGGACUUGGCUGCUGUCAGCCUCACCCUGGCGGGUGGCACAGCAGUCGGGGCAGCGCAGGCGGCGCUGUUUUCCUGUCAGGUCAGUCAGUGGAGGGGUGAAGUGACUGCGGUCACUUCGGCCUUGUCAACUGGAGAGCACGCGUCAGGAUAAGGUGUCAGGCGAUCCUUGCAUUAAGGGCCUGUUUGGUUCAUGGCUAACUGCGCCACACUUUGCCUAAGGUUAGACGUUCGAAUUGAAGAACUAACUUUAGGCAGAAAAGUUAGGCAAAGUGUGGCAAGUUGGGCAGUGAACCAAACAGGCCUUAAAUGCUCCUGCGAUCCGGUCGGCUAGCGAGGCGAUCUGGCCGAGGUUGCUUCUCCGCGAAGCCUGCCCGAACUGGGCCUCGGGCGAGUCGAAGGUGUGUCCGUUGCUUGAGGAGACCCUCGGGCGAGGCGCGAAUCUGCCUUGGUCUACCGUUCCUGCCCGAGGCUGGGCUCGAGCGAGGCGAGAUCGUGUCCCUUGAGUGUACGGAGCCUUGACUGGAAUUGCGCCCAUCAGGCCUUUGCAGCUUUGUGCUGAUGGGGGAUACCAGCUGAGAUUAGGAGCCUUGGGUGUACCCCUAAUUACGGUCCCCGACACUGAUCAUCUCACUCAAAGGUGAUAAGGGUGACAACCCUUCAUCAUACCUAUUUUGAAAAGUAUUUUCUUUCGAAAACUCACACCUUUUCUCAAAUCAUUUGUAACAAAUAUGUCAAGGAGUAUAAAGAUUGAUUGUGGCAAGUGGUUGGGUGGCCAUAAUAACUUGUCUCAAAAUCAUAUCAUGCAUAAAAUAACAGGUUGAGGGUUGUGGUUGAAAAAGCAUAGGUAGUUUAUGCAUCAAAGGGAUCCAGUGAGCUUGCCGUGCUUAUUCGGCGAAAGGGGUGAGAGCUCGUGGAACUGGCUUCUGGCUCCACUGCCUGUCGUAGACUUGCAGAUCUGGCCUUCACGAAACGGCACGAACGCUCUGAUAACUAUGCAACAUGAACAAGAAAACAUACACACCAACAAGUAUAUCAACAAAUAUUUAGUAUAGUGGUCAGAAUAGCGAUAUAUGGAUGGGUAGAGUCUUAAGAAGAAUAUAUGUGUCAUGUGGUGUUGUGAUAUGGGACAUUUACAUUUCACCCACUAGUCUGGACGCGUGUCACACCCGGUUUUGGAAGGCAAACCGAAUGCGAACUAUGUACGUGCCAGGAUCAGAACUCACGUACACAGCGAUUACAUAAAUGAACAUCAUCACACAAUGCUCGAAUAAUAACAUAAAAGAGUACUUAUUACAUCAUAGAGUCAUAGACAUCCACAUAGUCAUUGUCUUAACAAGUAAAUCAAAGUACUAGCGAAACGCAGUAAAGAUAAGGCCUUCACAGGCAGCUGACUGGGGGUUUGCCGCCAACCCACACCUAGAAUUCAUCGUAGUCUUGGAACUCCUGGAAGUCUCCUUCCACGGCUUCGCCUUCUCCUGAGCAGUGGUUACAAUGCGGGCAACCUGGUGUUUUGUGGUAAAGCAAGGAUGAGUACACAUCAACGUACUCAGCAAAUGUCCUGUUUGGCUGAAGUGGACUAGCUUUAUGUGGGGUUAGGCUCAAGCAGUUGCUUUUAGUUGGUCAGGUAUUUAUCAUUAGUAGAAGCCAGAUUUUAGCAUUAUCCAACCCGUAAACCAUUUCCUCAUCGAGGAACAACAUCAUCAUAGUCGAACCAAAACCAUAACAUAAUCCUUGUAUCUCGAACCAUCUGUAUCUCUAAUCAAAGAGGAUCCCAAGGCUGCUCUUAACCGUGAGCACGGCUGAUAUACCAGUUUCACUACCCUCUGCAGAGGUUGCACACUUUACCCAUGAGUCAUGAUUCCCUUUCUACCCGGGGAGAGCUAAUCCCCAUUGACCACUACCUAGGUGGUCCGGCAGGGCAUCACUACGUAGCUUUUACAAAGAUUCCCUAGAGAUCAUAGCUGCCCGUUAGGUUUCUCCAGUUUGAUAAACACAGUACCCCUCCCCGCAGGAGAGUGACUAACAAAGAGCAAAACGAAAGAACCUCGGCACUCAGCCUCGGCAGAGCAAGCACUGUGCCUGGACCCCAUUGACGGCACGACAGCUAAGCAACUACACCUCUAGUUCAUCUAAUUAAUCAGCUAAGGGCAUCCCAUUUCACCCUCAUGGUUGCACUGUUAUCCCGGGUGGUCUCUCAACGAACCAGUCCUUACGGAGAGGUACUCAGGAAACAGCCUGAGCCCCCUAGAGUAUCACAAGAUCAUCAACAUCAUCAGGAUAACAGUAUCAUAAAUAGUCACAUCAUGUUCAUUGAUUAUGUUAAAGCAAUAGCAAAGUGCUAACCAUAAUAGCCCAUAAGGUCAUCAAGGAUAAAGUAAAAUGUAAAGCUAGUCAAUCCUUAGGUUUCAAGUAAGUAGUGCGGGGUAGUAAGUUAUAAAUGAAUAGGACAUAAUGGGACAGACGACACUUGCCUUCACCAAACUGCUGAUCAGGGACUUCCUCUGCAACUUCCUCGGGACACACAGACUGCUCGUUGUCUACGUAAAGUAAUCAUUCACACUAUGCACUUGGGAAGAUAACAAACAAAAGCAACAUACAAGACAUAUGCAGCAAAGAGAUCACAAGUUCAUAGCAGAAAAGGGAUAGGCACUCUGGUGUUCCCUAGGUCUGGGGUAGAGGACUAUACAAAGUGAUUCAUUAUCCACUAGUCAAGUUUAAGUCAGUGAUGGGAUUAAAUCAUUACCUGGUUUUAAGUUCCUAAACUUAGGUGUUUAAGUCCCUAAUCUUAAGUACUCCAACUUUUAUUAAAGUCUACCAAUUUCUAAUUGUCUCAAAUGGGGUUCCAAUAGCCUUAAUCCUAUCCUGGUGAUUAACUAUUAAUUGGUACAUGGAAACAGCAGGAAAACAUUGGUUAAAUAGAUAGACAAAAACAUCAUGAGCAUUUUGCAAUUUGAAGCACCUAAUUUGGAGUUCUUAUGACAAAGUUAUGAAUUUUACAAGUUUGGGGAUUAAAAAUAUACCCUAAAUACCUAUUUUGAAUUAAUUAAAAGGUCCAGGGACCUAACUACGAGAAACCAGGGACGGCGGGUUCAAAUUCCAGAAAACCGGGGGUCUCUUUAAGAAAAUGCGCGGGCGAAGGGGUAUCGGGCUACUACGGCCGUCAGAUCUAAAGCGAACGGCCAGGAUUAGAUCCUGCGGGCGGGCGCGCGGGCGCGCGGCGGCCUGGGCAACUGACAGGCGGGACCAGGCGGGCAGCGCGGGGCGCGGGCAGGCUGACAGGCGAGGCCGGCGGGCAGAGCGUGCGCGGGCAGGCUGACAGGCGGGGCCAGCGGGCAGAGCGGGCGCGGGGUGUGAGGGAAGCGGCCCUGGGCCGUUGGAUCUCUGGUAGGCGGCCAGGAUUGGGCCCGGGCUAAUUGAAUCAGGGCCGUCCGAUCUGGGAUGAACGGCGGGGGUCGGGUGGCCGGCCUGGGCUUCUCCUACGGCUAGCUGGGGCGGCGGCGCUCGUCCCCGCGGCGGAGGGCUCGCCGGAGACGAGGGGCGCGGGCGUUUGGCGGGCCUCUGGGGCGACCUGAGUGGCCGGGAAGGUUGGGGAGGGCACGGGGAGUCCUCUGGUGGGGUCUGGGUCGGGGCAGGGGCACCGGAGGGGGGCGGUUCACGGCGGAGCGGCUCGGCGGCGGGGUUACUCUACUCCGGCGAGGAAUUAAACGCGGCAGAAGGCAAUACACGGGUCGAUAGGGGCGGGAGAGGUCCCUUACCUCAAGGCGGGCUCCGGGGACUCCUCGGCAAAGGGAAUGGCGCGACGGUGGCCUGGGGCGAUGGUGGCGGACCUCCGCGGCUGCACGGGGAGCGGCGGGUGAGCGUGGGCAGAGAGAAAUAGGGAGGGGGAAAGGGAAUUGAGGCGCGUCCCGGGUUGCGGACACCGGGGCGAAGCUCACCGUGGCAACGGACACGGCGGAGCUCCAACGGCGGCCGAGAAACGGGCUCGGGACGGCGGGGAUUCGUGGCGGCGGCGCUCUGGCGUGCGCGCAGCGAGGGAGAGGUGGAAGAGGGGUCCGCUAGAGCGCAAAUGGGGGAGGGGGCGAGGGCGAGUGGGGUUCGGGGCUCAAGUGGCCAGGGGCUGGUCAGUUGCGAGCUCCACGCGCGACGUGGACGCGGAGAAAGCGGGCGCGCGCAGCUCGGGCGGCGGUUACGCGAGGAAGACGGGGCUGACAGCCCGGGCCCGCGAGCAGAGAGAGAGAGGAGAGCGGAGGCGGGCGCGCGAGAGGCGGCUGCGCUGACAGGCGGGCCCGCCAGGGCAGAGAGAGCGGGGGGGAGAGGCGCGCGGGCGGGAUGGGCCGGCUGGGCCGAAAGGCCGAGGGGGCGGCGGGGUUGGGCCUCUUUCUCUUUUCUUUUUAUUCUGGAAUUGUUUCCUCUUUUUUCUUUUUAUUUUCUCUAUUUGAUUCAAAUUCAAAUGAGCCACAAAUUCAAAUCAAACUUUCCAAGAAUUAUGCACCAAGCAAAAGUGAAACCUAGAGUUCAACAUGAUGCAACAAUUCAUACUCCCUUAGGGUUUAACAUAUUAAACUAUUAUUACAAAUAAAAUAAGCACUUUUCUCCUAUAGAAAUGAGAAAGAAAAGAAUGAGGAAUGAUGAGAAAAGGGAAGUAACACCUGAAUUUGUGAAUAUGAGCAAAGAAAUUUUAUACCCCCAAAUUCAGGGUGUUACAAACCUAUCCCCCUUAAAAGAAUCUCGCCCCGAGAUUCAAGGUUUGUCAGCAAAGAGUUCAGGGUAUUUGGCCUUCAGAUCAUCUUCUCGUUCCCAGGUUGCUUCUUCUUCGGAGUGGUGACCCCAUUUGACUUUGCACAUUCUGAUGGUAUUCCUCCGGGUGACUCUGUCUGCAAACUCCAGAAUCUGCGUUGGCUUCUCUAUGUAUGUCAGAUCCUUCUGGACCUCCAAACCCUCCACUGGCAACUGUUCUUCUGGUACUCGCAGACACUUCUUCAAUUGCGACACAUGGAACACAUGGUGCACUGCUGACAAGCUCUCUGGUAGGUCUAGCUGGUAGGCCACUUCUCCACGCUUUGCUUGAAUCUGAUAUGGUCCAACGUACCGAGGUGCUAACUUGCCUUUAACUCCGAACCUUCUGACUCCCCUGAUAGGUGACACCUUCAGAUAGACGUAGUCUCCCACUUCAAAGCUCAGUUCCCUUCUCCUUCUGUCAGCAUAGCUUCGCUGUCUUGACUGGGCUGUCUUCAGGUUCUCCCGAACCAUUUUGAUAUUCUCUUCGGCUUCAAGCAAGAUGUCGGGGCCAAACACCUGUCUCUCUCCAGGCUGGUCCCAAUGCAACGGAGUCCUACAACUCCGCCCAUAGAGUGCCUAAAACGGUGACAUCUUCAAGCUAGCUUGAUAACUAUUGUUGUAGGAGAAUUCUGCAUAAGGUAACCUUUUGUCCCAUCCUGACUUGUCUUGCAACGCACAGGCUCUCAACAUAUCUUCAAGGAUCUGGUUAGUUCUUUCAGUCUGGCCGUCUGUCUGCGGGUGAUAAGCUGAGCUGAAGUUCAAAUGGGUGCCCAAAGCUUCUUGUAGCUGCUGCCAAAAAUGAGAGGUGAACUGCGUUCCUCGAUCUGAAACUAUCUUCUUCGGCACACCAUGAAGGCAGACUAUUCGUGACAUGUAUAACUCAGCUAACGUUGCUCCGGUGUAUGUUGUCUUCACGGGUAUGAAAUGGGCCACCUUUGUUAAGCGGUCCACAACCACCCACAUGGAAUCAUAACCGGCCCGGGUACGAGGUAGGCCAACUAUAAAAUCCAUCCCGAUCUCAUCCCACUUCCACUGAGGAAUCCGCAAUGGCUGCAACAAUCCGGCAGGCCUCUGAUGCUCUGCUUUGGUUCUCUGACAGCUAUCGCAGAUGGCGACAUAUUCUGCGAUCUCUCUUUUCAUGCCAUACCACCAAAACCUUCUUUUUAAGUCCUGGUACAUCUUCUCACUCCCAGGGUGUAUGGAGUAGGCUGUCUCAUGAGCUUCCUUGAGGAUCAGUUCCCGAAUAGGUUUGAGGUCGGGAACACACAAUCGGUCCUUGAACCAUAUUACUCCCUCUUCAUCCUCUCGAAAGUCUUUGCCUCUUCCUUCUAAGAUCAGCUGCCGGAUCUUGUUGAUGUUUUCAUCAUCCUUCUGCCCUUCUUUGAUCUCCCGCUCUAGGGUGGGCUCUAAUUCCACGGUUACUCCUUGCGUACUGUUCAGGAAACCGAGGCUCAGUCUGUCGAACUCUUUGGCUAACUCAUACGGCAUCGGGUACGAGGCCAACAUAUUGACUUGACUCUUCCUGCUCAGAGCAUCUGCAACAACAUUGGCUUUGCCUGGAUGGUAAUGUAUCUCCAGCUCAUAGUCUUUGAUCAAUUCCAACCAUCUUCGCUGCCUCAUGUUUAGCUCUGACUGAGUGAAUAUGUACUUCAGACUUUUAUGAUCCGUGUAGAUGUCGCACUUCUGCCCAUACAGGUAAUGUCUCCAGGUCUUUAAGGCAUGAACCACUGCUGCCAACUCCAGGUCAUGUGUGGGGUAAUUUUUCUCAUGGAUCUUCAGGUGUCGAGAUGAGUAUGCUACCACUCUUCCUUCUUGCAUUAGCACACAUCCCAAUCCGGUGUACGAAGCAUCGCAAUACACUGAGAAUGACUUGUGAACAUCAGGCAGGACUAACACAGGAGCUGUAGUCAAUCUAUUCUUCAGUUCUUCAAAUGCUUCCUGACACUUUUGAGUCCAUUUAAACUCAACUUUCUUCGCUAGUAACGCUGUCAUUGGUCGAGCAAUCUUUGAGAAGCCUUCAAUGAAACGCCUAUAAUAUCCAGCCAUUCCAAUGAAGCUCUUGAUCCCACGAACAUCCUUCGGUGCUUUCCAGUUCAGGAUAUCUGCUACUUUCUUUGGAUCCACUGCUAACCCAUCUUGGUUUAUGAUGUGACCCAGAAAUAAGACUUCAUGAAUCCAGAACUCGCAUUUGCCCAGCUUGGCAUACAACUGAUGCUCUCGAAGUCUUUGCAAUACCAUCUUCAAAUGCUCUACAUGAUCUUCCUCACUUUGAGAGUAUAUGAGAAUGUCAUCGAUGAAUACUACCACAAACUUGUCCAGAUAAUCCAUGAACACACUGUUCAUCAGGUACAUAAAGAAGGCUGGCGCAUUUGUCAAACCAAAGGACAUAACUGUGAACUCAUAUAACCCGUACUUGGUGAUGAAUGCCGUCUUCGGUAUAUCCGAGGGUCGGAUUCUGAGCUGAUGGUAACCUGAUCUCAGAUCUAUCUUCGAGAAUACGCUGGCACCUCUGAGCUGGUCGAACAAAUCUUCUAUCCUUGGCAGGGGGUACUUGUUCUUGACAGUGACUUCAUUCAAGGCUCUGUAGUCUAUGCACAUCCUUUUGGUACCAUCUUUCUUCUCUACAAACAACACUGGAGCGGCCCAAGGCGAGGUACUUGGCCUUAUGUACCCCUUCUCUAACAUCUCAUCUAUCUGCUUCUUGAGUUCCACCAAUUCUGGUCCAGACACUCGAUAGGCUCUUUUGGAAAUGGGGGCGGUACCAGGGAUAAGCUCUAUGGCAAAUUCAACCUUUCUCUCGGGUGGCAUGCCCGUUAGCUCCUCGGGAAACACAUCCGGAAAGUCUGACACAACCUUGAUAGCCUCGAGCGGGUUGGGUUCCUUACUAUCAACUGAAAUCUGAUGGCAAACUCCCUCUUCUGACUUAGGCAUCCUUAGCUCGGCCACUACCUCUUCUCCUGACGGGGACUUCAAUGUUACGGUCCUCUUGUCACAACUAACAUUUGCUUCAUACUUCAUUAACCAGUUCAUCCCUAGAAUAACAUCUAUCCCAGGGGUGUCUAUUACUAUUAAGUCACUGGGGAAUCCUAUCCCCCUUAUUUCCACCAUUAUAUUUGAGCAUAUUUUAUCUGUUUGCACCUUGCCACCAACCGAAUUAAUCGUCAUGAGCGGCAUCAUUGCCUCUACUGAGAUGUUAUGCAAUUCUACCCAGGUUGCAGUGACAAAUGAAUGAGUUGCACCAGUAUCAAAUAGCACUUUUGCGGGAUGAGAUUCGACUGAGAACAUACCUACUGCCACAUCUGGUGCAUCCUGGAUCGCCUCGGCCUCCAAGUGGUUCACCUUCCCACGGUGGUACGCUUGGUUACGAUUGCCUGCUGCCGGCUGCAGUACACCUUGCCUUGUUGGCGCAUUGGGGUUGGUCUGCUGCUGAGCCAUCUUCUUUGGGCACUGCAUCGCCCAGUGGCCUUGAUCUCCACAGUGGAAACAUCCUCUGCCUCCUCCUUGUGCUGGGGCUGCUUGGUUGCUCUGAUUUGCUGCUGGGGCAGGAAGGCGAGGUGCCUGGUUGUUCUGCUUCUGAUACUGAUUACUUCCCUGCUGGCUGUGCUGACGAUACUGCUGCUGCUGCUGUGGGUACUGCCUCUGAAACUGCUGCUGAUGCGGACGCUGAUUCUGAUUCUGAUAUCCCUGUGGGUGACCAGGUCUGCCUUGCUGAGAUGAACUGCCUGAGAAACGUGGACGGCUGAUGCCUCCGGACUGGGGUCCACUCAUCUUGCGCUUCCGAUCUUCCAUAUCCUUACGCUUCUUCUCAGUCAUCACUGCCCUAUCGAUCAGAUGCUGGAAGGUGGGGAAGGUGUGAUUCAUCAGCUGGUAAUGCAGGGGAUCCACCAAACCCCUCAUGAACCUGUACUGCCUCUUGGCAUCAGUGUCGACAUCCUCGGGUGCAUAGCGAGACAGCUGCAGAAACUUGUCUCUGUACUCACUAACAGACAGGGGACCCUGCUUCAGAGCCAGAAACUCCUCCUUCUUCACGAUCAUCAGUCCCUCUGGCACAUGGUACCUGCGGAAACUCUCACUGAAUUCUUCCCAAGUGAUGGCUUCGGGGUCAGCAUGGGUGGCGAGGUAGGACUCCCACCAGGACUGGGCUGCUCCCCUCAGCUGACGGGGGCCAUACAGAACCUUCUCCCUGUCGUCACAUUGGGCGGUGCGCAGCUCCCUUUCCACUGCGCGCAGCCAGUCUUCUGCAUCCAUGGGGUCAGCAGAAUGGGCGAAGGUAGGAGGGUGCCCUCUCAUGAACUCGCCACGCUUAUCCCGUGGCAUCUGGGGCAUCUGCACUUGCAAUUGGGGUUGGGGUUGCUGUUGAGCCUGCUACAUGGCUGCCAGAGUCUGCCCAAUGGCCUGCACUGCCUGAGUCUGCAUCAAGAACAUCUGCUCCACUGACAUCGGGGGUGGUGGGGGAGGCUGCCUCUGUUGUUCCUCCUGCUGGUCAUGCUGCUCUUGCUGGGCACGCCUGUUGCAUCGGCGCCUGUUGUCAGACAUCUGUGGAAGACAUUCAUACAUCAGCAUUGAUCUUACAACCCUUCAGCAUAAGAAAAGAGAAUACAGAAUUCUUCAUGACACUGAGUGAACAACGAGCUUCACUGAUCCUCAUUCAUGAUUCAACACAGCUCCUCAGAUAGGAAAGGAAAGUAGAAGUAAAGGGUUUCCCAACUAAACAACUGACUUUAUUAACAUUACUAGCUAAGCCAAACUGCAGGGGAAACCCACAUGUUGGCUACAGUCAUUACAAAGAUUCAAAUCAAGCACAAGUUCAUCAUAACAAACAUGAAAGCAACUGAUAAGCAAACUAAACUAAAUGGAAGCAACUGGUAAGCAAACUAAACUGACUACCUAAGACUGAGACAUCUGACUUAAGAAUCAUUACAAACUCCGACGCUAACGAUCUAAGGAUCCAGAUCUAUCCUGGUCUUACAGACGGGGGAACCAUAAGUGUGGUGACCACGUGGCGGUGAGCGGUAUGGGUGCUGAGUCCCGACAGGAGCGGAGGAACCACCCUCCUGGUGAUGGCGCUCUGCCAACUCAGCACGCAACUCCGCAAUCUCCGUUCGAGCCCUGCUUAGCUCGUCCAGAGAGUGAUCCAGCUCGGUGUUAAGCACUGCGACUAGGUUGACUGUGCUGCUCAACCUAGGGUUAGCCUCACCAACAGGUGAGACAACCACACUCUCCGUGCUGCCAGUAGGGCGGCGGGGGUAGUACCGAAGGUUAAGACCGUCGGCCACGCCACCGAACAAAGAACAGUACUGAGAGAGUGCAUGUCGUGCUGCAUCCUGCAUAGCCGCCUCUGCAGCGUCCCUCUCGGAGAUGGAGUAGUGCUCCGAAACGGCCUCCGCACCCCGGAGGUCAUCCUCCGGACGGCGAACUAGGCAGGUAGCCUCCCAGCGGUCCGGGUACCUCCCGCGACUGUGCUGGUAGACUACACAACGAUACUCGAUCGACCAGGUGUGCCGGUCGAAAGCCUGGCGCAGCAAGGUGUCGAGUGCGUCGUGGAAGUGACAACCGCGAGCGGCGUCACGGGUGAUGGGUCGGGCGACCCAUCCUUCCGCCUCCUGCGGCUCAGAAGACUCCGUGCUGUGGUCUGAGUCGUCGUCGUCGGGGUCUCCUCCAGAACCUCCUCCAGUAGCUCCUCCAACAGCCGGGACGUCCCGCGGUGGUGCAGGGGGCGCCUCCAGCUGGGCAACAGAGGAACGGGGCCUCACGGACUCCACCUCUCGCUGGGGUGGGGAGGAAGAGCCCUGCUGCUCUCUGUGCUGGCGCUGGCGUUCCUGCUCCUCACGCAGGCGGUGGUGCAAUCUCUCCAGGUGACUCGACUGACCGGACACGGUGCGGUGCAGAGGACGCUCCGCAAGUCGAGACGGCAGGAAAGGAAUCACCGACUUACGUGCAGUGUGUCUAAGACGAGCCAUCUACAAAAGAUACCGUAAGCACAAGAGUAAGAACAGAACUAAUAUGACCAGUGAAUGAACCAUAAAUAGAACCAGAUAAAAAAAAUUUAACAAGGUAUAGUAUAGUAUAUAUAUGUAGUAAAACAUAGGGUUGGUCGAGGUGACCGACUUUUGAAGUAACAUCAGAGGUCAAGGUGAGGGGGAGGGUCAAUAGUCCUUAGUACGACCAGUGCUACUCUAGGUCAGCGGUCCUACAGUCAGCAUGGGCUUUGAUACCACUUAUGUCACACCCGGUUUUGGAAGGCAAACCGAAUGCGAACUAUGUACGUGCCAGGAUCAGAACUCACGUACACAGCGAUUACAUAAAUGAACAUCAUCACACAAUGCUCGAAUAAUAACAUAAAAGAGUACUUAUUACAUCAUAGAGUCAUAGACAUCCACAUAGUCAUUGUCUUAACAAGUAAAUCAAAGUACUGCGAAACGCAGUAAAGAUAAGGCCUUCACAGGCAGCUGACUAGGGGUUUGCCGCCAACCCACACCUAGAAUUCAUCGUAGUCUUGGAACUCCUGGAAGUCUCCUUCCACGGCUUCGCCUUCUCCUGAGCAGUGGUUACAAUGCGGGCAACCUGGUGUUUUGUGGUAAAGCAAGGAUGAGUACACAUCAACGUACUCAGCAAAUGUCCCGUUUGGCUGAAGUGGACUAGCUUUAUGUGGGGUUAGGCUCAAGUAGUUGCUUUUAGUUGGUCAGGUAUUUAUCAUUAGUAGAAGCCAGAUUUUAGCAUUAUCCAACCCGUAAACCAUUUCCUCAUCGAGGAACAACAUCAUCAUAGUCGAACCAAAACCAUAACAUAAUCCUUGUAUCUCGAACCAUCUGUAUCUCUAAUCAAAGAGGAUCCCAAGGCUGCUCUUAACCGUGAGCACGGCUGAUAUACCAGUUUCACUACCCUCUGCAGAGGUUGCACACUUUACCCAUGAGUCAUGAUUCCCUUUCUACCCGGGGAGAGCUAAUCCCCAUUGACCACUACCUAGGUGGUCCGGCAGGGCAUCACUACGUAGCUUUUACAAAGAUUCCCUAGAGAUCAUAGCUGCCCGUUAGGUUUCUCCAGUUUGAUAAACACAGUACCCCUCCCCGCAGGAGAGUGACUAACAAAGAGCAAAACGAAAGAACCUCGGCACUCAGCCUCGGCAGAGCAAGCACUGUGCCUGGACCCCAUUGACGGCACGACAGCUAAGCAACUACACCUCUAGUUCAUCUAAUUAAUCAGCUAAGGGCAUCCCAUUUCACCCUCAUGGUUGCACUGUUAUCCCGGGUGGUCUCUCAACGAACCAGUCCUUACAGAGAGGUACUCAGGAAACAGCCUGAGCCCCCUAGAGUAUCACAAGAUCAUCAACAUCAUCAGGAUAACAGUAUCAUAAAUAGUCACAUCAUGUUCAUUGAUUAUGUUAAAGCAAUAGCAAAGUGCUAACCAUAAUAGCCCAUAAGGUCAUCAAGGAUAAAGUAAAAUGUAAAGCUAGUCAAUCCUUAGGUUUCAAGUAAGUAGUGCGGGGUAGUAAGUUAUAAAUGAAUAGGACAUAAUGGGACAGAGGACACUUGCCUUCACCAAACUGCUGAUCAGGGACUUCCUCUGCAACUUCCUCGGGACACACAGACUGCUCGUUGUCUACGUAAAGUAAUCAUUCACACUAUGCACUUGGGAAGAUAACAAACAAAAGCAACAUACAAGACAUAUGCAGCAAAGAGAUCACAAGUUCAUAGCAGAAAAGGGAUAGGCACUCUGGUGUUCCCUAGGUCUGGGGUAGAGGACUAUACAAAGUGAUUCAUUAUCCACUAGUCAAGUUUAAGUCAGUGGUGGGAUUAAAUCAUUACCUGGUUUUAAGUUCCUAAACUUAGGUGUUUAAGUCCCUAAUCUUAAGUACUCCAACUUUUAUUAAAGUCUACCAAUUUCUAAUUGUCUCAAAUGGGGUUCCAAUAGCCUUAAUCCUAUCCUGGUGAUUAACUAUUAAUUGGUACAUGGAAACAGCAGGAAAACAUUGGUUAAAUAGAUAGACAAAAACAUCAUGAGCAUUUUGCAAUUUGAAGCACCUAAUUUGGAGUUAUUAUGACAAAGUUAUGAAUUUUACAAGUUUGGGGAUUAAAAAUAUACCCUAAAUACCUAUUUUGAAUUAAUUAAAAGGUCCAGGGACCUAACUGCGAGAAACCAGGGACGGCGGGUUCAAAUUCCAGAAAACCGGGGGUCUCUUUAAGAAAAUGCGCGGGCGAAGGGGUAUCGGGCUACUACGGCCGUCAGAUCUAAAGCGAACGGCCAGGAUUAGAUACUGCGGGCGGGCGCGCGAGCGCGCGGCGGCCUGGGCGACUGACAGGCGGGACCAGGCGGGCAGCGCGGGGCGCGGGCAGGCUGACAGGCGGGGCCGGCGGGCAGAGCGUGCGCGGGCAGGCUGACAGGCGGGGCCAGCGGGCAGAGCGGGCGCGGGGUGUGAGGGAAGCGGCCCUGGGCCGUUGGAUCUCUGGUAGGCGGCCAGGAUUGGGCCCGGGCUAAUUGAAUCAGGGUCGUCCGAUCUGGGAUGAACGGCGGGGGUCGGGUGGCCGGCCUGGGCUUCUCCUACGGCUAGCUGGGGCGGCGGCGCUCGUCCCCGCGGCGGAGGGCUCGCCGGAGACGAGGGGCGCGGGCGUUUGGCGGGCCUCUGGGGCGACCUGAGUGGCCGGGAAGGUUGGGGAGGGCACGGGGAGUCCUCUGGUGGGGUCUGGGUCGGGGCAGGGGCACCGGAGGGGGGCGGUUCACGGCGGAGCGGCUCGGCGGCGGGGUUACUCUACUCCGGCGAGGAAUUAAACGCGGCAGAAGGCAAUACACGGGUCGAUAGGGGCGGGAGAGGUCCCUUACCUCAAGGCGGGCUCCGGGGACUCCUCGGCGGCGGGAAUGGCGCGACGGUGGCCCGGGGCGACGGUGGCGGACCUCCGCGGUUGCACGGGGAGCGGCGGGUGAGCGUGGGCAGAGAGAAAUAGGGAGGGGGAAAGGGAAUUGAGGCGCGUCCCGGGUUGCGGACACCGGGGCGAAGCUCACCGUGGCAACGGACACGGCGGAGCUCCAACGGCGGCCGAGAAACGGGCUCGGGACGGCGGGGAUUCGUGGCGGCGGCGCUCUGGCGUGCGCGCAGCGAGGGAGAGGUGGAAGAGGGGUCCGCUAGAGCGCAAAUGGGGGAGGGGGCGAGGGCGAGUGGGGUUCGGGGCUCAAGUGGCCAGGGGCUGGUCAGUUGCGAGCUCCACGCGCGACGUGGGCGCGGAGAAAGCGGGCGCGCGCAGCUCGGGCGGCGGUUACGCGAGGAAGACGGGGAUGACAGCCCGGGCCCGCGAGCAGAGAGAGAGAGGAGAGCGGAGGCGGGCGCGCGAGAGGCGGCUGCGCUGACAGGCGGGCCCGCCAGGGCAGAGAGAGCGGGGGGGAGAGGCGCGCGCGCGGGAUGGGCUGGCUGGGCCGAAAGGCCGAGGGGGCGGCGGGGUUGGGCCUCUUUCUCUUUUCUUUUUAUUCUGGAAUUGUUUCCUCUUUUUUCUUCUUAUUUUCUCUAUUUGAUUCAAAUUCAAAUGAGCCACAAAUUCAAAUCAAACUUUCCAAGAAUUAUGCACCAAGCAAAAGUGAAACCUAGAGUUCAACAUGAUGCAACAAUUCAUACUCCCUUAGGGUUUAACAUAUUAAACUAUUAUUACAAAUAAAAUAAGCACUUUUCUCCUAUAGAAAUGAGAAAGAAAAGAAUGAGGAAUGAUGAGAAAAGGGAAGUAACACCUGAAUUUGUGAAUAUGAGCAAAGAAAUUUUAUACCCCCAAAUUCAGGGUGUUACAACGCGCUACUCAAAUCUACCCACGCACAAAUUCUCUACUCAGUUUUCUCCUCCCACCUCCACACUUUGCUCAGAAAUCACCUCACGGCGGUAUAUUCUCCCGUCAAAGGCUCUUACAGGUGGACCUGACACCUUACCAGUGGGACCCGCUCCCCUUUCCCCUGCUUCUCUUCCCAAAUUCAAUCGCACGCGAGCACGCUCCUAGGUUCGCUGGCAGCGGCUGGUCCAUCGCUCUUCACCGCUCCCUUCUCCGGCGUGCGGCAGCCCCAGUGGCCUUCACUAGCGUGCGGUGGGGGCGGGCCCUUCUCCGGCGCGUGGCACGGCACGGGUGUCCAGGCGGCAUGGCACGGCGCGGGUCCCAGGCAGCGCGGGCGGGUCUCCGGUGUGCGUUGCGCGGCAGAUCCUAGGCGUGCGCGGGCAAGUCCCCGGCGAGCAUGACGCGCAUGGAUCUCAAUGUGCGGACCUCAGCGCGUGUGUCACGCGCGGGUCCUAGGCGUGCGCGGCGCAGGCGGAUCUCUGGCAGCGCGGCCUGCUUGUUCUCCGGCGCGGCACACUCCCUAGCCCUCUCCUCCGGCGGCGGCGUGCACGGGCUCCGAUGGCCAGCGGGCGCAGGCGGAUCCUCCUCCAGCUCGUCCCUGUCUCCGGCGCGUGCUCUGCUCAGCUAUGGCGAGCUCUGUACAGUGAGCUCUCCUGUCAAUGGCAGGGGCUAGGGCGUGCUCUGCUCAACUACGUUGAACAGGGAAGACAAAGAGCAGGGGAACAUUUGCUUUUUGUAUCUAAACAUUUGCUGGUUGAACUACUAAUUGAAACUGAACAUUUGCUGCUAGUUGAAACUGAACAUUUAUUGUUGCAUGUGCUGCUGAAUUUGCUAGUUGAAACUGAGACUGUUGUUCGUAUCUUGGACAGAACAUGUGUUGUUGGACAUUUGUCGUUGCAUGCCUGUGUCUAGAAAACUGAAUUGCUGAACAUGCACAGGAUCUGAAUUGCUGUUGCAUGCCUAAAUUUCUGUUGGACUAAACAUGCACAGGCAUUUGUACUUGGACUGAACAUGUGGUGCUGAAUAUUAAUAAAACCGAUACUUAAUUGCUCAAAUAGAGCCGCUUUGUCUCUAUGAUAUUAAUAUGCACAUGGUGUAGUGGUUUGUCUUAGCUUGCAGGUACUUCAAGAUGUGGGUUUGAAUCCCUUCUAUCUAGCUUUUUUUCUUUUUUUAUUUUGUUGCUAACAGGAGAUGUGCCCAUGGUUUUGCAUUGCUAUAUUCACACUUUUGCAUAACCUUAUGAUCUAUUUACCCCAAGCAACUAGGACCAAAUUAUGACUCCAUACCAAGUUUCACUAUUUCUGGUCAUAUUUGAUAUUUAUUUAUUUAUUUUUAGCUUGAAAAGGCAUUUAAAGCAUAUAAAUUAGUAGAUAAUAAAAAAGUGGCAUAUUUACAUGAAGUAAGUUUGUAACUGUUAGAUGACCUAAUGGUGCACUUUUGAAGCAAAAACAAUGACAAACGUAAGAAAUAUAGCUCAAGCACUGAUGUUAUAGUUGAAUGUCAUGAAAACUUAGAGAUAGAUGUGUCCAUUUGUGAAGCACCUAUAUUGACACUUUUGCAUAACCUCAUGAUCUAUUUAUCUCAAGUAGCUAGGACCAAGUUAUGACUCCAUGCCAAGUUUCACUAUUUUCUGACAACAUUUGGUAUUUAUUUAUUUAUUUUCGGCUUGAAAAGGCAUUUAAAGCAUAUAAAUUAGUAAACAAUAAAAAAAGUGGCAUCUUUACAUGAAGUAAGUUUGUAACUAUUAGAUGAACUACUGGUGCACUUUUGAAGCAAAAACAAUGACAAACGUAAGAAAUAUAGCUCAAGCACUGAUGUUAUAGUUGAAUGUCAUGAAAACUUAGAGAUAGAUGUGUCCAUUUGUGAAGCACCUAUAUUGACACUUUUGCAUAACCUCAUGAUCUAUUUAUAUCAAGUAGCUAGGACCAAGUUAUGACUCCAUGCCAAGUUUCACUAUUUUCUGACAACAUUUGGUAUUUAUUUAUUUAUUUUCGGCUUGAAAAGGCAUUUAAAGCAUAUAAAUUAGUAAACAAUAAAAAAAAGUGGCAUCUUUACAUGAAGUAAGUUUGUAACUGUUAGAUGAACUAUUGGUGCACUUUUGAAGCAAAAACAAUGACAAAUGUAAGAAAUAUAGCUCAAGCACUGAUGUUAUAGUUGAAUGUCAUGAAACUUAGAGAUAGAUGUGUCCAUUUGUGAAGCACAUAUAUUGACACUUUGCAUAACCUCAUGAUCUAUUUAUCUCAAGUAGCUAGGACCAAAUUAUGACUCCGUGCCAAGUUUUACUAUUUUCUGACAACAUUUGGUAUUUAUUUAUUUAUUUUCGGCUUGAAAAGGCAUUUAAAGCAUAUAAAUUAGUAAACAAUAAAAAAGUGGCAUAUUUACAUGAAGUAAGUUUGUAACUGUUAGAUGAACUAAUGGUGCACUUUUGAAGCAAAAACAAAGAAAAAGUAAGAAAUAUAGCUCAAGCACUGAUGUUAUAGUUGAAUGUUAUGAACAUAGUGAGAGAUGUGUCCAUUUGUGAAGCACCUAUAUUCAUACUUUUUCAUAACCUCAUGAUCUAUUUACCACAAGCAACUAGGACCAAAUUAUGACUCCAUGCCAAGUUUCACUAUUUUCUGACCAUAUUUGGUAUUUAUUUAUUUAUUUUCGGCAUGAAAAGGCAUCUAAAGCAUGUAAAUUAGUAGAUAAUAAAAAAAGUGGCAUAUUUACAUGAAGUAAGUUUGUAACUGUUAGAUGACCUAAUGGUGCACUUUUGAAGCAAAGACAAUGAUAAACGUAAGAAAUAUAGCUCAAGCACUAAUGUUACAGUUGAAUGUUAUGAAACAUAGUGAGAGAUGUGUCCAUUUGUGAAGCACCUAUAUUGACACUUUUGUAUAACCUCAUGCUCUAUUUAUCUCAAGUAGGUAGGACCAAAUUAUGACUCCAUGCCAAGUUUCACUAUUUUCUGACAACAUUUGGUAUUUAUUUAUUUAUUUAUUUUCAGCUUGAAAAGAUAUUUAAAGCAUAUAAGUUAGUAAACAAUAAAAAAGUGGCAUCUUUACACGAAGUAAGUUUGUAACUGUUAGAUGAACAUGUUAUACACUUUUGAAGCAACAAAAUAAACAAAAGUACGAAAUAUAGCUCAAAUUGCGUAGUUAUGGUUGAAUGUUACGAAACUUAACGAGAGACGUGUCCAUUUGUGAAGCACAUAUAUUCAUAUUUUUGUAUAGUUCUCUAAUUUUUUAUCUCAAGUAACUAGGACCAAAUUAUGACUCCAUGCCAAGUUUCACUUUUUUUACUAUAUUUGGUAUUUUUUAUUUUUUUAAAAUGACCAACAAACGCAAGAAUAAAAUAAUGCACCAUAAACAUUAUAUAUAUUUUUUAAAAAUAUGUAUAUGAAGUAAGUUUCUAUUUGUAACUCUAAAUAUAUAUUUUUAUGUUUUGGCCAACUUUAUUUGAGGUAGCUUUAGUUCAAAUUAGCUACGUUUUAGAAAUUUUGGUAUGGUUUAUACUAGUAUGUACACGUUAUAAAGUCGUUUUUGCAUGACACACACGAAUUCUGUAUCUGUCCCAUUGGUUAUUGCAUUCUGUUGUGAGGCUCUGUGUGGGUAAGGGGAAUGGGUUCAAAUCUUGGCCCAUGCGGCAUUUUUUGCCCUCUUUUUUCUGCGUCUUUUUCCUCGCUAUGAAGCUAUGUGGGUCUCACUUGUAAGCUGGUCCACCUGUAAGAGGCUUUUGACGGAAGGAAUAGUGUCGUGAGGGGAUUUUUGUGUGGGUUGUGAAGGUGGGAGGGCAAAACUGAGUAGAGAAUUUGGACAGGGUAGAUCUGAGCAAGACGUCUAGUGGUGGGGGUAUGCUUCGUAGCCGAAGAUCCUAAAGAAAGAGAACACCUUCGGCCGAUCGUCUCAGAAGCAGCGCCGAAGCUAUCACCUAUAAAGCUUCGGCACAAUGGCAAAUCUCAAGUCGAAGGAGUGAACCGACUCAAAGAUGAAAUGACUUAAAGACUCAUGAUGUUUUGUGUCAUUAUUGUAGUCGACUACGAAGGGCAUAAAUGUAAUUUUACAUGGGCUGCGUCCCGUGCCUAUAAAUAGAUGAACAGUGCUCCCGUACUGUUCACGCGGACUUGGUAUUUUACUUUUUGCGUCACGCUUGUACUUUCACCUUCUUUCAAUCCGAAGGUACAUUUGUAAUUUGAUAUCAUUCCCAAUUUCCAUAAUAAUAAAAUAGAGAUGAAAUAGAAGUGAAUUGAUAAUAAUACAUGAUUGUUUAUGUUAUUUUAUAAUUUCAUGUGAUUUCUUCUUCAUCAUUUUAUCUUAUGCUGAAGGUUUGUCCUUCAUAACCUUCGUUCGAAGGCCAUUAUAUCCCAAGGGAAAUAAUGUUUCGAAGGACGAAGGACUUUAACGUUUAACAUUUUCUGUGUUGCCUUGUUCUUAAUUCAUACCACUUGAGAACAAGUCCCCAACAUCUAGACUAGUGGGUAAAAUGUAAAUGUUUCUUGUGAUAUUACUGGUGGUGUAGCGGAGGUGAUUACCAGGAGGGUGGAUUGGAGGCGAAGCAACACUAUACGCGUAGCCAGCGAGCGGAGUAACUGAGUGCCUUGGCUGAGGGUGUUGAGUGUGCGGGGAGGGAGAGAGUAGCCGGAUGUAUUUAUAACGGGGUGUAUGUGGUGUAGUACAGUAGAGUUCACUGUUGGUGAGAAUAGUGACGAGUGAAUCGACUGACUUAGUCUGAACAGGGAAAUUAUAGGUAGAAUAUGAGACAAGAGUAUUUUGGGAGUUUUCUGGAAUAUGAACCAUGUUUAAGGUAUGACAUGGUUGGAUAGAGAAUAAUUUGAUAAGAAUUCAGAAACCAGAAUUAUUGGAAUCUAAGUUUGGAAGCCUGGUUCGAAAGAAUCUCAAAGUUAAGUGUGCUCAACUUGGAGAAAUUGGAAUGGGUGACCAGAUGGGAAGUUUUUACUAGAAGGAAAAUCACAGUUACCGGAGUUUCUAUGACUGGAAUAUUGGUCUGGUAGGUCUUAGGUAAGCUAAACAACAUGAUGGAUGAGUAGUUGAAAUUUGGGAUGAUUGGAUGAUCGAUGAAUAGUAACGAUAAAUGGUAACGAUGAAUAGUGAUGACGAAAAAGUAAUGAUAGAUAUCAUCGAUGAAUAGUAACGAUGAUGAAUAGUCCAACUCCAAUAUCCAAUCCAUGCGCUGGUGGUGUUGCGUUGCAGGUUUGAUGCUGCUGGCGAGGGAGCGUGCCUCAAGAGAUACACUGACCCCUCCUUCUUCAGCGCUCACUCUGCCAAGGUUGAUGAGCAAGGCAUGCUGAAGCAGCAUCGUCGGCAAGCAGAAGCAGCAGCAGCCAACAGGUGCCGCCCUAUCUAUGUUCCUGCUGAUGCAGCAAACAGCUGCUCACAGGGUCGAACCUUCACCUCAACAGCCCAACAUGGAACAGAAGCUGCAAGAAGGUAGCACAGCGCAACCCAGCCCAAGUGAGCUCGAGAGAACGAGCUCUUUCAAGGCAUGGCUCUCUCCACAAGCUCGCCGCUUUCCUACUGCUACUGCUGCUACUACUCAUCACCAUCUUCAGGAACCACCUGAUGAUGGUGGUGGUAGUAGUGGUGGUGCUACUACCUUUUUUAGAUAAUGGAAAUAAUCAUCCAGCCUUGGCUUCAAAGAAGCUACAGCCCCUUAUUACAAUACUCAACACGCCAUAUUGACCAAGUUAAUGCAGAAAACAAAGUUUGGAUAAAAGCACCUAACUACAAAUCCUAUUGGUGAACCUCCAUCCAUACUUGCUGAAAAUCUCCAUGACGACAUUCUCCAUCUUCAGACACGCUGUCUUUAUCAACUCUUUAUCAUCUUCAGCCUUCUGCAUUUGACUCCAGAAGCGGAACCAAUAAGUUCCCCUGUAAAUUACCUGCAUAAAUGUUUUCAUUGGAGAUUUAUCAAAAACCACAUCAUUUCUACUAAGCCAUAUUGCCCAACAAAUCGCUGAUGCACCCACUAGUAGAAGUUGUUUCAAUCUACCCCCAAUCCCAUUAAGCCAGGAACUGAACAUAUGCAUUGUGUUAUGUGGUGGUUUCAACCCAAAACAUCUUUCGACUAAACCCCAUAUAAAACGUGCAUUUUUGCACUGAAAAAACAAAUGUUGAAUUGACUCAUUAGCUAGGCACCAAACACAGUGCGUGUUUCCAUUCCAAUUUCGUUUAGCAAGAUUAUCUUUAGUUAGAGUUACUCCCUUAUACAUAUACCACAUGAAAAUCUUAAUCUUUAAGGGCAUCUUAAGCUUCCAAAUCAUUGUGUUUCUUUCAACCACCCCAUUAUUAAUAACAGCAAGAUACAUAGAAUGAACUGUAAAGAUUCUAUUAGCUUUCAAAUUCCAUUUAAAUGUAUCCUUAUUAUCAUUGAGCUGAAUAUUCAUUAUACUCAUAACCAGCUCAUUCCAAUUUCGAAGAUCAUUAUCUUGCAAUGACCUUCUAAAAGAUACAUUUAACGGGACAGAACUGAGAACAGAAGCUACAAUAUCAGUCUUCUUCCUCACUAUAUUAUAUAAUGACGAGUAUUUUUGCUGAAAAGAAACAGUACCAAUCCAAACAUCUUCCCAAAACCGGAUUUGUUGACCAUUGUUUAGUCGAAAGGAUCCGAAUCUCAUGAAUUGGUCUUUGACUUUCAUAAGUCCUGACCAAAAAUGAGAGUCACCCGGCUUCCUUUCAAUUAUUCCAAUUAGGUAAUUUUUGCAAUACUUAUUCCUAAGUAUUUGUUGCCAUAGCCCUUCCUCAUUAAUUAAUUUCCAUAACCAUUUGGCUAACAAACAUUUAUUCUUAAUCUCAAUGUUUUGAAUUUGUAGCCCUCCUUGGUCUUUCGGUUGACAAAUAAUGUUCCAUUUUAUCAACCUAUAUUUCUUCUUUUGAUUAUCGCUCUGUCAAAAGAACCUAGAUCUAUAAUACUCUAUUUUUUGUAGUACUCCUUUUGGAACUUAAAAAAAGAGAGCAUGAACAUAGUUAGGCUUGCUAAGACAGAGUUUAUUAAGACCAAUCUACCACCAAAGGAUAGGUAUUUUCCUUUCCAACUGCUAAGCUUCUUCUCUAUUCUCUCCUCUACUGUUUUCCACUCCACAUUUCUCAAUUUUCUAACGUGCAUAGGGAUACCAAGGUAUCUAAAAGGAAAAGAACCAUGUCGACAACCAAAUAGUUGUACAUAUUGAGUUUCUGAGUCUGUAGCCUGACCAAAACAAAAUAUUUCACUUUUAUGGAAAUUUAUCUUGAGGCCAGAAAGCUUCUCAAAAGCACAUAACAGCAGUUUUAAAUUCCUGGCUUGGUCCAAGUUAUGGUCCAUAAUAAUAGUAUCAUCUGCAUAUUGUAAAAUGGAUAAACCAUCUUCUACUAAAUUAGGAAUGACACCUGAAAUUUGGUUGGCUAAUUUUGCUCUCUUUACUAAGAUAGCUAACAUAUCAACUACAAUAUUAAACAGAAUUAGUGAUAAUGGAUCUCCCUGUCUGACACCUUUCUUUGUUUGAAAAUUGGAGCCAAUUUGGUUAUUAGUGGAUCCAUCAGUAGUCACGUUGUUACCACAUCGAAUGCUGCGGCUCUUAGCAGCAGUGCCACGGUGAAGGCGGUCAGGCUGAACUCAGCAUCAGAGGUGAAAGGUUGUGAGAGUAAUACGACGAGGUCGAGGUACAAAGGCAAGAUCGCCUCAAGAGUCAGCAGCUUGCCGAGGAAGCUCUUCAUGAACACCACCAAGCAUCACAACGACCGCUCGCGCUCUUAUCGUGCAGGUAGUAGCAGCCUCCGGGUGACCCAAGCCACUGGCAUCGGGGAUUGCAGCCCUGAACUUGAAGCCAUCGCCAUCCCCGCCCCAGGUAUACGUAGCCUUCCGUCCUAUCUGGAGAACCAUGAAAGCAUUUUCUCUUGUACUAAUGUAUCGGUAGUAGAUGCAGAUCGAUGCAGUAACAGUAACAGCAGCACUCCUGAAACAUGUACAGCAGCUGACUCCAAGAACCUGCUGCUGCUGCUGCCAGGAAGUGGUCCUGUUCUGGAGCCACCUGACAAUUCUUCUUCUUCUGCUGCUGAAGACGCCAAAGUAGAUACGCCACUUGCGCCUAUUCCACCGAUGCAGUGGCUGUCAGAGAAAGGGACUCCACCUGCAUCUCCUAAACACAGAACACCAUGUUUCCAGCAACAAUUUGGUAGCAGUGGGCAAUCUGAUGAGAAGCCAAGCCAAGAGCACGAGGCUUCAGACGACAACAGCAAUCUGCUGCAGGAGAGCGUGUUCUUCUCUGCGGCACAAGAGCUAGCGAAGAUGUCCCCUCCUCCUCCUUGGGUGCCAAGGCCCAAAUAUCCACUGCUUGAUGUUAAGGCAGUUAAGGCAGGUCAUCCUGACAUGAACAUCCGUCUUUUUUUCUGUGGCGUUUAAUUAACAAAAGAUGCCUGUCAUUUGCAGCUACGGAAUGGUCCAAGCCCGAUCCAUCCUUCAAGAAACAUUUUGUACAGCAGGAGCGCACAGAUACAGCAGAUAAAAGACAUUGCAAUUGUCAGUACAUUCUUAUUUCCUCCAUGAAACUCAACCGCCACCAUGGUUUUGGUUGUACUUAUAUAUAUAUAUAUAUAUAUAUAUAUAUAUAUAUAUAUAUAUAUAUUACUGGCUGGUGCAUGCAGUCUUCCAAGCUGAAACCAGCUUCUGGAGCGAGCUCUCAUGUGACUGGGACUGGGAGUCCUACCAACGCCACCAUUCUGAACAGAGCAGAUGGCAUUCGGCAGGUAAUAACGAUUAUUUCAACAACAUUGUCCUCGUAAACCGUACAUGGCUUUAGUAUAAUCUGACUGGCACAAGAAAAAUGAGGCAGGUGCAUGAUGAUGAAACUGAUCAAAUCUGAAGCGAUAACACUUAAUGAAUGAACCAUGUAAUAGCUAAUGGAACUAGAGUCAUUCAAGUUGAGAUGGCCGAGUUGGUCUAAGGCGCCAGAUUAAGGUUCUGGUCCGAAAGGGCAUGGGUUCAAAUCCCACUCUCAACAAAUAUUUUUUUUCUUUUUCCUGUUUUAAACUACUCUUCUAAUUGUAAUUGUUUGUAGAGAAUUCAUUAGUUUUUUUUUUCAAAUCCCACUCUCAACAAACAUGUUUUUCAUUGUAUUGUUUCCCUGUUUUAAACUACUCUUCUAAUUGUAAUUGUUUGUAGAGAAUUCAUUAGCUUUUUUUUCAAAUCCCACUCUCAACAAACAUGUUUUUCAUUGUAUUGUUUCCCUGUUUUAAACUACUCUUCUAAUUGUAAUUGUUUGUAGAAAAUUCAUUAGUUUUUUUUACUUUAUCAUGCGGUUCUUGUUUUUGGAUAGUUUUUCUUCUUCCUGUGUUAAGCUAAUCUGGUUCUUCUAACUAUUUGUAGAAGAUUCAUUAUUUUUGUUACUUUACCAUGCAGUUCUUGCAUUGUCUCUACAAAUUUGUUGAGGCUAAUAGUUUUUUAACCACAGGAUCAAAUCUUUGGUGUGUGUGUGUGUGAGACUUAAUGUACUCUGAUUCUUAUAUUACCUUUUAUCCUGUCUUAAUAUAUUCAUGUUCAUGUGUUGUUUGUAGAUUUAGAGAACUAUUGAGGUUUAUACAUUUGAACACACAUGUUCUGUUUUUUCUGUUUUAAGCUAUUCUUCUUAUAUUGUUUGUAGAGAAUCGCUGAGGCUCAGAGAUUUCAAACACAGGAUUUUAAAACAUUUUUAGACCGCACAAGCAUGGACGUUCACAUAUCAGUUAUAAUCUUAUCAGGGCAUGUUAAGUUAGAGGUCUUUCUAUUUAAUUUUGAAUAGGAAAAAAUUUAAUCUCAUCAAUCUCCCGUGCAACCGAACAAUCUCUCAAGUGGGUCAGAUUGCACUUCUAACCUUCUAAUCGAAGCGAAUAUAUAUAUAUAUAUAUAUAUAUAUAUAUAUAUAUAUAUAUAUAUAUAUAUAUAUAUAUAUAUAUAUAUAUAUAUAUAUAUUACUGGCUGGUGCAUGCAGUCUUCCAAGCUGAAACCAGCUUCUGGAGCGAGCUCUCAUGUGACUGGGACUGGGAGUCCUACCAACGCCACCAUUCUGAACAGAGCAGAUGGCAUUCGGCAGGUAAUAACGAUUAUUUCAACAACAUUGUCCUCGUAAACCGUACAUGGCUUUAGUAUAAUCUGACUGGCACAAGAAAAAUGAGGCAGGUGCAUGAUGAUGAAACUGAUCAAAUCUGAAGCGAUAACACUUAAUGAAUGAACCAUGUAUUAGCUAAUGGAACUAGAGUCAUUCAAGUUGAGAUGGCCGAGUUGGUCUAAGGCGCCAGAUUAAGGUUCUGGUCCGAAAGGGCGUGGGUUCAAAUCCCACUCUCAACAAAUAUUUUUUUUCUUUUUCCUGUUUUAAACUACUCUUCUAAUUGUAAUUGUUUGUAGAGAAUUCAUUAGUUUUUUUUUUCAAAUCCCACUCUCAACAAACAUGUUUUUCAUUGUAUUGUUUCCCUGUUUUAAACUACUCUUCUAAUUGUAAUUGUUUGUAGAGAAUUCAUUAGCUUUUUUUUCAAAUCCCACUCUCAACAAACAUGUUUUUCAUUGUAUUGUUUCCCUGUUUUAAACUACUCUUCUAAUUGUAAUUGUUUGUAGAAAAUUCAUUAGUUUUUUUUACUUUAUCAUGCGGUUCUUGUUUUUGGAUAGUUUUUCUUCUUCCUGUGUUAAGCUAAUCUGGUUCUUCUAACUAUUUGUAGAAGAUUCAUUAUUUUUGUUACUUUACCAUGCAGUUCUUGCAUUGUCUCUACAAAUUUGUUGAGGCUAAUAGUUUUUUAACCACAGGAUCAAAUCUUUGGUGUGUGUGUGUGUGAGACUUAAUGUACUCUGAUUCUUAUAUUACCUUUUAUCCUGUCUUAAUAUAUUCAUGUUCAUGUGUUGUUUGUAGAUUUAGAGAACUAUUGAGGUUUAUACAUUUGAACACACAUGUUCUGUUUUUUCUGUUUUAAGCUAUUCUUCUUAUAUUGUUUGUAGAGAAUCGCUGAGGCUCAGAGAUUUCAAACACAGGAUUUUAAAACAUUUUUAGACCGCACAAGCAUGGACGUUCACAUAUCAGUUAUAAUCUUAUCAGGGCAUGUUAAGUUAGAGGUCUUUCUAUUUAAUUUUGAAUAGGAAAAAAUUUAAUCUCAUCAAUCUCCCGUGCAACCGAACAAUCUCUCAAGUGGGUCAGAUUGCACUUCUAACCUUCUAAUCGAAGCGAAUAUAUAUAUAUAUAUAUAUAUAUAUAUAUAUAUAUAUAUAUAUAUAUUACUGGCUGGUGCAUGCAGUCUUCCAAGCUGAAACCAGCUUCUGGAGCGAGCUCUCAUGUGACUGGGACUGGGAGUCCUACCAACGCCACCAUUCUGAACAGAGCAGAUGGCAUUCGGCAGGUAAUAACGAUUAUUUCAACAACAUUGUCCUCGUAAACCGUACAUGGCUUUAGUAUAAUCUGACUGGCACAAGAAAAAUGAGGCAGGUGCAUGAUGAUGAAACUGAUCAAAUCUGAAGCGAUAACACUUAAUGAAUGAACCAUGUAUUAGCUAAUGGAACUAGAGUCAUUCAAGUUGAGAUGGCCGAGUUGGUCUAAGGCGCCAGAUUAAGGUUCUGGUCCGAAAGGGCGUGGGUUCAAAUCCCACUCUCAACAAAUAUUUUUUUUCUUUUUCCUGUUUUAAACUACUCUUCUAAUUGUAAUUGUUUGUAGAGAAUUCAUUAGUUUUUUUUUUCAAAUCCCACUCUCAACAAACAUGUUUUUCAUUGUAUUGUUUCCCUGUUUUAAACUACUCUUCUAAUUGUAAUUGUUUGUAGAGAAUUCAUUAGCUUUUUUUUCAAAUCCCACUCUCAACAAACAUGUUUUUCAUUGUAUUGUUUCCCUGUUUUAAACUACUCUUCUAAUUGUAAUUGUUUGUAGAAAAUUCAUUAGUUUUUUUUACUUUAUCAUGCGGUUCUUGUUUUUGGAUAGUUUUUCUUCUUCCUGUGUUAAGCUAAUCUGGUUCUUCUAACUAUUUGUAGAAGAUUCAUUAUUUUUGUUACUUUACCAUGCAGUUCUUGCAUUGUCUCUACAAAUUUGUUGAGGCUAAUAGUUUUUUAACCACAGGAUCAAAUCUUUGGUGUGUGUGUGUGUGAGACUUAAUGUACUCUGAUUCUUAUAUUACCUUUUAUCCUGUCUUAAUAUAUUCAUGUUCAUGUGUUGUUUGUAGAUUUAGAGAACUAUUGAGGUUUAUACAUUUGAACACACAUGUUCUGUUUUUUCUGUUUUAAGCUAUUCUUCUUAUAUUGUUUGUAGAGAAUCGCUGAGGCUCAGAGAUUUCAAACACAGGAUUUUAAAACAUUUUUAGACCACACAAGCAUGGACGUUCACAUAUCAGUUAUAAUCUUAUCAGGGCAUGUUAAGUUAGAGGUCUUUCUAUUUAAUUUUGAAUAGGAAGAAAUUUAAUCUCAUCAAUCUCCCGUGCAACCGAACAAUCUCUCAAGUGGGUCAGAUUGCACUUCUAACCUUCUAAUCGAAGCGAAUAUAUAUAUAUAUAUAUAUAUAUAUAUAUAUAUAUAUAUAUAUAUAUAUAUAUAUAUAUAUAUAUAUAUAUAUAUAUAUAUAUAUAUUCAAUUAUGAUAUUCUGCAAAAAUCAUGUUGUUGCAGAAUAUAUCACAAUUUACUACUAUAUGUAGAAGACUCAAAACUGAAACUGGUGCAAUAAUUUUGCAACUUACCUUACCUUGAGAUCUUCCUUCACCACAUACCUCUUGGCCUCACCCUUUAUUUGCAUAGAAAACUCAUUGAAAAUAUAUAUAUUCUGCAACAACAUGAUUUUUGAACCCUAAAAAUUUUGGAUCGUUGGUCCUAAUGGAAAUCUGUUCGAGUUUUAUUGACAUCAGAAAUCCUAUCUCCUGUAGUCCUGUUAUUCAGCGUCUGAGUGGAGCUAUAAAAUUGAUCUUAUCAUU
rnacentral:lncRNA from 1 species